rnacentral:lncRNA from 1 species
UAGAAUAAGUUUAACUGUGAUUAACCCUAAUUUCUUCCCUGGGCAUAAUCUACGGCCUGCACCAAAUGGGAUGAGUUCAAAAUCAUGUCCAUGAAGGUCUAUAUUGCUAUCAAUGAACCUUUCUGGAAAAAACUCUUCAGCGUUAUUGGACCAAGUAUUAGGGUCUCUCCCCAUUGCCCAAAUGUUCACUAAGACCCUUGAUUGUUUUGGUAUGUAACAACCAUCAAUAAUUAUGUCUUCCACUGACUCACGAGGAACUAGCAAAGGUGCAACAGGAUGAAGCCUAAAAAUUUCUUUCACAACCAUGUCUAGGUACUCCAAUUUUGGUAAAUCAUUUUCCUCUACCAUUCUCUUGUUCCCGACAAUGCUUUCUAACUCUUGUUGGAGUUUUAACAGUACCCUUGGAUGCCUUAGGAGCUCUGAUAAUGCCCACUCCAAUGUGGCAGCUGAAGUGUCCAAGGCACCCACCAUCAUAUCUAUUGUUAUGGCUUUGAUGCUAUUUCGAUCCAUUAUAUCACCAUCAUUGUUCAUUGGUUGAUUUAACUCUUUAAGCAGUGUACCGACGAAAUCAUCUUGCUUAUGUUGUUCAUGGUCGUCAAUGAUCGUCUCGAGGGCUUUGUCAAGUUUUUCACCGAGUUUCGUUGUACGUGCUUUGAGUCCCUACACAGUUGAUAAUAAUCAACACCAUUCACUUAGUGGUUGUUUGUAAUGUAUAUGACUAAUUUGUUUUGAUAUGGUCCAUUAAAAUUCACACAAACACAAUACCUGUAGGUCGAAAGCACCCAGAAAAGGAACAACAUCUGCAAGAUUGAAAGCUCCUGCUAUGUGAGUAAGCUCAUCAAUAAGCUCCUUGAGGUUAAAUCCCUGAUACUUCUUCACAUUCCCCAAAACCAUUCUCAAAGUCAUCUCUUCAUUAAGCGCCCCAAUCUUCUUACUAAUGUUGACCACUUCCUUUGCUGAUGCAGCUUCUUUCAAAGAUUCAAUGAAAUGCGCUAGCACCUCCUUCCUCGUUGAUGCAAACGAUUCAAUUUUCGAUGCAGUAAAAAUUGUCAUAUUACAAAUCUUCCUCACACUACGCCAAUAUGAUCCAAGUUCUGUGAAUGCUAUGCCCCUUUUGCCAUUGUAAAUUAAUUCUAGGACUUGAAGUCUUGGCCUGCUUGCGAAAACAGCAUCAUGUGUCUUGAGAAAUAUCUCAGCGGCUUGAGGGGAUGAAACGACAACAGUUGGCACAACGCCUAGCCUUAUGGACAUCAUAGGACCAUAUUUUUUGGCCAAGUGAUAAAGGGAUUGGUGUGGAAGCAUGCCUAACAUGUGGAGGUUUCCAAUAAUUGGCAAGGGUCGCGGACCCGGAAUGGCUUUCCCUUUUCCUUUUCCUUUUCCAUUUUUGCUUGAUGAGAUGUAAAAUAGAAUGUAAAAGAAAGAGCAGAGUACUGCAAGGGCAGUGAGAAGAGUGGCAGCUGAAAGAGCCAUUCUUGUUAAUUGAUUCAACUGAAGGAUAUGUCUCUACUGUCUAUACCGUCCCCUUUUAUUUAUACAUUUAUCUAUUAACUAUAAAAAUAUAUACAUUAUUUGUAAUCUGCAGAUGAAAAGUCGUUCACGUUUGGCCGUCGUAUUUGACCUAGAAAAAGAAAUUUGGCGUAUUUGGACAGCUGUUUCAUAUAAUAUUAUGGAUAAUUAAUUCAGACAAAUUAUAUUUCUCGAAUCAGUUAUUACAAAUUAUUAUAUAGAUUUUUUCUGUAUGUUUACGAAAUAUGGUACAGGGUGUCAUAACUCUUCGGCCAUCACAUUUGACACGAAACUUGGCAGUUAGCUGUUUUGACCAUAAAUUUGUCAAAAUCAGCCAGCAGUUUAAAUAUUUAACUAGUUUUAAGCCGGUGUUUUGCACGGGAUAUAUUAAAUUUAUAAAUAUAAAAUAAUAUUUAUUCAUAAAAAUUAUAAUUAAGAUAAUAUCUAUUCAAAUUAUAUUUAGACAAUUUUUUAAUAUAAUAUUAAAACAUCUAUCAAACUCAUACGUAUGAAAAUUAUAUAUUUAUAACACAAAUAUAUAAUUAAAAAUAACAUAUAAUAAAUAAUAAAAUAUAUUGUUUGAAACUAAUUAAUAAUAUAUAAUAUCUAAAACGUGUACGGGAUUAAAAUAAAAUAUUCGAUUAAAUUGUAAGUAAAACAAAAUUUAAACACAUAAAUAUAUCGAAUUAAGAAUACUUGAUGAUACAAUUGUUUAACAUGAUGUUUUCAUCAAUCCUAAGUUGGUGUUGAGUUAAUUUGUGACACCAAUUCAAUCAAUAACAUAUUUAAUCUAUAUAAUUGAUGGAGGUAACAAAAUGUGCAUAUUAAAAUAAAAAUGUAUGAAAAUUUCAAAAUAAAACUUUGGUUGAGUGGUAAAUUAAAUGUUUUAUUAACUUAACUAGCAUGGAUUCAAAUUCCACAUUAUGCAUAUUUCUUAUUGUUUUUUUUAAAAAAUAAGAAUAUUAAAACACCUUCGAAUAAUAUAACUUGAUUUAAUUACGAAAUGACAUUUCAAUAAUUUCCUCGACCGAGUUGGUACCUGGUUGACACGUGACACCAACUCAAUCAAGAGUUUAAAUAAUAGUAUAGAGAAUACUCUAAUUUUUUUGAUACAAUGUUUAGAACUACCCAUAACCCAUCCCGGCCCUUAAAUAGGAGGAUAAACACGUUUCAGCACACUCGAACCCACGUCCUCCUACACUAGCAUCAAUGCCAAUGCUAAUACAUCAGUUUUAAUAUAUAUAUUUAUAUAUAUAUAUAUAUAUAUAUAUAUAUAUAUAUAUAUAACUUGACAAAUGGAUCUCGAAUGAUGAAGGUCUAGAAUGAUGUAAUAUAUUCUGAAGAUAUAGUAAAAUAAGAAUAAUAUAAUAUAGGGUAAGCUAUAAUAAUGGUCAUUAACGUUUACUGAAAUUUUUUUGUCAUUGAACUAUGAAAAGUUAUAUUUUAGUCACUAACAUUAUUGACUUAUAAUGUUUUGAUCACUCGUCCAUUAAUGAUAUCAUUACAGUCUUAACGAAAAAAUAAGGUGACACAUUAAUUCAAAUGUUAAUAUUCAAUUUGAUUCAUAGCUAAAACAUUCAAUUUGAUUAACGGAUAAGACCUAGCGGCACAAGCCGAAAGGUCGAUCGAACUCAACUCAAAAACGAGGAAAUAAGGAUAUUCGAGAGUGGGUAGACAUACCGAGGUUUAUGCACAUACUGUAGGAACCUAGGGCAUAUGAAGCCAACAUGUCCAAACAACCCGGGAGCAUUGAAGAGAAGAGCUAAUUAAAACACUAACUUACCAACUUAUCCGUUUAUUUAUUAAUUUUUUCUGUAAAGUGGAAGUUAUUAGUACUUUUUCAAAUAAGAUAUAUUACAAUACCCAAGCCAAAGUUUUAGCCAAAAUUGGGAAGCUUUUGAUCAAAUCUUCACUUUGUAAAAAUUUUAUACUUAACAAAUCGACGGAAAAAAAUAUGAAUGAAAAAGUAAUAGAAAUAAAUAGAUUUAAUAGAUUUGUUUGGGGUUACUUUAUACAUAUAUGCUGAAAAAGAAAGACAAUUGAGAAAGUAGGUUGAAAAUUUUAAAAUUUACCGAUCUAUUCCUUAAAACUAUUAUUAUGCUUAUCUCAAACACAAAUAAAAAUAAAUCUACAAACUUCUAAUUUCUAACUAUAAGAAAAAAGAAAUAAAGAAAAAGAAAAUUUAGGUAAGUGAAAACAUGUGCUAUAGAGAGCAUUUCACUACCACAUCCGUUAAAACACGCCACGUAAGACGUGUUUUCAGGAGAGAGACUGAAAACACAUCCUAUAUGACUCAUUUUCACUGAUGUGGCAAUUAAAAUACUUAUUGUAGGACGCAUUUUUCUUUCUCUAUCAGUAAACAACAUAAAUCAAUAAAUAUGUAGAAUUUCAGUAUAACUUUUAAAAUAAUUUUUCUCUUGAAAAUAAUAAUUUUCAUUAAUCUAAACAAGCAUCAAAGUAUUUAAACUUAAAACCCUUGAAAGUUGAAACAAUCCAAUUUGCCAUAUUUUAAUCAUCAAACCAUGGGGGAAAAAAGCUUUUUAAAAAGCCGAACUGUAGAUAUAAUUGCCAAGAAAAAGUAGGCCAAUGAAGACAAUUACGUUUGCUUUGCUUAGAAAAUUUUACUAAAAAUAAAAAAACUCAUGAACUAUUGAAGGGAAGCAUCAGGACACAAAUAAAAAUAAAAAUUGGAUAUAUUCUAAAAUCCCCCCAUUAAUCUAAGAAGAAAACAGGGAGAUAGAGCCGCCGCCCACACCAACAAAAUCACCACAAUGUAGGACCAUUGCACCGACGAUCCUUGUCGCUCCCUCCUCAAAAAAAAGAUCGUCCCGCCUUGAAGGGUGAAGAAGCAAAGCAGCUCAAGAAAGCUAGACUAUAUUAGUAACAAGUAAAUCCUUUGUAUGUAAAAAAUCUCGAUAUAAUUUUGGGAUAAAAGUGAAUCGCAAGGCCUAAGAUAACCUAUAAAGCACUUGAUCACGAUCAAUUUUGUACACCUACUUAGGUAUUGAGCAUUUACAUGUAAAAAAUAAAAUUCCUUAGAAUGUAUAAUUGCAACUCCGUAAAAUGGAAUUGGGUACCUUUUUUCUUACAUACGGAACCAUUCAUAUAUAUGGGGAUAACAUAUAGAUUUAUUUUAAACAUAUAGAAUAUAGAUUUAUUUUCGUUCAAGAGAUAAGCGACUCACAGCCUAGGAACGUCUCUCGGCUCCCACCACCAGGACCGCCGAUGAGCUCUCCGACCGCCAUCUCCUCAAAGGAGAUUUUAUUUGGCCUGAGGAGGGAAGAAAUCCGUAGAAUAGAAAGAAAAACGAAAGAGGUGGUAGGGGUCGGCAAUCCACCGGGGGCGAAGCGGUCGGCCGCCCCUAGAUCAUGAUCUGGAGUUCUUCCAAGGAAACUUUAGUAAAACAAAAAUUGAAAAAGGUCAGAAUUUUGGUAUUAAAAAAAGAAAAGAAAAAGAGAACACUCUUAGUCACAUUCAAUAUUAUGCUCAAAUUCAAUAAACAAAACAGCUAAAACCCAGGAGUGAGAACUAAGAAGCUUUUCUGUAGAAUCCAUUCAAACAUAAAAGGUUAUUUUAUAAAAGAAUCUUGCAUUGAAUAAAUAAACCCAUACAAAAAAGGAAAAAAACUUACGUACUUGAAGAACAUGAGAAAAAUGCCAAACGAUUCAAAAGAAAUUAUUUUUUUAGAUUUUAUAUAAAAUUUAGGAUAAACUAUUAAAAUAGUCACUUUUAUUUUCCUCAGGUUACAUUUUGUCAUUUAUAUUUAAAAUGUUACAUUUUAGUCACUUACGUUAUCGUGUUGUAACAUUUUAGUCAUUGAGUCGUUAAUUGUCAUUAACGGUAUAACAGUAAGUUGACGUGGCCCGUUAAAUAAUCAUUCCAAACGAAAAUUUUAGGUUAAAUUCUACAAUUGAUGCUUAUAUUUUUAUUUCAUUUUGAGCAAUUUUAUUUUUUUCUUUUAUAUUUUUUAACUUCUUUUUUUUCUUUUUUUUUUCAAUUCUCUUCCUCUUCUCCCUCUGUAUUCCUCCAUUCUUCAUUUCUUUUAAUGUAGUUUUUUUAUGUUUUUUUAUUUGUUAAAACUAGUCCACAAGCCCGCCUCACUUGAAAAAAUUAAAUUGUUCAAAAAAAAGUAUAAGGACUAGUUUUAACAAAUAGAAAACAUAAAAAAAACUACGUUAAAGAAGUGGAGAAGGGAGGAAAUUAGUGGGAGAAGCAGAAGUGAAUGAAAAAUAAAGAAAAAAAAGGAAAGUUAAGAGAACAUAAAAGAAAAAAUUAAAUUGCUCAAAACGAAAAAAAUAUGGGAACCGAUUGUAUAAAUUAACCUAAAUUUUUUUUUAAAAAUAAUGAUUUAAUAUGUCACGUCAGCUUACUAUUACACCAUUAACGGCAAUUAACGGCUUAGUAAUUAAAAUGUUAUAACGUGAUAACGUAAGUGACUAAAAUUUAACAUUUCAAACAUAAGUGACUAAUAUAUAACUUGAGGUAAACAAAAGUGACUAUUUUAAUAAUUUACCCUAAAUAUUUGAAACAUUUAUGAUUUUUCUUAAUUUUCUAUAAUUAUAAAUUUCAAAUAUAUUUUUAUACUUUUAAAAAAUAAAUAAUGAAUUUUUUAAUAUUUUUUAUGUUUUUAGAAUUUUUUUUUUCAAAAUUAUUGUUAAAAAAGUUAUAAAAGCAAAUGGAAUAUUUUAACUACAAUUUAUAGAUCAAAUUGAAUACUAACCCUUGAAUUAAUGUAACACCUCACUUUUCUGUUAAGGUUAUAAAGGCCAUUAACAGAUGCACUAAAACAUUAUAACUCGAUAAGUUUAGUGGCCAAAAUGCAACUUUUCAUAGUUUAAUAAAAAAAAAAUUUCACCAAAGAUUAGUGACCAUUUUUAUAGUUUACCCUAUAAUAUAAAAUAUACUUGUAACAUUUUAGACCAAUUUUUGGAGUUUUUUUUUCUAUCAUCGGUAGUGAAUAUAAUAAUUAUUUUAAUAUUAUUAGAUAAAACUGAAAACUAUAGAUUUUUUUCUCAAUGUGCAACUUUUAAUUUGGUACAAUUAUAUAAAUAAAAUUUUAAUUUUUAUACAUUAUUUAUCUAUUUUCAUUUAAUUUUGCAUAUUAAAAAAGUUUAGUUAUCAUAGAUAAUUUUUUUGUAUAUGAAUUAAAUAAAUUUAGAAUAAUAACACAUCAAUAACGAUAUUAAUGGUUUAUCCCUAUUAUUAUAAAUUGGAUGAAAAUGCUAAAUAACCAGCCUUCGGAUAGAAUAAAAGUAAGUAGAACAGAAUUAAAUCUAAAUAAAUCAAUAAGAUUAAAAUUUUAGCUUUAGAUACAAUUUUCACUCCGGCUUUAAGUUUUUUUCCUCCAAUCAAUAAGUUAGUUAUAGUGAUUGAGGAUCAUCCUCUAAUCACCAGCCUUUCUGAAUGUAAAUUAAUAGUUAGAACAAUCCAACAAGUAACCCUUACCAAGUGAUAAAUCUUGAAAUAAACUUCUACGAUUUAAUCCCUCGACAGUCUUGUGAAUUAAAAGGACCUGGCUCAAAUUAACGGUCUCAAUCGUAUGAGUCGUUUAAACUUGGUCGUUAAUUCCCUUAACAGAUCCAACCACUCAAUUGAUUACAUCAAAUUGUUCUUCGAUGGAUCGAAUAUGACAAUUACAGAUCGUAUCAAUUUGCCAAUUGUAUCUUGUCCAACACUGAACUGAGGGACAUCCUUCUCGAUUUGAUGCUAAAGCAAUGUUGUGAAAUGACUAAGUCUAUCUCCUAAACCGGAGAAUGAACGCAUACCGAAGUGGAAAGUGUAAGUGUGAUUUCGAACGGUUCUCUCCUUUCAUUCACUUCUAGUGUCUAUAUAUACAAUCAACCCUUUCUAUAACAACCUCAUUUGUCUGCCAAGAUUUUGCCUAUUACAGAGAGGUUAUAAAGAGAUAAUUAUUGUAAACCUACCAUAAAAUUCAUAUCGUGAAUGUAAUACCUCAAAAAUCUUAGUGUCACUAAUAGUAAUAUUUUGAAAGAAAGAUAACAUUUUUUCCAAAAACAAGUAAGAGUUUAUCAAUUGAAUAAUGAUAGUAAUGUCAAAUUUUGACAUUGAAAAAUAAAGUAUGAAUAGUAAAAUUUUAGUGAAGAUUUAAUUGAAAAUUUUGUAAUAGAUGAACUAAAAAUGCAAAUUUACUAUUUUAGAAAAAGGGUGCAAAAUUUUAAGAAAUUUUUUUUAUGAAUGUGAUAUGGAUACGGAUUGAUAGGUGGAGUCAGAAAAUUGAGAUAUAGACUAGAUUGAAAAGUGGUGAAAAGUAUAAGGACCAAAGUGUAAUUUUACCAUUUUAUGAGAAAAGGGUUUAAUUGUAAUUAUACCAUGAAUAAAUAAUAUCUACAUAAGUAAUAAUUACUUAGAACACAUAAGUAUGUCAUGUGUCAAAUAAAAGAGUAAUGAAAAGGGUAAACCCUUAUGUCUUAAAUAUGAGAAGAUAUUUUAAAAGGCAAUUUGAUCAUUUUAUCAUUAAAUAUUAUUUUUGAAUUUUAAAUUAUAAAAAGAGAGAUAUUUUGAUGAGAAAAAUUAUAGCCAUUUGAUUAAAAUAAUUUGAUUAGACGUGAACCAUUGAUUUAAUUAAUUAAUUAAUUAAUUAUUAAAUACAGAAAAGUCUAGAGAUAUGAGGAAUUUUUUUCACUCAUUUCAAUUUGGUCCUUUUCUUAUUCACAUACAUUUCUAACCUAAAAUUCUUAGAAAUUAAAGUGAGAUAACACAUCCAAAUCUAAUUCAAGAGUGUCCUUUCAUAUGAAACCAACCAUGAAGGCUUGAAGAUGAUGAAAGUGGGAGAAAGCAUGGUAAGUUGUUCCAAUUAUUAUGUUAUGUUUCUUUGAAUUUAUAAUUUGAUGUGAAAUUAUAAGAAUUAACUGGAUAUUUAUACAAUAGAAUUACGAAAUCUAAUCAUUGAAACAACGUAUACAUACUGAUUCUUGGCUAAGAUAUCAAUGCUAUUUAAAAUGAUUAUAAAUACCAAUAGAUUUUAAACGAACGGGGACGAUCCGAAUUGUGUUCUAAAAAGAAAAAAAAGCAGGAAUAAAAUCAACAAAAGUAAAAGACGUAUAACAAAUGCAUGCAUUAUUACUUUUAUGCAUAUUUUAUUUAACAUUCUUCUACAUGAUAAUUCAUAAAUUUAAUAAGUUCAAUUAAUCAAUCUGGGUUAUCAAAUUAAAUUAAUUAAUUUAUCACUAAUCAUUAAAUUCAAGUAAUCAAUCUAUAAAUUUAUGGUGUUCCAAAAUUUAUAGUAGAAUUUUUAAAUAGGGAUUUAAUAGAUUAUUGAAUUGAUAUUUUUUAAUUUCACCAAUUUAAUUUUUCAUGUGAAAUUUAAACUUUUUAUUGAAAUAAAUUUUAAUUAAGAUCAUUUUUAAUUAAUUAGUUAUAAUUAACAUGCUUGCUUAUUUGAUAUUGCUAUAAUUUAACUUAAAAUUUUAGACAAUAUGUGUUAUAGAAAAGUAAUUUAAUACUUCAUAACUAUGGCCAUUGUUUUUAUAAGUGAAAAAUUGUUACAAUGGGCUAAAAUUAAACAUAAAAAAGCGGUUUACUAGAAACUUAACUAUGAUAGCCAAAUACUGUUAUAAUGGGUAAUCAUUAUAGAGAAGUCUGAUUGUAUGAAAACCUAAAUAAAAAUGGAAAAAUUUUCCUCCUCUUCUUUCUCAAGCUAAAAAAAAUUAAUAAAAAUUAAAAUAAAAGGGAAAAAUUCAAAUAAAAGCCUUUUUUUUAAAUUACUGAAAUGGGCCCAGUAAAAAAAUAAUUACAAGAAUGGCCCAAUUCCCCGAAAAUGCGUCCACGUCAGCGAGUUAUCAGGUGAUGAGGCAGGAAAACGCUUCCUCAAUGGAGCGCUUUGUCCACGUGGACAGAAAACGCACCCUCAAGGAAGCGUUUUGCCCGUGUCUCCUGCUGGUUAGGGUUUUGGGUUUUUAGUUUAGGGUUUAGGGUUAGAGUUUUGGGGUUUUUAAGUUUAGGGUUUUAAAGAAAAAAUUAAAUAAAUAAGGUAUUAGAGUUUAGGGUUAAUUAAUUAAAUUAAUUAUAAAAUUUUCAAAAUUGGAUUAGGUUUCGUGUUUAUGGUUUUUAAAGAAAAAAUCAAUUAAAUUAGGGUUUAGGGUUACUUGAGUAAAUUAAUUAAAUUUUUUUUAAAAAAAUUAGAUUAGGGUUUAGUGUUAAUUUAAAAAAACUCCCACGUGGACGCUCUUUUGCUACAGUAGCUCCUGAAAAAAUAAUUUCGAGAAGACGUUUCUGAGCAAAUAGUGUCAAAAACGCUUUAAGCAGGAUGCUUUGUCAGCAAAAGUACUGAAAGAAGUUCCCACGUGGACGCUCUUUUGCUACAGUAGCACCUGAAAAAAUAAUUUCGAGAAGAAGUUUCUGAGCAAAUAGUGUCAAAAACGCUUUAAGCAGGAUGCUUUGUCAGCAAAAGUAUUGAAAGAAGCUCUCACGUGGACGCGCUUUUGCUACAGUAGCUCUUGAAAAAUAAUUUCGAGUAGACGUUUCUAAGCAAAUAGUUUCAAAAACACCUUAAGCAAGAUGCUUUGUCAGCAAAAGUACUGAAAGAAGCUCCCACGUGGAUGGGCUUUUGCUACAGUAGCUCCUGUUUGGCCUGAGGCUAUGAAUAAGGCAAAAAUAUUUCUCAGAUUGCAUAAGUUACAGCAAAAAAAUUUAGCGAGGCUAAGAAGGCUAAAAAUUGAAGAUGAGUGAACAUAUUAGUGCUGUUAUUUACUAUGAUGGUGAGGUUCGUCACACCGAGAACGUUGUUAUUUUUUUAUCGGAGAAUAUAGUACGACUGAUUUUUAACCAGAACAUAGAUUUGACAGAACUUCGUAAAAGAAUUAGGUGUAAAAUAUUCGGAACGACGCCAAUGAAAGUUCUGUCUAUUACGUAUCGGUUUUGUUCUUCUGUUGAUUCGGUGACAUAUGACUCGUUCGACGUAAAAGGUGCUCGUAGCUUGGAGGCGAUGGUGCAGACUCAUCUCGCUAGUGGAGUACCUUAUAUUGAGUUAUAUGUACAAUUUACAUCACCAAAUGAUGCACUUGCGACUGCUGUUCGAGAUGUAUACAUGACCUCUGCUCGACACUCGGUUAGUGGGUUACAAAAGAUAGAACAACCCAUGUUUGGUAGCGGUAUGGAAUAGACAUCCCCUGUAUGACACUCUAUUAGUGGAUAGGACAUACACCUCGGUGGGUCGAUGUUUGAUGCUGGAAAUACGUACUGGGGAACGGCAUCAACUUCUAGUGGUUAGCAAUCUACAUCCAAUUGGGGACCUUAUGCAAUGCCCAGAAGAAGGGAUGAUGUACUCCCUACGACGUCCACCAGUGAGGGGACCUCGUACGUUACAGAUGAUGAUGGGUUAGAAGAUGACUCUGAUGUUGGUCCACCUUGAGAGCCCGGGCCCGAUGGUACAGAAGUUGCAUUAUUUUCUGAACCGGAGUCUAUUCCAACUGAACCUGAAAAUGUUGAAGGGGGUUUAGAUGAAGAAGAAGAUCCACGAUUCAGGGCAUACUUACCUCCAGCCCACAUGCAUAAUGUUUAUCUAUCUGCAGAUGAUGCGUUGGAGUUUCUAGAUCUACCACACAGGUUGCAUGAUCAUACAAGUUUGAUACUGGAUUCGGGUGAAUUUGAAGUUGGUAAUGAGUUUUCCAACAAGGAUAGUUUUAUUGGUGUAUUGAAACAACAUAGCAUCAAUAACGACGUUAACUACCACGUGGUUAAAUCCAAAGCUAAUAAGUUUGAGGCAAAGUGUGCAGUGCAAGACGGUACAUGUUCAUGGAAAAUCUACGCCUCGUUGAGGAAAAUGACAGAGUUGUGAAAGAUAAAAAAGUACAAAGUUCGACAUACAUGUACUGCAGAUACAGUAUUUAGGAUUUUUGAAUAAUACUAUUAUUAUGUAAUGUUGCAUUAUUUAAUGUACUCCGUUGAUAAGUAUUUCACAAGAUCAUCCCAAGAUGGAUUCAGCUAUGUUAGCUAGCUUGAUACUAUCCACGAUAAAGGCUGAUCCUAGGACUUCAGUGCCGGUCUUAAUUGUCAAUAUUUGUAGCCAAAUGGGGUACACACCCUCUUACUGCAAGGCUUGGGUAGCUAAGCAGAAAGCGUUGGAGAAGAUGCAUAAUGGGUGGGACGCUUCAUAUAAUGAAAUAUGGCAGUGGUGUCAAGUGGUAUAGAGAUACGUCUCAGGUUGCAUAACAGACCUUGAAACGGAACAUGCGUACUACAACGGCCAAUUGCUAUGUGGAUGCCAAGUGUUCAAAUGCCUGUUUUGGACCUUUAAGCAACGCUGAGACGCAUUUCCAUACUGCAAGCCAUUGGUACAAAUUUAUGGUACCUUUAUAUUUGGUAGAUAUACCCAUCGGCUAUUGCUAGUAAUGGCACAGGAUGGUAGUAGGAGAAUUUUUCCAAUUGCAUUUGCAAUAACACCGGGGGAUUCAGUUGAUGACUGAGAUUUCUUUCUAUCUAUGUUAAGGAGGCAUAUGUGCACCCAACCUAAUAUCUAUGUUUUUUCGGAUUGGGGCACCGAAAUACUAGCUGCAAUUGAUCGACAAUGAAGCUUAUGGCAGCGCACACACUAUCCGUAUUGCCUAAGGCACAUUGCUUCCAACUACUACAGGCAAUAUCCAUCUAAGAGUGAACGACGAUAAAUGACUAACAUGGGUAUUUAGUCUCUAUUAAUAUAAUUUCUUUUGUCAUUUUGAAUUUAUUUUAAAUGAAAGAGUGGUAUGUAAUAUUUGCUGUGAACUUAUAUUGGCAGGGUAUGAAAUAAAUAAAGACUAUUUUCAUGAGAUGUUGGUAGUUUUGCGUUCAAUUAACAACGAAGGCGCGAACUACCUUUAUAACAUACCUUUUGAACAGUGGGCACAAGCAUACGACAGUGGCCUACAAUAUGGUCAUAUGACCUCAAACCUAGCUGAAUGCAUAAAUUUUGUUCUAAAAGGAAUGCGCCAUCUACCGAUAACAUCGGUUUUGUGAGAGACAUAUUUUCAUUUAGUGGCUCUAUUUCCAAAGCGAGCAGCGAGUUAUGCAGGCCAGAUGCAAGGAGGCCAUGUAUGGUGCAGUAAGGUAGUGCAAGAAAUUAACAAGGCCAAGGGACGGGCGAACACCAUGCACACAGUGUGUCAUGAUUGAGACAACUUAUGGUUUCACGUGACAGAGUUUGACAGACCGCACCAAGGUGUUAUUAGCGGGCAAUAUCGUGUACACUUGCAAAAUAAGACUUGCGACUGUGGGAUGUUUGACGCAUUUUAUUAUCCAUUUGCUCAUGUAAUUGCAGCUUGUCAAAAUCUUCGUUUGGAUCAAAUGAGCUAUGUCAAUGAAGUGUACAAAUUAGAAAACAUGUACAACGCCUGGAGACACGUAUUCUAACCGGUCCUAGAUAAACGUAAGUGGCUUUCUGUAUCGUUUGCUCCCUUUAAGCUGUUACUGGAUAGAGAAUUGCAUCGUAAAUCAAAGGGUCGACCUUGCUCGACUAGAAUAUGUAACAAUAUGGAUAUCCGAGAAAUAACCAGUCAACUGAAGUUGUGCGGAUGUUGUAGGAAUCCAGGCCAUACAAGCCGAUCAUGCCCAAAUCGCAAUAGUUGAACGUUGUUGUAAAAAAACAUUGUAUUAUUUAUAUUUUUUGAAAUCAAAUAAUAUAGAAAUAUUCAAAAGAUAAUCUAUUUAGAUAAUCUAUUUUAUUAAAAAUAUUAAAAUAAAUUACAAUUACUUUAUUCAAAACAACGUUUUAUUUUAUUAAAUGAAAUAAUAUAGAAAUAUUCAAAAUAUUGUGUUAUUUAAAACAAUUUCUAUUAUAUAAAAAUGGAAAAGUAAAUUUCUAUUUUAUUACAUGAAAUAAUAUGUCAGAAUUUCUAUUUUAUUACAUCAAAUAAUAUCAAAAUAUUCAAAAUGUUUGUACAAAUAUAUUAAAAUAAAAAUCAAUCUUCGUGCCCACCGAAUUCAGUUCCACAUGGCGGCUGUCGACGGUUACGCGUUGGAUUCCUCAUUUGACCAACUUUCAGCGGGGGUUGUGGUUGCUCCGGCAGGGAUUCUGGUUCCUUUGGUAGGGGAUCUGGUUGUCGGUGUUGGGACGAUGAGCCACAUUGAUAGAAUAGUGACUGUGGAGGUGUUUGCAUGACCAACGACGAAGCUGUUUGAAACAUAUACGGUGAUAGGGAUUGGUAAAAAGAAGAGCUCCACGAUGACCCCUCCUGCGAUCCCUUGUACGACGGUGGCCUAUACAUUGGCGGUCCACUUGGCGUAAUUGAAAAUAGAGAUGAACGGGGCCAUGUACUCCAACCUACCAUAGGACUAGAAAAAGGAAACGUAUAAGGGUUAGAAUACAUAAAAGGGCUAGGAUACGCACCUGGCAUCAUCUGAAAAGGCUAUGUUGUAGGUGUCGUUGGUCGAAGUGUUGGGCCCGAUGACUGUGUGGGUGCUGUUGCUGGGCUUGGUGAUAGGCCGAGUGCUUGUGAGGGGCCUGUAUCGUCGUCCCUUCUUCUUGGAUAUAAAAGGCCACGUCGCUCCCUUUGGAUACGCAAUUGCCGCUGCCUCUCCUCUGCCAAUAGUAAAUACGACUUGCCAUGGAUCCUAAACCAUGGCAUGUAUUCCGGCACGCACGCUAACUCUGGAACGAUGAUCAAUUCCCGAGUAGGUAUAUAAUCAUACCGAUCUCCCCACAUUUGGAUGUAGUGUGACCAGAAUCUCGGCCAAUCCGUAUGCAAUUACCGUAGGUCGAUUUUGUGAUGAUCAUCCAACACAUCAGGUGCCACGGGAAUCGGUUGUCGGAAUCCAAAUUACCGUAAUACUCUAUCCGACUGGUGCAUCUCCACGGUCCAAAGUUGACCAAUGGGACUUUCACAUUCCAAGCUUUUGGAUUUUGUAAGUACUCAUCCAGAAUUAUUGCCUGAAUUGCCGGAUCCUCGUAUGGUGUCCAUUGAAACUAUAUGAACAUGAUGGAAAUAUUAGUUAUAUAUAUAAUACAUAAUACUAAAUACUAAACACUAAAUACUAAAUACCAAUCGACUAUCUCAUAAUGGAAAUAUCUAUUUUAUUUAAUACUUACUUGUGCUUCCGACCGUGGUCUAAUAGAAGCCAUAUAUCUUCAAGAGAGGUAGGUAAUCGAGCAUAACUUGCCGAACGGUUCCACCUAAUUAAAUAAAUUUUUAGCAUUCGAUUAUAUUUUAAAUCUACAUAAUAAUUGUAAAAUCUAAUAUAAAAUUUACCUCGUUAUGAGUGGGAAUGUAUAUGGGUGGUCCACUCAGGACGUAAAAAUAGAAAGCGAAACCGUGCCAAUGACUGCAGUAGUGAUAGGCAACCUCCGAUUUUCGCUUUAUUUGGUCGCGUCGCCCGGCACAUCUCCCUGUACAAUGUUGCCAACACGGCAGACCCCCAACUAAAUUCACCAGUUGCUCGAAAAUUAAUGAGUUUCAGUAGACAUCUUAGAUGUACAAGGUUCCGUGACAAGUCUGACAUCAGAUAACCUCCAAUUAUCUGAAGAAUGUAUGCCCGAGCAUAUCAGAUUCUUUCUAGUUCGGUAGAAUCAUCAUCCUGCUCCGGGAAUGUGUCUCGUAACUAGCCCAUCUCGAUCCGACCUCCGUUAAUAUUGUCCAGUAUAGUGCCCAAAAGCUCGUAGCAUACCGCUCCCCAAUCACCAGAUUGAACAGACUCGGUGACUGCGUACUCGUCCACCGGCAAUCCCAAUUGCAAAUUUACGUCUUCCAAAGUGAUAGUGCAUUCUCCACAUGGAAGAUGGAAUGUGUGCAUAUCGGGUCUCCACCUCUCAAUCAACGCAUUGAUGAGUUUCGAGUCCAACUUGCAUCCCCAGCCUACCGUCGCCACGUGCCAAAAACCUACUUCCCGCAGGUAAUUCUCUACCAACGAUGAUGGAGGACCAUGCAUAUUACGGAUAUAACAUUGCAUUAUCCGAUCUAUAGACUUUUAUAAGAAAUAAUAAAAUAAAAAUUAUUUAAAAAUUAUAAGAAAUUUCUAAUAAAAUAAAAAUUAUUUAAAAUUGCAUAAAUAAAAAAAUCUUAAAUAAUAUUUAAAAAUUAAAUUUAACACUUACCGUUUUCAUUUGUUCGAAGGAUAUGUGCUUGUUAUCGAGACUAAUUAAUUCUCUGGUCAUUGCUAACACAAUCAAAUUUUUAUGAUUUAAAAAAAUUCAAAAAAAAUAAAAUUAAAGCUUUUUUUAAAAUAAUUAAAAAAAUUAAAGCUUUUUUUAAGAGGAAUUUGAGAAGAAUUUGAGAGAAUAUUGGAGAAAAUUUGAGAGAAAGGAUUUAGGUGUGAAAAAAAUGAAAUGGGGGUUUAUAGUUUUUUUUUACCGUUGAGGGGGUCACCAACGGUCAAAAAAGUAGUCGUUGCUACUGUUCACGCUGUUAAAGUAUGCCCAAAGAUCAAUCAUGAGAUGGUUGUAAUAACAUACUUGAUUUAUCAUGUUUAUUAAUAUAAUGCGUUACAAUUAUUAUUUCAAUUUCUUUUCUGCGUGUAUAAAUAAACUGUUUUAUAAUAAUGUCCUAAGAAUAAUAUGAUUAUUCUUAAAAGAUCCUUAGUCAAGUAUUAUCGUUGGAUAAGACAACGAUAAUGCAUUAAGACUAACAUGUAGUUAACUGAUGAUAAAGAGUUGACAUUGAUAUGGAAUGUCAAAAUCAAUGCAUGAAUAUGUGUGUUAGAGAACAUAUUGGACUGACCCAUUAUGAGUAUGUUUCUUGGAUUAUUAUGUAAUUGUCACGACAUUACUCAUAGUGAUUAAUAUGUAUAUGAUCCUCAGACUUGAGAUCAUCAUAAUCCCGACAUCGUGAGUAGUAUAUUUUGAUACAGUCAAACGUACACUGUAACUGGUUGUUCUAUAAAGGCUGAUGUUGGAUAUACCACAAUCGAUGUAAAGGGAUAUGGUUGGUCGAUAUAGAAUAAGUCCCUCCUACAUAAUGGGAGUAAUAUGUUAGGCCACUUGAUUAAGUGAAACUAGAUAUGCAUGGCAAUGCUCAAAUAAGUUGAUAUGAGAUGUCAUACUUAUUUGUAUAUCGUAGUCUGCUUAAGAUAUCAAGGAACAUGGAAUGGACUAUGCAAGUGUGACUAUUCCAUGACUUGUGUCCAAUCCAGAGAUAAAUGACUUAAGGAUUAUUGCAUAAAAGGUUAAUCAUAAAAAGGUUAUGUCGAAUCAUGAUCUCUUGUGACUUAGGUAGCAAUGAUGCAUUGCUAGAUGCCACUCAUUGUUUGUAACAUUGGAAUCGUUCUAGUAUUACUACUAACGUUACAGGAACCUACAAGGUCACACCCAAUAGUUGAAAUGAACGGAAUAGACCAUAGUUGGUAUUAUUUUUGGAGGUUGUUUGAAUUAAAUUAAUUAAAGAAUUAAUUUAAUUCGGUAAUCAAAUUUCCAACACAUUAUGUACAAGGUUGAUGUACGCAUAAUGAGGACAUGAAUUUGGUUAGCAUAUGAAUUCAAAUAAAUAUAUGGUUUACCGAAAUUAUAUUAUAAUUAAUGUAAUUAUAAUUUUUGAUUUAAAAUAUUAUUAUAUUUAUUUAAUUCCUAAAAACCCUAAAAUAAAAAGAUAUAUAAUAAUCCCAUUUUUCUUUGUUUUAGGUCUAGCAGCCGUCAAAGAAAAAUCACUCUCAAAACUGUUUUAGGGAUUUUUGAUUUCUUCCGUUCGUAGUCAACUGGGUGGAUUACGUAGAGGUCGGUGUCUCGAUAGAUUGCGGCUUGGUUCGACUAUAGAUCUGACUACACGUUGUUGAGACGUUGCUGUCUACUCAGAAUAAACAUUCGGUAAUUUCAUAACCUUUAUCACCCCGAUUCGUUCUUCACACAUGGAUCCUUGGUUAGGAUCGCCGAAUUUUAUUUUUUUCGCUGCGCAUAGGGGUGCCGGCGAUCCAACACACGCGUGGGCAAAACGCUUCCUCAAGGAAGUGCUUUGUCCACGUAGACAAAAAAUGCGUCCUUGAGGGCACACUUUCUAUCCACGUGGACAAAGCGCUUCCUUGAGGAAACGUUUUCCUGCUUCGUCACCUGACAACGCGCUGACGUGGACGCGUUUUCGGGGAAAUAAGGCCAUUCCAGUAAUUAAUUUUUUACCUGGCCCAUUUCAAUAAUUAAAAAAAAGACUUUUAUUUAUAUUUUGCCCAAAAUAAAACCCUAAAGUAAAUGCCAAGAUAAAAUAAAGAAAGUCGAGCAAAAAGCUUUUACUUAAGAUAAACCUAAUCUAAUCCUAGUUGGUCUCUUAAAGAGACACUUUUCUCAAUAAUAAUAAUAAUUCUAAAAGUCUUCAACAUCAUUUCAACCCUCAUGUCAAAUCUUCCUUCCCACAAUUCAAAUUGUUUCUCAACACAGUGGACUUACAUAGCAAUUUACCAAUAAAAUGUCAAAAUUAAUAGACUUUAUGUUCAAAAUUAAUUAAAAUAAAUAGUAAAAAUGUGUCGAUUAAGCACAUUAUCAUGGUGUCUUGAAAAUGUAAUAUGUCAAACACAAGAUUCAUAAUGAACACACUAACAAUGAUAUUUUCUAAACAAAAAUGAUAAAUUUCUAAUCAACAUUUAAGAAAUUCAAGAUUAUAAAGACAACCAGUCCUAUUUUCUUCAAGGAUUUGUUUUAAUUAACCUCUAAACAUUAUCACCUAAUCAAGAUAUUAGUGGUUUCAUACAAAAUCAAAAUUAUUUUGAAACAAAAAAUUAAUCUAUAACAAGCAAAGCCACAAUUCUAAAUUUUUUAUAGAUUAAUUCAUAAAUAUUGAAAAGAAAAAAAAAGUGUUACCAAAUUAAGAAGAUGCACUUAAAAGGAUUGAAGGAUUGAUAACUUAUAUUUUAAAAAUUUGGAAACAUGAAAAAAAUUUGAAAGAAAAGUGUUAAAUGUUAAAAGAAAAUAAAAAGAGAAUGGAUUUUUUUAGUAUUAGUAUGUGCAAUGAAAUUAAUUUAUUUUAUAUAAAUUAAUUCGUUAUCUAAAAUUAUUUGUUUUAAAAUUUUUGAGGCAUCAUUUUAUUAUUUAUAUAUAAUUUUUUUUCUUUUAUAGAGUGAUUGUUUUUAAAAAAAUUUGUGGAGUCAAGUGGCCACACAAUUUAUAAUGAGGCUUCGUCAUUGGCUUUAGUUCAAUUGACAUUAUUAUUAUAGCAAUUAGGAGGAUAUGAAUUUAAACGCAAUUAAACAUGAGGUUUGUUAUGAGUAAAAGUAAAAAGAAAAAAUUCAACAUAAAUUUUCUCUAAAUUCAAUUACUUUAACAAAUUAUUCAAAAUAUACCAUGAAUUGAUAUAUUGACACAAACAUAAUAUUUAUUUUUCUAAAUUAAAUUAAUAUGAAAAAUUAUAUAAAAUAUAAAGUAAGUUUUUGUUUUGAAGGAUAAAAUAUAAAUUAAGUUGAAAUCUAUAUUAUUAAUAAAAUUCUUGAUUAAGUUGGUGGCAUGAGUCAACCAGGCACAAACUCUGUUAGGAAAAUUUAAAAAAAAAUCCUUCUGUAUUAAGAAUAAAUUAUAUUAUUCAAGAAUACUUUAGCCUUUUUUUAAUUAAAAAAAAAGGACAAUAAAAAUUAUGAAAAUGAUAGAAUUUAAACCCAUAGCAAUUACAUUAGAAAAUAUUUAAAUUUACCAUUAAACUAAAGCUUUAUACUGGUUAAUUUAUAUAUUUUAAUUUUAUUAUACACAAUUUAUUACCUUCAUCGGUUGCAUAUAUUGGUUAAUUUACCAAUGCACAUGUACAUACUAAUAGAUAUCCAAUAUACAGAUGUUAGACAUGCUUGUUAAAUGUAGUCAUGCUUUUAGAAUUAUCAGAACAUGGAUCAUACAUGUAUAAUUCACAUACCUUAAUCAUAUCACAUUUAGAGGCAUAUUAACGGAUAUCAUGUCAACAUAUUUCACAUACCAAGUCCAUAUUACUUAUAGUAAUAUACUAUAAGAUGUCAUAUUUUUUAGUCCUAUUUGUUCAGUAUGAACUUUACGGAGCAACUAAAUAUGAAUCACACAACAAUUCGGAGCUAAGCAAAAUUUUCAGGAAAUGGGCCCACACGCCUGUGUGGCCCACAUGGCCGAAAUAGCCUAGAUUGUGUAACAUCAACAGUAAAUUUUUGCAUGUGUAUAUGUUCCAAUUGCUCGACCACAACACAAAAAGAUGAGUGAAUCCUUAAAGAAAGUUGAGAAUAUAUAUUUAUUAUGAGUCUCCUUGUAUUCUUAGAUGUUUUGAAUGUAUUGAAGAUUCAAUUAUGACAUAAUUUGUGAUUACUAUUUUGAUUUGAUAGUUUUCCUGAUAUUAGGGGGAGAGAAAUAAUAGUUGAAUGAAAUCACUUCUUGUAAUGUGUUAUCAUUAUCUAGAUCCUUAUAGAGAGUAAUUUGAACCAGAAGUUCAAAAAAGAUAUAUCACUUUAUUACAAGUUAACUAUCAGAUGUAUUUACAAACUUAAUGAGAAUAACCAAGUGUUAUAUACCUUCUAAUAUUUUAAUUUGAAUCAAAGUCCUAAUAGGAUCAAUUAGAAUAAAUGAUAGAUUGAUUGGUUCCAAAGAUGAAAAUUCUUUUAGAUGGUAAUAUAGUGGAGGCGACUGCUCCAAAAGAGACCCAAGACAUAACUAAUAACUAAAACUCCAGAAGAGAUUUAGGUACCUGAAAUUGAAGAUUAAAAUAGUAAAAAUAAAGAAAUCUCUAUAAGUUAUGUCAAUUCGAGAAAAUGUGGAACCGAUAAUAAAAGUGAUCAAAAAUGGUUUUGCAUGCAAUAUUAUUGUUGAAAUAAUGAAAUAAAAAGAUAAUAUUGAAUAAAUCAAUUGAGAAAUAUAGAUAUGGAAUAGAUUGGACAAAAUAGAAUGACACAACUCAAGUACAAUUAAAUUCGUGGAGUUUUUGGACCCGUAGUCCAAAUAUCUAAAGGUAUAAAGCCAAUGAGGGUACAAAUGAAGUAGUUUUGCAAAAACGGAAUAAAAAUAUGAAGUUUUUCACUAAAUCUUGACAUUGAUUAUGAAAAGAUACAAUAUUCUUUUGUGGUGGAUGCAAUAACCUUUAGAUAUAUUAUUAAACUAACAGUUCAUAAAAGAUUUAACUUGCGUCUAAUGAUUGUUCUUACAACCUUUUAUGAGUCACUAUAUAGUAAAGUUUUUAUUAAAUUCCUUAAAGAAUUUAGAAUGCUAGAAACAUAUAAAAAUUCUGGAGAAACUGUUCAUUGAAAUAAUUUGAACAUAUGUGGUAAAUUUGACUUAGUGAAUAGUAGUUGAAGGAGAAUUAUAAAAUGAUGCAAAAUACCUAUUUAUAUAUAUAGAAUAAUCAUGAUUAAAGUUUACUAUGAUUAUUGUUGAAACUCCUGAAGAGAUCAAACUAUAUUUCCCCAAAAUUUUCCUUCACUCAUGACUUUCAAAAGAAUAAUAAUAUAAAUACUUAUCAAAUAUAUUCAAAUAGUCCUUUAAAGAAUGGUGAUGUACUUUAAAUUUUAAUAAUCAUUAGAAAUAGAGUUCUAUUUAUUUAUACUUCUUAUGUCUAUAAAUAUAGACUUCGGAGAAGCAUUAUAUAUAGAUUUUUAUUGAUCAAUAAAAUAUGCUCCCUUUUACUCUUAGAUCUCUUUUGUACUUCACUCUCUAUCUUUUUAUUUUAUAACACUUAUAGCAUUUAAGACCCAUUUUUAAAGUUUUCUCAGUGAUAAUAAAUAUAAUAAUAUAGUUAUUGUUUUUUGGAAUAAAAGUCAAUGAGCCUCAUUUAUAAUAGAGAGAUGGUACACAAUCAAGUGGCAAACACAGGCCCACAGCCAUUAAAAAUAUAAGACAGAGAAAAAAAAAACUGUAAAUAAAGAAUUAAAAGGUCCGCAUCACAAGAACUCUCUCAAAAACCAACAACUAACCAACAAGUCAUUGAAAUCUCUCAUCUAGCUUACAAUAAAUUCAGUAUGUUUGAUUUUUUUAAUCGGAAAAAUAGUUCUUCUAAGAUUUAGGAAAAUAAAUCAAUUUUACAAAGUAAAUGUGAAAGUGUGUCUAACUAGAUGAACUUUUUAUUGACAUGUUAGGGGAAGUGCACCCAGUUAAAAAUAUUUUCUGAAAAUUUUAAAAAGAAAAUUAUGUCCAACUGGGCGCGUUUUUCUUGACAUGUUAGUAGAAAGUUCACUUAGUUGGACGAGCUUUCUUACCAACUAUGCAAAAAGAGCACCCAAUUGGACGCGUUUUUACACUCUCUCUAAAAUCGACAUAUUUCUCUAAAUCUUGAAAAAAAACGAACCUAUUUUGCCAAUUAAAAAAAUGACAUUUUCUUCAAAAAACAAUUUGGCAUAUAUUACAUGUUUAGCCCAAUAAAUAUUUUAAGUGAUAAAUAAAUUUUAAUUCGAUAUACUUAUAUAAAUAAAACUUUUAUUUUUAUAUAUAAUUUAUUUAUUUAUUUUAAUUUAAUUGUAUUUAAAAAAAAUAUAUUUUAAUAUAGAUAUUUUUUUCUGUGUGCGCCUUAGAAAAUAUGUAAUCAUAGAUUUUUUUUUCUGCGUGCGCCUUGCGUAAAUAUAUAAUGGUGAGAUGUGAAUAACAGAAUUAGUGGUUUACACUUAAUAUUAUAAAUUGGAUGAAAGUCAUGAAAUUUACUUUUAAUAUGUCUUAUAAUAAAAUAAGUAGCAACUUGGUUUUAAAUGAUUAUAUUUUAAAUGUAGAAAAUAUAAAGAUCAGAUUUUUAAAUUAAGUCAAAAUUACAUCACUAUAACAGACUUUAUAAUUGAUAUAUACUGUUGAUACAAGGUGGAAGUGUGGUUGUCAAGCGACUUAAUGGAGUAACAGAAAAUUUGGCCUUCUCUUUUUUUGGUAAAAUGAACAGUAGUUGUUUCUAUUUCCAGGAUCUCUCCAAAGAUUACAUAAAUAAGUUCACGUGCUACCGCCUUACUUUUAGGCAGUAUUUAUAUAAUAAAUUAUAUAUAGAUUCUUUUUUUUUUUUUUUUUUAUGUUUACAUAACUAUAGAUGAUCCAAAAACAACGGCAGUACGCUUCCGCCAUCAUAUUUGUCAUCACUCUUUAUUAUGGGCCAUAAGAGAAUGAUCGGUCAUAUUUAGACAACAAUUUUAAUGUAUAAUGAUAGUGUUUGACCAUAGCAAUAAAGUAAGGGUCAUAUUUGUACAGCAGUUUUAGUGUAACGAUGAGUCUUCAAAUAUGCAAAAUUGGUCAUAUUGGUUUUUAAAUUCAUAGUUGUUUUUAAAUUUGUAUUUUGUUAAUAUAUGAUAAUAGGGUAUUUUGAGAUUUCACUAUAUUAUUAAUUAUUUUUUAAAACUUAAUUUAUUUAUAAAAUUUUAAUCUUGUUCUAGAUUUUAUAUAAUUUUUAAAAUUUUUAGAUAAUGGUAGAGUAUUGCAACUUCAUUUCUCUUGAACAAAAUUUAAGUUUCGAAAUUAAUGUGGACAAAAAAUCACAAUUUGUACCCAAUUAAACUCCUUGAAUUUCUGGUAAAAAAAAAACCCCUUGAAUUCAUUUUUCUGUUGAAACCUCUGACGACUUUAAAGUGCUGAUGUUGUGAUUAGUGUGGCAAGCUAGUUAGAAAAAAUUAUUGGCGAGGAUGGCUUAAUUGAUUUUUUUAUUAUUUCACAAUGAUUUAAUUGAUUUUUUUAGUUAUUUUACGAGGGCUUAAUUUAUUAUUUAAGUAAAAAAAUUAAAAUUAUAAAAAAUAUAUAAUUUUUAAUUUAAAUUAUAAAAUUCAUAAAAAAAUAUUAGAAAUUUAUAAAGAAUUAUAAAAAAUAUUAAAAAUAUAAGAAAAAUAUAGAAAUCUUUUAAAUUUUAUAAAAUUUAUAUUAAAGUACAUAAAAUUUAUUCAAAUUAUUCAAAUACUAUCAAGCUUAUAAAAAUUAAAGAAAAGUUAUAAAAAUUAAAAAUUACUACACAUUUUUGGUUGCUCACGCACACUCUCCUACAUCAUAUAUUAACACAUCCGUAUUGACUUCCCUUGCAUUAUCCUUCCUCAACUAAAAUAUUACCUAUCACUAGAGGUGUUCAUGGGUAAGGUCGAUCUUAGGUCCGAUUUCAAAAAUUUUGUAGGCUCGAGCCCAACUAGACAUAGCUCGCCAAAAUGAUUCGUUUCCCUAUUUUAAAAAUAAUAAAAAUAUUUUUAUUUGAAUUUAAUUAUUAAAAAUAUAAAAUAUUAAUAUAAACUUAUUUUUAUAUAUUUUUAUUUUUUGAAUAGUAAAUUAGAUCAUUUCAUGAGCACCUCUACCCAAUUACUCACCUGAAGUCAUCAAGUAUUAACCUCAUAAUCAAACCUCUCACUUGAUUCCCCACAAAAGUCUAGUCGUUACACUUCAAUCUCCUCAUUUCCUUAUUACCCAAACCAAAGACUCAAAACCAACAAAAUAUGUCACACCUCAAAAACUGGGUUAGAAUAAUCGAGUUUGUGAAAUUUGAAAGUGGUCAUGUCCCGAUUUAUAAGGUUAUUUUUAAGCUUAUAAAUCGAGGGUUUGAAACGAAUACUGAAAUUAGGUCAUAAAUAAUUAAUUAAAGCAUUAAAAUAAUAUAAUAAUAUAGUAUUAUAUUAAUUAAUCUAAAACGAAACUUGAUUACGGGGUUUAAUUUGAAAAUAGUGUGUUUUAAUUGAGUUAGGACCUAAGUGGAAAAGGGGUAAAAUGAAUUGAAAUAUUAAUAGUGAAACUUGACUAUAAGUAUUAAUUAUUGUAUAUAAGCUAAAAUAGGAAUGUGUUAAAAACUAUAAAGUUAAAUAAGUUAAUAAAAAAAAUUGAGUAAAUGUGUAAACUAGUAAAGAAUAUGUAAGUUGAGCUCAAAAUAAAUAUAUACAGUUGAGUGACUAAAAUAAACUAGAAAUAAGAUAUAAAUUGAGUGGAUAGGUGCCUCCAUCUUAAAAGCCAAGGUUUGAAUCACCCUUCUCCCAUUUCUUUUCCUUUUAAUUUUCAACAACCUAGGAUUAUAAUCACAUUAAAAUAUAUAUUAUUUAGAGUAAAAAUUGAAUAAGAAUGGGCAACAACUCAAUUGGUUAAACACCCUUAUUUCCCUCUUCUUUGCCCAAGUUUGAACCACCUCUUAUCCAAUUCUAUAUCUUUUAAUUCUUUCAGUCGAAAAUUUGGGUAAAUUACCCUACAACCUUUAAAAGUUUGAAGACCUAGAUAUUUAAUCCCUUUAACUAAUUACUCUAGGAUUUUGAUUUCUUUUCUAUUUCAACUUGAAUUCUCCCUUUUUCCCUUUAAAUUCCUUUUUUCCCUUUAAAAUUUUCUUUUCUUUUCUCCCCCUUUUUCUUUUCAUCAAAUUGGUCAUUCUAUUGUUAAAAUUAUUUUUGCUCUUGUUAUCAAAUCAAUCUUUGAUAAAUCAAUUCUCUAUCAAUUGUUGAAAUUAUUGUUGAUAGCCUCUGUAAUUCCAUCAAGUUCGGUAAGUGCAUCUCGAUCUAAAGUUUAAGACCCCAAAUUUUAUAGAAUUUCUAUCUGAUAUUGAUCUUUCAAAUAAAUUAGUGGAUCUUUCAUAGUUCUUGACAAAUCUUUCGUUAAUAUUGUUGAAUCUUAAUAAAUCUUAGAAAACAAACCCUAACCUGUAUAAAAAUGUUGCUUGAAGGACCUGUUACAUGUGCAUCGGACCAGAUUUGAAAGUGAGGGACGUCGUUUGAAAUAUCGGCAAAAGAUGUGUGUUCUUUUACAAGCAAAUCGGGGUAAAUCAUGCCUCGGGAUAGGGCUACACGGCUAACCACACAAGUGUGUGGGCCACCCAUGUGGACCACAUGACCUCUCACACGACCACAUUCCCCCUAAAACCUUAGGUUUUGUGAUUUUCACACGGCCUAGGACCCUCCACACAAUCGUGUCACCCCUGUAGGUUAGUUUUGCAAUUUACACACGGUCUUAGUCUGUUACAUGGCCCAAUUACACAGCCGUGUACCCCUCUACACGGUCUAAGGCUUUCUACAUGAUCCAGUCACACGGUCGUGUGUCCUCUAUUUUUCAGAUUAUAUAGUUUUGCCCAUGUUUUUCAUAUUUUACAAUUUUACCCCUAUUUUUUAGAUUUUAUAAAUUUGUCCCUAUUUUUUCAAAUUUUAUAAUUUUUCCCUGCUUUAUAAAACUUACAAUUUUUCCCAAAAUUUUAUGAUUUGUUCAGUUUAUUCCUUGAUUAAUUCCUGAACUGUUUUAGUAUAUUAUAUUAUUCAAUUAAGUCCCUGAUACAAUGAAUUAUGUCAAAAUCCAUGAAUUGACUAACUGUAAUAAUAUGAUGAUUAUAUAAUUGCAUGAAUUUUGAACAAUACGUAUGACUAUUGCUUUGGUGUUUGCGAUUGUACGUAUAGUAUGCUUUAUGACACUGUUAAACUGAACAAUUAAUAAACAUGACUUUUGCUACUAAGUUGAACUGUUAUAAGCAUAUUAAUUGCUAUUGUAUUGAAUUGUUAUAAGCAUAUUGAUUGCUAUCGUAUUGUUAUAGUAAUUUUCAAUUUAAUUUAGGAGGUUAAUUUCAUCUAAAAUUGAUUAAACCAGAAUUCGAAAAAUACAAAAAUAUAUUUUUUCAAAAAAUUAAUUUUAAAGAUUUUAAAUUAUUAUUAGUGAAAAUAAUCAAUUUGGGUUGAAAAAGAAUUUUUAAAAUAUUUCUUAUUGGGGUUAAUGUAAGUACAAUUUAAAUAUUAAUUAAAUAGUAUUUAAUUGUAAAACAAGGGAAAAUUUAGAGUAUUUAUAUGACAAAUAAACCUUAAAAUUUGAAAUUUUGGAGGGAAAGGAUUAAAUGGUAAAGUAAGGGAAAUAUAAGAGUGGUCAUUAUAGAAAUUUCACAAAUUUUAAAUUUCUGGUGGGUGGUUUCAGUUUUAAAACUAAUGUAUCUAGCCCACUUUUCACACAUUUUACAUCAGAUUAGAGAGCUUUAAAAUUCAUUUUCUUUGCGUGAUUUUAAAUAUCUAUUAUUAGAGAAUAUAUCCAACCAAUUUCCUUCUCAAAAUACUCUUUCAAUUCACUCGAAUUUUUUUUCAAAAGUAGCCAAAAAUAUUCUGAAAUUUCUUAAGUUUCUUGAAUCAAGAUUUUCAAGUAAUGAAUUUAGAGCGAAUCAAAGGUAAUCUUCAAUGUUAAGUAUGACUCCUAUUUUCAGUCAAAUUUGAGAAAUAAUCUUUUAGUUAAACUAUGUUUAUUUGUUUCAGUCAAACACUGAUUAGUUUAGAUUAUUUUAUUAUUAUUUGACAUAUGAAUUUAGCCUAUAAAUAGGCUCUUGUACAACCUUAGAAAACACACCCAUUAGAUUAGAACUCAUAACACAUUCAGAGAAUUUUGUGUUUACGUUUUGAGGGUUCUUUGUUUUUCGGGUUUUCGGGGUUUAAUUUUAUCUCCAUCUUUUGUAAUCUUUAUUCUUUUGCCAUUAUAAGAAAAUUAUCUUUGCCCGUGGUUUUUUAUCCUCUUUGGAGGGGUUUUACCAUGUUAAAUUUGUGUGUUCAUCUUCUCAAUUUCUUCUACUAUUUUACUUGUUUGUUGCUUAAUUUGGUCGAUCCUAACAAGUGGUAUCAGUGCUAGUUCAAUUUUCAUAGAUCAGCCCAUUCAGAUAUGGCAACAACAAGGUUUGAAAUUGAGAAGUUCGAUGGUGAGACAACUUUCAAUCUGUGGCAAGUUCAGAUGAUGGCAAUUCUAGUUUAAUCUGGUUUGAAAAAGGUUGUUACCGAGAAAAAGCCUGAGAAUCUAAAUAAAACAGAAUGGGAAGAGCUUGAUGAGAAGGCCUUGUCUGCAAUCCAGUCGUGCCUCGCGAAUACGGUAUUACAGGAGGUAUUGAUGGAGAAGAGCUCAUCCGCCUUGUGGAAAAGGUUAGAAACUCUUUAUGCGACUAAGCCUCUGGCUAACCGUUUAGUGUUGAAACAACAUCUAUUUACGUUUCGAAUGAACGAAGGUGAGCUUCUUAGAGAUCACAUCAGUCAAUUCAUUACUCUUUUAAAUGAUUUAAAGAACGUUGAUGUUCAUAUUGAUGAUGAAGAUCAAGCUAUGCUAUUAUUGUGCUCUUUACCCCCUUCAUACAAGUCUUUCAGGGAGACCCUGAUUUAUGGCAGAGACAAAAUCUCGUUCGAAGAUGUGAAGGGUUAUUUGUUGAGUAGAGACAAACUCGACAAUGAGCUUCAUUUGGAUAGCAAGGUAGAUAGGCAAGCUUCCGUUUUGGUAGCAUCAAAGAAAUGAGACAAAAGGUGUCGCUAUUGUAAAAAGUUAGGUCACGUCAAAGUAGAUUGUUAUAAACUGCGAAAUAAAAGAGCUGCUGAGAGUAACGAGGAAGAUGUAGCUUAUGCUAAUUUGGCCGAUGAAAGCGGUGAUGAUUUCUUGUUAGUGUCAACGAGAGAUAACUCCAAGCUCACGUCCGAGUGGAUCCUAGAUUCGGGAUGUUCUUUCCACAUGUGUCCCAAUAGAGAAUGGUUCUCUACAUACAAUUCGGUUGAAGGUGGAGUUGUGCGCAUGGGAAAUGAUUCAUCUAGUAAGGUAAUUGGUAUUGGUACUGUUAAAAUUAGGAUACACGAUGGGACGAUUAAGACACUCUCAGAUGUUAGGUAUGUACCUGAUUUACGAAAAAAUCUCAUCUCCUUAAGUAUUUUAGACUUGAAAGGAUGUAGAAUCAACAUCAAGUCAAGCGGCAUUAAAGUAUAUCGUGGAGCUCUCGUUUUGUUAAAAGGCAAAAGAACUAGCAGUCUUUAUAUUCUAGAAGGCUCUACAGUGACCGGUGAAAUUGGAUGUCCCUCAUCCGUUACAGAGUCUAAGUCAACUCGUUUGGAGUGGAGGCAACUUGGUCAUAGGAGGGAAAAAUGUAUGACCGUUUCGUUAAAGAGAGGUUCUCUUUUGGAUGCAGGUUUUGAAAAGUUAGGGCACUGUGUUCGUGAAAAUCAGACCCAGGUUAGUUUUGAUUUGGCAGUGUACAAGUCGAAGGCUAGAAGUCUUCCAGUUUCUAAGCACAAAUUCGACUCAGUUAAUUCCCUGCAUAGUUCAAGAUAGGCUCGUGGCGGGCUUUGGCAAAGAUGGCGUUGUGGAAAUAUGAGUCAAGGUGGAGAUUUGUUAAGUAUGACUCUUAUUUUCAAUCAAAUUUGAGAAAUAAUCUUUUAGUUAAACUAUGUUUAUUUGUUUCAGUCAAACACUGAUUAGUUUAGAUUAUUUUAUUAAUAUUUGACAUAUGAAUUUAGCCUAUAAAUAGGCUCUUGUACAACCUUAGAAAACACACCCAUUAGAUUAGAACUCAUAACACAUUCAGAGAAUUUUGUGUUUACGUUUUGAGGGUUCUUUGUUUAUCAGGUUUUCGGAGUUUAGUUUUAUCUCCAUCUUUUGUACUCUUCAUUAUUUUGCCAUUAUAGUAAAAUUAUCUUUGCCCGUGGUUUUUAUCCUCUUUGGAGGGGUUUUUCCACGUUAAAUUUGUGUGUUCAUCUUCUUAAUUUCUUCUGCUAUUUUACUUGUUUGUUGCUUAAUUUGGUCGAUCCUAACAUUCAAUCCUAAACUUGUUUUUAUGAUGAUUAGAAAAAUUUUAACAUGAUUUGAGAGUCAAUUAAAGGAAUUUUAUCAAUGUCAUCUUUGUCCAAAAACACAUGGUUCUUUUAUGGUGGAUUUUGAGUUUUGAGAGGAAAUCCACAAAUCAAUGGAUGUUCCAACUUAAAACGGAUCUAUUAAAAGUUUUUGGGUCUUAUUUGUCAAGAUUAAACAUGAUUUGUGAGGUAAUUUAAAGAAAUCUGAAUUUAUCAUCUUCAUGAACCAAUUUUCUAGAAUCUGUGAAAUUGAUUAAAAGAUGAAAUUGAUGCUUAGUAUAAGUGUAUUUGGUCUAGUAUUGAUGAUUGAAAGUGUUUAAGAGGGCUGGAGAAAUCGAUUUUGUGAGGAAUCGAGUUUUCGACUUGAUGUUACAAAUCCGGUAUGGUGUCUUUAAGAGAGGAUUUCGAUUAGUAUAGAUAAUUAAAGUUUGUGUUUAUUAUAGCAUUAAGAAGGUGGUAAUGUCUACUUUAUCUCUGUUUAAGCUCUGAAUCUUGAAGAAGACUGAUAUAGCCGGAAUUGAAGCUUGGAUUUGCUUGGUUGAUCACUUGUUUGUGGUAGAAUAAAUUGUGUGGUGAAUGUUUCUAAGGGUGAUUUGGUAAAUUGGCCCUCAUUUAUGUUUAAUUAGUAGCUUAAUUGAUGAUUUCAAUUGAUUAAUUAUGCUUGAAUGGCUAAUUUUUGCAAGAUUGAUAUUUUAUGUACAAGAGUUGAAUUUUUAUUGAAUAAUGGUAAGUAAGCUUUUGGGUGGUGUUAUGCUAUUUAAUUAGGUUAAUUAUAUUGAUGAUUAAAUUAUGUUUACUGGAGUUUUUGAUCAUGAUAUGUUGGUGUUACAAUUGGUAAUUAAACAUUAGAAAAUGGUAAAUGAAAUGCUUGAUUUAAUUGGAUGUUAAAUGGCUAUGUUACAUGUUACACAUAAGCAUUUUGUCACAUUAAAUUGAGCACAAUAAUGACUAAUUUAUAUGCUAUGUUUGACUGAAUAUAUUGGCAACAUGCAUGGUGGAUUCAUAGAAUAUAGUUCUCAUGCUAUAGUAUUUGUGAGUACUCACCUUUAUUUGUGACAUUAUGAGCAUAUGGCUCUAGGUGGACUGAUUUAUUUGGAAUAGAUAAGGGAGUGUUAAGCAUGAGUCUCCACUCAAUGGGUUAUUUGAGGCACUAUAAGGGAGCGUAUGCUUCGGUCCGCUCAACUCGGUGGAUAAUAUUUGAUAUUUGUGGGAGUUCAAAGAUCUAUUUAUCUGAUGUACGAUCACCCGAUUAAGCCAUUAGAAGUGAAUUCCAAUAUAUUUAUGUGCGAUUUUUGCUAUAUCAUUUGAUGAUUGAAAGCCAUGAAUAAUUAAUUCUUGAUAUUGAUAAUGCAUAUGGAAACUAAAUUGACAUGUUUCAUUAUUAUGGCUGAUAAUUGGUGAUUGAUUGAAUGUGAUUUAAGCAUGAUUUGGGUGUGGAUUUAUUAGUCAUUUUUAUUCAUGUUCACUGAGCUUUUUAAAGCCCACACCCUCACAAUUCGUACAGAUAAUCAUCGGGCUUAAGGAGCUGAGGAGUCCAGCAAGAGAGUUCCAAGAGAUUUAGGCUUGGUAGAGACUUUAUUACACAUUUUAGAUAUUGUAAUUGGGCAUUAUGAAACUCCCUGAAAUUAGUUUAAUUUUGGUUGUAAUUGGACUUUGGACAUUCGAAAUUUUAUUUUGGAUGGUUUUAUAAUAAUUUUGAGGCAUGUUUGAGUUUAAUUAUUGAAUGAUUUACAAUGUAUUGUUGCUUGAUAACACAGUGAUUGAUAACAUGAUGUGUGAGGCAUUAAAUUUAUACUAACGGUUGCUUAAAGGAAGCUUCCAUGGAGUGGCUUACUAGCGACUAAGGUACUCCACUUGAUUGAUUUAUUUAGUGUUUGUUAUGCAUGAAAUUGAUAGUCUAAUUCUAUAUAAUUGAUGCUUAAUUGAUGUCAAUCAAUUCAAUUGAAAGUGUAUGUAUAUGUAUGUUAAUUAAUCAUAGUUAAAUCGGGUUUAAUUAACCAUUCAAAUAUACAAAAUCGGGUUUUAAAAUGAGUUUUUUGCAAAAAUAGAUGCAGUGGUUUUCACAUGGGCGUGUGCCUGUCCACACGGGCGUGUGAUGGGUUGCACACAGGCGUGUGGGUAAAUGAAUGAGCGUGUGGAGACUGGAGCUAUCACACACAGGCGUGUGCGAUCAACCUACCAAUUUUUCACGACGUGAACAUGGUUGAUUAAUGACACACGGUCUAGGGGACACGGUCGUGUGGGUUUUGGGGGUUUGAAUUUUUUAUCUUUUUAAAUUGGUAUUCUAUUUUGUUUAAGUUACAAUUUAGUCCUAAAAAUUGAUUAAUCUAAUUAGAGCCUUAGAUGAUAUGAAAACUCGGUAAAAUUUUAGGAUUAGUCUCAUAAUGGUUAAAUUUCGAUAGAAACACACUUAAUUUAUAAUUCAAAAUAGGUCCUGAUAGUUUGUAUUUGUUACAAUUUAAUCCCUAAUAAUAAAACUUGAAGUAGACAUAGUAAACGAACUCAAAUUAAGCUGAAACUUUUAGGCUUGCAUAAUUUUACUAAAAGAAGGUCAGUAAACACUUAGAUCUAAAAUCAGGUUAGUUUUACCAUUGGUGGUAAAAUGAUGAGAAUGCCCUUAGGUUAAAUUACCUAGGAAAAGUUUCAAAUUGGCUCAUAAUUUGCUUCCACAUUAAUAAACAACUAAUAAUUAGAUAUGAUUGAGGUGUUAUAAGGUCACAGUGUGUCUUGGGUGGUCGUUAGCCGGAAAGUCACUUAGGUGGCUAAUGUAACGCUUCAAAUUCAAGUCAGUUUGUCUGGUCGAGUUUAGAGUGUCACAAAGUUGUUAAAAUUGCAAAAUAACAUGAAAUUAUUUUGAUAAAGUGAUAAAUGUGGGCUGUUUAGGGACCAUAUAGAAUUCGGCACAAGGGUUUUGGGGUUAAUUUGUGUUAAUUGUGAGAAUUUAGGUUUUAAGGAUGAAAUUGAAUAAGAGGUAAAAGUUUAGGGUAAAUGUGCAAAAUGUCAUUAAAGGGUAAAAAUGAAAAUUUAAAUGUUUUAUGAUAUUGAAUUUUUUAAUUGAAUAAAAUUAUCAUAUUUAGAUCAUGAAACAGGUUAGUCGGUUGAUAAACAUGGGAAAGAAAAAGUUGCCAAGUAGUUGUCAUCGCAUGUCGUUAGCUAUCGUAUUUUGGUAAGUUUGUAUUACAUUUGUUAUAUUGUUUAUGCUUGACUUAUUAUGUGUUUAAUAAUAUGAAAUUUAAUGUUGUGAUGAUCUAUUGGAUGAUUAAUGAUUCAGAAGGAUACAGUUGAGUAUGAAAUGUCUCGGAAAAGUAGGAUAAGUCCGUGUGAACUUAGUGAAUAGCUAGGAUACAAAUGACAUGCCAUUAGGGCAUAGUAGGCUUUGUGCCGGUGUAUAUUUAGUAGGCUUUGUGUCGGUGUAUAUUUAGCAAGUUUUUCACUGGUGUAUAUGUAGCAUACAUUAGUUGUCAAUGAUUUCAAUAGCAUGUACUAUGUACCAGUGAUGGAUACCGUACUGAUGGCUUGAGGUCCUGCAUGUGUUACAAAUUCUCUAGCUUGGGUGAGCAGCAUCACGUAUCAGUUAAUGUCCUUAUGUUAGCUCGUGUGAGCAUUACCCUCUUGUGUAUCCGAAGUUGAUUUACUAUUGUUCUUCAGGUAAAACAAUUAUCUAUUAAAAAGAAAAUGGAAUGAGAUGACAUGAUGAUUUGUAUCUUAGUACAUGAUUAUUUGACACAUUGUGUUUUGAUGUAUGAAUUAUCUAGGUUUAAUUAUUUCGAAUAGCUGAAAUUAUGAUAUAAGAUAAAGGAUUGUUAGUUUUUUUAUUUGUAUGCUUUAUAGUUAAGGUCUAAGCUAUUUUGUUUUACAAACUUACUAAGCUUUAUGUAAGCCUUUUUUGUUUUACAAACUUACUAAGCUUUAUGUAAGCUUACUUUAUUGGGUUUUAUUCUUUUUAGAUAUUCGAACUUUCACUGUCGAUUGGAACGUCGUUGGAGGUCACACUAUCCGGCAACUCACUCAGUAGCUAUCUAUUUAUUUUUGCCCGGUUAUAACUACCAUGUAAAUAGGGUUUUAGAUAGGUAAUUUAUAAGCAUUUUGGUCAUAUGAUGUGCACUUAAAAUCAUGGUAUAUGUGUUGAUGUAAAUCCUAUUUCGUAACUUGGUUGGUUGUGGUUCGUGAUGGUGGAUGCAUAUGUUGAUCUCUAGAUGAAAAUAAAAGGUUGUUUUGGUAUGUUAGGUUAAUAAGCAACCUUGAAAUUCUUUUUGCUUGAAGAAUGGCUAAAUUGGUUAUGGUAAGAUAUGAUUUUAAGAAAAUUUAAAUGAGUAUUUGAUGGUUUGGUUUAUGAUUGAAUGUUGGUAUUCGUUAUCUUGAAUUUGAAGGAUGUUUGAAUAAAUUUUACUUGCAGUACAUGUUUUGAUUGGAUGGUUGUUGUAAAUAUUUGGAAUUGUGGUGCCAAUGAUGGCACAUUGGUUAGACAUAUAGAUUAUUGUGAAUUGGUAUAUUUUAGCAUGUUUAGGUACAUUUUAAAUAGGUUUAAAUGUUGGUUAUUGCAUAGCUUGGACCCCAAGCAUUUGAAUGUGAAAUGGCUUGAUUUUGAAGGUAGUUUUCAGCAUACAUGGCCUGUGACACAGGCUGCCACAUAGCCAUGUGUCCCUAUGGUUGUAUGACACGAUCAUUUGGUUGCUUGAUUUUCCGUGUAAGAUUUUUCACACAGUCACAGUUGGUUACAUGGCCUAGUGACACGGCCGUGUGACCCUAUAUUCGAAUUGUACACGGCCUGAGAACACGGGUGUGUGGAGUAUCGACAAGGCCAUGCUUGGGGCCACACGGGCUGGUUUCUAUCACAGUGCUUGGCUAGAUGGCUAUGUGACCCUAUCUACACUUUUUACUCAAAAUUUCAUAGAAGUUUCAAUUUAAUCUUGAAUUGAUCCCGGUUUGUUUUAAAUGUUCUGUAAGCUCAAUUUAGGUCCCAAAUUGAUUGAAAAGUAUGGAAAUGAUUAUAAAUGAAUUAUUUGGUUGUUAUCUAAUAAAAAUUACAAAAAAUGUUCAAGGUUUGUUGUUGUAAAACCUUAUAGCUCGAAUCGGCCGACUGAAUUAAGUAUAGGGUGUUACAAUUUUGUUGUGUAGGGAUUGUCAAGUUCUGGGGAACUCUUACUGUGGUGUGUAAGGUUGGAUUGGGUAGUGUACUACACUGUCAUUCAUAAGCAUGUUAAUAGUUACUAUGUUUUUUGUGAAUAUCAUAAUUCUGAUACGUAUUGUAUACCGUAUGCUCAUAUGAUAUUAGUUACUAUUUAAUAUGAUUAUUGCUCACAUGUUUAAACCACACUGAGCUUCAUAGCUCACCCUUUUGUUUUCCCAUCCUUUCAGAUAGCUCAUGAGGUAAGGGCUUGGACUUGGCAUUCGAAGCACUAUCGUCAGAUUUUCCUUAAAAACAAUUUCUAAACUAUUUUCUAAGUUCUAUUUGGAUUUUCCUUUGUUAAACGGACUGUGGCAUAGAAUCAGACAUUUUAUGGGUAUUUUAUUUGGGAUUUACCAUUACUCAUUUUUCUUUUAUUAUAUAAAACUCGAAUAUGGCUAAAGACUUUAAGAUUAUUAAAUGAUUUUAAAAUCGUUCAUUUAAGAUUUUUCUAACAACUUUGAAACUAAAAUUAAAUGAAAGAAAUAACUAAUAUAAAUUGAUGUUAUUAUAAAACAUGUUAAAUUGAUACAUGUUUUUUAAAUUGAAAUGAAAUUGUUUUCUAAAAGCAAUUUUCACCAGUUUUGGGAUAAAAUAUCGAUACCUUGGCAUUAAGUAUAGAAUAGAUACUAGAGCGAAUAAAUAUUUUCAAAUCAAACAGAAUGUCAAAUUGGUAUCAAUACCAAUAAAUUGUAUCGAUACCUACCGAUAACAUUUUUUUUGAAUUCCAAAAAUUGAUAGAAUGCCCAAAUCGUAUAAAUUUCUUGUAAAAAUAGAAUAUCAAUAAUGACAAUAUAUCGCAAAUAAGGAUUCCAAUAACAUUUUACUUUUAUUUUAUUUUACCACUGUUUUUUAUUUAAAUAAGGAUUCGGGUCACUUAAUUUUAAUAAUCUCCACAUUGACACGAAUUCUUAAUGAACAAGUUCUUCAUCUCGAACUCUCAACGAACAAGUUCUCCACCUCUUCCAUAAAACCCCUUAAGGGUUUAACUUCAACAAUGAACACCAACCAAGUUAAAGCAAUGUUCAAACUUGAUUAUAGGAAGUGACUUAGUCAUCAUAUCUGCAGGAUUUUCAUGAGUACUAAUUUUGCUCACAACAAUAUCACCACGGGCAAUAAUAUCACGAACAAAAUGAUACUGAACAUCAAUGUGUUUUAUUCUCUCAUGAAACAUUUGAUCUUUUGUAAGGAAGAUAGCACUCUGACUGUCGCAAAAUACUGUAUUGAUUUGAAGGUCUUCAUUGAGUUUACUAAAAAGUCCCUUCAACCAAAUAGCUUCUUUACAAGCCUCAGUAAUCGUCAUGUACUCAGCUUUAGUGGUAGACAAAGCAACUGUAGUUUGCAAAGUGGCUUUCCAACUGAUUGCAUAACCUUCGAUUGUAAAGACAUAACCUGUGAGAGAUCUUCUUCUAUUGAGGUCUUUAGCAAAAUCAUCAUCAACAUACCCAAUGACUCCAUCUCUAGUUCUUCCAAACUGUAAGCAAACAUCGGUAGUACCUCGUAAGUAUCUUAAAACCCACUAAACUACUUUCCAAUGUUCUUUAUCAGGAUUUGCCAUGUAUCUGCUAACUGUACUAACUGCAUAUGAUAAAUCUGGACGUGAACAAACAAUGGCAUACAUGAGAGAUCCCAUUGCACUAGAGUAUGGAACAUGUGACAUGUACUCAAUCUCAUCAUCUGAUUGUGGAGACAAAGUUGAUGAAAGUUUGAAAUGGGCUACUAAAGGAGUACUAACAGGCUUAGCAUUCUGCAUAUUGAAUCUGCAAAGAACUUUCUCAAUAUACCCCUUCUGACUUAGGUACAAUUUACUUACUUUUCUAUCUCUGAGAAUCUCCAUACCAAUUAUCUUCUUUACUAGUCUCAAAUCUUUUAUCUCAAAUUCUUCACUUAGUUGGGCUUUGAUCUUUCUUAUCUCUUAUUUAUCUUUCGCUACUAUCAACAGGUCAUCAACAUAAAGGAGUAGAUACACAAAAGAACCAUCAUUGUUUUUCUUAAAGUAAACACAACUGUCAAAGCUAUUUGUUUUAAAAUCAUGAGAAGUCAUAAAUGAAUCAAACCUCUUAUACCACUUUCUUGGUGACUGUUUCAAACCGUAAAGGGACUUUUUAAGCAAGCAAACAUAGUUCUCUUUUUGUGAGACUGUAAAACCCCCUGGCUGUUGCAUGUAAAUAUCCUCCUCAAGUUCUCAGUGGAAAAAUGCAGUUUUUACAUCUAACUGCUUAAGCUCUAAAUCAUGCAUGGCCACAAUACCAGGCAAAGGUCGAAUCAAACUAUGCUUCACAAUUAGAGAGAACACAUCUGUGAAGUCCACUCCUGGAAUUUGACUGUAACCCUUUGCAACAAGCCUUACUUUAUGUCUGGGUUCUUCAACUCUUGGAGUCCCCUCUUUCUUCUUAAACACCCAUUUACAGCAAACAACCUUUUUACCUUUAGGAAGUUUCACAAGAUCCCAUGUUUUAGUUUUGUGUAGUGAUUCCAUCUCCUCUUACAUAACAAAAUCCACUUUUCUGAGUCUUUACAACUAACCGCCUCAGAAUAAUUAGAUGGCUCUUGGUUUGCAUCUAUAUCAUCAGCCACAUUUAAAGUGUAAGCAACUAGAUUAGCCUCGGCAUACUUCUUUGGAGGUUUAAUUUUUCUUCUUAUUAUGUUUUUGGCGUUAGAGUAUUGUGGUGAAGAAGCAACUCUAUUUUAAAUUUUUGUACAGGCUUCAGUAGUCGACUCUGUUGUAGAUUUUGUAUUAAUCUGAUGCUCCACCUGCCUUUGAUUUUCUUUAUUGGAAGAGUCUUUAAGAGAUAAAUUAGGUAGCAUAACAGUUCCAUCAAAAACAACAUCUCUACUAAUCACAACUUUUCUAUUUUCGGUACACCAUAACUUAUAUCCUUUUACACCAGCUUUAUAACCAAGAAAAACACAUUUAAUAGAUCUCGAUUGCAAUUUUCCAUUAUCAACAUGAGCACACGUAGGACAACCAAAGAUCUUUAAACCAGAAUUGUCAGUAGGAUUACUAGACCAUACCUCUUGUGGAGUCUUUUUCUCAAUGGCAACGGAUGGAGAUCGGUUGAUCAAAAAACAUGUUGUAGAGGCUGCUUCAGCCCAAAAUGACUUUGGUAAGUUGGCAUUUGACAACAUACAUCGAACCUUCUCCAUGAUCGUUCUGUUCAUUCGUUCUGUAGCGCUAUUUUGCUGUGGAGUAUGAUAAACUGUCAAGUGUCUCAUGAUCUCUUCUGACUUGCACAGUUUAUUAAACUCAUCAGAACAGAACUCUAAGCCAUUGUCUAUGCAGAGAUAUUUUAUUUUUUUUCCCGUCUAUUUUUCAAUCAUGAUUUUUCAAGACUUAAAUGCAAAAAACACAUUGCUUUUCUGCUUCAGGAAGAACGCCCACACUUUUCUGGAAAAAUCAUCAAUAAAAGUUAGCAUAUAAUUAGCUCCACCUUUCGAAGGCACUCUAGAUGGCCCCCACAAAUCAGAAUGAAUAUACUCCAAUGUUCCUUUUGUGUUAUGGAUUCCUCUGGUGAUUCAAACUCUCUUUUGCUUCCCAAAAAUGCAGUGCUCACAGAACUUCAGUUUGCAAAUUCCUUGCCCAUCAAGAAGUCCUAUUUUGCUCAAUUCUACCAUGCCAUUCUCACUCAUAUGCCCUAGGCGCAUAUGCCAAAGUUUAGUAAUAUCAUCAUCUGGCAAGGAAGAGGAUGCGACAACUACAUCACUAGUAACAGUAGAACCCUGCAAAAUAUAUAACUUAGCAGUCUUUCUUUACCUUUUCAUCACAAUGACGGAACCUUUGGAAAUCUUCAAAACCCCACUUUCAGCUGUGUAUUUGUACCCUUUUGAAUCAAGAGUACUCAACAGAAUUAAAUUUCUCUUUAAUUCUGGAACAUGUCGUACGCCACUAAGUGUUCUGACAAAUCCAUCAAACAUCUUAACUUUAAUUGUUCCAACACCUACAAUUUUACAUGAAGCAUUAUUUCUCAUCAAAAGAAUACCUUCAGACACUGUUUCAUAAGUUGUAAACCAAUCCCGAUUAGGACUCAUGUGGAAGGUACAACCCGAAUCAAAGAUCCACUCCUCGCUCACUUUAAAAAUGUUGACGGAAGCGACUAGAAGUUCACCAUCGCUGUAGUCUUCUACAACAUCAGCCUUACCAGAAUUUUCUGGUUGUUUUCCAUUUUGAUUCACAGCCUCCCUUUUGAUCUUGUUCUGUAGCUUAUAGCACUCAGAUUUAAUGUGCCUUUUCUUCCUGCAAAAGUCACGAUCCUCUCCUUCAUCACAUCUUACAAAAUUUCGUUAGAAAAAUGUAAAUGUAACUGUGUUAACGCCUUUCGAUCCUUGUGCUUCUUCUCUUCCUCCAUCAAUGUUAAAGGCAUCUUAUCUACCCCUAGUAGGGCUUCCUCUAAGUCCAUCUGUACAAAAACUGCCUGCAUCUUUAUCUGCCAUAAUGGGAAUCUGGUGUUGCGAUCCAACAGCGGAAUUUCUUACUUUAAAAAUGCCAUUAUCGUGAUUGAGAUGAACAACUCGGAAGCUCUUAUACCAAUUUGUAAAAAUAGAAUAUUGGUAAUGACAAUAUAUCACAAAGAAAAUAGAAAUAGAAAUAAAAAUAAAGAAUACACAGAUUUUACGUGGAAACCCUUUCGGGAAAAAACCACAGGCAGAGGAGAAGAAAAUCCACUAUGUUGAAUUCGAAUUGAUUACAAGAGGAGUAGACUAUGUCUAUUUAUAAGCUUGUAAAACCUUAUUCUAAUAGGAGUGAAACUCCUUAUUCUAAUCAAUUUCAAAUAGAUGGAGUUUAAUAAAAUUUAAAAAACCUUAUUCUAAAAUAAAAUAAAAGAAGUAUAAUUCUAUAAGGAUUUUACUUUUAUUUUAUUUUACCACUGUAUUUUAUUUAAAUAAGGAUUCAGGUCACUUAAUUCUAAUAUUUCUUUUAUGAAAAUUUGAAACUUUUUCAACCUAAUCCUUUUUACUGAAACUAAAUAUUUUUACUGGACCAUUUCGAUGGCUAAUGUGACCUCUAUAAUUCGGCCAUAACAUUUGGGCUGGGUUGAGGAGGUUACAAGUCUCUUCAAUUUAUAAGGAACCGAGACUUGUUAACAUGCUACAUCAAUUACAAUCAAUCUUCCUAUGAAACUAACAAGAGAAUAUAUUCAAUCAACUAAAGAUAAGUCUUAAAUCUCCAAGGUAUACUUCCAUGUUUUUCUUGAUUAGAUUUGAUCCAUCAAACUUGAGAAGUCAAUUGCCUUGACCAACAGCCAAACCAAUCUCAAAGAUAUGUUGCUAUGUGUAGUUUAAAAAUCAAAUAUGGGCUAGAUGUCUUCAAUUAACUAGAUGGAGCCGAGUACAUAAAAAAACUUUAUAAUUGUUGAAAAACCAACAUGAAUAUAUGCCCAAAAUUGAAAACAUAAGUAGAAACAUUAAAAAUAAAUAACAUCUAGCCUUCAUUCAUAUUGAUUGAUAAUUGUAAAAUUAUUAUGCAUGGAGAGCAUAUAAUAAGUCACAACUACUAUGGUGAUCAGAUUGGUUGAAUGAUUGUGACAAUUGGGUACCUCUAGAAAUUUCUCCAAAAUUUAAUAUAUCCUUUUUUAGUGAGAACAAAAGAAUUAGCAAAAAGAAAGAGUUACACAAACCCCAACCUCUUUUAUAUAAAUUCUCACUCAAUUUAUACGCUUUACCCAAGUCAAAAUAAGCAGUUAAAAAAUAAUAAUCAGUUAAAAAAAAUCUAAGUAUAGUCCUUAGUGUGUAUUGAUCUUUCUUGAAGAGGAAGAAUGCACCAUUUGUUUAUUUCAAUAGUAAUUACCUAAAAUAUAGAAAAAUAUCUAAUUUAUUAAAAAAAAUAAAGACCACUAUAUAUGUAAAAUAUUUAUAUUUCAACAUUCUUCCACUUGGUGCAAUUUUAUAACAAAAUCAAUAAUAGUUUUAUACGCAUUAUGUGUAAGUAGAAAAACAAAAUCUUACGAAUUUUGGAGGUAAAUCCUCAUUUAGAGGAGUAUUUUAUGUCACAUCACAAAGCAAAUUUUUUUCUAAAUAAACUCACAUAUUUCAGAAAUUACUUUAUUAACAAACUUUCAAUGUUCCAAAUCCUACAUAGAGGUUUGUUUUUCUCAACCAAAUUUAUACAACUAAUUGGUACUUUCUAAAAUAGUAAUGUCCAAGUUUGAAUAUGGAUAUGUAAAAGUAUAUAAAAAGUAUCACGUGGAAUAAUUUAAUGGGCUACAACUAUAAAAAUAAUUCUCACGAAAUCAGAUUAAAAUUUUAAAUAUGAUAUAUUUAUUUAAUUUUUAAAUAAAUAAUUAUAAAAUUAAAUAUUGAAUUAUUUUAUAAAAAUUAUGUAAAAUGUGUUAUUAACGUGUAAAUAAUUGUGAAAACUAAUAAAAUUACAAUAUCGACACCAAUUUGUUUCAUUAAAUUAAAUCUCUAUAACAAAUUAUACAAUAUAUAUAUAUAUAUAUUAUGAAUUAGGACAUUACAUAAAAAAUAUUCACCAAACAUUACACAAAAAAUAACAUUAUAUAUCUCUAAAAAAUCACAUGUUUUUCCUAUUUUUCUAACUUGAUCUUCAAUAAGCAUAAUGAUUAAAAAAAUUAUAAAUUAAAUAACAUAAAUCAACUAAUUUUUUAUCCAUGAAUUAUGUUGAAUAUAUCAACUUUAAUAUUUUAUAUUCAUUUAUUAAAAAUUGUUAUAAAAUUUAUAAAAUUUCAACGUUAUUAUGAUUAAAAAUAAAAUUAUUUUAAAAUUAUAAUAGUUGGUAUUAUGCUAAUUUUACUUUGCUGGAUAACUGAGAUCCACGACCGUCAUAGACAAAAUCCAUUCUCGUUGUUAUUGAAACUUAAAACCGACUGUAAUAGCCCAUUUUUGCCCGGCCCAUUCAAAAUAAGACCAACCCAAAAUCAUAACACUGCCCAAAUUAAAUACAAUUAAAUCCAAUAAAACUUGGGCUAAGCUUAACCCAAUUACAGGGCCCAAUUAACCCACUAGCCUAAAACACAAAACAGAGAAACCUAGCAGCAAAAUCAACAGCCGCGGCAACCUCACCCACGCCUCAACAUCGCCCCACGUUCAGCACUUUGCGCACGUCCUCCACGACUUUCAUACCUACGAAAAACUGAUCCAAACGGCAAUGGAUGAAAAAUAACAGAAUAGAUUUUUAUUUAUUGUUUUUUAUUAUUAUUUGGGGGGGAUAUAAAAGGGUGAUUUCAAUUUGUAAAAGGGGGUUAGCAAAAUUUUUAUACCGAAAUCAAAAAGAAAAUAGACGGAAAGAAACAUUUUUGAAGGUGGGAUCUUGUUUUCUUUCUCGGUUCUUUUACUGUUUUUUUUAAUUUACCUUGUUCUUUUCUUUUGCUUCUUUUUAAAAAAAAUAACAAAAAUAAACGAAGAGGGAGAGAAAGGGGGCUUACCUGGUGUCGCCGGAGCGUCGUCGGAGGCCAAGGGACGGCUUAGCGGCGGUGGAUCUUUGACGGUGGCGACGUGUGGGGAGGGUGCUAAGAAAAACCUAGCAGAGAACCCCCACUUUUCCUCUCUGUUCUUUAAAGAAAAUGGAAUAAAGAUGUUUUUAAAGGAAAUUUUUUUUCUUUUUUCCUUAUUUUUUUUAUAUUAACGAAAAGUGGUGCCGUUUAAUGGCCAUUGAUUGGUUUUUUAUUCAAAUGGUUUAUUUUCGAAACUGGUCCUUUCUUGUUACAGUGCUUGUAAAUUAAAUUAUUUAUUUCUUAUAAAUUUGGCCACAUGUUUUAUAACUGUUUCAAUCUGACCCGUAUUGUUGUGCAGCGUUUUGGAGGGAGGGAUUAUUUUCCCUUUUGGUCCUUCAAAGUUAAUUGUGCGUUCUAAUUGGUCCAUUUGCAUCUUAUUUUUUAUAAAUUUGCCCUAAAUGUUUGUUUAAAGUUUAAAUUAGAAUAUUUUUUUUCUUUCUUCUUUAUUUCCAUUAAUAUUACUGUAUUAUUAUCAGUUUAUUAUUAUUAUUAUCAUAUUAUAUAGUAUUAUUAUAUUUAUUUAUAUGUGUAUAGGCAUAUUAAUAUAUAUAUAUACAUUUUAAAAUAUACACUAUAUGUAUAUCAUAUAUUUUAUUAUUACUUUAUUUUUCUUAGUUUUAUAUACAUAUGCAUAUAAAUAUUUAUAUUAUAUAAUUUUCAUAUCAUUUUUUUUAUUUUAAAGAAAUUCGAUCAAUUAUAUAUGUUCUUUUAAAUAUAUAUAUGUAUAUACGUUAUUCAUAAGUAUUUAAAUAUAUUUUUUGCAUUUGUCUCGCAUACAUAUAUACACAUUUUCAUAUUUUUAUAAAUAUAUUUUACUUAUAUUUUUUUAUAUACCUAUACAUAUUUUAUACCUCACUUUCAUAGUUUUUAUAUAUACGUUUAACGUAUGCAUAGGCAUUUUAUUUUAAGAUAUACUUAUAUGUCAUAAUUUAUUUUGUAAAUACACAUAUGCAUAAUUUAAAUUAAAAUAUUUGUUUCAUAUUGCAUUAAUAUUUUAAUAUAUUUUCAAAAAUAUAUAUUGAUUUUGUUAAAACAUUUAAAACGGUUUUAUGAUCCAAAGGCUUUCAAAAUAAAUGAUAUUCAAGGUGAGGGAUUUUUCGAGGGAAAUUGAACCCUAACGUAUUGGGUUCCGAUUUUCUUUAUCAAUUUCAAGUAACCGAGAAUAUUCGUUAUUUAAAAUGUAUAAGUAUAAAAAAAUCAUUUUCGGGAACUUUAUUUAUGGUGUCCUAACGUAUUGGGCAUGACAUAUUAUUUUCUCGAAAUGAAGAUUUUCUUUAAUGACUGAAUUUUACCCGGCCCACUCAAAAUAGAUCUAACCUAGCCCAAUAAACCCAUCAAAAAAAAACCUAGCCCUUUCGUCUCAAUACUGCAGCAGCAAGCGGUUUCCACAGCCCCGCAGACAUCGCCCACGUUCAGCAGUUUCCUCGCACACCACGCACGUUCCACCUGCAACAAAACCACAGACAACAGCAGAUAAAAAAAAAAGAGGCUAAAAUAAGAGGGGGAUUUUUUUAUUUAAGGGAUUUUUUUAUUAUUAUUAUGGUUUUUGGGGGGGAUAUAAAGAGUUGAUUGUAAAACCUAUGGAAAAAAAAAACAAUAUUGUAUGAACAGAUUGAAGAAACACAAAAAAAGAUUGAAAAAAAACAGUUUUGAAGGUAAAGGAUUUUGGAUUUUCUUCUUUUGUUCUUGUUACUGUUGGCAUUAGAUUUUUGUUUCUCUUUUGUUUUUUUUUAAAUAUUAAAUAAGCAAAAGGGAUAAAAGGAAAGGGACUUACCUUCGAGAGAGUGGUCGAGCACCCUCUAUCGUUGUUAUCUGGUCGGAGAGGUGAGGAGAUUGGAAGGGCAGAAGGAGAUCAUUACGGCGCAGUGUCAAAGAAAGAAAGAAAAUGUUCCUUUUAGGGUUUAAAAAGGGGGUUUCUAUUUGAUUUAAGUUGAUGGGUUAUUUAUGAUUUAGGCCCUUCAUUUGUUUUAUGGUUUUAAAAAUCACUUUUUCUUAUUUUCAAAUUUUCCCAUGAAAUAUUAUUAAUGUUUUGAUUUAAUCCAAUGUUGUGCAAUGCUUUAGAUUGGUUGGGUAAAUUGUUUUUUCAGUCCUCUCCCUGCUGCGCGUGUUUUAAAUUACUCCUUUUCUUGUUUUUAUUUUCAAAUUCGGCUCAUAAAUUCUGUUUGGCUUUAAAUUUAGUCCUUAAUUUGUUUUUUUUUUUAUAUUGUUAAUAUUAUUUAUUAGUAUAAUUAUUACUAUGUUAUUAUUAUAGUAUGUAUAUAUGUGAGCAUAUAUAUAUAAGUUAAUAUAUAUAUUAUAAAUGUUUUAAAUAUAUAUGUAGUACGUAUAUAUUUUAUUAACAUAUCAUUUUAUUUUUAUAGUUUAUAUAUUAUAUAUGUAUCCUAUAUUUUAUUAUUACUUUAUUUUUCUUAGCUUUAUAUACAUAUAUAUGCAUCUAUAUAUUUGUAUUUUAUAAUAUUUACAUAUUUUCAAUAUCUUAUAAUUCAAAAUUUUUUUUAUUAUAAUAUGUAUACACAUACACUUAUAUUAUUUGACAUCUUUAUCAAUAUUAUCUUUCAAAUCCCUUUUACAUGUAAAUAUAUGUCCAUUUUUUAUAUAAUUAGUAAUAUAUUAUGCUUACAUUUUUUUCAUCUUUUUAUUUAAGUUUUUUUAUUAUAUUAUUUUUAUACAUGUAUGUGUGCAUUAAUAUCUUAUCAUACUCUCAAAAAGUAAACAUUUUGAUUUUGUCAAAAUACUAAAAUUAUUUUUAUGAUUUAAAUGUUUUCAAAAUAAAUAAAAAACGAUAUUCAAAGUUAGGGAUUUUCGAGGAAAAGUGAGCCCUAACGUAUUGGGUUCCGAUUUUCUUUGUUAAUUCCAAAUAACCAAGAAUAUUUGUUAUUUUAAAUAUAAACAAAAAUCAUUUUCGGGAAUUCAAUAUGUUAUGUCCUAAUGCAUUGGACAUGACAUAUUAUUUUCUCGAAAUGAAGAUUUUCUUUAAAAAAUUAAUUAAUUAAAAAGUGAUAUUCAAAAUUCGGGGAUUUUGAGAAAUUGUACCCUAACAUAUUAGGUCUCAAUUUCUUCGCAUGACUUGAAUAAUUGAUUAUCCUUUUCAGAUUUCAACAUUUGGGUUUAACAAAACCUUUUUAAUUUUCGACACCAAGACAUUAGAUAAUCAAUUUGGUACCGAUUUUUUGGCGUUACGAGGGUGCUAACCCUUCCUCGUGCGUAACUGACUCCCGAACCCGUUUUCUCAAAUUUCGUAGACCAAAUUUGUUUUUUAAGGUGAGCCGGUCACACCUAAAUCAUGGAUCGGUGGCGACUCCAAUUUUUGUUUUCAAAGUCGACAACCAAAUUUUUAUUUUCAAAAAAUGGUUUCGACAGCUCAUUUUAGAUUCAUUCACGGGUUAAAAAUUUCUAUUUAAAAUCUUUUCAAUUUUUCGACAUCAAGACAUAAAAUAAUCAAAUUUGGUACCGAUUUUUGGGCGUCACGAGGGUGCUAACCCUUCCUUGUGCGUAACUGACUCCCGAACCUGUUUUCUCAAAUUUUGCAGACCAGAAUUUUUUUUUGGUGAGCCGAUCACACCUUAAUAAAGGAUCGGUGGCGACUCCAAUUUUUUGUUUUUAAAGUCGAUAACUUUUAUUUUUAUUUUCAAAAAAUGGUUUCGACAGCUUGGCGACUCCGCUGGGGACCUUCGAGGGUCGAGCCAUAAAUUGAUUAGCUUUUGUCUUUUUGUCGGAAGGGUUUCAAAGUUGUUUUAAAUCAUGAUUUUCCCCUUUGCAUUCAUUGGUUUUAUCAUAUACUUGCUUGAUUGAUCUAAGUCCGUUAGUUUAUUUGCAUUUCGCAUUUCAUGGUCAAUUUUACCCCUUUAAGUGGGAGUGAGAAACUAGUCCUUCGUGAAGUUUUCACCUCCGUGCAGGAUAGUGGAUCGCUUUCGGAAUACAUCUAUACCUAUGUCUUCGUGAGAUUUUCAUCUCCGUGCAGCCAUAGGGAAAUGUAUUCCCCUGAACUGAACUUGGUCCAUAUGAGCCUAUAAUGGGUGAGGAUCGAGGAAUCUGUUGGUUCGGGUACCCUUACUCUAGAAGCCAAAACCUCAUAUAGUGAACCUUAGGAACCCACCCUAGGUAGAAUUACUUUGAACCUUAGUAGACACCUAAUUAGGAGUUUUUACUAUUUCUUGGUUGUAUUGUAUUUAAUUGUUACUGACUUUUUGUGUUUUACUCUGAUUGCAUGGCAUUACAAUUACAUGGCAUUCCAUUAUAAAGAGGCGUUGUUUCGUAUUCGGUUGCUAGACAGAAAGUUUAUCAUGGGAAAUGGGUUUCUUGAUAAAGUGGAAGAUAAUACGGCUACCUGAAUAUAUUCCAAGAAACGCAAAAAGGGUGAUGGAGAAAUACAUGACUUUACUUCGUGCCUCAAGGUCAAGCUAAUUAUUCAAGAGUUUCUGACAUUUCAACCUCCUUAAAGAAGCUGAUAACCCUUACGAUGAUGCGCAGACGUUGGAUUAUAACCAGGAUCAAGUAAAAAGGGAGGUAGAGGAGAUACCCCUUUUGAAGAAUUCGCAAGAUUUAUCUUAGCAUCUAGAUGAAGAAGGAGAAGAUGACUUCGCCUGGAGUAUGAGGGCAAAGCCGUAUGUAUAUAUCCGCUUUAUGUAAAGAAAUUCAUCUUCUAGUAAAGUUUUCUAAAUGGAAUUGAAUCAGAAUCAACGUCUCUUUUUGCAUUCAUUCAUGCGUUUGCAUUACAUUGCAUCAUAUGCACUAAAAUCCACCAAAAGAGCCUAAUCAAUUAAAAUUAUUCUUUAGUUAACCUGGAAACCAACCAGCAAACCCAGCCCCGUUAUGGUACAAGAGCGAAAUCAAAGAAUAUGGAUCAAAGAUUAGAAAAGCUCGAGCAGUUCCAAAAAGAAAUGCAUAAGCAACUUCAGCAGCAGAUGCAGGAGCAGCUCGAGAAGAUUCAAGAGAAAAUGAUAGAUAAAAUGAUGGAAUCUCAAGGAAGUAUGAUGACAAAGUUAACGCAGUUGUUGAAGGAAAGGAAAGAUAAAGGAAAGAGCCCCAUGGCCAAUGUUGAGGAGGAAGGUGAUAACAGACCCCUGUAUCCUUCAGGCUUCACUCCCCCAGAUGUACAGCCUCAAGUGGAAAUGAACCAACGUAGAUCUUCUGUUACCAUUAGGCCUCAGCAAUUUCUGGCCGAUGCUUCAAAGGCGAUGAAUUAUCGAACUGGAUCAGGCUCUAGCCCUGAGAAUAUUCCCGUCAAUCUUGUAGUCCCUAACUUUGAUGAGGUGGUCGAAAAGAAAAAUGCAAAGGAAGAAUUGCCAAAGCAAUUGGAAGAAAGGUGGAAGUGGGUCGAAGAGAAGUUCAAGGCGAUGAAAAGUACUGAGAGAUAUGGUGAGAUUGAUGCUAAAGAUCUGAGUUUGGUAUCGGAUUUGGUGCUCCCUCACAAGUUCAAAAUGCCAGAAUUCGAUAAGUAUAAUGGGACAAGUUGCCCUGAGGCCCACAUUACCAUGUUUUGUAGACGAAUGGCUGGGUAUGUCAAUAAUGAGCAGUUAUUGAUACACUGUUUUCAGGAUAGCCUCACGGGGGCAGCGUCUAAAUGGUAUAAUCAAUUGAGCCGUGCUAAGAUUAGUUCCUGGAGGGAUUUGGCACAGGCUUUUAUGAAGCAGUACAAUCAUGUGGCAGAAAUGGUUCCUGACAGAAUUACUUUGCAAAACAUGGAGAAGAAGUCGAAUGAAAGUUUCAGGCAGUACGCUCAGAGAUGGAGGGAGGUUGCAGUUCAGGUCCAACCACCGUUCCUUGAAAGAGAAAUGGUGAUGCUCUUUAUAAAUACGUUGAAGGCCCCAUUCAUCACACAUAUGUUGGGAAGUUCCACAAAAAUCUUUUCUGACAUAGUUAUGAGUGGUGAGAUGAUUGAGAGUGCUAUUAGGAGCGGAAAGAUUAAUGCUGGAAGAAAUAACAGAAAUCAAGCCCCAAAGGAAAAAGAAAAUGAGGUGAACAGCGUGAACACGUACAGCAAAUCGAUUACGGUGAAUCAGCCAGGAAGGGUGGUUAUUAAUCAACAGGGUUCAUCAAGACAAGAAUCAGGUGUGAAGCCAGGUACUGAGAAGCUCCAGUUCACACAAAUUUCGAUGUCCUAUAAGGAGUUAUAUCAAAGCUUGUUCGAUGCGCAUGUUGUUGCUCCUCAUUACUUAAAACCCCCACAGCCUCCGUACCCCAAAUGGUACGACGCAAGUGCACAAUGCGAUUAUCAUGCAGGAAUUCCGGGACAUUCUAUAGAAAAUUGCAUUGCCUUUAAAAAAGUGGUCGAAAGGCUUAUCAGUAUGGGCGUUGUCAAAUUUGACAAUUCAUCCAUUGCAGAAAAUCCACUACCUAAUCACAUUUGAUAAUGGGGUGAAUGUGAUGCAUGAAGAAGUGGUAGGAAACGUUCACAUCAAUGCCAUACAUGGAGACACAACUAAAGAAGAGAUCUUGUUAGAUAUUCGCAUUUGUAAAUUUGGGAGUGUUUUAAUUAAUUGGACUGUAGAAGAAAUUUCUGUGGUAUUUAGAACUUACUUAGAGUAAUGUUCAAAACACACUUGUUGCUUUUGGCCUAGAGGCAAUAAGAAUUCCUUUGCGAAAUAUGCUUAUGUUUGAACGUCAUUAUUCUAUGAAUACAUCUUUACAUUCAUUUUUAAGCCAAUAUUCUUUCAUUCCUUUUGAAUAAUUCUAGAUUCUUUCAUUCUUUUGGAUUUUCUUUCAUACUAUUUGUUCAUUCAUAAUCAUAUUGUAUAGAUAGUUCUUCAUAAAUUUAUACAUUCUUUUGCAUAUUCUUUGAUAUUUAUUAUGGGCCCCCAGAUAUCAAUGACAUGAAUGACACUGCUACAGAUUUAGAAUCUCUUUUUGAGCAAGACAUGUGUUUAGAGGGAUCUCAUGACUUUGAAGAUGACAUAGAUCGUAGCCUAUCUCUAGCCUUGUUGAGGAUGGUAGAGCAAAAAGAGAACAAAUUUUAGCUCCUGAAGAGACAAUGGAGAUUGUGACUUUAAGAGAACAUGCAUAACCGGAGAAACGAAGCAAUACCUUGUUAAGUUACUUCAAGAGUUUAAAGAUGUCAUCACAUGGUCAUACCAGGAUAUGCCCAGGUUAAGCACUGAUAUUGUAAUCUGAGCAAUAGCACGUUAAAAAUCUGCAGUAUGUUCAGGAUUCACAUCGUGAACGAUGCAGUUAGAAUUCUUUGUUGGGGCAAUACCUUCUUCUCUGGCUUAUCGUGUUGAAGUCAAGUUGUCAUUUUUCUGUAUUUUUGUUGGAUUUCAUCUUAAUCGAAGAGGAAAAUCUAAAAUUUUCUCGUCAUAGUUUCGCCCCAAAAGGAUCUAUGAGAGAAACCUGAUACCAAAGAAGAUCUUUCGCAUACAAAAUGAAAGUGAAAGAUCUUAUGGGGAAGACCUUAUCUGGAAUAAUAUUGAUUCUGAUCGAAAAGGAUGACCUGGACUUGCCUAAUCCUAUGAGUGCAGAUUCAGUUAAAAAAAACAAAAAAACAAAAAACAAAAAAAAAGAAAGAGAGAAAAAAAUAGAAAAUAGAAAAAAAAGAGAACAUAAAAGAACAAAAAACAAAAAAAACCUCUACCGGGGCAAUGUCUUUCUCUUUAGCUUAUCACGGUUUUUCCAUUGAAGUUAAAAUUCUUUCUCUCCGAGUAUAGGCUGAGCUAAAGUAGAAUAAAGAUCCAAUCUCGAUGAUCAGUUGAACUUAAUUGAAGGAAAUUGGCUAAAAGUUAUUCGUCACGGUCAGAUGUACCAAAAACGGAUGAUGCGAGCUUACAACAAAAAGGUUCGUCCUAGAGAAUUCCAUGAAGGAGACCUGGUAUUGAAAAAGAUCAUUCCUCUACAAAAAGAUUUAGAAAAAAAAAUGAGUGCCAGAUUGGGAAUGUCCUUAUGUUGCAAAGAAGACAUUUUCCGGAGGAGCACUGAUCUUGAGUGAGAUGGAUAGUAAAACUUGUCUAAUCCUAUAAACUCAAAAUCAGUCAAGAAAUACUUCGUUUAAAGAUGGAGAGGACCAAGGUAAAAAACCCGCAAAAGGCAUUUUGAGUCGCAAAAAAAAAGAUGAGAAAUGAAAAAAUGAAAAAGUGAAAAAAUGAAAAAGUGAAAUGGAGAGGCUAAGGUGAAAAUCCGCAAAGGGCGCCUUAGACCAAAGGGGAUUUGAGUUGAAAACCCGAAAAGGGCAGCUCAAAUAUUGAUCAGAAUGGGCAUGAGGUAAUCAGAGCAGCUCAAAUGUUGAUUAGAAUGGGGCAUGCUACGCGACAUCUUGGGGCAUCGACAGAGUAAUGUAGAUCUCCUAAACACAUGUCAAACUCAAAAUGGUCUUCAAGAAGUUUGUACAGAGAAGUUCAAGCUGCGACAUCUGGGGCACCUAGUCUCCAUACUAUUUAUUUUGAAUUUGUUGUUCUUGGAAUACUUCAUUCUUUUCCAAGACACGCAUUCCCAAUCAAUUUCUUUGUUAUCCUUCUUUACUAUUUUUGAUAAUUUAUUCCUUUCGAGCUAUGCUCAAAACUAACUUUAUUCUUAUCCAUUGUUAUCACCUUUUUGCAAGCAUGUUGCAUUAGAAUAAUGAUUAAUGGACUAAUAAAACUUUCACAAUGGAAGUUUUGCAUAUUACUCUAGAAGUUUCUAAACAAUAUAGGAGCUUGAAACAAGACUGUUGUUUAGAAUGCACCAAGUUUAAAGGUUGAAAUAUCUGGGAAGGAAAUGUCUAAAUUGAGACUAUACCUUCAGAUUUUGUUGUCAUAACAUUGAUUGAACAAAAUGAUAGGACGAUAGGUUGGUGGCAAGGCUUAGAUGAACAAGAAAGCAAUAAUCACCAAGCAAUAAAAAAAGGGUUUCUUUGGAGAGGAGAAUCCUUCAUGCGUGCAUAAGCAUUUGGUAUGACACCCUGAGAUUGGUAUAAAAGACCAAAGAGCUUCACAUUUUGCAUCCUUGAAUUGCGAUAGAUGAGGAUUGAGAAAAGGCCAAAUUUUUCUACCCUUGGGUUACAGCGGGAAAAAGAUGAUACCAAUGUUGCAUCCCAGUAGAUUGAACUUUGAAGCUCACAAUGGGGGCAAUCUGAUUGAGUGUUUUUUUUUGAAGAUGCUAGCCGAGCAAGAGGACGUUGUAGUGCGUCAGUGAUACGGCUUUAAUAAAUUUUGAGUAAUGACUACCUAAGCGGGAUCAUUCUCGGAAAAAAUGACAUUCUGCAUUCAUUCAAACGUCAUUCAUACAUGUCUAGUUAGGAGCAUUUAAUUCUUUCUGAUCAUGACAUCCUAAUCACUAGGCAUAAUUAGGUUCAUAACUUGAAUUUUACAGGUCAUGUUCCCUAGAGAACCAAACUGAUAAAACUUCAGCCUUAUCUCCUUGAGCAGCAGUAGAGUAGAUUGAAAAUAGUAGAUUUUUAUUUCCUUAGCGUUGUAGCGGAGCAGAUUGAAGUCACAACGGCGGAUCUGGUUUCCCCGACAGCGCAAUUAAAAGAUUGAAGCCACAACGGCGGAUCUUACUUCCUUGGCGGUGCAGCGGAGCAGAUUGAAGUCACAACGGCGGAUCUAGUUUCCCCGACAGCGUAAUUAAAAGAUUGAAGCCACAACGGCGGAUCUUACUUCCCUAGCGGUGCAGCGGAGCAGAUUGAAGUCACAACGACGGAUCUGGUUUCCCCGACAGCGUAAUUAAAAAGAUUGAAGCCACAACGGCGGAUCUUACUUCCCUAGCGGUGCAGCAGAGCAGAUUGGAGUCACAACGACGGAUCUGGUUUCCUCGACAGUGCAAUUAAAAAGAUUGAAGCCACAACGGCAGAUCUUACUUCCCUAGCGGUGCAGCAGAACAGAUUGAAGUCACAACGACGGAUCUGGUUUCCUCGACAGUGCAAUUAAAAAGAUUGAAGCCACAACGGCAGAUUUUACUUCUCUGGCGGUGCAAUGGAGUAGAUUGAAGUCACAACGGCAGAUCUGGUUUCCUCGACAGUGCAAUUAAAAAGAUUGAAGCCACAACGGCGGAUCUUACCUCCUUAGUAGUGUAGUUGAACAGAUUGAAGCUACGACGGCGGAUCUUGUUUCCUCGACAUUGGAAUUGGAUAAAUUGAAUAAGAUAAUCCUAUCCCCCUGAAGAUGCAGUGGAGCGGAUUAACACCACGGAUAUUACCUUUCUAAAAUUGCAGUAAAGCAGAUAGUAUCAGACUCAUCUUUGAAGUUGCAGCAGAAUAAGUUAAAGUUACGAGUCUUAUCUCACUGAAGUUACGGUGGAGCAGACUAGAGAUUGCAAGUUUUGUUCUUUUGAGAAGCCACAAAGUACAAGUCCUAUCUCUUUGAUGUUGCAGUGGAGUGGAUUGAAGCACCGAUUCCUAUACCUCUGCAGACGCAGUAGAUUGGAAUGAGGCUAUUUGAAGAGCGCUAAGGUCCAGUAUGCCCGGGCAAAAUUGGCCAUCUUAAAGUCUUUGCUCUGUUCCCGUUACACGACAACGAGCAAAGAGGGGCAGCUGUAAUAGCCCAUUUUUGCCCGGCCCAUUCAAAAUAAGACCAACCCAAAAUCAUAACACUGCCCAAAUUAAAUACAAUUAAAUCCAAUAAAACUUAGGCUAAGCUUAACCCAAUUACAGGGCCCAAUUAACCCACUAGCCUAAAACACAAAACAGAGAAACCUAGCAGCAAAAUCAACAGCCGCGGUAACCUCACCCACGCCUCAACAUCGCCCCACGUUCAGCACUUUGCGCACGUCUUCCACGACUUUCAUACCUACGAAAAACUGAUCCAAACGGCAAUGGAUGAAAAAUAACAGAAUAGAUUUUUAUUUAUUGUUUUUUAUUAUUAUUUGGGGGGGAUAUAAAAAGGUGAUUUUAAUUUGUAAAAGGGGGUUAGCAAAAUUUUUAUACCGAAAUCAAAAAGAAAAUAGACGGAAAGAAACAUUUUUGAAGGUGGGAUCUUGUUUUCUUUCUCGGUUCUUUUACUGUUUUUUUUAAUUUACCUUGUUCUUUUCUUUUGCUUCUUUUUAAAAAAAAUAACAAAAAUAAACGAAGAGGGAGAGAAAGGGGGCUUACCUGGUGUCGCCGGAGCGUCGUCGGAGGCCAAGGGACGGCUUAGCGGCGGUGGAUCUUUGACGGUGGCGACGUGUGGGGAGGGUGCUAAGAAAAACCUAGCAGAGAACCCCCCUUUUCCUCUCUGUUCUUUAAAGAAAAUGGAAUAAAGAUGUUUUUAAAGGAAAUUUUUUUUCUUUUUUCCUUAUUUUUUUUAUAUUAACGAAAAGUGGUGCCGUUUAAUGGCCAUUGAUUGGUUUUUUAUUCAAAGGGUUUAUUUUCGAAACUGGUCCUUUCUUGUUACAGUGCUUGUAAAUUAAAUUAUUUAUUUCUUAUAAAUUUGGCCACAUGUUUUAUAACUGUUUCAAUCUGACCCGUAUUGUUGUGCAGCGUUUUGGAGGGAGGGAUUAUUUUCCCUUUUGAUCCUUCAAAGUUAAUUGUGCGUUCUAAUUGGUCCAUUUGCAUCUUAUUUUUUAUAAAUUUGCCCUAAAUGUUUGUUUAAAGUUUAAAUUAGAAUAUUUUUUUUCUUUCUUCUUUAUUUCCAUUAAUAUUACUGUAUUAUUAUCAGUUUAUUAUUAUUAUCAUAUUAUAUAGUAUUAUUAUAUUUAUUUAUAUGUGUAUAGGCAUAUUAAUAUAUAUAUAUAUAUACAUUUUAAAAUAUACACUAUAUGUAUAUCAUAUAUUUUAUUAUUACUUUAUUUUUCUUAGUUUUAUAUACAUAUGCAUAUAAAUAUUUAUAUUAUAUAAUUUUCAUAUCAUUUUUUUUAUUUUAAAGAAAUUCGAUCAAUUAUAUAUGUUCUUUUAAAUAUAUAUAUGUAUAUACGUUAUUCAUAAGUAUUUAAAUAUAUUUUUUGCAUUUGUCUCGCAUACANNNNNNNNNNNNNNNNNNNNNNNNNNNNNNNNNNNNNNNNNNNNNNNNNNNNNNNNNNNNNNNNNNNNNNNNNNNNNNNNNNNNNNNNNNNNNNNNNNNNUUAUAAAUAUAUUUUACUUAUAUUUUUUUUAUAUACCUAUACAUAUUUUAUACCUCACUUUCAUAGUUUUUAUAUAUACGUUUAACGUAUGCAUAGGCAUUUUAUUUUAAGAUAUACUUAUAUGUCAUAAUUUAUUUUGUAAAUACACAUAUGCAUAAUUUAAAUUAAAAUAUUUGUUUCAUAUUGCAUUAAUAUUUUAAUAUAUUUUCAAAAUAUAUAUUGAUUUUGUUAAAACAUUUAAAACGGUUUUAUGAUCCAAAGGCUUUCAAAAUAAAUGAUAUUCAAGGUUAGGAAUUUUUCGAGGGAAAUUGAGCCCUAACGUAUUGGGUUCCGAUUUUCUUUAUCAAUUCCAAGUAACCGAGAAUAUUCGUUAUUUAAAAUGUAUAAGUAUAAAAAAAUCAUUUUCGGGAACUUUAUUUGUGGUGUCCUAACGUAUUGGGCAUGACAUAUUAUUUUCUCGAAAUGAAGAUUUUCUUUAAAAGCUAAAGGUGAUAUUCAAAUUCGGGGAUUUUGAGAAAUUGUACCCUAACGUAUUGGGUCUCAAUUUCUUCGCAUGACUUGAGUAAUUGAUUAGAUUUCAAUAUUUGAGUUUACAAAAUCUUUUAAAUUUUCGACAUCAAGGCAUUAAAAUAAUCAAUUUGGUACCGAUUUUGGGCGUUACGAGGGUGCUAACCCUUCCUCGUGCGUAACUGACUCUCGAACCCGUUUUCUCAAAUUUCGUAGACCAAAUUUGUUUUUUAAGGUGAGCCGGUCACACCUAAAUCACGGAUCGGUGGCGACUCCAAUUUUCGUUUUUAAAGUCGACAACUACAUUUUGUUUUUGUUUUCAAAAAAAAAAAUGGUUUCGACACCGACAAUCUUUAAUACAAUUUCUUUUUUACGUUCCAUGUUUUUAUUUUUAUGAACAUUUAAAUUUCUGUUUGUUACCAAUAAAGUGUAAAACAUUUAAAAAGAAAAAAGAAAAAAGAAAAAAAGAAAAUCCUUUUUGGCAUUUGAACGCUAUGUUUUUAAAAAAUCGAGAAAUGUAUUUAAAAAUUGUUAUGUGCGAUUGGAUAUUGCAUUGCAUGAAAAAAAAAAACAUAUUUUAACGUGUGAUAUCAAUUUUCUCACGUUUUAAAACAUGAAUAUCAUAUUAAAAGUCAGAAAAGUAAAUGUUAUAUGUAGGAAUUUGUGUAAAGCAAUUUAUAAUAUAUAUUUUUAUUAAUUAGCUUAAAAUAGUACUUGAUGGUAUGUUAUUAUUUCACCAAAAAACUUAUAUUUCAAAUCCGCUGUAUUAUCUCACAAAAUUUAAACUGAAUAUUACAAUUUCAACUAAAUUUGAAUGCAUAUAUGGUAAUAAGCUUAACCAUUUGAAAUAUAAAUCUUUUAGCAUUUAAUAGUUUUAAAAUUCUUUUUGUUAGGUUGCGAAAUGUAUAUUAUUAAAUUUUCCAUAAAAAUACACCAUCAUUUUUUUAUUAAUAAAUUUUAAAUAUAAAAAGAUGAUAAAUUCUAUAUUGGCAUUAAAGUUUAUAUGGGAAAUGGAAAUGAUUUGUAUUCAAUAUAUGUGGUUACAAAAUUGAUUAUAUUUUGUAAAUGAUUAAUAUAAUUUAUUGAAUUUGAAAAUGCUAAAGGCAUGUAUGCUUAGAAAUCCACAAUGUUAAAAAGUUAGUACAUUACAUAUCAUAAAAUAAGAUUAAUAAUUAUUAUUAAUUUGUAUAACUCCAUACUUGCAUUAAAUCCACUGAAAGUGAAAUUAACAAUUUGGUAUUAAAAAUAAUAACUUUGAUUAUAAUUCGAUAUGACAGAAAUAUAUUACUAAGAUUAUUCCGAGGUUAUUUUCAAAUUUAAAAUUUAACAAUUAAUUGUAAUAAAUAAAAAUAGAAAGAAAGAUAAACUUUCAAACUAUGUAAAUAAACAACUGCUUAAAAUAUAAAAUAAUGUGAUAUAACUAUUCAUUGGAUACUUAGCAUAAAUUAUAAAUUAAAACAUCAACAUAAUGAAAUUUGAAAACGAAAUCAAUUUUAAUACAAUUAAAUCGUUAAGCUCAACAUCGACUCUACUGUUCUUGGAUGAAUGGGCAAUCCACUUGCAAGUUGUGCCAAGUAUCUUCUCCCUAUAAGAAUUGAUAAACUUGUGGUACAUUUCCAUUUCUUCUCGUAAUUUUUUAUAAAUCUUUUACCGGGGUAAAAUUGAUAUGAACAAAUUAUUUAAUAUAAAAUAUUAAAGUUUAUUUUGGAAAUUAGAAAAACUGAAUUGGAUUGGAUAAAAUUAUAAAGUACUGGAUCGAAAAGCCCGAGAAGUACUCGUAAUUAGACUCGAUGUGAGAGAGACCCAAAAACCCCUCAUGGAUAUGAAGAGAGGCAACAACCCUAGUAGGAAUGCCAAGGGAUCCCAUCCACCCUACUCCUACACUAAGUAGGAAGUUGUUUUCUAUUUGAAAUAAACAUCUACAAUUCAACAAGGAUUCUACCUUAUCUUCCUAUAAUUAGAUGACAUCAAUAGAGCUAUUAACAGAAUUUCGAGAGAUUGUUGCUCUGCCGAAAAAUAGAGAGAACUUAUUCUCAACUAUUAAAUAUAUUUUUCCAUAAUAACAAUUCUACCGAUUUCUAUUGAAGAAGAGAGAAUUUUCGUUUUCACCCCAAAAGGAAAAGAAAACUUUUCUAGUUAUAUGUUUUGAUUCAAUUGGUUUGAGCCCACACUCAAAGCAAUUCGUGGUACGAGAAUAGCGAAGAAGAUCGUUUGGUUGAAAGCCAGAAAACAUCAAGGAUUCGCAUAUCUUAAAAUAUAUGUAUGAUUUUGGUCUAAGGUUGAUUGCUAUAAAUAUCACAAACCAGGUCAGUUUUCAAAAUCUUAAUUUUCUGUUGUGCAAGAAAACUAUUUUCAAACCAGAUUUUUUCCAACAGUUUGUUCUCACAAGGGAAUACACUCACCAUUGGACCUUUAGUAUUUUGGCUUUUUUCACUAAUGGCCUCUUGUCUCUCAACCUUUUUUACAAUUGCAUCUUUCUUCCCUUUAACCUCCUCACAAAAUUUUUUCAUCUUGAGUUGAUCAUUGUGUACAUCUUUUGGAUCCAAAUGGGCCAAAGUAAAUUUCUUCCCUUUAAACACGAGUAACGGUUCAAGUUUUUCAUGAUGCACCAUAUCACGAUCAUAUUGUCAUGGUCUACUAAAAAGCAGAUGGGCGACAUGCAUAGGAACUACAUCACACCAAACCUCAUUAGAAUAAUUUCCAAUUUUGAAUGUUAUUAAGGAUUGUCUAACUACCUUAACUUUUGAACCUUCCUUAAGCCAUUAUAAGUGAUAAUGCUUAGGAUGCCAUUGAUAAGGUAAAGAUAAAAUAUCCACUAAAAAACUACUCACCACAUAGGUACAACUACCACUAUUAACAAUAAGAUAACACAACUUUCCUUGAAUCAAACGCCUCUUGUGGAAUAUGUUAGUCCUUUGCACUUCGUCUGAAUCCUCCCUUACUUGAAUGUUAAGGGAUUAUCACACUACACGACAAUGGGUGAUCUGCCGCAAUUCGAUGUAGCAGAUUAAACUAGUUCUCACAUUUAAGGAGCUUGAAUACAAACAUUUUCAUUAUUAAUUCAGCUUCUUUAGUUUUGUUUACAUUAAACAAAAUGUGCACAUCAGUCUUUUAUUAACCUUAAGGGCUAAAAGAGGCCUAAGGGAGAGCUAACGUAAUUUGUGAGUGUGUAGGAUACCAUUAGAGGGCAUUUCAAGUCAAUACUAGACGUUAUGUCACAACAUGGGGAAUUUGAUGUCACAACAUAGCGACCAAAAUAGAGAAAGUGAGAAAUUGUCUUUAAUGUCGCGACACAGGCUGAAGUGUCACGAGAUACCCCUAAAGAUGGCUACGGAGGAAUAUGUUGGUUGCUACGUUGUAACACAGGUCCUGGUGUGUCGCGACACCGACUCUGUGACAGGAAUAAAACACGAAGCAGUGUCAUUUUGGUCUGCACAAUUGAACUUUAAGCUUUGAAACGUUAGCUAACCUAGGGUUAAGAACGACGAUUAUCUGAAUGCUAGAAAUAGGCCCCUUUAGCACAUGUAAAGGACAUCUAAGUUUUAACCUAGUUUUCUUCUGUUAAAUUUAGUCUUUUUUUUCUUUCCUUCUUAGGUUUUCCUAGUUUUAGUUAUUUGCUUUCUUCAAGAGAUAUGAUUGUAAAUGAGAUAAACUUUUGCGGAUUCAUGGUUAUUAUCAAUAUCAAUCAGACUUUUCUUAAAAUCUCUAUUUUAAUCCAUUCCCUAUGAUUAAUUCUUCCAUUUAUUCCAUGUUGUUUAUGAAAGCCAUGAGGACCUAAUCCUUUUAUGGGGAUUAGCGAGUGGAAGCAUGAUCACUUAACCAUUUUGUAGGGUUAUUAACAGAUUAAUUGUUUGGGAAAGGAAGAAUGAGAAAUAAACCCUAGGCCUGACAACCCUAAGAAGUCAUCAAUGUGAUAAUUAACCCAAAAUUGGUAUUGCCCAUCCGUGAACACCUUGACCCCAAAAUUUCUUAACCUUCUUAAAAAAAUUACACAUUAACUUACCGUUUGUUGAAGCUCUUUCACAGAUGCCAAAUUACAUCAAAUUCUUAAAGGAGUUGUUAACGAACAAGAGGAUGUUAAACAACUUGUCGACUGUGGAGCUUAAUGCAGGUUGCUCGACCAUUCUCCAAAAUAAACUACCCAAAAAACAUAAAGAUCUAGGGAGUUUUACUAUUCCUUAUCUUAUUGGUAGUUUAAAUAUUGAAAAUGCUUUGGCUGAUUUAGGGGCUAGUAUUAAUGUCAUGCCUUAUAAAAUGUUUAAACAACUUGGUCUUGGGAAACCUAAACACACUAGGAUGAGUAUUCAAUUAGCGGAUAGAACCACUAGAUAUCCUAGGGGCAUUAUUGAGAAUGUCCUUAUGAAAAUCGAUAAAUUCAUAUUCCCUUUUGAUUUUAUUGUUUUAGAUAUGGAUGAGCAUAGUGAGGUACCUUUGAUCUUAGGUCGACUUUUUUAGCCACUUCUAGGACAAUUAUCGAUGUUGGUAUGGGUGAACUUGUGCUUCAUGUAGGUGACGAAAAGAUUACUUUCCAAGCACACGAUUCUGUAAGAGUCUCAUGUGAGCAAGAUGAUGUUAAAUGUUCUAUUAAUGUUAAUAAUCAUGUGGCUCAAUGUUCUUUGCAGGAAAUCCCUCGUGAAAAUGUGUUAGAGCCAUGUUUCAGUCAAGGUGACAUAAAUUGAGAAACAUAUGAAGAGCGAAUGGUGUAACUCGAUGAACUAGAUGAAUGGCGAAUGCAUGCUAAGGAGAAACUGAAAAAACACAAUGUAGAGCCAAAGUGACGCCAUGAUGAGCAACUGAUGAGAAUGAACCAAUUUAAGGUAGGCGACAAAGUACCGCUAGAAAAAAAGGAUCUACGGAUUUCUCCUUCGAAGCUCAAGUCAAAUGGAUCGAACCCAUUUACGAUACUUAACAUCUUUCCAUACGAAACAGUCCAGGUAACACAUUCUGAGUUUGAUACAUUUAAAGUAAAUAGUAGUCGACUCUGUAACACCCCUUACCCGAGACCGUUACCGGAGUCAAGCAUGAGGUGUUACUUGACGUAACUUAUUAGUUUGGGGCAAAAAAAAUUUGCUUUUAAAAUUCAUUUCACUGUUCACCAUAAUGUUGUGCACCUGCGCAGCAGUCACUAAUUUAAUUAUAACUUGAGUUAAAAAACUAAAAAUUUAGAUCCGUAAAUUUUUCCUGAAACUAGACUCAUAUAUUUUCUUACCAUAAAAUAUUUAGAAUUUUUGGUUAAGCCAAUUAGUACAGUUUAUUCAUUAAAGUCUCCCUUGUUUCACUGCCUAACAGUUCUGACCUUUACUCACUAAAAAUCAAUUUUCUCAUCUUAUGAUUUUUAUAUAGUGUUCUAACUUAUUUAUAAAGAAAAUAGACUCAUUAAGGAAUGCAUAAAUGUACAUUAUAACUCAUAAUUAUUUUUUUAAAAUUUUUAAUGAUUUUCUAAAGUCAGAACAGGGGACUCCAAAAACUAUUCUGACCCUGUCUAACCAAAAUUCAAAUAUCUCAAAACAUUAAAUUUCUUUGCCUACAUCGUUAUUUUUCUAUGAAAAUAGACUCGAUAAGAUUUAAUUAUAUGUAUCAUUCACUCUCUAAUUAAUUUUAUACUAUCCUUGGUGAUUUUUCAAAGUCACGUCACUGCUGCUGUCCCAAAACUGUUUCAUAGCAAAUUUUUACUCUUUCAUAAUUUCUAGGUAUAAACUAUCACCUAGGCAUUCAUAAUACCAAACUUAUUCUUACUUAGCCAUUUUAGUAGCUAAACAUUAUCAAAUAUUUACACAUCAUCCUUUAGCAAUAUCAUAAGGACAUACAUUCAAAAUGACUAAGUCCCUAUACAUGUCAUAGCUCAAACAUUAAUCAUCAUAAAAUACCAAGUUGUUGUUGUUGAUAGUGUGAGCGCUCUCCAACGUCUUUAAGAUCCCCGAAUUAGCUUUGCAAUACUAUAAAAGAAGGAAAAUAAAAGAAGUAAGCAUAAAGCUUAGUAAUUUUACAAGAAAAUAAAUAACAACAUUUAACACAAAUAAUUAACUCAAACGUCAUGAUAUUUAAUUUCCUCUUUACAUACUCUCUUACUCGUUCACUUACUUGUUUACUUAGAUAACUCAUGAUUAUACCUUACUCUUCUCUUGCUGAAAUGUUGGUUCUCAAUUGAUAACAUAAUAUGUUCUCAACUCUUAUAACUCACCUGAAUUUGCUAUUUAUGCUUUUACCUGAACUUUCAUGGAACAUAAUUUGUUUACUAGCUCGUUGAGCCACAUUGGAAUAAUAAGGAUAAUUGUGUCUCUUUUCUGAUAAUAACAUGCCAAAGUCAUGUCCCAGACAUGGUCUUACAUGGGAUGUUUCUUGUACUGCCAAUUCCAUAUCCCAGAUAUGGUCUUACACGGGAGUUCUCAUAUCGGUGCCCAUGCCAUGUCCCAGACAUGGUCUUACGGGGGGCCUCUCAUCUUGGUGCCAACGCCAUGUCCUAGACAUGGUCUUACAUAGGACCUCUCAUAAUCUCAAUGAUGUCAAUGCCAUGUCCCGGACAUGGUCUUACAUGGGAACUCAUCACCCAAAUGUCAUGACAUUUGUAUCCGAUACAUUCCUAAUGUUUCAACGGGGCUUGUAUCACUAAUUCUCUGUCAUCUCAUACUUGAGUCAACAUUAAAUAUUUUCAUGAAAUAAAUACAUAAUUGCUGAAAAAUAACAGCAUUAAUAAUAAUUAAUGAAAUAUUGCAUUUAUUUACCGUAAACUUACCUCGGUACAAAAUAUGGCUAAAUCUAUCAACUUAGUCUUCAACCGUUUUCUUUCCUCGGUCUAACUCCGGAUUUUGUUCUUCUUGAUCUACAGUAGCAAAUUUAAUUUAUUUAAUACUCACAUUUAUAAAAACAGCCCUCGACUCUAACUUUGGAAAAAUUACAAUUUUGCCCCUAAACUUUUGCAUAUUUACACUUUUUUCCCAAAGCUCGGAAAUUAAGCUUCAUCCCAUAUUCUUAUGUUUUAUAGCAUGCUGAACAAUUUUCCCUUCUAUGAUAACAUCAAAUUCCCAUUCUAACACUUACUUAUGAACAUUACGUAUUUUUACCGAAUAUGUCAUUUUACUCGUUUUCACUUAAAAUCGCUUAGCAAAAGUUGUUUAACAUAAUUUAAAACUUCAUAUUCUUCCAUAAAACAUCAAAAUAAACACAUUUCACCUAUGGGUAUUUUUCCAAAUAUAAACCCUAGGUUAAAUUAUUGCUAGAAUAAGCUAAAUCAAGUUACCGAGACUUCAAAAACGUAAAGAACAUUAAAAAUGAGGCUUGGGAUCACUUACUAUGGAGCUUGGAAGAUUGAAAACUCUAACUAUGGCUUUCCCCAUUUCUAAUUUUGGCCAAAUGAAGAAGAUGAGCACAAUUUGCCAUCUUUUUCCCUUUUAAUUCAUUUUAAUUACCGAAUUACCAAAAUGCCCCUAACUUAAAAAUUUCCUAUUUCACUUAUCUCAUGUCCAUUUUUGUCCAUAACUUAAUCAAUGGUCUAAUUUCCAUAUAAAGACCUCCAAUUUAAAAUUUCAUAACAAUUGGACACCUCUAACAUGUAGAACUCAACUUUUGUACUUUUUCUAAUUUAGUCAUUUUGACUAAAUUGAGUGCCCAAACGUCAAAAUUUUUGAACAAAAUUUUCAGGAAAUCAUUUCGUGAAAUUGUAGGCCAUAAAAAUAUAGUAAAAAUAAAAUUUUCCUCAUCGGAUUUGUGGUCCCGAAACCACUGUUCCGACUAGGCCGAAAAUCGGGAUGUUACAGACUCAAACUUUAUCUUAGUGUUAAAAUUGAUAUUAAGAAAGAGGAGCUUUGGCUCCGAGAACAAUUGUAACCGUGCGCAUACAGGGUAAGUUGAGCUUAGACUCUAAAUAAGCGCUUCUCGGGAGGUAACCUAAGUAUUUAAAUUUUUUAAUUAUUUUAAUUUUUGUUACAUGUUAAUUUUAAAAUUAAUUAAAUUAAUUUUAAAAAAAUGUUUUUUAACCUAUACGGCCUAGACACAUGGGCGUGUCUCAGGUCAUAUACAUGACGGAGCAAAUGACAAUUAUACAGUGUGAAGACAUGGCCGUGUAGGUCGCACAGCCUAGACACACGGGCGUGUCCUGGGCCGUGUGAGUCUUGGGACUUAAUUUUUCCAAUUUCGAUUGUUACACGCCUGAUGUGGUCCACACAGCCUGGUGACACGACCAUGUGCCACACACGAAUGUGUCCAAGACCAUGUAAAUACUGGAGUUAAUUUUUAAAUUUAAUUACAGUCUUGUGCAAGACACAGCCUGUCACACCGACAUGUGUGAGACCGUGUGCUCGUCACAGCCUCGCACACGAGUAUGGGAGAAGCGAAGGAAAAUCACACACGACCUGGCACAUGGCCGUGUGUGACACACAAGCUAGACACAAGGACGUGUUUGAGGCCGUGUGAAAAUUGAGCUUAAAUUUUGAAUUACACAUAGGAUGAACGAGCGAAUGCGUGGAGUGGAUCCUCCUCAAUACUAAUUAUCUCAUUCUGACCUUCAGGAUGAGUAUGAAGACUUCACUGAUGAUGUCCCUUUCUACCACGAGGAUCCACCUCCAGGUCACCCUACUACUACUUCUGCUACUACCCUAGCGGACCUCUUCGAGCAGUUCACUCGUUUCGAGCAGCAUUAUUUUGAGCAGUUCAACAAUAUUGAUGCGACUUUGUAGAAGAUCUAUUAGCAUCUUCAUAUUUCUUCUACAGUGUUGGCACUUCGAUAUCCCGAUGCCUCUCACGGUGAAGAUCACUGAUUUUUUUCAGUUUUAUUUUUAUUUCUUCUUGAAUGAGAGUUGUUCAACAUUGUCUUGUUGAGGUUCUGGAUUCACUUCUUAAUCAAUGAUAGGUAUGAGAACAUGAACAUUAUUAAAAGUGAUAGUAGGAACUGAGUUAGAAUCUAAUUGCUCCUCAAAAGCAAUGUCUCUAACCUUAUUUCUCCCCCCAAACUUAACAUCCUCCAAAAAUGUUACAGUUCCCGUCUCAAAAAUAUUCCUUAUUAUGGGAUCAUAAAACUUAUAACCCCUAGAUCGCUUAGAAUAACCAAUAAAGUAACUGCUCACUGUUUUGGAGUCCAAUUUCUUUUCAUGUGGCCUAUAAGGCCUUGCCUCAGCUGGACAUUCCCAAAUGUGAAACUGCUUUAUGCUAGGCUUUUGACCUGUCCAAAGCUUAUAAGGUGUUUUUGCAACUGCUUUAUUGGGUACUCUAUUCAGAAUGUAAGCUACUGUCUUUAAUGUUUCUCUCUAGAGGGACUCAAGUAAGGUAGAAUGAGCAAUCAUGCUCCUUACCAUAUCCUUAAGAGUCAUGUUUCAUCUUUCAGCUACACCAUUCAUACUAGGUGAUCUUGGCAUAGUGUAUUAUGGGACAAUACUUUAUUCCUCUAGGAAUUUUGCAAAUGGUCCUAGAAAUUAGUCUCCUAAGCCAUCAUAUCUACCAUAGUACUUACCACCACGAUCAGAUUUGACGUUUUUAAUCCUUUUGUUAAGUUGUUUCUCAACUUCAGCUUUAUAAGCUUUGAACACGUCUAGAGACUGAGAUUUCUCAUGAAUGAGAUAUAGGUAUCCAUAACAUGAGUAAUCAUCUAUGAAUGUUAUGAAAUAUUGUUGACCAUUCCAGGAUGCCGUAGGGAAUGGACCACAAAUAUCUGUAUGAAUUAAUAUUAAGACAUCUGAAGAUCUGUUGGCACCCAAUCUCUUGGUUUUGGUUUAUUUUCCCUUAAUGCAAUUGACACAGACAUCAAAGUUUGUGAAAUCAGUGGACUCUAAAAUACCAUCAGACACAAGGCGUUCAACUCUAACUUUUGAGAUAUGACUUAAGCACUUAUGCCAUAAUGAUGCUGAAUUUUCCUUAUUUAAUUUACGUUUAAUACCACAUGAUUCCACAUGCAAGGUUUCAUUAUAGGAUGCAACUGUUUCUAGCAAAUAAAGGUUGUCAUAAGUAUUUAAAAAACAAGUUCCAACAACAUUCGAAUUUAAAGACAAACUAAAUUGAUUGUUUCAGAAUGAACAAUAAUAAGCAAAAUUUUCCAACAAAGAAACAGAAACUAAAUUCUGUCUAAAUGAUUGUACAAUAAAAGUGUCUUUUUAAUUCAAAUAAAAACCAGUUCCUAAUAACAACCUAAAAUGUCCAAUCGCUUCCACUUCUACCGAUUUUCCAUCGCCCACGAAGAUGUGUCUUUCACCAUCACUUGGCUUUCAGUAACUCAGGCAACCCUACAUAGAAACACUUAUGUGAGUAGUAGCACCAGAAUCUAUCUACCAAGUUUUUCUAGGUACUAAACCGAAAUUAACUUUAGAACAAACCAAAUUAAGAAUUAUACCUUUCUUUGCAUGUCAGGCAUGAUAUUUGGUACAAUUUUUCUGCACAUGUCCAGACUUGUUACAAAAGAAACAACUCUCUGUAGUUUGUUAUUGUUUCUUUUGAGCUUGACCCUUAGUAGUUUCAUUCUGAUAUUUCCUUUUCUGGCCCUUAUGUUUAGGGGCAUUGCCCAAAUGAGCACUUUCAGACUUAUCACGCUUCAACAUUUCUUCCUCUUGCACACAAUGAUAAAUGAGCACAUUUAGACUCCAUUUCUCCUUUUGAUAGUUAUAACUAAUUUUAAAGUGAUAAAACUGUGCAGGAAGCGAUACCAAAAUCAUAAAAACAAACAAUUCUUCAAAAAGCUCGAUCUUAAGUGCUUUAAGUCUUGAAGUAGUAUGGAACAUCUCCAUAAUGUACUCCCUUAUAUUUUCUUGACCCUUAUACUUCAUAGACAUCAAAGAAGUCAGAAGUGAUGUCAUCUUAACCUUAUCAUUUUUAGCAAAAUGUUUCUCAAUUUCAUCAAGGAAACCCUUGGCCUGAGUAAUCUCUUCAAAUUCUGUGCCCUUAAAGGCUUUUGGAAUGCUGUGUUUCAUGAUCAUUAGACUCGUGUGAUUUGAAUGAUCCCACCUCUCAAAAUCCCUCUUAACAUCAAGGGUGCUUUCCACAGUGAAAUGUGCAGGUUGUUCUUCCCUUAGUGUAGGGUCUCUGUCCAUAUAGUCAAGCAUUAUAAGUAAGUGUCUUUUUCAUUCCUUAAAAUUAGUCCCAUUAAGCAUAAGUAUAGAAUUUAUAUUAGCAGAUAUUGUGGCAGCAGAAGAUGAACUAACUGAAUAUAGAAAAAAAAAGCUCAAAUCAAUAUUCAUAAGUAAAUAAUAAAUUCAAGAUAAUGGCUAAUCUCAUCUCAAGAUACCAAACACAUCAUUAAUAUCUAGUUUUUGGACAGUAAUAUUAACAAUAAGCGGAACUCUUGUUGUAGCAAUCAAACAUUGACAAUAAAUUUUGUCAAACAAUUAAUUAAUCUUUGGACUAACUUAUUGCCCACAUAAAAUACCUUAUAAUUAUCACACAUUUAUCACCACGGAUGUUGUUGAAAUUCUAUCAAAUAUUAACUUACCUUUGGGUCAAUCAAUAAACACAUGAAUCACAAAAACAUAUAAUCAUCUUGAUAUUUCAAAUAAACCAAUCUACGCAAAAGAGGUCACUUUGGCAGCAUUUUAUUUCAACUCAUCUAUUUAAAAUAUUAAACAUCCUUACUUAAAAGCUAGAAUCUGAAUUUAUUUGUUUCAAAAUAUUUAUCUUUAUCUUAUCUUUCAAUCAAAUUAAUAGAUAAUAGUAUAUACAUUUAUCUCAAAACUACAUACAUGAAGAUUAAAUAUAACACAAAUAUACAAUUUGUAUCAAACUCAACUAUAUAGACUAAAAAUAAAUAACCAAUAUGUUGAAAUCUAUUUUAAAAUAUAAUAUAAUAAUAUAUUGAUAAACUCGAAACAACCCAAAUUAUGUGAAUCCAGCAAAUCAUCCAACUAAGCAUGCAAUUCUGCUCAAAUUUGCAAAGUAACUUUGCGAAAAGAAAAGUAAUAAGAAUCGCCCAUAUUUAUUCAGAUUCAACUUGCAGAAUGUGAAAUACAAUAGUGAGUAGCCAAAGUCAUACAUACUUGAAUUCAAUCAUCAUCUUCAUUAAAACUAAAACGUCUUUAGCCAAAAUUCAUAAAAACAUUAACCCUAAAACUUCAUAAAUCCAAAAGAUUUAAUAACAUCAAAUCUAUAUAUAUCAAAUCUAUAAAAUCUCAAGUACGAAUUAAUUUUAAAAAUAAAAAAAAUUAAUUCAUUCUCAAUUAUUCGACAUGACGAGGCUCGGAUGUCACUUGUUAGUACCAUAAAUUAAGAUAUGAUAUAAAACUUAAGAAAUUAUAAAUUAGUACCUGGCAUGUCAAAUCAUUAAGAACAAAACAUGAAUAAAACUAGAUGUGGAAGUGUACCUGAAUCCAUGAAUUCCUUAAAGUUUUUUCGAAUCUUGGGGAUUUGAUCUUCCAAAUUAGCACACAAGAAAUUUAGAGAAUAUUUUCUCUCUUUCCUAAGGAUGGAAUAUUAGAAAAGAUAUCUUGUAUGUAAUUUGGGGACCAUAACCCUAAUAUUUAUAACUUUGGCAUAUUAGUCCUAAUUCCUAAUUAGCCCAUCAUUAAUUAGAAUUUGAUUAGAACUUAAUUACCAGAGUAUCUACAUAUAUUUGACCCAUAUUUUAUUUAAUAAUUAAAGUCAAUAAAACUUUAACCAAAUUAGAUCACUUUUAAUUUGGGCUAAUCUAUUAUGAUAGUUAAUAAUAACAUGUAAUUACCCUUAUUAUAUAUGUGAUGUCCAUUUUUUUUCAACAUGACUUUGUUGGAUGUUUAUUCGAUUCAACCAAUUUCAUUAAACCUUGCCCAAAAGAGAGGGAAAAAAGAAAAUCAUCAAACCUUCCAUUUUUGCGAACAAUGGGAGCAAACAUGAGAAACUAAGGAGGACUUGACUUCUCAUUUCGGAGAUUGUAGAAAAGAAGAUAAACAUACCGGAGAUGAAAAAAAAAGACAAAUAAAACCUUAAAAAACCCAACAUAUGAUAUUCAAAAUGACUUGGGGAGUUUGAACUGGUUGCAUGUAGGGUUUGGACUUUGGAACAUGGAAGUAGCCCGUUUGUGGAAUGGAAAAGUAUUUUGGAAUAAUUAUAGAGAGGUUUCUAAGCUUUAGUCAAAAGUGCAAAAUAUUAUCACGUGUCGUCAUUCAAUUGGGUAAUAUGCCACGUUAGCAUUUUGUUAGUGUAAAACGAAAGAUUUUAACAAGAGUGAUUAGUUUGAACAAUUAUUUUAUUAAAGCGAUUGAAUUGAGGAAAAAAAUAAAGUGAUCAAAAUAAGACAAACCCUAUUUUAGAGUGACCUUGGGUGUACUUUACCCUUAUCUAAAAUACACAAAAUUAUUUCAUUUGUUAUAAAAUUAAUGACAACUCAAAUAUGUAAAAUAUUUAUUAAAAUGACAUUUUAAAGUAAAACUAAAUUAAUUUAAAUGAUAUUCAACUUUGUUGAUAUUAUGAUAUAUGAAAUAUAAAUUUUAAAUAUUUUUAAGUAAUUAAUAUAAUUUAUUUUUUAAAAUUUAAUUUGGAUAUAUAAAUAAUAUUUUAAAUGUUAAAUUACGUAUAAAUAUAACUCAUAUAAAUUUAAAAACAUUUCAUAAGUGAUGAGAUAAUUUAUUCAAAUGUAAAAUACCUUUCUUUUCUUAUGUCUUUACAAUUAUUAUUAUUACCAUGACAUGUUUGAAUUAUUUUUAUAUUAACAAAUAUUAAAAUUAAUUUAUGAUAAAAAUAUAAUAAAAUAAUAAUUUAUUAUCAAUAUUGUGAUAUAUAAAGUAUAAAUUUUAAGUAUUUUUAUGUAAUUAAUAUAAUUUUUUUGUAAGAUUUAAUUUGAUUACAAAUUAUAUAUACAAUUUAUUAUUAUAAGUGAAGGGAAAAUUAAAAAAAAAAAAUUGAUUUGACUUGAAACGUGAUUUUGGAACACAAUACUUAACAAACCUUGAUAGCUACAUUUUAGAUUAAGAAAAUGAAAAAAAAAUUGUAUUAGAUAUUCUUCUACUUUGGGUUUUUUCAAUGUAAAGCCAAAACCGCUCAAUCGGAUUUGGUCAAAGUGAAAGCAAAACUGAUUAGGUUAAAAGUUAUCCACAAGUAUUAGUAUUUUUUUUUGUAAAUUUGAAAUUUAGGUUAUACAUAUAUUUAAAGUUUUACUGUAUAUUUGAAAAGUAUAUAAAUUAAAUUCUUAAAAAUAAAAGUAAUAGACUAAUUUUUAAAUUUAUGAAGAGUGUAAAGAUUUAUAACAUAUUUUAAUCAAAUAAAUAUAAACAAACAAAUAAUAAACAGACAAAAACCUUUGAUUACUACAAAAUUAUUUUUAUUGUAUAUUUUAUUCUUCUAUUGUCUCUUUCUUCUUAUGUUUUAGUUCCAUUGGAUUUUCUUACAUUUUUUUCCCCUUUCCUACCAUCAUUGAUGCUUAUGCUUCACCCACCCCUCUUUUUGGCCCCACUUAUUCAGCUGUUUGGUUCGGACUUUUUACAUUACGCCUCUAUUACGUCAAUAUCUCUGCUUUCUAUUCCGAACGAAAACCUCUGUUUAGCUUCCGUUUUACAGCUCCCAAUUUCUAUGCCUUUCUAUGCCCUGUUUUACCCUCCCAAUUGGUUUCUUUAUCACUGUAGACCGUGUAGUGGUGAUAGUAAAAUAAAGUACAAAAAAGAAAAAUUGUGUUUUCCGUUGGCUUUUAGGUUGUGAAUUGUGAAUAGAUGCCGUCAACGAUGGGAUUAGGUUUCAUGGUCGGCGUUUUGGGGGUGCUAUUCCUCUUCCACGCAGCUUAUUCCACAAUUCAGUGUAAAAUUUCGGUAACUUGGUAUUCAUCUCUAAUCUGAUUUGAUGGAUAAAGUUUUAAAUUUAUUUUUUGAUUGGGUUUUCCAGAUAGGGGGCUGUUGAAAUAUUGGAGGAGAAGUUUUCCGGUCCGCCCAUGAACGUAAGUUUGAUUGUUUUAGAUCUGAUUUUGGGCUAAUUUACUAAAAAAAGCCGUUUUUUUUCAAAAUUUACCGAAAUGGGCCGAUUUUUUUGAUUAUUUACCGGAAUGGUCCAUUUUUCGGGAAAUUACAUCCACGUCAGCGCGAUGUCAGGGUACGUGUCAGGACAUUGCGUCCACGUCAGUGCGACUUGCUGACGUGGACGCGAUGUCCCCCGCGUGUGAACAGUACCCCAACGGUAAAAAAAAAACUAUAAAAACCCCUCCCCCACCCCUUUUUUUUUCACAAACAAAUCCUAUCUCAAUUUCCUUCCAAAAUCCUCUCAAUUUCCUUCCAAAUUCCUCUCAAUUUCCUUCCAAAAAUCUCUCAAAUCCACAUUAAAUUUCAAUUUCCCGUCAAUUUUCAUUUUUUAAAAUAAUUUUAAAUUUUUUAUAUUUUUAAAAUAAUUUUAAAAUUUUUUAUAUUUUCAUCAAUGGCCGGAUCAUUGAUUCGUCUUGAUAGCAAUCACAUAUCGGUGGAGCAAAUGAAAAUGGUAAGUAUUAAAUUUAAUUUUUAAAUGUUAUUUAAGAUUUUUUUAUUUAUGUAUUUUUAGAUAAUUAUUAAUUUAUUAUUUGUUAUAAAAGUCUGAAGAUCGGUUAUUGGAAUGCAAUAUCCGGAAUAUGCAUGCUCCUCCAUCACCGUUAGUAGAGAACUACCUGCGGGAAACGGGUUUUUGGCAUGUGGCGACGGUAGGCCAGGGAUGCAAGUUGGACCCGAAACUGAUCAGUGCAUUGAUCGAGAGGUGGAGACCCGAGACGCACACAUUCCAUCUUCCAUGUGGAGAGUGCACUAUCACUUUAAAAGAUGUCCAUUUGCAAUUGCGAUUGCCGGUGGAUGGGCACCCAGUCACCGGGUCUGCCCAAUCUAGUAAUUGGGAGGCGGUGUGCUACGAGCUUUUGGGUACUGUUCCGGAUAAAAUGGAUGGAGGUAAGGUGGAGAUGGGCUGGUUACGUGCCACCUUCCCCGAUCUGAAUGCAAAUUCAACCGAAAUUGAAAGAAUCCGAUAUGCUCGAUCAUACAUUCUUCAAAUAAUUAGAGGUUAUCUGGUGCCCGACAUGUCACGGAGCCGUGUACAUCUAAGGUGGCUGCUAAAACUCGUUGAUUUUAGAGGAGCAGGUGAAUUUAGUUGGGGGUCUGCCGUCUUGGCAACAUUAUAUCGGGAGAUGUGCGGGGCGAUGCGACCGAGGAGAGCAAACAUUGGAGGUUGCGUGACACUAUUGCAAUCAUGAGCACGGUUUCGCUUUCCAUUUCUACGUCCUCGAGUGAACCACCCAUAUACAUUCCCGCUCGUAAUGAGGUAAAUUUUAUAUUACAUUUUGGAAUUGUUAUGUAGAUUUGGUAAGAAUAAAAGUAUGCUAAAAAUUUAUUUAGUUAGGUGGAACCAUCUGGCAAGUUAUCGUGGAUUACCGUCUGAACUUGAAGAUAUACGGCUUCUAUUGGAGCAACGGUCGGAAGCAGAAGUAAGUAUUAUUGCAAAUAGAUAUUUCCAUACAUUUGCUUGUGGAUUGAUAUUUAGUAUUUAGUAUUUAGUAUUAUGUAUAUAACUAAUAUUUCUAUCGUGUUCAUGUAGUUUCAAUGGACACCAUACGAGGAUCCGACAAUUCGGGCAGUAAUCCCGGAAGAGUUUUUACAAAAUCCGAACGCUUGGCACGCGAAAGUGGUGUUGAUCAACUAUGCAACCGUGGAGCCCCACCAGACAGACAGAGUCCUACGUCAGUUUGGAUGUAGACAACCGAUUCCUGCGGACCCUGAGGUGUUUGAUGAUCACCACAAAAUCAACCUUCGGCUAUUAGGUACGGAUUGGCCUAGAUACUGGUUAGAGUACACAGAAAUGUGGGAAAAUCGGCAUGAAUAUCUACCUACUCAGGAACAAAUAUCAUUCCGGAGUUAGCGUGCGUUCCAGAAUACAUGCCAUGGUUUAAGAUCCAUGGCAAGCCGUAUUUACUUGCGCCAGAGGAGAGGCAGCGGCAAAUACGUGUCGGAAGGGAAAGGCGAGAGCCUCUAAAUCCAAGGCGACAAGACUUCAAAGGCAGCCCCUCAACGAGGCCCAGACAUUCACCCGGCUCAUCAUCAGCGGCCAUGCAAUCACUGUCCCCAAUGAGAGCACCGACGCAGUCACCUGACGCAACAAUUCAACAGAUGAUACCCAUGCAAUCGCCUUUCCCUAUGAUGCCAGGUGUGUUUCCUAGCCCUUAUAUGUACCCUAACCCUUACAUGUAUCCUUUUCCGAAUCCUAUGGCAGGUUGGAGCCAAAUGCCCGGAUCAGCUCCAUUUCCUGUUAUACCGAGCGGACCACCGAUAUCUAGGCCAGUGGUGCAGGAGGGGUAUCAAGGGGGGCUGUCGGGGAGCUCUCCUUUUUAACAAUCGCCAGCAACGUAUGGCUUUCAAACACCGUCACCGUUCAUGAUGCAAACACCUCCACAUACACUAUUCUUUGAAGGUGGAUCAUCGUCCCAAGUCCAACAACCAGAUGCCGAACCGGAAGAACAACAAUCACCACCGGAGGAAGAACAACCGCCGCCGGAAGCAAGAGGAAGGAGGAACCCAGUACGUAACCGUCGACGGCCGCCAUGUGGAACCGAAUCCCCCGGGCAUAGACAUUGAUUACCGUAUUAAAAUUUAUUAUUUGAUGUAAUGAAAUAGAAGUUUAUUUGAUGUAAUACGCAUAGAAAUUUUUUUGAGUUAUUUUGAUAUUAUUUGAUAUAAUUAAAGUAAAAAUCCUAACCCUAACCUAAUUUAAUUAAAAACCCUAACCUUAACCUAAUUUAUUUAAAAACCCUAAUCCUAACCUAAUUUAUUUAAAAACCCUAACCCCUAACCCCUAACCCCUAAACCCUAACCCUAACCUAAAAGUAAAAACCCUAACCCUAACCUAAUUGAAUAAAAAAACCUUAACCCUAACCUAAUUUAAUAAAAAAACUGUAACACUAACCCAAUUUAAUUAAAAACCCUAACCCUAACCUAAUUUAAUUAAAAACCCUAACCCUAACCUAAUUUAUUUAAAAACCCUAACCCUAACCUAAUUUAAUUAAAAACCCUAACCCUAACCUAAUAUAAUUAAAAACCCUAGCCCUAACCUAAUUUAUUUAAAAACCCUAACCCUAACCUAAUUUAAUUAAAAACCCGUCCCUAACCUAAUUUUACAUAAUUUGAUAAUUUUACUAACCAUAAACAAAACCAUUAACAAAAGUUUUUGGGCUUAAUAAUUUUACAUAGUUUUACAUAAUGUUAGAUCUGGUAAAAUGUUUUGACUGGUACUAACAAUUAAGAAAUUAAACUAAUUUGAUAAUUUUACUAAAAAUUAAUACAAUUAUCAAUUAAUAAUUGAAUAAAAUAUAAUUUUUUCUAAAAUUACAUUCAACUAUUGCAAUUAGGGCAUGAUCGACUUGUAUGGCCUGGGUUCCUACACCAUCUGCAUAACUUCUGUUUACUGGCUGUUUCUCGGAUAUCCAUAUUGUUCCGUAUUCUAGUGGAGCAAGGUCGACCCUUUGGUUUGCGACGCAAUACUCUAUCCGGUAACAGCUUAAAAGGAGCAAGAGAUAUGGGCGGCCACUUACGUUCAUCUGGGACCGGUGGGAAAACGUGUCUCCAUACGUUGUACAUGUUUUCUAAUUUGUACACUUCGUCCACAUAACUCAGCGGAUCCAUACAGAGUUUUUGGCAAGCUAUAAUAACAUGAGCGCAUGGAUACCGAAGUGCAUCAAACUUCCCACAGUCACAAGUCCUAUUUCGCAAGUGUACACGAUAUUGCCCACCAACAACACCUUAGUGCAGUCUGUCAAACUCCGUUACGCAAAACCAUAAAUUGUCUCGAUCGUGACACACAGUGUGCAUGAUGUUUGCCCUCGCCUUCGCCUUGUUAAUUUCUUGAACUACCUUACUGCACCAUACAUGGCCACCCUGCAUCUGGCCUGCAUAAGUUACUACUCGCUUUGGAAAUAGCGCCGCCAAACAGAAAUAUGUCUCUCGCACAACCGAUGUUAUCGAUAGAUGGCGCGUUCCUUUAAGAACAGAAUUUAUGCAUUCUGCCAGGUUCGACGUCAUAUGGCCAUAUCGUAGGCCUCCGUCGUAUGAUUGUGCCCACUGUUCGAAACGUAUGUUACAAAGGUAGUCUGCCCCUUCUUCGUUUUGGGAUCGUAAAAUUGUCAACAUCUCGUGAAAACGAUCUUUAUUUAUUUCAUACCCUGCCAAUAUAAGUUCAUCGCGAAUAUUUUAUACCACUUCUACCAAUAAAACUAAUUCAAAUUGACAAACGAAAUAAUACAGUUAUAGAGUAAAUACCCUUGUUGGUCACUUGUCGUCGUUCGCUCUUAGAUGGAUAUUGUCUGUAGUAGUUCGAAGCAACGUGUCUUAGGCAAUAUCUAUGGUGUGUGCGCUGCCACAAGCCUCCCUCUCGAUCAAAUGCAGCUAGUAUACCGGUGCCCCGACCUGAAAUAACACAGAUAUCAGGAUGGGGGCACACAUGCCUCCUUAACCUAGAGAGAAAGAAAUCCCAGUCAUCAGACGACUCCCCCGGUGUUAUGGCAAAUGCAAUUGGAAGAAUUCUCCCACCGCCGUCCUGUGCCACUGCAACCAAUAGCCGAUGAGUAUACUUACCGAACAUGAAGGUACCGUUAAUUUGUACCAACGGCUUGCAGUAUGGAAAUGCGUCUCGGCAUUGGUUAAAGGUCCAAAAUAGGCGUUUGAACACUUGGCAUCCACGUAGCAAUCGGCCGUUGUAAUACGCAUGUUCCGUUUCAAUGUCUGUGAUGGCACCUCGGACGUAUCUCUCUAGCACCUGACACCACUGCCAUAUUUCAUUAUAUGAGGCGUCCCACCCACUAUGCAUCUUCUCCAACGCCUUUUGCUUAGCUAUCCAAGCCUUGCGGUAAGAGGGCGUGUACCCCAUUUGGCUACGGAUAUUGACAAUUAUCACCGGUACUGAAGUUCUAGGAUCUACUUUUAUCGUGGGCAGUAUCAAGCUAGCCAACAUAGCUGAAUCCAUUUUGGGAUGAUCUUGUGAAACACCUACAGAGGGAGGGAGUACAUUAAAUAAUGCAACAUUGCAAAAUAAAAUUAUUAUUCAGAUACAUUCAAUACUGUACCUGCAGCACAUGUAUGUGGACCUUUGUACUUUUUUAUCUCCCACAACCCUAUCCUUUUCCUUAACGAGGCAACGAUUUUCCAUGAACAUGUGCCGUCUUGCACCGCACACUUCGCCUCAAACUUAUCAGAUUUUGAUUUAACGACGUGGUAAUUAACGCUGUUUUUGAUGCUAUGCUGUUUCAAAGCACCAAUAAAACUAUCCUUAUUGGUAAACUGAUUACCAACUUCAAGUUCACCGAAAUCUACCCCCGAACUUGUACGAUCGUUCAACCGGUGUGGUAGAUCUGGAAACUCUUACGCAUCAUCUGCUGACAGAUGACAUUAUGUAUGUGGGCUAGAGGUGAGUAUGCUCUGAAUCGUGGAUUUUCUUCAUCAUCUGAACUCCUUUCACCAUCUUCAACUUCUGUUGGAAUAGGCUCCGGUUCAAAAAAUAAUCCCACCUCUGCACCAUCCGGCCCGGGCUCUCGAGGUGGAUCCACACCGGAGUCAUCUUCUAACCCACAAUCAUCUGCAGCAUACGACGUCCCCUCACCGGUUGAUGUCGUAGGUAAUACGUUAUCCCUUCUUCUGGGCAUUUGAUAACGUCACCAAUUGGAUGUAGAUUGCUAUCCACUAGAACUUGAUGCAGUUCCCUAGUACGUAUUUCCAGCGUCAAACGUCGAGCCACCGACGUACAUGUCCCAUCCACCGACAGAGUGUCUUGCAGGGGAUGUGCAUUCGACACCGCUACCGAACAUAGGCUGUUCCGUAUUUUGUAACCCGCUAAUCGAGUGUCGGCCAGGGGUCAUGUAUACAUCUCGAACACCGGACGGAAGUACAUCAGUUGGCGACGCAAAUUGUACAUAUAACUCAAUAUAAGUUGCUCCGCUAGCAAGAUGAGUCUGCACCAUUGUCUCCAAGCUACGAGCACCUUUUAUGUCGAACGAGUCAUAUGUCACCGGAUCAACACAAGAACAAAAUCGAUACGUGAUUGACAGAACUUUCAUUGGCGUCGUUCCGAAGAUUUUACGCCUAAUUCUUUUACGAAGUUCUGUCAAAUCUAUGUUCUGGUUAAAUGACAGUCGCACCGUAUUCUCCGACAAAAAAAACACCAUUCUCAGUGUGGCAAACCUCACCAUCGUAGUAAAUAACGGCACUAAUACGUUCACUCAUUUUGAAACUCUAACUUUCUUAGCCUCUCUAAAAUGUUUCUGCUAUGACUUAUGCAUUCUAAGAACAUUUUCUGCCUAAUUUAUAGCCUCAGCCCAAACUUGCUACUGUAGUAAAAUCGCGUCCACGAGGGCGCGAUUUUAUAGUAUUUGCUCAGAAACGUCAAAAAAAAUUAUUUCUUAAAUACCCAACUGUAGCGAAAUCGCGUCUACGAGGGCGCGAUUUCACAAAUUCUUCUCAAAUAGCAUCCUGGUAGAAGCGAUUUUAUACUAUUUGCUCAGAAGCGUAAAAAAAAAAUUAUUUCUUACAUGACCAACUGUAGCGAAAUCGCAUCCACGAGGGCACGAUUUCACAAUUUCUUCUCAAAUAGCAUCCUGGUAGAAGCGAUUUUAUACUAUUUGACCAAAAACGUCAACUCGAAAUAAUUUACCGGGACCGCUAAACCCUAAAAAGCCUGCACCCUAAACCCUAAAAGCCAGAAAACCCAAACGUGAAAUCAACGUCAAAAUCGCGUCCCCGGGAAUGCGCUACGUGGCAGGACAUCGCGUCCACGUGGACACGAUUACCCGGAAAAUGGACCAUUCCGGUAAAUAAUCAAAAAAUCGACCCAUUUCGGUAAAUUUUGAAAAAAAACGGCUUUUUUUGGUAAAUUAGCCCUGAUUUUGUUAAGAAAAUUUUGUUCUUUAAAUCUAAAGUAAGUAAAUUGAUGUGAUAAGUGCAGGUGGUUUGAGAGUUGCUUCUAGGGUUUGUUUUCUGUAUUUCAGCUGCCCUAACCGUGCCCGGGUAUUUUCUCUCCAUACAUCCUGAUUCUGAGGAGAAUAGGUAUGUAGAAACUAUAUAUUUGUUUCUGUUCUCAAUGUUUAUAAAGAUAAAUUAUUGGUUAAGAGUGGAGUUCAGCGGAUUAAUUUUCCAUUAGGGAUCAGAUCAGAUUAUCUAAAGUUGUUGCUGUUUGCAUUCAUUUAACUUUGUGGGGAAGAAGGAAAGUUCUGGGUCCUAAGAAAUGUUACUUGGAUUCUGCAUUUUUCCCUGAAGUAUCUGUGAUAUUAGAAACAUUUAUGUUCAACACAUCCGUUGAGGCGUGACUAAAAUGUGAAUAGAACUUAGAAGAUUGGGCAUGUAUGUGUUGAAUAUACCUUUAUCUGGCGAUUUAGUCUGGGUAGCGUAGUAAAUGAAGUUGUUAUUGAUGUCUUAGGAAUCAUGAUCAUGUUCGGACUGCCUUUUAGCAUCUUGUAUAGUUGAAAUAAGCUGUGUGCCCCACAUAUGAUGGUGUGAUUGUAUUUCAUAAACUACCUUUAUCAAAUUUGCUGUGCGUAAUCUAACAUUUGCACCUAGUGAUUUUGAAUUGAAUGUUAGUAGGUAAUCACAGGUGUGAAUCUUCACCAGUUUUCACACAGACCAAUAUGCCAUAGAAGGUCUUAGUGUGUUUAAUCUUUGAGUAUAUCCUCUUGAAGAAUUUUCCUCUACACUCCCAAGUAGAUCCACAAUCAGCUAUAUCUUUUGAAUAAUGAACUCAAUAAGAAUUUGGCCAAAUUGGUUUUGACUAAUCAUUAAUACAGUAAACAAGCACUGCAAAAUUCUAUGGUAAUAAACACACUACUGUGCUUUGCUAAAUUUAUAGCUAUAAUGUAAUUUCUCUCAUGAACCUCUCAGCCACAUGCUCAUGCAUACUGGCUGAUUAUUCUUUUCAAUUUUGGUAGCUCUUCAACGUGAUGCUUUCCAUAAAAAGGUGUGCUAGUAAACUUCAAUAUGUGAUGCAUAACUCAAAUUGUGUUAGUAGGAAGUGAAAAUUUUAGAAUUACUACUAUUGCUUUAUUGUUGUACAAUUAUUAUAUGGCUCUCUGAUAUCGAAAAGUAUAAUCUGGAAUGCAGGAUUGUUUCUUUAUCAGCAAACUUGGACUUUAUGAUCUUCAAUCACAGAGCGAAAGCACUUCCUUUAGAAACUGAUAUGAAGCUGAAGCAUUAAGAUCAAUGAAGCUUCAUGGUCCUUUGAUUAAGGAGAUUACGACUGUUGGCAGGUCUGUUGAACGUAAGAGUAGAGAGCCUAUGUCUCAGGUCAUUGUCAAUUGUUUUCUGAAGUGGUAAUGUUUUUUAACCUUUCAUUACUUGCUAGAAUAUGGCUUUUGGCUUUCUUGUUUACUUCUGUUACUUUGCCUGACAUACUGAACCCUAGUUUUUAGUUGGAAUCAUUAUAAGGGAUUCUACCUGGCCAGCAAUUCAAUAUAUUAUUCUUCUUUACAUUUUCUUCUGUCUGUAGUCCUAACCUGUUUCAUGUUUGGCACAGAGCAAAUUCUUGAAUUUCCAAUUAUAUCCAAUCCAAAGUGGGUAGUAAUUCUUAAACUCCAGCUAUAAUCUAAUUUUAAUCCUUUUAUUCAUUGCUGUUGGUUUGUUGUUGAAUUGCAAUCGACUUCAACACAGUCCUCUUAGUAAUCUUUUAGUAAAAGGAUUGAGCCUAUCAUAUCGUCUAUCUUUUAGAUAGUUACAAUGUUAUCCAGAUAUGCAAGACCGACUGAACACAAACUGAAAAUUUAACCAUGAAUCGUGCGCUGUCGUGGUUUUGAAUCAUGAAUCGUGCACUGUCGUGGACAAUUUAACCAUGCAUGCACAUUUGAUGCACGAUAUUUAGUCCAACGUCAUGAAUCUGGUACAAACAAUUUUCCUCUGCAACCCAAAAUCGGGGGCAACGUUUUGUCUACUAAAGAAACAGACGUGGCAGCUUCGGCAUCAAUUGGUAGACUUGUCAAAGACAGCUCUGCAAAAGUGCAAAACGUAUCAUCAUCUGGUGCAAUAAUAGAGUUUCGGAUUGAUCUGUUGCUCGAGGAGUAUCAAGUUGACCACCAACUCCAUGCGAAAUUCUUGGGCAAGAGUUGCAAAAUACAUUCUAAACUCGAAGAUAUGUUGUUCACAUGUGAAUGCAAUAAUGCUUGAACCUGAAACACUGCAAGUUUAACUAAAAUAAUGUGUACUUCUGUAUAAAUAAAUAAUCAAUGCAAUCCUAGGGUUCACAUUUUAAGGGUAAGUCAGACAAGCUCAAUUGACAAGACUACAAAGAAUAGCAGAAUGCAUAUAAGAGUGUGCAAUGAAGCAACUAAAGAGCAGUUUCCUCUCCAAUUUUAUGAUGCAAACCAAAAAUGGUAUAAGCAAUACAAAGUGUUGAGAAUUCAGGACCCUUUAGAAAAGGGGAAUUUCUCAGUUGUGCUCGAGAAUGGGUGAGCUAAAGUUAUUUGUUGUACUCAGAUAUCUAGGAUACUCACCGUUUAUCAAGUUACUAAAUCAAGAAGAACAGGAAUAUGGUUCCACUCAAAAAGGGUGCUCUAGUCAUCUUUGUAAAGCAAGAUGAAGCAUGGAUGGAAAAUCAAGAUCCACGCUACCCAAAAGUUUAUUUUGUUAGUUAUAUGACAUGGCGGUUUAUGAUUUGUUGAAUUUUUCUAACGGAUAUAACAGUAUAAAAUGAAUGAAAGUUGCAAAGAUAAUUUUAAUUUCUAUUUUUUGCUUCGUAAAGAUUCUAAAUUUGUAGAGUUCAUUUUAGUAAAUUAUAUAUUAUGAUUAUUAAGACUAAGAAUUUUAUUAAAUUAUAUAUUUUUAUUAAAUUAUAUUUAAUAAUUAUUAUUUUAAAUUAUAUUUUAUCGUAUUAUAUAUUAUGAUUUUAGUAAAUUCAUAUAAGAAUAUUUAAUACUAAGAAUUUUAUUAAAUUAUAUUUAAUAAUAAUUAUUUUAAAUUAUAUUUUAUAGUAUUAUAUAGUAUGAUUUUAGUAAAUUCAUAUAAGAAUAUUUAAUACUAAGAAUUUUAUUAAAUUAUAUAUUUUUGUUAAAUUAUAUUUAAUAAUAAUCAUUUUAAAUUAUAUUUUAUAGUGUUAUAUAUUAUGAUUUUAGUAUAUUCAUAUAUUUUAUUAAAUUGUAUAUUUUUGUUAAAUUAUAUUUAAUAAUAAUUAUUUUAAAUUAUAUUUUAUAGUAUUAUAUAUUAUGAUUUUAGUAAAUUCAUAUAUUUUAUUAAAUUAUAUAUUUUUAUUAAAUUAUAUUUAAUAAUAAUUAUGUUAAAAUAUGAUUAAAUUAUUUAUUAUUUAUAUUAAUAAUCUUAUUAAAAUUUAAUAACAAUAACAAUAAUCAUCUACCUAAAAAAAAUUAUGCUAAGGGUAUUCUAGUCAUUUUAGUUUUUUUCCUUAUGCUAUUACAACAUUAUUCCAUUUAACCAAACACAAGAAUACUAUUACGCCUUUAUUCCAUUCCAAUCAACCAAAUAAAAUGAUUACCUAUUACGCCUCUAUUCUAUUACACAUUUAUUCCAUUACAGCGAACCAAACGAGCCCUUAGUGUUAUAGACUUAUAGUUAUUUUCUAUUAUUAUGUACUCUAAUAUUUUUCGUGUCUAUCUUUUAGUGUGAAAAUAAGAUUCAAGAAUAAUAAAACAAGCCAAGAGAAAAGUUAAAUUGCUAGCAACGUACACAUGAUUUACUACAUUUUCAAACAAAUUCAUAUUUAAUACAUUCUUGGUGUAUAAAUUUAUAUGCGGACAAUAACUUAAGUAAUGCAAUGUACUAGAAAUAAAGGUGAAUAUUUGGUUGGGUCGAGUCGAAUCGAAUAAAAAAAAUUGAGUUUGUCGAGUUGACGAAUUAUAUUUUAGCAACUAAACUCAAUUUGAUUUUUUUAAUCAAAUUAAAUCGAAUAAAAAAAUUUCGAGUCAAGUCAAGUCAGUUAACGGAUCUUAUUAUUUAUACUCAAUGUUGCGUUUACAUGGACUGAUUAUUUAACUAGUAGACGAAAUACAAGAUUAUUGAACUACAUAAACAAUAUAAUGAUUUUCUCUUUUAACUUAAUAAGUAAACAUUUAUCAAAACGACGUAGCUUUGCCUUUUAACUUAAUAGUUUUGAUUUUUAACUUUAGUAAAGGUAAACAUUUAUCAAAACGACGUACUUUUUUCUUUUCUUAUUCAGAUUUUCGGAUAAUUUGAAUUGUGCAAUUCAUAUUCAAGUUAAACCGAAAAACUUAAUUUUUUAUUCGAGUUGAUCCGAAUAACUUGAUUAACUCAAAUAACUCAAACUAUUUAAUUCAAAAUUUAAAUUUUUUAUCGAGUUUUUCAAAUCAAAUCGGAUUUUGCUCAUCCCUAGUCAGAAAAUUCCAUAAACUACUAAAAAAAUUAAUUAUAUUACCAAAAAAAAAAGUUUGAUUAUAUUUAUUUCAUUUUGAGAAAUUUUAUUAAGUGUGAUGUGUUGUCAAUAUAUAUAUUGCGACAAUGUAUAAAAUACAUAUACCAUUUUAAAAACACUUCAACUUUAUUAUACAGAUACAUCUUGUUAUAUCACAAUACAAACAUUAUCUUGAAGUUUGCAUUUCUACAUGCGAUAAAUGGGCUUGGCACAGAGAUUAGUCUUCCUUGGCAAUGAGGCACUAAAUUUCUCAGUCAUGUCCAAAUCAUUUGGUGACAUUCCACCAGGCAACUCCCAAUCAAAACAAUGCACCAAUUGAGCUAAAAUAAGUUUAACUAUGAUUAACCCUAACUUCUUCCCGGGGCAUACUCUACGGCCUAAACCAAAUGGGAUGAGUUCAAAAUCAUGUCCAUGACGUUCUAUAUUGCUAUUAAUGAACCUUUCUGGAAAGAACUCUUCAACAUUAUUGGACCAGACAUUAGGAUCUCUCCCAAUUGCAAAAACAUUCACAAUGACCCUCGACUUUUUCGAUAUGUAACAACCAUCAAUAAUUAUGUCCUUCAUUGACUCGCGAGGAAUUAGCAUAGGUGCAACGGGAUAAAGCCUUAAAGUUUCUCUCACAACCAUGUCUAGGUACUCCAAUUUGGGUAAAUCAUUUUCUUCCACCAUUCUCUUCCCGAUAAUACUUUCUAACUCUGAUUGGAGUUUUAACAUUACCCUCGGAUGCCUUAUGAGCGCUGAUAAUGCCCAUUCCAAUGUGGUAGAUGAGGUGUCCAAGGAAGCCACAAACAUAUCUAUUGUUAUGGCUUUGAUGCUAUUUCGAUCCAUUAUAUCACCAUUGGGAUUCAUUUGCUUAUUUAACUCCGUAAGCAUCGUACCGAUGAAAUCAUCCUGCUUUUGCUGUUGAUGGUCGUUAAUGAUCAUCUCGAGGGCUUUGUCAAGUUUUUCACCAAGCGUCCUUGUUCGAGCUUUGAGUCCCUACAUGGUUGACAAUAAUCAACACCUUUCGCUUAGUGGUUGUUCAUAAUGUGUAUGGUUAAUUUCUUUUGAAAUAGUAUAUUAAAAUACACACAAACAUAAUACCUGUAGGUCAAAAGCACCAAAAAAAGGCACAAAAUCUGCAAGAUUGAAAACUCCUACCAAGUUAGUAAGCUCUUCAAUAAGCUCCUGAAGGUUAAAUUCCUCAUACCUCUCCACAGGCCCCAAAAUCAUUUUUAGAGUAAUCUUUUCAAUAAGAUUCCCCACCAUCUUACUAAUGUUAACCACUUCCUUUCUUGUUGCUGCUUUCUUCAAAGAUUCAAUGAAAUGCGUUAGCACGUCCUUCCUCGAUGGAGCAAACGAUUCAAUUUUUGAUACAGUAAAAAGUUGUUGACUGCAAGGCUUCCUCACACUGCGCCAAUAUUGUCCAUAUUCUGUGAAUGCUAUUCCCUUUUUGCCAUUGUAAAUUGAUUUUCGCACUUGAAGUUUUGGUCUGCUUGCGAAAACAUCGUCAUGUGUCUUAAGAAACAUCUCAGCGGCUUGAGGGGAUGAAACGACAAUAGUUCGCACAGAGCCUAGCAUUAUGGGCAUUAUAGGACCAUGUUUUUUGGCCAAGUGAUAAAGGGAUUGGUGUGGAAGCAUGCCUAACAUGUGGAGGUUCCCAAUGAUUGGCAAGGGUCGAGGACCAGGAAAGGUUUUGCCUUUUCCUUUGCCAUGUUUCGAGAUGUAAAAUAGAAUGUAAAAGGGGCAAAAAAUUGCAAGGACUAUAAGAAGAGUUUUUGCUGAAGGAUUCAUUCUUCUUAAUCAAUUAACCAAAUGGAUAUGCCUCUAUUGUAUAUCCCCCUUUCUAUUUAUACAUUUAUAUAUCAACUAUAACAAAUUAUUUUAUUCUUCUCUGUAGAUACUUUACACAUAUUAUAAAUGAAUAGAAAAGGACAACUCCCUGACCAUAUUCGAUUUGAAUCUUACUACUCACUGUCAAUUUCCUUUUAUAGAUAAUUUUAUCAUUUAAGUCCAAGAGCUAGUAAGUGGAAAUUUUUUUAUUUACACCCUUUUAUAGUAUAUAAUUGAUUUGAAUCUUACUAGUUACUGUCAAUUUUUUUAUAGAUUUUUUAUCACUUUAAGUCCAAGGGCUAGCAAGUGAAAUUUUUUUAUUUAGACCCUUUUAUAAUUUAUAAAAUUUUAAAUUAGUAAUAGUAAAAUUAUACUUUGGUGUCUGUUGACACCAUUUUUUUUGACAAGACGGGGUCGAUUUGUAUUUUGAAAAUGAAAACAAAAAUGGGAGUCGCCACCAAUCCUUUUUUAUAAGGUGUGAUCGGGUCACCUUGAAAAGUGGUUGUUUUAAUAAACAAUUUGAUUUUAUUAAAACAACGAUCUUGGUCCACGAAAUUCAGAAAAAUGGGUUUGGGAGUCGGUUACGUACGAAGAAGGAUUAGCACCCUCGUAACGCCUAAAAUUGGAACCUAGUUGAUUAAUUAAUGUAUUAGUGUCGAAGAUUAAAAAUUUUAAAGAGAUUUAAAAUACAAUCCUUUAUUGAAAUGUUGAAAAUUUUCGAGAAAAGGGGAUAUUUCACGUUAAUCGAGAAGGAGAAUUAUAUCCAGUAAGUUAGGACACAAUGACUUGAAUUCUCGAUGCGCAAACGAAUGCCAAAAAUUUACUUAUUUAAAAAAUAUUUAGCUAUCUUGGAUUUAAAAAAGGGAUCAUGCACAGUAAGUUAGGACACGAUUUUUUCUUAAUUCCCGACAUCGCUUAAAACUUGAGAAAAAAAAGGGAUCAUGCCCAGUAAGUUAGGACACGAUCUCUUCUCAAUUCUCGAGAUCAUUUAAAACUUGAGUUUGAAAAGAUUCGUGUAUUUAGAUUUAUUGUGAAAAUCGAAACCCCGUAAGUUAGGGUACGACCUUCUCGAAUCUAAACACGAGAUUUUGCUUAUUCAGAAAUCAUAAUUUAUCCAUUGAAUAAAAAUAAUCUAACACAAAAUAGUAGAAAUAAAACAUGGUGUCAAUAUGUGUAACAAAAUAAAAAUGAAUAUGAUGAUGUACACAUAAAUAAUACGAGCAACAACAACAACAAAAAAAAAAAGGAUAAAUAAAAAGGUUGAAUCAGUUAUACAAAAUAACAAGUAUAUAAGCAAAUAAAAUUAAAACAUUCUUUCAAGAUAAUAAUCAAAAUGUAAAUAAAGAAAUCAAUAAAGAAAAUGAAUAAGAUUAUAAAAAAGUAAAAGAUAUAUAUAUAUAUAUAUAUAUAUAUAUAUAUGUAUAUAUAUGUAUAUAAAAAUUGUAAGAUGAAAAAUACAUAUAAGUAUAUAUAUUCGUGAAAAUAAAAAAGUGUAUAUAGAUAUAUAUAGAUAUGUAUAUAAAUUAUAAAAUAUAUAUAUAAAAAUAUAAGUAUGUAUAUAUAUAAUCAAAGAUAUGUAUGUAGAAUAAAAAUAGUUUGUUACAAUUUAUAUAUAUGCAUAAAAUAGUAUUGUAUAAAAAUAUUAUUGAUUUUUAAAGCAUAGAAGUAUAGAUAAAUAAUUUUUUUUAAAAUUUAUUAUAAAAUAAAAUCAUUAAAAAUAUAUAGACAAUAUUGAAUUAGUAUAAAAACAUAAACUAAUACAUUAUGAAAGUAGAUAUAAUAUAUGAUAAAAAGAAUUAAAAUAAUAGUACAUAAUAAAAUUAAAUAAAAUAAUAUAUAUAUAUAUAUAUAUAAAAGGUAAAUAGAUAUAUAAACUAAUACAAUAAUAAUACCUAUAAUAAUAAUAAUAAUAAUAAUAAUAAUAGUAAUAACCUAAUUAGUUUAAUAAUAAUAAAAUAACAAUAGAAAGGGAUUAAAUUAAAAAUAAACAGAAUCUUAGGGGCGAAAUCGAAAAUGGAAAUAAAGAAAAGGAUUAAAUUGUGACAAUCGCGAAAGGAGGGGGACCAAAACAGUAAAUAAUCUCGCCCUCCAAAACUAUGCGGCUAAAUUAAAAUAAAGGAAAAGAAGGAAAAAGGGCCGAAUUGCAACGCAUUGCAAAAGCGGAGGGACCAGGGUUGCAAAAGCAGAGGGACCACUACCGUAGCCGGUGGCCGGCGAUGGAAAAGUGGGCUUUUCGGCCCCGCUUUUUUUAAAAAAGCUCGAAGGCCAAGCCUUCUUGACCCAAAGGGCCGAAGGGAAAGGAUCCUCUACGCCCUCCUCAGCCCAAUUUCGGCGACGGAAAGGGACCUCCGGCGAUAGUCACGGAAUCCACCAAGUGAGCCAUUCCAUUUUCUUUUUAUUUCGUUUAUUAAUGGCUUUUUUUAAACAAAAGAUUUGUAAAAAGAAAAUAAUAGAUAAAAUAAAAAAAAUAAAUCUUAAACAAUGAAGAAAACAACAACAUUUUUUUUUCGAUUUUUAAUGUUCGUAAAAUUGCCAAAAAAAAUUAUAGUGCUCGUAUUCGGCUUAUAUAACCGAUUUUAAAAUCCCUAAACUUCUAUUUUUUUAUCGUUUUGUGCUUUGGAUUGUUGUUUGUUGUUUGCUGCUUCUCUUUUGUUUUUUUCUUUUGUUGUAUUCUCUGCUUGCGUGUUGUUCACUACUUUGCAGGCAUCAGAGGUUGACGGCCGGUGAUAGGCGAGCGACAGCAGUGUGUGAAGGUGUGCGACGCAGGUGGCUGGCAGAACGUGCGGCGUGCCUUAGGGUUUACUUCUCUGCUGAAUGGGGUUUAUUUUGGGCUGGGGUUAUGUUUGUAUUUGGGCUUAGGAUUAUUAAUUUAUUUGGGUUUGGGCCACAUGGGCCUGCUGUAAUGUGGGCUUAUUUAUUUAUUUUUUGGUUUAUUUUGCUAAGCCCGGGCAAAAAUGGGCUAUCACAGCUGCCCCUCUUUGCUCGUUGUCGUGUAAUAGGAAUAGAGCAAAGACUUCAAAAAGGACAAAUUUUACCCUGCCCCACCGGAUCUUGACUUGUUUUAGUGAUUUUCUUCUUCAGGUAGCUUCAUUCUAGUCCACUGCUUCUUAUUGCUUUGAUCCACUUCACGACACCUUUAGAGAGAUAUGACUUCAAUCUACUCUGCUACAACUCUAUGGGGAUGAGAUUUGUGGUUUUAGUCUGCCCCACUACAACUUCAGGGAGAUAAAACUUGUAUCUUCAACCUGCUCCACUCCAACUUCAGGGAGAUAAGGUUUGAUAUGAUAAGAUUCAUCAUUGUAGCUUCAAUCUGUUCCACUACAACGCCAGGGAAGUAAAAUUCACCGUUGUGGCUUCAAUCUUUUCAAUUGCAAUGUCGGGGAAGUAAGAUUCGCCGUUAUAACUUCAAUCUGUUCCACUGCACCGCUAAGUAAGUAAGAUUCACCGUUGUGGCUUUAAUCUUUUCAAAUGCAAUGUCAGGGAAGAAAGAUUCACCGUUGUAACUUCAAUUUGUUCAACUGCACCGCCAGGUAAGUAAGAUUCGCCGUUGUGGCUUCAAUAUUUUUAAUUGUAAUGUCGGGGAAGCAAGAUUCGCUGUUAUAGCUUCAAUCUGUUCCACUGCACCACCAAGGAAGUAAAAUUCACCGUUGUGGCUUCAAUCUUUUUAAUUACAAUGUCGGGGAAGCAAGAUUUGCCGUUGUAGCUUCCAUCUGUUGCACUGCACCACCAGGAAAGUAAGAUUCACCAUUGUGGCUUCAAUCUUUUUAAUUGCAAUGUCGGGGAAGCAAGAUUCGCCGUUGUAGCUUCAAUCUGUUCCACUGCAUCUCCAGGGAAGUAAGAUUCGCCAUUGUGGCUUCAAUCUUUUUAAUUGCAAUGUCGGGGAAGCAAGAUUUGCCAUUGUAGCUUCAAUUUGUUCCAUUGCACCACUAGGGAAGUAAGAUUCGUCGUUGUGGCUUCAAUCAUUUUAAUUGCAAUGUCGGGGAAGCAAGAUUCGCCAUUGUAGCUUCAAUAUGUUCCACUGCACCUCCAGGGAAGUAAGAUUUCCCGUUGUGGCAUCAAUCUUUUUAAUUGCAAUGUCAGGGAAGCAAGAUUCGCUGUUGUACCUUCAAUCUAUUCCACUGCACCGCCAGGGAAGUAAGAUUCACCGUUGUGGCUUCAAUCUUUUUAAUUGUAAUGUCGGGGAAGUAAGAUUCACUGUUGCAGCUUGAAUCUGUUCCACUGCACUGCCAGGGAAGUAAGAUUUGCCGUUGUGGCUUCAAUCUUUUUAAUAUCAAUAUCGGGGAAGUAAGAUUCACCGUUCUACCUUUAAUCUAUUUCACUGCACCGCCAGGGAAGUAAGAUUCGUCGUUGUGGCUUAAAUAUUUUUAAUUGCAAUGUCGAGGAAGCAAGAUUCACCAUUGUAGCUUCAAUUUGUUCCACUGCACCGCCAGGGGAGUAAGAUUCACCGUUGUGGCUUCAAUCUUUUUAAUUGCAAUGUCGAGAAAGCAAGAUUUGCCGUUGUACCUUCAAUCUGAUCCACUGCACCACCAGAGAAGUAAGAUUCGCCGUUGUGGCUUCAAGCUUUUUAAUUGUAAUGUCCGGGAAGCAAGAUUCGCCGUUGUACCUUCAAUUUGUUCCACUGCACCGCUAGGGAAGUAAGAUUCGCCGUUGUGGCUUCAAUCUUUUUAAUUGCAAUGUCGGGGAAGCAAGAUUCACCAUUGUAACUUCAAUUUGUUGCACUGCACCACCAGGGAAGUAAGAUUCACUGUUGUGGCUUCAAUCUUUUUAAUUACAAUGUCAGGGAAGCAAGAUUCACCGUUGUAGUUUCAAUCUGUUCCACUGCAUCGCUAGGGAAGUAAGAUUUUCCGUUGUAGCUUCAAUCUGUUCCACUGCACCGCCAGGGAAGUAAGAUUCAUCAUUGUGGCUUCAAUCUUUUUAAUUUCAAUGUCGGGGAAGCAAGAUUCACCGUUGCAGCUUCAAUCUAUUCCACUGCACUACCAGGGAAGUAAGAUUCACCGUUGUGGCUUCAAUCUUUUUAAUUACAAUGUAGGGGAAGCAUGAUUCACCGUGUAGCUUCAAUCCAUUCCACUGCACCGCCAGGGAAGUAAGAUUCACCGUUGUGGCUUCAAUCUUUUUAACUGCAACCUUAGGGGUAUGAGUAACUCGAUUGAUCUGCUCUCUGGGGAACAUGACCUGUAAAGUCCAUUUUAUGAACCUAUUUAUGCCUAGUGUUUAGGAUGUCAUGAUUAGAAUGAAUCAAAUGCUACUAACUAGAUGUGCUUGCAUGAAUGCAAAAUGUCAUGAAAAUGAUCCAUUUUUAAUGUUUAGGUUGUCAUUCCUCGUUGUUCAUCAAGGUUCUAUCAACUAUGCCUUCUUGUUCAGCUGGUAUCUUUAACAGGAAAACCAAAGAAAUAGUUGCAAUUUAGACUAUUCUUUCUCCAAUGCUUCUAGCCCUCAAGUUGGUUAGUUCUAAACAAUAGCCCUAUUUCAGCUCCUCGUACUAUUUAGAAGCUUUCAGUGUAAUAUGAAGAACUCCUUCUACUUGAAUAUUGUUAGUCCAUUAAUCGUUACUUCAAUGAAAAAUGCUUGAAAAAGAUUAUCAAAAUGGACAAGAUGAAGUUUUGUUGAGAGCAAAGCUUGAAAUGAAUGAAUUAAUCAGGAUAGCAAAUUUUGCUAGAAUACAAAAUGAGAAUAAAUUAAUCAAGAUGCCGUAUUUUGGCAAAAUAAAAAAAAGAAUAAAAUAGAAAUAGGUGCCCUAAAUAUCGCAACAUGAGCUUCUCUGCCCCAAACAUUUUGAGGGCCCUUUUAAUCUUGAUAUGUGUUUAAAAGUCCUAGAAGACUUUGUUGAUACCCCAAGAUGUAGCAUCUCUACUUCUUAUUAAUUCAGAGAGGACAAUACUACCACAUGCCCUACAUUUGAUCAAAAUUUGAAUUGCCCAUACCUGGGUUUUCAAUUCAAAACCCUUUUGUUCUCAAGGUACCCUUUGCGGGUUUUCACCUUGGCCUCUCUUUUUCUUUUUCGUUCUUCUUUUCUUUUCUUUUUUCUUUUCAUUUUUUUUUCAAGUGAAGAAUUUAUUGCUUGAAUCAUAAUUCUCAAGAUUAGGCAGGUUUUUGCCAUCCAUCUUGGUCAAUAUCGAUACUUUUUCAGAUAAUGCCUUCCACAUAAAGUCCUUUCCAGUUUGGCAUCCACUUUCUUCUGAAGUCCUUUUGUAUAGGAAGGAUCUUUCUCGAUAUCAGGUCCCUCUUAUGGAAUUCUCUGGGUGAACCUUUUUUUGGUGAGCUCGCAUCAUUCGCUUUUGGUACAUUUGACCAUGACGAAUAACCUUCAACCUUUUCUCUUCAAUCAAAUUUAACUGAUCAUAUCGGGCUUGGAUCCAUUCCGCUUCAUCCAACUUCAGCUCUAAUAAGACUCGAAGGGUAGGAAUAUCAACUUUGAUGGGUAAAACUACCUCUAUUCCAUAUACUAAUGAGAAAUGGGUUGUCCCGGUAGAAGGUUUUUUGUUUUUUUUGUUUUGUUUCUUUUUGUUGCCUCCACUGUACCAUUCAUUUUCGGGUGACAUGGUGUUAAUCUUGAACAGACUGCAAACUUCUGAUAUCGUGCUGUUGUUCAAAUUUGGUGCAUUGUCAGAUAUGAUCCUUUUUUGGCAUUCCAUACCGACAUAUGAUUUUUCUUUUUCAAGAAUUUGCUAACUGUCGACUUCGUGACAUUAGCAUAUAAAGCAGCUUCUACCCACUUAGUGAAGUAAUCGAUGACCACAAAGAUGACUCGAUAACUGCCAGAAGCUUUUGGCGAGAUCAGCUCAAUGACCUUCAUGCCUCACAUAGAGAAAGACCAUAACUUCCCUUGAUUCUUUGUAAGGUAGGAUCUGUUUCUCAACUUGUUCUACCAUCCGUAACAAAUUAGGAGAUAAACAACAGUCUUGGUCAUCUUCAAAGUCCUGAGGUUCCUCUGGACACAUAUAUUGCUCAAAAGGAGAUUCUGAGUCAAUAGCAGUGUCGUUCAUAUCAUUGAUAUCUAGAGACUUGUUAAAGGAACAAAAGAAGACUCAAAGAACCAAUGAAUCAAAGGGGAAUUAUUUGUGUGGUAUUAGUAUGAAUGAAAUGGAAGGAACAAAAAAAUGUUUGCCAAAAUAAGACACAAAGAUGCAUUUCGUUGAAAUAAAAAUAGUAGACAUGUACCUUUUUCACAAAAGGAUUUUCUAUUGCUCCCAGGCUUAAAGCAAUAAAAGUGUUCUGAAUAUUACUCUGAACUGGUCCUUAAAAACACAAGAAUCUCCUCCACAGUCCAGUUGUUUAGAACGCCUCUAGGGAUGUAGAAACAAAUUCCUGAUAGUUUUUUUAGUUCCUUCUUCAAAGGCACAAACAUCUUUACCUUCCGAACCAUCGAUAUAUUCAAAGAAUUCCAAUUCUUUAUCAUCCAUCUGGCUCUGUACUAGAGUUCUAAACUCGACGUACUUUUGGAUUUUAGGAAAUUUAUUGUAUGCAAUGAAAUGUAAUGUUGAUGCAUGAAUGCAAAAAGAGGCGUUGAUCUUGAUUCAAUUCUAUUAGAACAACUUUUCUAGAAAACAAAUCUCUUUACAUAAAAUGGAUAUUUACAUAUACGACCUUGUCCGAAUACUCGAAGUAAAGACAUCGAUCAUUUUCCUCAAAUCCGUAUAUUAAGAUCAAAUCUUGCGAACUCUUCAAAUGGGUGCCUUCUUUAUCUCCUUUUUGCUUGAUCCAAGCCGCGACCCAUUGUUCACUCAUCCUCGUGAUGCUCGUUAGCCUUUUUAAGAAAGUUAGAACGCUAGCGGCUCUUAAAUAAUCUUUGUCAGCUUGAAUCCUCGAGAAACGAAGUAAAGUCUUGCAUCUAUUCAUUAGACUAUCACCUUUACCUUAUUACGUUUUCUCGGACCAUACUCGGACAACCGCAUUGUCUUCCAUUUUAUCAAGAAACUCAUUUUCUUAUGACAAGCUCUCUAUUUAGAUACUGAACGUGAAUCAACACCUCUUUUAUGAUGAAAAUGCAAUGCAGUCAUAACCAAAACGAAAGAAAGCAGGUUAGUACAAAGCAAAAGAAAGCAAGAAAGAAACGAAAAGAGCACCUAUUCGGGUGACCACUAAGGUUUGGAGUGGUUCUACCUGGGUUGGCUCUUAGGGCUCACUAUAUACGGUUCGAUUCUAAAGUAAAGGUACCUGAACCGGCAGAUUCCAUGAUCGUCAUCCAUUAUAGACUCAUACGGACUGAGUUCAGUUCAGGGGGAUACAUUUCUCUAUGGCUAUACGGAGAUGAAAAUCUCACGAAGACAUAGGUACGGAUAUAUCUCGAAAUCGAUCCACUAUCCUGCAUGGAGGUGAAGACCUCACGAAGGAAAUAGAUUCUCACUCCCACUCAAAAAGGUAAAGUCAACCAAUUAUGUGACGUAAUAUGCAGAGAUUAAAAGACUCGAACCAAUAAAGCAAACACAUCAAAAUAAUGCAGACCAUAAAAAUGAAAUGCAAUGCAAGGAUCGUAAAUUCUACCCAAAUUAUAAAUUUUCGAAAAAAUAACAAGAACUAAUCAACUCGUGGCUUGACACUGUUAUUUUGUCCCCAGCAAAGUUGCUAAGCUGUUGACACCAUUUUUUUGACAAGACAGGGUCGACUUGUAUUUUGAAAAUGAAAACGAAAAUAGGAGUCGCCACCAACCCUUUUUGAUAAGGUGUAAUCGGGUCACCUUGAAAAGCGAUUGUUUUAAUAAACAAUUUGAUUUUAUUAAAACAACGAUCUUGGUCCACGAAAUUCAAAAAAAUGGGUUCGAGAGUCGGUUGCACCCUCGUAACGCCCAAAAUUGGUACAUAGUUGAUUAAUUAAUGUAUUAGUGUCGAAGAUUGAAAAUUUUAUAGAGAUUUAAAAUACAACCCUUUAUUGAAAUGUUGAAAAUUUUUGAGAAAAGGGCAUAUUUCACGUUAAUCGAGAAAGAGAAUUAUAUCCAGUAAGUUAGGACACAAUGUCUUGAAUUCCCGAUGCGCGAAUAAAUGUCAAAAUUUUACUUAUUUAAAAGAUAUUUAGCUAUCUCAGAUUUAAAAAUAGGAUCAUGCCCAGUAUGUUAGGACACGAUCUUUUCUUAAUUCCCGAGAUCGCUUAAAACUUGAGAAAAAAAAAGGGAUCAUGCCCAGUAAGUUAGGACACGAUCUCUUCUUAAUUCUCGAGAUCGUUUAAAACUUGAGUUUGAAAAGAUUCGUGUAUUUAGAUUUAUUGUGAAAAUCGAAACCCUAUAAGUUAGGUACGACCUUCUCGAAUCUAAACACGAGAUUUUGCUUAUUCAAAUGCAUUGAAUAAAAUUAAUCUAACACAAAAUAGUAGAAAUGAAACACGGUGUCAAUAUGUGUAACAAAAUAAAAAUGAAUAUGAUGAUGUACAAAUAAAUAAUACGAGCAACAACAACAAAAAAAAAAAAACGACAAAUAAAAAGGACAAAUCAAUUAUAAAAAAAUAACAAGUAUAUAAGUAAAUAAAAUUAAAACAUUCUUUCAAGAUAAUAAUGAAAAUGUAAAUAAAGAAAUAAAUAAAGAAAAUGAAUAAGAUUAUAAAAAAGUAAAAGAUAUAUAUAUAUGUAUAUGUAUAUAUAUGUAUAUAAAAAUUGUAAGAUGAAAAAUACAUAUAAGUAUAUAUAUAUUCGAGAAAAUAAAAAAGUGUAUAUAGAUAUAUAUGGAUAUGUAUAUAAAUUAUAAAUUAUAUAUAAAAAAAUUAAGUAUGUAUAUAUAUAAAUCAAAGAUAUGUAUGUAGAAUAAAAAUAGGUUGUUACAAUUUAUAUAUAUAUACAUAAAAUAGUAUUGUAUAAAAAUAUUGUUGAUUUUUAAAGCAUAGAAGUAUAGAUAAAUAAUUUUUUUAAAAAUGUAUUAUAAAAUAAAAUCAUUAAAAAUAUAUAGACAAUAUUGAAUUAGUAUAAAAACAUAAACUAAUUCAUUAUGAAAGUAGAUAUAAUAUAUGAUAAAAAGAAUUAAAAUAAUAGUACAUAAUAAAAUAAAAUAAUAUAUAUAUAUAUAAAAAGGUAAAUAAAUAUAUAAACUAAUACAAUAAUAAUACCUAUAAUAAUAAUAGUAAUAACCUAAUUAGUUUAAUAAUAAUAAAAUAACAAUAGAAAAGGAUUAAAUUAAAAAUAAACAGAAUCUUAGGGGCGAAAUCAAAAAUGGAAAUAAAGAAAAGGAUUAAAUUGUGACAUGCGCGAAAGGAGGGGGGCCAAAACAGUAAAUAUCCCGCCCUCCAAAACGCAUCACUUUGAGCGGGACUAAAAUGAAAAAAAUAAAAUUAUGCGACUAAAUUAAAAUAAAGGAAAAGAAGGAAAAAUGGCCGAAUUGCAACGCGUUCCAAAAGCGGAGGGACUAGGGUUGUAAAUAACCCAUUUAACGAAAACGCACGGAUCCCCCUGGAGCGGGUCGGGUCAUACGCGGGUGGCCCUAUACGGCACCGUUUUUGGGCCACUGAAACAGGCCCUAAACAAUGCCGUUUUGCGUCCCUUAUAAAAGCAAAGUUUUUUUUUUUAAAACUCAUUCUGCCAUUCAAAUGAAAAAAAUAAAAGAAACUCUCUCAUAUACUCUCAACUCCACUUGGUCGGCAUGGACUCCAUCGGCGAAUUUGCCGCACCAUUGCCGUAGCCGGUGGCCGGCGAUAGAAAAGUGGGCUUUUCGGCCCCGUUUUUAAAAAAAGCUCGAAGGCCAAGCCUUCUUGACCCAAAGGGCCGAAGGGAAAGGAUCCCCUACGCCCUUCUCGGCCCAAUUUCGGCGACGAAAAGGGACCUCCUGCGAUAGUCGCGGAAUCCACCAGGUGAGCCCUUCCCUUUUCUUUUUAUUUCGUUUAUUAAUGGAUUUUUUAAACAACAGAUUUGUAAAAGGAAAAUAAUAGAUAAAAUAAACAAAUAAAUCUUAAGCAAUGAAGAAAACAACAACCUUUUUUUUUCGAUUUCUAAUGUUCGUAAAAUUGCCAAAAAAAAUUACAGUGCUCGUAUUCGGCUUAUAUAACCAAUUUUAAAAUCCCUAAACUUCUAUUUUUUUGUCGUUUUGUGCUUUGGAUUGUUGUUUGUUGUUUGUUGCUUCUCUUUUGUUUUUUUCUUUUGUUGUAUUCUCUGCUUGCGUGUUGUUCACUGCUUUGCAGGCGUCAGAGGUUGACGGCCGGUGAUAGGCGAGCGGCGGCGGUGUGCAAAGGCGUGCGACGCAGGUGGCUGGCAGAACGUGCGGUGUGCCUUAGGGUUUGCUUCUCUGCUAAAUGGGGUUAAUUUUGGGCUGGGGUUAUGUUUGUAUUUGGGCUUAGGGUUAUUAAUUUGUAUUUGGGUUUGGGCCACAUGGGCCUACUGUAAUGUGGGCUUAUUUAUUUAUUUUUUGGUUUAUUUCGUUGGGCCUGGGCAAAAAUGGGCUAUUACAAUGCCCCUGAGCGAUAAAAUUUUGAUUUAAUCCUUUAAAAAUUAUAAAAAUAUAAGUUAUUAAAAAGGUAAAAUUACAAUUUAAUUAUCAUAAAAAUAGACAAUUUAAUUUCGCCCUUAAAAAUUUUUUUUUUGACUUCACUUCUCCUUAAGUCAUACUCCUAACUAGAGGUGAUCAUGGACCGGGUUCAACCCAGGCAUAGACAAAAUUUUAGGCCUGUUUUCUAGGCCCGGGCUCGGGCCGACCCGAAAUAUGGGCCAAAAAAUUUAUCCAAGCCCAGCCCAAAAGAAUAUUGCUAAGCUCGAGCCCAACCAGGCCGAACCCAUAUUAAAUUUUACAACAAUAAAAAAGUAUAUAUUUAAUAUAUAUAUUUGAUUAAAAUAAAAAAUAUAUAUUUAAUAUAUAAUUCGGGCCGAGCCGGGCUUAGCCCAGGCCAAAAAAGUUUUACCCGAGGCCCGGCCCGUUUUCUAAACGAGCCUCAUUUUUUUGCUCAAACCCAUAUUUCGGGCCUAUAUUUUUACUCGAACCCUCUCAUUUUUCGGGCAGGCCGUCGGGUCGGGCUGGGUAGCCCAACCGAUGAUCACCUCUACCCUUAACUAGAAUUGAGUUAUUCGAGUCUACUUAAAUAAGUAAUUCGAGUUUCAAAUUGAGUUAAAUUUUACAAUUUAAAUAACUUUAAUAAUUUGAAUAACAGAUCGGUGUAAAUACCCUUUUAGUCCAUUCCAAUUUUGAAAAUUAGCAAAUUAGUUUCUCUUUCACAAAAAAUUACAAAAAAAAUUAAAUUUUUUUAAAAAAAUUCAAUAUAAUUUUUAAAAUUUAAAAUAUUUAUAACAAUUCCAAAGUUUAUAUUUUUAAAAAAUAUAUAAUUUUUUUGAAAAAAUUCUAAAGAAUAUAUAAAGAAAGUUGUAAAUUUAAAAAUUUUCUAAAUAAUAUUUUUGGGAUAAAAAUAAGUUAGUUAAUGAUUCAAGUUUAUCAUACUAAAGUAUCUUAUUUUUUAUUAUUAUUUUGUGUUAAAAAUAUUUUCAAAUAUAUAUGGUUUUAAAUUAUGUGCUCUACCAUGGGAAUUAGGGAUGAGUAAAACUUGAUUCGAUUUGAAAAAUUUAAAAUAAAUUCGAAUUUAGAGUUAAUCGAAUUGAGCUCGAAUAAGUAAUUUGAGUUUCGAGUUCUAGUCAAAUUGAAUUUUACAACUCAAAUAGUUUGAAUAAAAGAUUGGUAUAAAUACCCUUUUGGUGCCUAUCAAUUUUAAAAAUGAGUAAAUUGGUCUCUCUCUCAAUAAAAAUUACAAAAAACAGAUAAUUUUCAAAAAUAAAAAAAUUAAAAUUAAAAUAUUUAUAAAUUUUUAAAAAAAUUAUAUUUUUAAGAAAUUAUAAAAUUUGAAAAAAAAUCUAAAACAAUAUAUAAAUAAAGUUAUAAUUUUAAAAAAAAUUCUAAAAUAAUAAUUUUGUGGACCUAAAAAAGUUAAUUAAUUACUUAAGUUUAUUAUACUAAAGUAUCUUAGUUAUUAUUAUUAUUACUAUUAUUAUUAUUAUUAUUAUUAUUAUUUUGCUUUGAAAAAUUAUAAAUAUAUAUAAUUUCAAACUUAUAUGUUUUAAUAUGAAAUUAGUUAUACUGUAACAAAUUUUAAUAAAUAGUGUUAUUUAUGAUUAAUGAAGCACAUUCCUCUUUUUUUUUAUUCACACAUUCUUACUUGUAAAAUAAAUCAUAUAUUUAAACAUAAUAAAAUAUCAUAAUUAUAAAUUGAUUUAAAAUAUUUUAUACCUAAUACAAUUUUUUAAUUUAAAAUAUUUUAUUCCUAAUGCAAUCAUUUGAAUUUUUAAAAUAAAAAUUCUUAAAUUUAUGAAAGGGAAGCCCACAUUUCAAUCUCGGUAGGCUGACUAAAUAUUUAGUCUAAUUUAGUCAAUAAUAAAUGAAAAACGUUUUGAUGGAAAAACAACAACAGGAAAAAACUGCGGUUGUCCAAGUUUGAAUGCACUUUCGUAAUGUAAAUAUAUAACCAUUUUUUAUAGAAGUAAAUAAAUAACUUAAAUGUCUGUAUCUUUUGCUCCGAAUCGCAUGUCGAUUAAUGGUCAAGAGUGACUGCUUAAGUAGAGAAGUUUGAAACUUAGGGAAGGAUUUUGGGUAAUAUAUAAUAUUACAUUUAAUUUGUAAAUUUUUUAUUUUUUCUUAAUGAUUUUGAUAAUUAAUGACUACAAAAUUUCAGGUAACUUUCAGACGGUAUUUUUUUAAAUACCUUAACUAAAUUGUCGAAACCAUUUUUUGUUUUAAAAAAAUGGGGAUCGACUUUGAAAAUGAAAAUGGGAGUCGCCACCGAUCUUUUAUUGAGGUGUGAUUGGUUCACCAUUAAAAUGAUUUUGGUAUGCGAAUUUGAGAAAACAAGUUCGGGAGUCGUUUACGCACGAGGAAGGGUUAGCACCCUCGCAUCACCCAAAAUUGUACCAAAUUGAUUGUUUAAUGUCUUAGGGUCGAAAUUUUGAAAAGAUUUUAAAAUAUGAUCCCAUGAAAUGAAAACCUAAAUAAUCGAAUUGGAUAAUGAAACUUACCCACUUUAAAGAAAUAAAUCGUCACACUCAGUGAGUUAGAGUGCAACAAUUCAAUCUUCGAAGUUAGAUUCGUCCCUUUUUUUAAAAAAGAAUCACACGUUUUGAGAAGGAUAUUCGGUUACUUGGGUCAAUCGAGAAAUCAAGACCUAGUAAGUUAGGGUUCAAUUUCUUAAAAUUCCUAAACACCAAAUAUUGCCUUUAUUUUAAAAUGAAGAUAACAAAAUGGCAUAUCCAGUAAGUUAGGAUCCAACAUCUUGAAAUCUUAAAUGCUUUAUUUUAAAAUUGCAUGGUCUAAAUAAAAUGGAUACUUGAUGAUAUAAAUUCAUCGAGAAGAAUUGAAGCCCAGUAAGUUAGGGCACAAUUCUCUCGAGAAUUAUUAAACACCAAGCCUUAUUAUUAUUAUUUUUUAGGAAUUUUGAAAUAAAACGAUUAUAAUGUCUUAAUGAAAUGCAAUUCUUACAAACAAUAUGAUUGAAUAACAAUAUACAAAGCAAAUGAUGAACAGCAAACUAAUUCUACAAUUUGGAGCACCCAAACAUAUAAUGCAUUAACAUUUAUAAUCAAAUAAACUAAUAAUCAAUCUUACAAAUAACAAAACGAGAAUAAUUAAUACAAAAAUAAUUUAAUCACAAAUAAACCAACCAAAAUAAUCUACAUGAAUAAAAUUUUAAAACGUAGAAUAAAAAUUUAUAAGUCACAAAUUAUAAUAUAUUUUAUAAACACAUAUAUAUAUUAAAAAAUAAUGUCAUACAUAAUAACAUAUCGAAUUAACAAAAAAAUAUAGGUAAAAAGAAUUUAAAAUAAUGUUGAUAAAUUUAAAUCAUGUGGAUAAUAAUUUAGAAGAAUAGUGUAUCAUAUCUUAGAAGUUAUUCUAAUAAUUAGUUUAAAAAUUAUAUUAAGCCAAUAUUAAAAUAAUAUUAAAAAUAAUGAAUUAAUAAAAAUUGAUUUAUUUAAAAAGGUUUUAAAAAUAAAAUUAAAUACAUAAACAUUUUUUAAAAUCAAGAACCAUGAUCAACAAAACUCAAAUCCAAUCUUAAACAAAAUUAAAAUAAUAAUAUAUAAAAAAUAUAUAUAUACAAUAGACUCAAAAUAUUGGUGUAUAAUGAAAUUAAAAUACAAAGUAUAAGCUAAAUAAUAUUUUUAUUACAUUUUUAAAAUAUAAAUUAAAAUACUAUUAAAGUAAAUAUUAUAAAGAAUAUUAAAUACUAUAAUAUAUAAAAAUAGAAUUGGUUAUAAUUAAAAAAACAUUGAAUUUUAAGAAAGAAAAAUAAAUUAGUAUUGAGUUAAAAAAAAGCUGCUUCAAAAUUGAAGGACUAAAUCAGUAAUUAUACGCAAACAUCAUGAUAAUUCGAAUCAAUCACAGAAACGACGCCGCUUAAAAUCGGAUCUAAAUGAAUACAGGAUUAAAUUCAGAGUACAAAUUACAAGUUAAAAAAAAGAAACCAAACCAUAAAUUUAUUAAACGCGGAGGGACCUAAUGAAUAAAUAAACCAAACAAUCCGUGAUGCGCGGAUCCUUCCUGGGUCGGGUCAUCGUUCGGAUCGGGUCUUCAAAACGAUGCCAUUUCAGAGCCAUCGCAUUGACUCCAAACGGCCACGUUUCAUCACCGUAUUUAAAGGCCAAAACCCUAAAAAUCUAUUUCAUUUCUGAAAAACCCAAAGAGAGUAGAUAUUUUCUGCGCCGUUCGGCGCAUUGGGGCUCUUGGAUGGUCUCCGAUCCGAACCUACUCUCCGAUGACGACGGAGAAGGCCCGAACCUCAUCGCAAGGUACCUUCCUUCCCUCUCCCAGGUACGUCUUCUUUUCUCUCUAAUGCUUCCCCCUUUUUUAACUAAUGAUUGUAUAAUAUGAAAAAAAGAAUAAAAAAAAGUGAAUUUGAUAUUGGCAAAAAUGAAAAGGAAAAAGAAACUUGGAAAUCACCUCUUGAUAUUUUUCUUUUGUAUUCUCAACGUAUGUAUUGAAUGCGUAAGUUUUUUUACAGGCGUUUUUCGGUUCUUAUAUUUGUAUUCGACAAAGAACCCGAAAAAUCGAAUCAAAAAAUAAAAAAAAUAAAAUAGAAAACCCCCAUUGGUUUCUUUUUGCUGCGUUGUUUUCAUUCUGUUUGCAGGCCCGGCGUACAGCGGGGGACGUGGCGUGUACGGAGACGAGGGCACGCGCGUACGGAGUCUUGUCACGUGUGGAGGGAGCGUGAAGAGGUGCUUCUGCUACGGCGCUGGGAACCGAAAGUUGCUAGGGUUCCUUGCUCCUGUUUUGCGUUUUGGGCUCAGUGGGCUAAAGGUUUUUUUAGGCUAGUGGGUUAAUUGGGUUUGGUGGGUAGGACCAGGUUAGGGUCUAUAAUCGGGUUUAGUGACUGGGCUUCAACCCGAAUUUGGCCCAUUGUAAUUGGACUAUUUAUUGGACUUUUUAAAUUUUGUUUUUUCAUUUGGUUUUAUUUUACUAACGGGGCGGGCAAAUUGGGCCUAUUACAGCUGCCCCUCUUUACUCGUUGUCGUGUAACGAGAACAGAGUAAAGACUAGAAAUGGUCAAUUUUGCCCAGUCAUACUAGACCUUGGUGUUCUUUUUCUUUGAGUUGCCUCAUCCCAUCCUACUGCAUCUUCAGAGGUAUUGGAUUUGGUGCUUCGAUCCACUCCACCGUAACGUUAGGGAGAUAGGAUAUGUAACUCGUAACUUAAAUCUACUUAACUGCAAUGUCGGGGAAGUAAGAUUCACCGUUGUGGCUUUAAUCUGUUCCACUGCUCCGCUUGGGAAGUAAGAUUCGAUGUCUUUGAUCUACUCCGCUACUGUUUAGGGAGACAAGAUCUGUAAUUCUUCGGUUUAUUCCACUGUAAUCUCAAGGAGACAAGACCUGAUGCGAUUUACUCUACUGUAACUUCAGAGAGAUAAGAUCCUUGAUUUUAAUCCGCUCCACUGUAAUCUCAGGAGAUAAGAUUACCAGCUUCAAUCUGCUCUGUUGUAAUCUCAGGGAGAUAAGAUCUGAAAUUCUUCGGUCUAUUCCACUGUAAUCUCAGGGAGAUAGGAUUACCAGCUUCAAUCUGCUCCGAUGUAAUCUCAGGGAGAUAAGAUAUGAAAUUCUUCGGUCUAUUCCACUGUAAUCUCAGGGAGAUAAGACCUGAUGCGAUCUACUCUACUGUAACUUCAUAGAGAUAAAAUCCCUUAUUUUAAUCCGCUCCACUGUAAUCUCAGGGAGAUAGGAUUACUAGCUUCAAUCUGCUCCGCUGUAAUCUUAGGGAGAUAAGAUCUGUAAUUCUUCGGUCUAUUCCACUGUAAUCCCAGAGAGAUAAGACCUGAUGCGAUCUACUCUACUGUAACUUCAGAGAGAUAAGAUCCUUUAUUUUAAUCCGCUCCACUGUAAUCUCAAGGAGAUAAGAUUACUAGCUUCAAUCUACUCCGCUAUAAUCUCAAGGAGAUAAGACCUGAUGCUAUCUACUCUACUGUAACUUCAGAGAGAUAAGAUCCAUUAUUUUAAUCUGCUCCACUAUAAUCUCAGGGAGAUAGGAGUACUAGCUUCAAUCUGCUCCGCUGUAAUCUCAGGGAGAUAAGAUCUGUUAUAUUCACUGAUAUGUUUUCUGGGGAACACGACCUGUAUAAUGAACCUAAUUAUGCCUAAUGAUUAGGAUGGCAUGAUCAAAAUGAAUCAAAUGCUCCUAACUAGACAUGUGUGAAUGGUGUUUGCAUGAAUGCAGAAUUUUAUUUUCCCGAGAAUGACUCCGCUUUGUCAUUACUCGAAGUUUAUUAAGGCUUUAACACUGACGCGCUUACAACGCCUUUUUGCUUAACCGGCUUUUCUGAAGAAACAUUUAGCUAGGUUGCCUCCCACUGUAGAUCUCAAAGUUUAAUCCAUUGGGGCGGAAAAAUUGUAUCAUCAUUCUCCCACUGCAACCCGAGGGUAGAAAUAUAUGUGGUUUUUAUCACAAUCCUCUCUUAUCACAAUUCAAGGAUAUAGGAUCUUAAUCUUUCUAGUCCCCUUAUACCAUUUCCAGGGUGUCGUACCAAAGACUCAUGCGCAAAUGAAGGCUCCCUUCUCCGAGGUAACCUCUUCCUAUUGCUUGGUGAUAAUUACUUGCUUGUUUAUGGCAUCUUGUCAAUCAAUGCAUUUGACAAAAAAAUCCAAAGAGAAAGCCCAAAUUUAGACUUUUCCUUCUCAAAUUUUCAACCUUUAAAUUUGGUGUGUUCUAAACAAUAGUCCUGUUUCAGGUUCCUAUAUUAUUUAGAAACUUUUCAGAGUAAUAUGCAAAACUUCCUUUAUGAAAGUUUUAUUAGUCCAUUAAUUAUUAUUCUAAUGUAACAUGCUUGCAAAAAAUGGUCAUAACAAUGGAUAAGAAUAAAGUUAGUUCUAGGCAUAGCUCAAAAUAAAUAAAUUAUCACAAAUAGUAUAGAAGGAUAACAAGAAGUUGAUUGGGAAUGUAUAUCUUGGAAAAGAAAAAAAUAUUCCAAGAACAACAAAUUCAAUAUAAAUAAUAGGAGAAUUGAGUGCCCCAGAAAUCGCAGCUUGAACUUCUCUGUAAAAACUUUCUAAAGGUCAUUCUGAGUUUGACAUGUGUUUAGGAGAUCUACAGUACUUUAUCGAUGCCCCAAGAUGUCUCCUAUCCCUUCCUGUUGAUUCAGGCAUAGCAAAAUUGCCACACGCCCCGAUCUGAUCAGGAUACAAGCUGCUCUAAUCACUUCAUGCCCCAUUCUGAUCAAUAUUUGAGCCGCCCUUUUUCGAGUUUUCAACUCAAAUCCAUUUGGCCUAAGGUACCCUUUGCGGGUUUUCCCCUUAGCCUCUCUAUUUUUACUUUUUCAUCAUCUUUUUUUUUAGGAAUCAAAGCGCCCUUUGCGGGUUUUCACUUUGAUCCCUUUCCUUCAAGUGAAGUAUUUCUUGACAUAAGGAUACUCCCAAUUUGGCAUCCAUUUUCCUCAAAAGUCUUUUUGUAUAGGGAGAAUUUUCUUCAACACUAGAUCCCCUUCAUGGAAUUCUCUGGGACGAACGUUUUUGUUAUAGGCUCGCAUCAUCCGUUUUUGAUACAUAUGACCAUGUUGGAUGGCUCUUAACCUUUUCCCUUCUAUUAAGUUCAAUUGGUCGUAUCGAGACUGAACUGAUUCUGCUUCAUCCAAUUUCAAUUCAGCUAAUACCCGAAGAGAAGGAAUCUCCACUUCAAUGGGUAAAACAACUUCCAUCCCAUAAACUAGAGAAAAAGGUGUUGCCCCAGUAGAGGUCCUAACAGAUGUUCGGUAAGCUAAGAGAGCAAAUGAUAGCUUUUCAUGCCAAUCCUUAUAGGUUUCAGUCAUUUUUCCCACAAUUCUCUUAAUAUUCUUAUUGGCCGCCUCCAAUGCACCGUUCAUUUUUGGGCAAUAUGGCGACGAGUUUUGGUGACUGAUCUUGAACUUACUACAAACUUCCGCUAUUGUGUUAUUAUUCAAAUUCAAUGCAUUGUUGGAUAUGAUUCUUUCAGGCAUUCCAUAUCGAUAAAUGAUCUCCUUUUUCAAGAAUUUACUAACUGCCGAUUUCGUGACAUUUGCAUAUGAAGCAACUUCCACCCAUUUGGUAAAGUAAUCGAUGACCACAAAGAUGAAACGAUGCUCAUUCGAAGCUUUCGGUGAUAUUGGCCCAAUGACAUCCAUUCCCCACAUGGAGAACGGCCACGAAACAGUCAUAACGUGCAGAGGUGAGGGAGGUACACGUAUCUUAUCUCCAUAAAUUUGACAUUUAUGACACUUCUUGGCAUAGCUAAUGCAAUCCCCUUCCAUAGUAGACCAAUAGUAUCCAAAUCUCAUGAUCUGUUUGGCCAUUGUAAAACCAUUUGCAUGGGUUCUGCAAAUGCCCUCAUGGACUUCUUCCAGGAUCUUUCUAGCCUCCACGGCAUCUACACAUCUUAACAGCACUUGAUCUUUCCCUCUCUUGUACAACACUUCCCCAUCUAAGACAUAUUCAAUGGCUAUUCUUCUCAACGUUCUCUUGUCAUUUUCUGUCGCUUGAUCAGGGUAUUUUCAGUUUUUCACAUAUUGUAGUAUACUCUGAUACCAAUGAUAAUCAUCUUUUCCCUCCUCUUCCAUAUUGUAGCAAUGAGCCGGAACUUCAUAUAUGCUUAUCUGAAUAGGCUUCAUGAUUUCUAACUUGUUCACUUUAAUCAUCGAGGCUAGAGUAGCCAGUGCGUCAGCCAUCUGGUUUUCAUCUCGUAGGAGAUAACAGAAAGUGAUGUCAUCAAAAUCGUCAAUCAAUUCGAGAACCAGCUCUUUAUAACUGAUCAACUUAGCGUCCCUGGUUUCCUAUUCUCCUUUGAGUUGGUAUAUCACUAAUACGGAAUCUCCAUACACUUUUAGCACUUUGAUUUUACGUUCAAUGGCUGUAUGAAUACCCAUAAUACAUGCUUCAUAUUCGGCCAUAUUAUUUGUGCAAUCGAAGUCUAACUUGCUAGCGACAGGGUAAUGAUCUCCACUCGGGGAUAUCAAGAUUGCCUUAAUUCCAUUACCCAUAGCAUUUGAAGCUCAUCGAAAUUUAACUUCCAUAUGUGGUCUAUUCGAGGGUUUUCUUCAGUGUUUGUCACAUACAUCAAGUCCUCAUUUGGAAAAUCGAAGUUCAAAGGCUCAUAGUCUUCCAAGGCUCUACUGGCUAGAAAAUCAGCUAUUGCACUUCCUUUUAUAGCCUUCUGACUUACAUAUACUAUGUCAAAUUUAGAGAGCAGAAUUUGCCAUCUAGCCAUUCUCCCAUUUAAAGCAGUUGAUUCCAUCAUGUACUUUAAAGGAUCCAACUUUGAAAUCAGCCAAGUCGUAUGAUACAACAUGUAUCGCCUUAGUCUUCGAGUUGUCCAAAUUAAAGCACAACACAACUUUUCAAUGGACGAGUACCUCAUUUCACAAUCAGUGAAUUUAUUGCUGAGAUAGUAUAUUGCUCUUUCUUUCUUUCCUGUUUCGUCAUUUUGGCCCAAGACGCAUCCCAUGGAAUUGUCAAACACCGUUAGAUACAAUAUCAAUGGCUUGUCUGGACUAGGCGGUGAUAGUAUUGGAGCACUAGCCAAGUAUUGCUUUAUCUUGUCAAAAGCUUUCUGACAUUCCUCAUCUCAUUCUCCCGGAUUAUGUUUCUUCAGAAGACGAAAUACUGGAUCGCAUUUCUCAGUCAAUUACGAAAUGAACCUAGCAAUAUAGUUCAACAUUUCUAGGAAACCUCAGACCUCUUUCUAAGUGCUUGGAGGAGGCAGAUCUCGUAUUCCUUUAACUUUAUCCGGGUCAAUCUCAGUCCCCUUCCUACUGACUAUGAAGCCCAACAACUUUCCUGAUUUGGCUCCAAAUAUGCAUUUUGUUGGGUUGAGCUUGAGCUGAAAUUUUCUCAAUCUUAAGAAUAAUUUCCUCAAGUCGCGGAGAUGAUCUUCUUCAGUUCUAGAUUUUGCACUCAUAUCAUCAACAUAGAUCUCAAUUUCUUUAUGCAUCAUGUCAUGAAACAGGGUGACCAUUGCCUUUUGAUACGUUGCUCCUGCAUUCUUCAAUCCAAAGGGCAUUACUUUGUAACAAAAUGUUCUUGUAACACCCCUUACCCGUAUUCGACACCAAAAUAGGGUACGAGGCAUUACCGGAGUUUACUAAUUAAUUUUUAGACAUUUCAUUUUUAUCUAGCAUUCAUAUUUAUAACCAAUCAAAAUCAAUACAUUAAUAAGCUAAUGUUAACCAAUUUAACUUAUACAUGCCAUUAUAACCAGAAUCAAAUCAUCCAAAAUUACCGAUAGAACCAAUGGAUACUGUGAUAUAUCUCCAACAAGCUUCCAACCCAAUUUAGCUUCCGAUAAUCAGCUAAAUGUAUCAAAUAAUUAUACAUAUUACCAAUAAUAAUUUAAUUCCAAUAAUAAUACACACACAUAUAUAUAAUUUUCAUUACCAAAUAGCAUUCACUUUAAUUAAAAUUAUUACAGAAUAUAGCUCAUUCGAGCUUACCAUACUAAAUUGCAGAAAUACCAAAAUUCAAGGAUAUUUUGGAAGUUUUCUAUUUUUCUCAAAUUUUCACCCAAUCUUGAUCUAAAUUAAUAUUUCAUUCCAUUUACUAAUUUAAAUAAUAAAACAAUUCUUUUCAUGCAAUUUGGUCACUUUUUGACAUUUUUACAAAUUUACCCUUAAAGUUUUACUUUUAUUCAAUUUAGUCCCUGAGUCUAAAACGUACAAGUUAUCCAUGCUAACUGAAUAUUCAUAUAUAUAUUUUUCCUCCUCCUCCUCUCCAUUCCACAUCCUUAAUUUAUAAUACAUGCUUAUAAGUAACAUUAUCUAUGGUUUCACAAUUUACUUGUAAAUUUAUUCAAAGCUGUCCAUUUGAGUCAUAGCCACUAAAUUAUUUUUAUCUUGAGGUACGAAACUCCAAAUUAGGGUCCGAUAAUUUUACCUGCAACUAGACUCAAAUACCUUCUUACCAUAAAAUUUUCAGAAUUUUUGGUUCAGCCAAUAAGUACAGUUUAUUCUUUAAAGUCACCUUUGUUCUGCUGUCUGACAAUUCUGACCCUUCUUCACUAAAAAUUAAUUAUCUCUUUGUUCAGAAUUCAGAUGAUGUCCCCAUUUGUUUCUCUUGAAAGUAGACUCAUUAAGGAUUUUAAAAAUAUAAAUUAUAACCAAUAACUAGUUUUUUACAAUUUUUAAUGAUUUUUCCAAUUCAGAACAAGGGAACCCGAAUUCAGUGUGCCUUGUCUCACAAAAUUUAUUAUAUCUCAUAAUUUAUAAUUCCAUUACUUACACUGUUUAUUUUAUGAGAAACUCGACUCAAUAAGAUUUAAUUCCAUAUUUUAAUCAUGCUCUAAUUCGAUUUUCAUAAUUUAUGGUGAUUUUUCAAAUUGAGCCCACUGUUGCUGUCCAAAACCAUUUUAGUGCAAGAUGUUUAUUACCAUGUUUAUAACACCCUUAUUUUCUUUCUCUACACUAUUUCUCAUCACUUUCUCUUAUUUUCUCUUCACUAACAUAUCAAGAACAUAGGACCAUAUAUACAAAAACUUUACAUUCACAUCAUUUCCAUGCUUUUUCAAUAAUAUCAAACUUAAAAAUAUAUUAAAAUCUUGAUGUACUUACCUUGUCAUAUUGAUUUCAAUCUUUAACUUGAUUUUCUCUCUCCUUCAGCUUCUAUUUCUUGAAUCUAACUUUAUAUUCUAGCUCCCCAUAGUCUCCUUGUUAUCUUUCUCUCUUGAUGGAUAUGGAAAUUCUUUUGAUUUCUAGAUAAAAAUGAUGAAUUUUUGGUGGAAGGACUAAAUUGUAAAGAAAGUAAAACUUUCUUUCUUCUCUUCUCUUCUAACCUGAAUUGCAUGGAAAAGAUGGUGGGUUGGAUCCUUCUGAUCUUUCUUUCCACAUAUAUAUAUACUAAAUAUUAAAAUAAUAAAAUAAUAACAUAUCAUGUAAAAAUCAAAUCAAAAUAUUAAUAAACUAAUAUUUAUUUAUUUAAUUAAUCUAAAAUAUCUCUAACAUCAUCAUUAUCUUCUAGAUUUCUCUCUCUUCUAAUUGACCAUUUUUCCCUUCAUGAUCUUUUAAAAUUCCAUCUUGAGUCAUCACUUAAUUUGGUAAAAUUGUGAUUUAGUCCCUCAAACUUCUUCACAAUUUUCAAUUUGGUCCUAAUCCAUCCAUUUUUCUUAGUUUCUAGAUCAUUCCACCCUUAAAAUAUUUACACCAUUGGUCCUUCAAAUUUUCAUAUUUACACUUUAACCCCUUAAUUUUUUGAGUAUUUACUCUUGGGUAACAAAACUUUUCUCACUUUUACGAUUUAAUCCUUUCUUGAACUAAUAUGUCAUAAUAUACGACCCAAUGUUGACAUAACUCCAAAAUUUCCCCUUUUUGACGCUUUAUUUUCUUGUUUUAUUAUAUCAUAGAUAAUAUCUUACUGUAAAGAUUUUCGAGGUAUUACAUUUCUCUCCCCCUUAAAAUAAAUUUCGUCCUCGAAAUUUCCUUGUUUUCUUUUGAUCACGAACUUCAUUUUCCUUUCCAUAAGAAUAGAAGACCUUUAGUAGAUUACUUUUGGAGUCAUUCAUAUAAUCCUAUGUUUCCUUUUUGCUCAAUUUACAAGGAAAUUCAUAAUUAAUAUACAUUCUCAGUUUUCUUGAAAUAUCAAACAUAUAAUGAUUUAUUGGUAUAUAGAUAUUAAUUAUACUUCAUCUUCAAAUUUUCAACAAUAACAAUUAAUCAAAUUAAUAUCGUAUAUUCUCAAACUGAACUUAAUCAUCUUGUGAACCUUUGGUUCAUGUCCUUUAUUUUCAGUUUCCAUUUACUUCACAAUUUCAACUUUCUCAUUUCUUCAAUAAAUCAAUCGAUCAAUUUCAUUCGUUUUUGUAAUAUUACUUGUUUACCCCUAUUAACAAGUAUGUAAGCAAUAAAUGCUUAGUAAGCUCGUAUAAACUUUAAUCAUUUUCAUUCAUUUCAAAUAUGAAAUUUAUAAUUAUCAAGAAUAAUUUAAUAUUGAUACCACAAUGCUCAUGUGGCUAUAUUCAUCAACUCACAAGGUAAAUAAAUUCACAUCAUUACUUGUUCAUUUUAUCCCUGGCAAUAUAGGAUUUUAAAAAACUUUAACUCUUCAUAAUUUCUUUAUUUUCAUUUUCAUUUCUUUACUUUCCACUCUUCUUCCAUAUGCGUGACACACAAGUCAUAAACAUUUCAUUCAACCACAGUCACAAGCUAAUACAUUUCCAAAGUCUUUUUCGAAUUGAUCACAUGAUAAGUUAUUUCAUAAGAAAUUGUAUAAUCUAAACCUUACCACUUUUUAGUGAGUGCUAGCAUAUUUUCACUUAAAUUCUUUCCAAUUCAAUGCAUUAUAUAAUUAAUCAUAAUACGAUUCAACCAAUAGCUUGGCACUUGCCUAUGCGUCAAGCAAGAAUACUAGAUAGUGUACUUGCACACAUUACAUAUAAACUCAUCAUGCAUAAUUUUCUUGUAUCAACAUAUUAAAGAUAAUCAUACAUUUACAUGUCAUGAUACAUAUCAUUCUCUUGUCGUUUCUUCAUAAACAUAUAUCAUUCAUUUCAUUAUUUUGAUAUUUCAUGUACCAUCAUUUUCAUGAAUUUCGUACAUACCAGUAAUAGUUCAUUUUAAAUUCAUGUUAUCUCACUUCAGAACUUUACCUGUUAUAUCAUUUAAAUAUCAAUGGUUAUAUUUAUUUCAGAUCAAUACCAAUAAUAAUUCAAUUCCAUGUUUUCUAUUACCCUUAUUAUUUUUCCAUAUUUAUCCCGUUGAAUAUCGUGGAAAUUCGAUGGAUUUUCAGAGGAACACUUUAAGUGUACAAGUCCGGAUCCGUCAAUACAUAUCCAUGUGCACACAUUUUCCAAUUCAGAGAGCACACUCCCGCGAACCUCAUUUUUUAUAGCGGGAUUACCAGUCCAGGCUAAAUCCCCUGCAAGAGAGCACACUCCCACGAACCUCAUCCAUACAGCGGGAUUACCAGUCCAGGCUAAAUCCCCUGUAAUGUAAACUCAUAGAGUAUUGUCGGGAUUACCAGUCCAGGCUAAAUCCCCUGCAACGACAAUUACUCUAAUGAGCUUGGAUCUGAAUUACCAGUCCAGGCUAAAUUCAGACCCUAAUUCGGAUUACCCGUCCAGGCUAAAUCCAUUUUCCACAUAUUCUUCGGGAGGGCUAUAUCAAGAACACCCGUCCGGGCUAGAUCUUUUUCACACAUAUUCUUCGGGAGGGCUAUAUCAGGAUAGGAUCACCCGUCUGGGCUAGAUCCUUUUUACCGUCAAUUCCUUUUCAGAGAUCUAUCGAAUGUUCCUUCCAUCCAACCGGGAUUUCUUCCCCUUUUUAUCAAAUAUAUCAAUGUUUCAUCAAUUUUCAUACAAUGAACAUUCAAAUCAUAUUCACAUCAAUAACAAACAUUUCAAGCAUUUAAGAAUAUAAUUCAAGUUACACAAACUUACCUCGUUACUUGUUCGUGUUUACAAUUUCACUAAUCCGAUAUCUUUUCUUUUCCAUGUUCAAGUCUCGUAUUUGAGUCAUUCGGAUCUUUCUAAACAAAUUUGAUCAUCACUUUUAUUCAUUUCAUAUUCUGAUAUAUUCAAUUAAUGCUCUACCCCUAAGCUUUUAAUUAAUGACGAUUUCAAUCCUUAGGCUCAGUAAAAUAAAUUCUUGUAAUUUAAAUAAAUAAACAAUCCAUUUCAUGUACUUCAUAUAUCACUUUUACAUGUUUUACAAUUUAGUCAUCAACACAAUAUUUCUUGUAUCAAUAUGUUUUUCUUCUAAUAACACAUAUAACAUAACAUUCAUCAUUUACAUGUCUUAUAAAACAUUUAUUCAUACCUAUAUGAGUUCUGAUUCAUCAUAAUCAAAUUUUUACUCAUAUACUUGAGUAUCACUUUCAACAUUAUCAGAAUUAGCUCGGUUAGGAAAACAUCUCUGUUUAUAAGUAAAACAAAUCUCAUCAGAUUCGAGAGAUAUCACACUAUCACAGGUUAUAUAAUGGCAUGUAUUUCCAGACAUUACAUAUACUACGUUUGGUCCGAGAACCGACUAAACCGUUGCUCUGAUACCAUUAAAUGUAACACCCCUUACCCGUAUUCGACACCAAAAUAGGGUACGAGGCAUUACCAGAGUUUACUAAUUAAAUUUCAGACAUUUCAUUUUUAUCUAGCAUUCAUAUUUAUAACCAAUCAAAACCAAUACAUUAAUAAGCUAAUGUUAACCAAUUUAACUUAUACAUGCCAUUAUAACCAGAAUCAAAUCAUCCAAAAUUACCGAUAGAACCAAUGGAUACUGUGAUAUAUCUCCAACAAGCUUCCAACCCAAUUUAGCUUCCGAUAAUCAGCUAAAUGUAUCAAAUAAUUAUACAUAUUACCAAUAAUAAUUUAAUUCCAAUAAUAAUACACACACAUAUAUAUAAUUUUCAUUACCAAAUAGCAUUCACUUUAAUUAAAAUUAUUACAGAAUAUAGCUCAUUCGAGCUUACCAUACUAAAUUGCAGAAAUACCAAAAUUCAAGGAUAUUUUGGAAGUUUUCUAUUUUUCUCAAAUUUUCACCCAAUCUUGAUCUAAAUUAAUAUUUCAUUCCAUUUACUAAUUUAAAUAAUAAAACAAUUCUUUUCAUGCAAUUUGGUCACUUUUUGACAUUUUUACAAAUUUACCCUUAAAGUUUUACUUUUAUUCAAUUUAGUCCCUGAGUCUAAAACGUGCAAGUUAUCCAUGCUAACUGAAUAUUCAUAUAUAUAUUUUUCCUCCUCCUCCUCUCCAUUCCACCAUCCUUAAUUUAUAAUACAUGCUUAUAAGUAACAUUAUCUAUGAUUUCANNNNNNNNNNNNNNNNNNNNNNNNNNNNNNNNNNNNNNNNNNNNNNNNNNNNNNNNNNNNNNNNNNNNNNNNNNNNNNNNNNNNNNNNNNNNNNNNNNNNNNNNNNNNNNNNNNNNNNNNNNNNNNNNNNNNNNNNNNNNNNNNNNNNNNNNNNNNNNNNNNNNNNNNNNNNNNNNNNNNNNNNNNNNNNNNNNNNNNNNNNNNNNNNNNNNNNNNNNNNNNNNNNNNNNNNNNNNNNNNNNNNNNNNNNNNNNNNNNNNNNNNNNNNNNNNNNNNNNNNNNNNNNNNNNNNNNNNNNNNNNNNNNNNNNNNNNNNNNNNNNNNNNNNNNNNNNNNNNNNNNNNNNNNNNNNNNNNNNNNNNNNNNNNNNNNNNNNNNNNNNNNNNNNNNNNNNNNNNNNNNNNNNNNNNNNNNNNNNNNNNNNNNNNNNNNNNNNNNNNNNNNNNNNNNNNNNNNNNNNNNNNNNNNNNNNNNNNNNNNNNNNNNNNNNNNNNNNNNNNNNNNNNNNNNNNNNNNNNNNNNNNNNNNNNNNNNNNNNNNNNNNNNNNNNNNNNNNNNNNNNNNNNNNNNNNNNNNNNNNNNNNNNNNNNNNNNNNNNNNNNUUAUAACACCCUUAUUUUCUUUCUCUACACUAUUUCUCAUCACUUUCUCUUAUUUUCUCUUCACUAACAUAUCAAGAACAUAGGACCAUAUAUACAAAAACUUUACAUUCACAUCAUUUCCAUGCUUUUUCAAUAAUAUCAAACUUAAAAAUAUAUUAAAAUCUUGAUGUACUUACCUUGUCAUAUUGAUUUCAAUCUUUAACUUGAUUUUCUCUCUCCUUCAGCUUCUAUUUCUUGAAUCUAACUUUAUAUUCUAGCUCCCCAUAGUCUCCUUGUUAUCUUUCUCUCUUGAUGGAUAUGGAAAUUCUUUUGAUUUCUAGAUAAAAAUGAUGAAUUUUUGGUGGAAGGACUAAAUUGUAAAGAAAGUAAAACUUUCUUUCUUCUCUUCUCUUCUAACCUGAAUUGCAUGGAAAAGAUGGUGGGUUGGAUCCUUCUGAUCUUUCUUUCCACAUAUAUAUAUACUAAAUAUUAAAAUAAUAAAAUAAUAACACAUCAUGUAAAAAUCAAAUCAAAAUAUUAAUAAACUAAUAUUUAUUUAUUUAAUUAAUCUAAAAUAUCUCCAACAGCAUCAUUAUCUUCUAGAUUUCUCUCUCUUCUAAUUGACCAUUUUUCCCUUCAUGAUCUUUUAAAAUUCCAUCUUGAGUCAUCACUUAAUUUGGUAAAAUUGUGAUUUAGUCCCUCAAACUUCUUCACAAUUUUCAAUUUGGUUCUAAUCCAUCCAUUUUUCUUAGUUUCUAGAUCAUUCCACCCUUAAAAUAUUUACACCAUUGGUCCUUCAACUUUUUAUGUUUACAGUUUAACCCCUUAAUUUUUUGAGUAUUUACUCUUGGGCAAUAAAACUUUUCUCACUUUUACGAUUUAAUCCUUUCUUGAACUAAUAUGUCAUAAUAUACGACCCAAUGUUGACAUAACUCCAAAAUUUCCCCUUUUUGACGCUUUAUUUUCUUAUUUUAUUAUAUCAUAGAUAAUAUCUUACUGUAAAGAUUUUCGAGGUAUUACAGUUCCCUAUAGGGUAAUGAAUGUGGUUUUCCUCAUAUCUUCAGGAUGCAUCUUUAUUUGAUUGUAUCCAGAAAAGCCGUCCAUGAAAGAAAAUAAUGAGCAGCCAGCUGUGUUAUCUACCAAAGUAUCAAUGUGUGGCAACGGAAAAUUGUCUUUUGGAAUAGCCUUGUUCAAGUCCUUAUAAUCCACGCACAUUCGUACCUUUCGAUCAUUUUUGGGAACAGGGACAAUGUUUGCUACCCAUUCUGAAUAUUUGACCUCUUGUAAGAAUCCAACAUCGAACUGCUUUUUGACUUCCUCUUUUAUUUUCAACACAAUAUCGGGUCUCUUUCUUCUGAGCUUCUGCUGAACUGGUUUACAAUCUUCUUUUAUAGGUAAACGAUGUACCACAAUGCUAGUAUUUAGCCCUGGCAUAUCCUGGUAUGACCAUGCGAAAACAUCUUUGAACUCUCGGAGUAACUCGAUGAGGUCAUGUUUUGUCUUUGCGGUGAUAUUAGUUCCAAUUUUCACCUCUUUUCCUUCUUCUAGGCUCACAAUUUCUAAUGAUUCCUUAUGAGGUAGGAUUUGUUUAUCCUCUUGUUCCACCAUUCUCAACAAGUCCAGAGAUGCACAACAGUCUUCAUCAUUUUCAAAGUCAUAAGAUCCUUCCGAACACAUGUCUUGCUCAAAAAGAGACCUCGUGUUUGAAACAGCAUGACUCAUGUCAUUGAUAUCUGAGGACCUAUGGGUAUGCACCAAAGAAUAUAUAAAAAUAUAUAAAUUUAUGAAUAAUUAUUUGUACACUCGGGUUAUAAAUAUAAUGAAAAAAUCAUUUGGAAGACAAUCAAUCAAAUGGAAAAUAUUUACUUGCCUAGAAGGAAUAAAAGAAUUUCUUAUCAUUCUUAGGCUAAAAACAACAAGAAUGUUUUGAACAUUACUCUGAAAUAGCUCUAAAGACUACAGGUAUUUCUUUCGCAGUCCAAUUGCUUAGCUCGCUCCCAGGUUCGUAAGGGCAAAUCUCCAACAAGGUCUUUCUUUCAGCUGUCUCUAUAGCAUUGAUAUGAACAUUUUUCAACAUCUCUUCAAUGCCUUCCCUUUUGGACACCUCUCGCUCAGGGUAAAUAAACCCAUCCGACACAAAGGAUUUAGAUAUGUGAGGGAAGGUCAAAGGCUCCCACUUGACUUCCUCUCCGCUUAAACGUGCCCUUCUUCUCUCUUGCCUUUUCUCCACUUCUUUUCUCUUUUGUUUCAUAUCUGGCUUGUAACCUAAGCCAAAACGAUCAAACUUUUCCUUCAGCAUGGGUGCUUCAAUCCUUCCUUGAAGGUAUUUUCCCAACCCUUUCCCUGGCGAAGCUCCUCUUUCUACCAUCAACUGUAGACCCAUCUCAGUAGUCUUAGAUAUCUUUGGUACCAGGAUCCUAUUUCCUUCAGCAAUAAACAUUGCGUUCACAAAUUCUAAGGACCGGAAAGAACAUUCCACUGCCUCAUCAUUGGUCUCUACAUAAGGUUCAUCACCCGUUACCAUAGCAAUAAUAUCCUCCUCUGCAUUUAUUGUUACCAAUCGACCCUCUGAUAUUAUCUUUACCUUUUGAUGUAACGAUGAAGGUACUGCCCCUGCUGAGUGUAUCCACAGUCUCCUCAAUAAACAAUUGUAGGAAGGCUUAAUAUCCAUUACUAAAAAGUCCACCUCAUAAGUAGUUGGGCUAAUUCUUAAUGGUAUUUCAAUUCUUCCUAUAACCGUUCUUUCUGUUCCAUCAAAUGCCCUUACUAUAUUCUGGCAGGGUUUCGUAUGUGAACUGUCCACAGGUAACCGAUUAAGAGUGGACAAAGGCAAUACGUUCAAUGCGGAUCCAUUAUCGAUCAAAACCCCGGUAAUGUGUCCCCCUGACAUCGGGUAGUAAUGUGUAGAGCUUUGGUAGAACCCCUACCUCCAGACGGCAUUUCAUCAUCAUUGAAGAAGAUAAAAUUGUUAGCACUUUUAUUGUUGGCCAAGCGAUCCAGUUUAUUGACUGAGAUGUCCUCGGCCACAUAUGUUUCGUUUAGUACUUUCAUUAGCGCACUUCGAUGUACUUCUGAACUUAGGAGCAAAGCUAAUAUAGAAAUGCGGGCUGGUUUUUUGUGUAGUUGCUCCACAACACUGUAUUCACUGUGUUUCAAAAACUUCAGAAACUCUUUUGCUUCUUCUUUUUUUUUAUUGUUUCAUUAACCAAUGGCUUAGAUUCUGUCGCCUUCCCUUUCCUCUGUUCCACCAUCGAAGUCUUUUCUCUUGGCAAUUCUACUUGAGUGUCAUAACGCUUCCCAUUACGUGUAUAAGAACCCCUUUCCUGAUAUUCUUUUACCAUAUUGCCCUCAACUUCUUUUCCUAGUAUUGUCACAUUGCAUCCGUAAUUCUACGGGACCAUUUUGUCAUCCUUAUAUGUGAAACUUGACGGUUUCGUGAUUACAAUUUUUGGUGUUACCUGAACCCUAGCCUCAUUACUCUUAGGGCGUGAGAUACUGAUCACAGGAUGAUUUAUUUUCGGCAUUCCUAUUCCCGAAUCUGUCGCGCAUAUGCUCCUCCUUUCUUCCGCAUCUUUAUAGAACCUCAUCUCCUUGUUAUCCAUCGUGCUUUGAACCAAAGCCCUGAAUCCUUCACAUUCUUGGAUUUCGUGCCCUAUUUUAUGGUGGAAUUCACAAUAAUUUCCCAUCUCAUACCCUUCCUCCAAAUCUGAAAUAACUAACCCUCUUUUUGCCAUCUCUUUCCAUACCUGUUUCAAUGGAGUUCUUACUUCAGCGAUGUCAGUCUUGACUUCUUCCCCCGUACCUUCGCUCAACAUGUUCACUCCCUUAUCAUCAUGAUUGGGCAAUGAACCUUCUGUGCUGGGUGAGUCAUCAAAUUUGACAACACCCAAUUUAAUAAGUCCUUCUGCAACCUUCUUGAAAGCGGUACAAUUUUCUAUUGAGUGCCCUGAAAUUCCCGCAUGAUAGUCACAUUGUGCGUUCGUGUCAUACCAUUUUGGAUACGAAGGUUGUAGAGGAUUCAAGUAACGAAGAGCAACAACAUGUGCAUUAAAUAACUUCUGAUACAGCUCUUUAUAUGUCAUUGGAAUGGGAGUGAACUAGGGCUUCUCAAUAUUUUGCCUUAUUCCUGACUCUUGUUUCGAUGAGUCUUGUUGAUUAGCAACCAUCUUCCUUGGUUGAUUCACUGUAAUUGAUUUACUGUAAGCGUUCACAUUGUUUACUUCACCUUCUCUUUUCUUUGAAGCUGACCUUCGAUUAUUCUCCCCACCAUCUAUUUUUCCACUUUUAAUAGCAUGUUCAAUCAUUUUGCCAUUCAUGAUUAUAUCCGCGAAACUCUUUGAGGCACUUCCUAACAUGUGCGUGAUAAACGACGCCUUCAAUGUGUUGACGAAAAGCAUCGUCAUUUCCUUUUCAAAAAGUGGUGGCUGAACUUGAACUGCAAUCUCUCUCCACCUCUGUGCAUACUGUCUAAAAAUUUCGUUUGAUUUCUUUUCCAAGUUCUGCAAAGUGAUUCUAUCAGGCAUUAUUUCAGAUACAUGACUGUACUGUCUCAUAAAAGCCUGUGCCAAAUCUCUUCAAGUGCUGAUUUUGGCCCGGCUCAACUGGUUAUACCAUUUAGACGCCGCCCCAAUGAGGCUAUCCUAAAAACAAUGUAUUAAUAGCUGAUCAUUGUUAAUGUACCCAGUCAUUCUCCUACAGAACAUUGUAAUAUGGCCUUCAGGACAAUUGGUUCCACUAUAUUUCUCAAAUUCCGGCAUCUUAAACUUGUAAGGAAGUACCAAAUCCGGAACCAGACUCAGAUCUUUUGCAUCUAUUCCACGAUAACUUUCAAUGUUUUCUAUUGCCUUAAACUUCUCUUCAAUCCAUUUCCAUUUCUCCUCAAACUAUUUUGGUAAUUCUUCCUUUUCUUUAUCCUUCUUGGCUACUUCAUCGAAGUCUAGGGUAGCAAGAUUAACUGGGUUUUCACCAGGGUUAGAUCCUAAUCCAGCUUGGGAGUUCAUCAGUAUUGGAAUAUCGGCUUGAAACCACUGAGGCCUUAUUGAAACAGAGGAUCUACGCAGCUGCACCUCAGUCUGAACCUGCGCAUGUGGAGGCGUAAAGCCUGGAGGAUAGGUGGGUCCAUUCUUGUCUUCUUAUUCAUCAUUAAUCAUUGGGACUUUCCCCUUAUUUAUUCCUUUUAGUAAUUGCGUCAGCUCAGUUAUCAUGUCCUUUUGAGACUCCAGCAUCUUUUCUGUCAUGUCCUGUUGAAUUUUUUCCAAUUGCUCCUUCAUUUGCAUCUGUAACUGAUCUUUCAUUUCCUUUUGAAGUUGCUCCAACUUUUCCAAUCUUUGAUCCAUAAUUUUUUAUUUUGCACGGGUACCGUAACGGUGUUUGGUUGAUGAGUUUUUGCUGAUUUCCAGAUUUACUGAAUCACAAUUUUAACCAAUUAAAACCCUUUUUAAUAAUCUUGAAUGAAUAUGAUGACAUGUAAUGCAAAUGCAUGAAAUGAAUGCAAAAAGAGCAUCCAUUUUGAUUCAAUUUCUUUUUAGAAAACUUUAUUGAUAAACAAAAUUCUUUACAUAAAAUGGAUUACAGAUAUCGCUUUGCCCAAAUGCUCAGAGCUCUAACUUCUUUCAACAAUGAAGCUAACUCUUGAUCCCGGUCUGAUUCUAGUUUAUACUUUACACUUAAAACGUCAGCCUAAAUCGGCAUUGUUUGCAAAUGAUCAGCUACUUCCCGAAUCUGUGCAAUAGUCCUGCCUAUAAUGAAAUCUCUGUUCUGAAUUUGAUUCUGCGAAUGAUAAAGUUGCUCCCUCCAAUGCUCUUUAUUUCCUUCCAAGGAUUCGAUCCGUUGUCUAUAGCCUUGUAAUGCAUACUCCAAUUCUUCUAUCCUCUUUUUCAUUUCUUCAAUCUUGCACAGACUUGUCUUUAAUUCCACUACAGAAUUACGACCUCUAUACGUAACAAGUGAUCUCUCGAGUUCCGCUAUUAUAGCUUUCAAGUCCGCUUGAUAGUUUUGAGUUUCUAACACCUGCCGCUCUAAUGUCUCUUUCUGAACUUGAGUCUCCCUGGACUUUCUUUCCCACCGAUCGACUUUGUUUCUUUCUUCCUGGAUCUCCUGUCGCCACUUGAUGUGAUCUGGCCCGGGUUAAUCGAGUCGUUUCACGUAGAUGCCCGAUCGUCGAUGAGGAGUUUCGUACCAAAAGGAUGGUUUGUUUGUAAUCGGCUAAAAAUAUGUAGUAAAGUGAUGGAUAUAAGUUCACAAAGGGGUAAGUAGGAUAUGGAUAGUUUUGACAACAAGGGGAUGGAGAAAGAUAGCUAAUUUGUUUGGCUCGGUUUAAGGAUAAAAUAAUAAAGAUAAAAUAUAAGAUAUUCGGUGGGGAUGGAUAAGUGAACUUAAACACCAGAAACGAUUCAACACUAAAGAGUGUCACCCCGAUUUCUAUUUGGUUAAGGUGGAUUUGAGGAAUUGUAGAAGGGUUGAACGCCACACCAACGCAAGGUGAUAAGUUCAAAAGAGAACGAUAAACGCCACUAGCACGCUAGAUAAGUCAGAUCGAAACUCGUACGAAUUUAGAGAGGAGAAAAGCUCACUCUUUGAACAAAGUUCAUUCAAAUGAUCAAAAGUCAAAAGUCCUUUACAAAAUGUGAUAACAGACUAUUUAUAGCCUACAUUUGAUAGCCUAAUGGACAAAGUAAACAGCUUAAUGACUAAGUGAUUCAGCUAUUAAUGAGUUAAAUUAAACUAGAGAAAUGUACUUUAACGGCAUGUCCAUAUUCGGCUGAAUGGAACAUCAAUGGACACCUUCUUGAUUAAGCAAACAUAGUUCUUGAAUGUAGAUGAAUGAAUGGUAGCCCAUCAGCCUUGUCUAGGUUCGGCUAUAGCAUGAAUGUAUUAACCAAUAAGUGUCUCUUGGUCGAACAAUCAUCUUGGAGGCCAAAGAUUCAUUGCAUAAAUUAAUGUAGCUAGACAUCCAUGCACUUUCCCAUUUGUUGAAUCUUGCUGUCCAUGCAUCUUCAAUUGGCUCUUAAUUUGCUGUUCACGCAUGGUGCCCUCAUCACUCUCCCUCAUUUAAAUGUCGUCCAUGCCCAAAUUCAUGCUUUCUUCAACAUCUCAUUGAAUGGCCGUCCAUUGCAUGUGGAACAUCUCAUUAAUUCUUGUCUUUGUAUCAGCAGCUUUUAAUGCCGUCCUAGGGAAGAUGUACCAGCAAAUUAAAUCCAUUGUGGGCACAUUAAAUUCGGCUGUUUAGGAAAAAUGCAGCAGCCACCUUCUUUAAAUGCCGUUCCUUGCAUGCUAACAUUUCAUUUAAUACAUGUUUGCCUGAACAUUAAAUUUGGCCAACAUUUAGACACACAUUAAUUCGGCAGUAAACANNNNNNNNNNNNNNNNNNNNNNNNNNNNNNNNNNNNNNNNNNNNNNNNNNNNNNNNNNNNNNNNNNNNNNNNNNNNNNNNNNNNNNNNNNNNNNNNNNNNCAUAUUAAUAACCUGCACUUAAGUGUUAGUUGGAGACAUAACAUAAAUUCGGCUGCACAAAAUAUGAAAAUAUAUGCACAAUAAAUUCGGCAACCUAAAGCACAUUUAAUUCAGCAGCCACAAUUAACUUCAACUGGACAUCAUAUAAGACAUCAUUAAAUUCGGUUGUAGCAAGACUAAUUAAAUUCGUCCAGACACAUUAAACAACAGCAUUAACUAUGACAAAACACAUUAAUUAGGCUUAAGACAAAUUAAAGCAUGCAUUAAAACAAAUAAAACAUAUUUAACAUGGAAAUUAAUAUGUCCAGAUUUUUAAACAAAUUAAUUAACUUAUUUAAUUAACUAAUUUAACUAACAGCAACUUAUUUAUUCCAACAAAAAUAAAUGCAAUCUUAAUUAAAUAAAUUGCAUUCUAGCUCAAUAAGCUAGAAUCCACCCGAAUUGAACUGGGACGAGCUUGUGAAAAUGUUGAGCCUCGCUUGUGGGCUGAGCCAAGGAUGAUUCCAGGGCAGGGUCGUAUCAUUCCCGCCUUCUUUAGAACGACUUGUCCUCAAGUCGAGCCGUUGGUUCAUUCGAUCAUAACUUCGCUUACUCAUCUUUCCUAGAUCAAAUGGAACGAAUGACAAUUGAAGCAACUGAAAAAAAUAUCCAUGAGUUAGCAAAAAGUAGUGUAAACAAAUUUGCAAUUCGAGUAUAACAAGACAAAUGUAAUGCAGGCUAUUGGAAAGAUUCAGAUUACCAUGCAAGCGAACUAGUUUACUCGACAAGGCCAUGAAAAAUGUUCGAAACAAAAUCGAAUAGAUUUCUGAGCAUGCAUACAUCUUAAAUUGAUUACACAAGCUAUAAUUGGAUCCCGAGUAAUGAGUCAAAAUAUGUACAUAGGCAUCACAAACAGGUAAUGAAAAAUAUUUACAUGGUUCUCGAAGUUGCACAAUCAUACCGUGCAUUAGACGAUUGACUAUCGAUUCUAUUACAAUUACAUCAACAAAAUUAUCAAAAACAAGAAUCUUUUUGUCAACAUUAAAAAUAGAUAGAUCGUGUUCAAUUGUUACAAAAAAAUUAACCAUAUCACAAUCAAAGUAUCUUUCAAAAACCAAUUCACGAACAAGAUUGUUAUUACCAUCCGAGGAAAACAAAAAUAUUUUAGAAAUUUCAGGAGGCUUACCUUUUGGAGCAGGGAAAUAAAGUUCAUUUUUACCUCGCUCGUUUAACAAAAACCUUCGCUCCUCGGCGAUGUAGAGUAGUCGAAAUUCCUUGCUUGAAUUAACCCUUUCAAAAUGGAUCUCCAUACUCGACAAUAGAGCAUGCAUCAUAAUCAAAUUGGAAUUAUAAUCAAAAUACAUCGAGAACUCAUCCAAAUGAUCAUGUAAUCUAAAUUUCAGUCGAUCAAUUUUGCUCAAAAAUGUAGAAUUUGGAUAACAAAGCAGAUUUGAGACACCAUCUUCAACUUUAAGUGCACUAACCAUUUUACAUGUCAUCGUCAUAUCAAACAAACAAAUCAAAGACAUGCAUGUUUUCAAGCAUUCAUACGUCUCAAAUCUCAUACGCUACAUUCUUGUUUAUACAAAGUAGUUUCUCACAAAAGAUCAAUGAGUGCAUAUUUUUACCCAAAUCAAGCUGAUGGAAUGGCUUAUAUGUCUUCUUAUCUUGCAAAUGCCGAAUAAUUAUUAUUUCACUAACAAACUCAUCAGCAUCGCAAUUUGCAAAAGCGUUAUUCUUCUUGCCAUCAUCCCACGCAAAUAUAUUAUCAUCAUUCAAAGGAUGGCAAGUAACCACAUCAAAAUUCAGAUCACUUCUAAAGGACAAUUCAUCAACAAGGUUUCCAUCAACAAUCGAAUAAGAUAGAGGUGCUUUAAGAAUUUCAAAACUCAUACCUUGCUCCUCUUUUGGCAUAGGCGUACUAAGAUAGUUGAGAACGUUACCUUUUUCAACCAAGGUGAACCUUCUCUCCUUGGAAAGGUAUUAGAGUUGUAAAUUAUCGUCACUCGGCCUUUUGGAUACCUGAAAAGCAGAAACAGAACAAGAACAAAUUUCAUAUGGAUUAGUUGAAAUGCUCCUCACUUUUUCUGGUUCAUUUGUCUCUUUUUCUCUCGUUUCUUUUUUAAUCUCAACUUCUUUUUUUCUCUUUUCAUUUCCUCUCUCGUUUUCAAUUUUAUUUUCGACCUCACUCUCUUUUUUGAUUUCUUUUUCUUUUUCAAUCUCUUUUUCUUUUCUUUCGUUUCUUUUUCUCGCUCGCACUCUUGUACAAUCUCAAUUUCUUUUUCGAAUUCUUUCUCUUCAUUUUUUUUUCUCUCACUUUUUUGAUUUCAUUACAAUGUGCAGUCGACACGAAAGAAUAAAAAAUAUAAUCAUUUGCCCCUAAGGAAGAGAAAAUAUUUUCAUAGGCUUCUCGUCUAUUUCUUUAGGAACAAUCCUUCGGGAAGGACUUCUUUGAAUCAUACGAGGAAUAACUUGUCCUCUCUCGUUUGUCAUGUCGAAAAGUCGCAAGUUCUAAGCUGUCGCGUCUUGAAUUCCUUGACGAAUAGGAAUCCCGAUAAGAAUCUCUUAGCGAGUAGUCUUUGGACGCGUAUCGCCGUGAUGAUCUCGACUCCGUUUCUCAACUUGGUGGGUUUUGUUUCCGCCUGGCUCUUUCCUCCAUUCGAUCCAAGCAAUCAUGCAAUUUAUCAAAUUUUGAUUUCACCAUUCUACGCAUCUCUUGCAUCAAAUAUUGGAAUUCUGAUUCAGAAAAUUCUUGUGACAUGAUUUUUUUUGGCAAAAAAAAGAAAAAAAUGAUUAGAAUAAAAUAGAAAGUAAAUACCUCGCCACAAAAAUCUCACGUUUCACUCACAAAGAAAAUUGGAUAACACUCCACUCGUGUUUACACUCGUUUAAUGGCUUUUGCUCGCUCUAAUGUACUCACCACUCGUGCCUUUUUCCGCUCGUCUCACUCUCGUGAAUUCGUAUUUUGUUUCAAGAAGACUUAUUGCGUCUUAGAGGGUCGGCUUCAAAUGGGUGCAAAGGAUAACGUUAGGGUGUAUAGGGUAGGCUGAAACAAGGAAAAUAAAAAUCAAAGUAUGUGUGGCGUUUUGGGGGGGGUAGAGGGAAUGGUAGAAUGAAUGAAUGCUCGGAAGCAACAAGAAAUAAUAACAAAAUAAAACUCACAAUACUUUUCACUUUUUUUUAUACUUCGAUUUUUUUUUGAAAAUUUUUUUUCAAUCAAUUUUUUUUCAAUUUUUUUUAAAUUUCCUCCUUUUUUUUUUGAUUUUUUUGUUCAAUUACAAUAUGCUGAAAUACAAUGGGAAGAGAAAAGAGAAAAUAAAAUAAAAUAAAAUUUCAACCUAAAUUUUUUUUAUUUUUCUUUCACGUUACGAACCUACUCCGAGCUUGAUACGAACGCCGGCGCUCCUCGUUUUAGUAGCUCUGAUACCAAAUGAUGUGAUCUGGCCUGGGUUAAUCGAGUCGUUUCAUGUAGAUGCCCGAUCAUCGAUGAGGAGUUUCGUACCAAAAGGAUGGUUUGUUUGUAAUCGGCUAAAAAUAUGUAGUAAAGUGAUGGAUAUAAGUUCACAAAGGGGUAAGUAGGAUAUGGAUAGGUUUGACAACAAGGGGAUGGAGAAAGAUAGCUAAUUUGUUUGGCUCGGUUUAAGGAUAAAAUAAUAAAGAUAAAAUAUAAGAUAUUCAGUGGGGAUGGAUAAGUGAACUUAAACACCAAAAACGAUUCAACACUAAAGAGUGUCACCCCGAUUUCUAUUUGGUUAAGGUGGAUUUACGGAAUUGUAGAAGGGUUGAACGCCACACCAACGCAAGGUGAUAAGUUCAAAAGAGAACGGUAACGCCACUAGCACGCUAGAUAAGUCAGAUCGAAACUCGUACGAAUUUAGAGAGGAGAAAAACUCACUCUUUGAACAAAGUUCAUUCAAAUGAUCAAAAGUCAAAAGUCCUUUACAAAAUGUGAUAACAGACUAUUUAUAGCCUACAUUUGAUAGCCUAAUGGACAAAGUAAACCAGCUUAAUGACUAAGUGAUUCAGCUUAAUGAGUUAAAUUAAACUAGAGAAAUGUACUUUAAAGGCAUGUCCAUAUUCGGCUGAAUGGAACAUCAAUGGACACCUUCUUGAUUAAGCAAACAUAGUUCUUGAAUGUAGAUGAAUGAAUGGUAGCCCAUCAGCCUUGUCUAGGUUCGGCUAUAGCAUGAAUGUAUUAACCAAUAAGUGUCUCUUGGCCGAACAAUCAUCUUGGAGGCCAAAGAUUCAUUGCAUAAAUUAAUGUAGCUAGACAUCCAUGCACUUUCCUAUUUGUUGAAUCUUGUUGUCCAUGCAUCUUCAAUUGGCUCUUAAUUUGCUGUUCACGCAUGGUGCCCUCAUCACUCUCCCUCAUUUAAAUGUCGUCCAUGCCCAAAUUCAUGCUUUCUUCAACAUCUCAUUGAAUGGUCGUCCAUUGCGUGUGGAACAUCUCAUUAAUUCUUGUCUUUGCAUCAGCAACUUUUAAUGCCGUCCUAGGGAAGAUGUACCAGCAAAUUAAAUCCAUUGUGGGCAUAUUAAAUUCAGCUGUUUAGGAAAAAUGCAGCAGCCACCUUCUUUAAAUGUCGUUCCUUGCAUGCUAACAUUUCAUUUAAUACAUGUUUGCCUGCACAUUAAAUUCGACCAACAUUUAGGCACACAUUAAUUCGACAGUAAACACAACAUUAACUACAUCAUAUUAAUAACCUGCACUUAAGUGUUAGUUGGAGACAUAACAUAAAUUCGGCUGCACAAAAUAUGAAAAUAUAUGCACAAUAAAUUCGGCAACCUAAAGCACAUUUAAUUCAGCAGCCACAAUUAACUUCAACUGGACAUCAUUUAAGACAUCAUUAAAUUCGGUUGUAGCAAGACUAAUUAAAUUCGUCCAGACACAUUAAACAACAGCAUUAACUAUGACAAAACACAUUAAUUAGGCUUAAGACAAAUUAAAGUAUGCAUUAAAACAAAUUAAACAUAUUUAAUAUGGAAAUUAAUAUGUCCAGAUUUUUAAACAAAUUAAUUAACUUAUUUAAUUAACUAAUUUAACUAACAGCAACUUAUUUAUUCCAGCAAAAAUAAAUGCAAUCUUAAUUAAAUAAAUUGCAUUCUAGUUCAAUGAGCUAGAAUCCACCCGAAUUGAACUAGGACGAGCUUGUGAAAAUGUCGAGCCUCGCUUGUGGGCUGAGCCAAAUAUCGGUAGUUUUGGAGUUAUAUUCCAAUUUAAAAUUUACUAAGAAAAUUAAGGUGGAUGUUUGACACAAGAAUGUUGAUAUAUCCCUUAGAGAAAUUAGUGAGUAAUAUGUCGUCCGUUAUUAGGAAACUGAUGACCUACAAGCCAUAAAUUUGAACAAUUUUGAAAUUAUUGAUAUGGACGCCAUUUUGUUAUUUUUAUCAGAAGGGAGGGGGAAUAGAAACAAGAGGGAAUAAUAACUACCCCUAUCUUUUAAGCAAGCUAUAAUAUUUCCUGCUACUAAUAAGUGGAUGCAAUUCAUUUGUACUCGCAUCUUACAACUUCACAACAUUAAUACUGUUAAUGUUUUACGAGUUGCUUUGUUGUAUUGUAUUUUUCAUCUUAAACGAGUUAGCCUCGGGGAGUGGGUCCAUAAAUAAAUCCACAAAUGCAUAUCUAAAAUCAAGGUUGUGAUUUAUUUCCCUCACUUAAUCACCUAUUUAUGCCACCGUGCUGGAGUGGUGAUGGGAUCUACAGAACAAUUUCACCCUCCCACCACCAAUAUUAUUGGAGACACCCUCAUGCAUCAAUUCCAAGAGCUUUAUAUAAAGCAAAUAAAAUAAUGCAAUUAGAGGCGAAAACAAAAAAUGGAGAUACCUCCACCCCCACUGAAGAAAUCCAUGAAGGCUAAGUUGAAGAAGACCGAUAAGCCUACACAAUGGGAGCAUAGGCUAGGCCGCGAUGUGUGAGAUAACGUAAGACUCCUAGAGUCCAAAAAAAUAGGCAUGGACAUGUUUGUGAAGAGCCUAGGAGGAAAAAGUAGAGAAUGACCCAAACAGUCAACUGACUCGUCUGAGGGUAAGAAAGACGUGGUCGAGCCAUAGGAGGAGGAUGAGGAAGAAAUAGAUGAUGAGGCCAGAGAGGAUAGCGCCUUCACCUCUUAUCAAAGGAACUUUGAUAAUGCAUUUGCAGUCACAAGGAAACCAAGAGAAGGACCUAUCUUUCGAGACCCUAUUAACCAAGCCCAGAUACGACCUCGAAACUCACUAUGCACAGUAAAGGGAAAGGUGUUGCAGGACCGUGUAGAGAUACUGAGGAUGAUUUCAACUAGUUACAUGUGUUUUUAGACGAUUUUAUUUUGUGUUUGGUGUGUUUUAGUUGUUUUUCUUUGUUUAUUUUUCUUAUGUUUGCUAGUUACCUUGAAAGACUACAUAACAUGUAGAGCUUCGACGAGGAGGUGGACGCUCGAGCUAGUCUGAUGCUCCAUUCUAAGGAAGUUUCGUAACCUUUUAACCUUUAUUUUGAACACAUCGGGGAUGAUGUGUAGCUUGUUUGUGGAGGGGUUCACAUAAGCUUUAUGUGUGUUUAUUUUAGUUUUUAUGCAUUUUAAAAAAAUCCAAACAAAAAUAUUUUUCAUUUUUAUUUUUAAUUUUUAAAAAAUCAAAAAAUAUUUUUCUUCUUUUCUUUUAAUUUUUUAUUGCAUAGUGCUUGGACUAAUACCAAGUUAUAAGUUAGUAGUUUUACAUAUCAAAUGAAUAUAUAAGAUUGAUGAACAUGUAAGUUUUUGAAUGAUGCUAGAUAAUUCUUGCUCUUAACUGUAGAUAAAUUAGUUCACUUGGUUAAUAGGUAUAAUAGACUAGAGGCAAUAACCAAAAUGAAAAUGUAGAUAAAUAAUUUGAGUUGCUAAUUGUUCUUCUAGAUAGAUGUAUGCUUAAUGAAACUAUUGUUAGAUAACUAAUCCGAGAAGGACCUUAGGAAUUGUUUGUAUUGCCUUGAGCCUAAACAACCAACCUUAAACUUUACGUUAUCCCUAGUUCCCAAAUUUAAGCCUUACAAUGCCCUUCUUAAUGAACUUCUUUGUUUGAAACCUCGAGUGUAACCUCCCAAACUCGGCCUAAAUGUUAUGACUAGAUUGAGAAGGCUACAUUAGCCAUCGAAAUGGCUAAGAUAAAUUACGAUACUUUUGAAGACCUUAAAUAAACUCAUUUUAGAGAAAACCGUAGUUUUAUUUUGAAUUAGCAUAAAAGUGUUCAUUCAUUAGGUCGUGUAUAAUUAGGAUUCAUUUUAUUUUUGAUAGUGUUGUUUUAGAAAAACUGUUUGCUUGUUGCUCUUCUAAAAAAACUCAUUGUUAAACUAAUGCAUCGGAAAAACCAUUUUUCAAGUCAUUUUGGAAACUUAGUUACCUUAUCGAUUUGUUUCGUUAAAAAAUGUUUCCUUUGCAAUGCAGCGGAAACUAGGGAACAAUAUUAAAUUUUACUUAAGCUUGAUAUAAUGCAUUAUCUGAUUAUUAUGCUUGAGUAAUCCAUGCAUGCAAAAAUCCCCAAAAGAAAAGUUACCAAACCAAAGACAAAAAAAAAUUAAAAAUUACAAAUCAAAAUCAAUAAUGACUUAAUAAUACUUAUUAUGAAUAGUCUGAAAUCCAAGGUUAUUGUCCGAAUGCCGAGUUCGGUACUAAUUUUGAGGUGUACCUGAAAAGUUAUUGGGGUAAGCUUAUGGAAAGCUCAGUGUGAGUUGAACAAUUAUUUAAACAAACAAAAACAUAAAAUAUAGUGAAACAUAUUAAAAUUAACAAAAGAAAACAGAACCAUUAUAGGAAUUUCAUACCAUUACAUAGCCAUUAUCAAAUUGAUGUCAAAUGGUGUAUGAGAAUGGGACAUCAUUCAUUUGAGUAUCAAUAAUUAAUUUUGGUACCAUUCAAUACAACACAAUAGAACAUAUAUCAUAAAUCAAUAACAUUCGAAUAUGUCAUGAGCAUGAUGCAAUGCAAAAAAGUUCCUAACCAUACCAUUCACUACACACCAUGAGUUCCCUAGAACCUGUCAUCCGAACUCCAAAACAUUAUGGGCUAAAGCUCACUGUGAUUAAAACCAUGGAAAAUAAUAUGCAAAAAAUUAUGCCACUAAAAAUGCGAUAAAUCCCCAUUCCCCUCGAUACUCCAAGUGUAGUGCACUAACUACAAAUAAUGCAGACUAAAUAUGCUAUCGGUACUCCAUGGAUCUCCUUUGUCAACCACAAAAUCCCUACCCAAUGCAUAUGCAAUAUAUCACACAAUCUUAUACAUAAUCAUAUCUCAAUACUUUUUACAUUCAUUUGACAUGCUCAGCAUGUCCUCAAUAAUCACAUACUUUCAGUAAAUGGAAACAAUGUUUCAAUCUUUCAUAUUACCAUUGUGUUGGUUUCAAUCAAUAUCAUUCAAUUUCACAUACUUUACAGAUUUUCAUUGUGUAUAAAUAACACCUUUUUCAGUACACAAUAUAAAAAUAUCUCAUGCAUUUAAAUCAUACAUAAGUAUCUCAAAAAAUUAUCAUCAUUCAGUCAAAAGUUCUCAUAUCUCAUAACUCAAAUAUGCAAUUACAAACUCAAUCAAGCAUUCAUACUAUCAAACUAGCAAUUUUGCCAACAUGUCAAUCUUUUAAGGCUCGAAACAUACCUGGUUCGGCCACUCACAGAAUCAAUAAUUUUGCUAUUAAUUCAAUCCAAUCAACAAGAUAAUUUAAAUAUAACAUGAUAUUUAACAUUUUCAAACAAUUUUAUAAGUUUAGGACCCACACGUUAUUUUUUGCUUCAUCGCAGCACACUAGCGAAUCUUCCAAUUUUCCUUUAUAAUUUCUUAAACGAACCUAAACCAAAAUUCAAUAUAAAUUCAAUAAAUCUACCAUUAAACUAGAACCUAAACACCUACUUAUGAGUUCAAACCAAUCGUUGAAAUUAUAACUAUUUUAUGAAUCCAAACUAGUUAGAUUCCUUACAUUAUAUCGAUGCAAACCCUACGUACAAUCGUCCUUCAUUUGUACAGAUGAUUUGGGGAAUUUGGGUUGACUAAGUGGGUUCAAUAACACAAUUUAAUGCUAGAAAAUAUGGGCAAGACCCAAGAAACAAAACAACCUACUUUCUUCCACAUAGGCGCACCACCACCAUCCAUGGUGGCCAAAAUUGGGGCAAAAUUUAAAAUGGUUUAAGAUUUAAUUAAAAUCUGGAAAAAUACCUUUGAAAUCAUUUAAAAUCAAAAAAAUUCCAGAUAUGAAAAUUCUUGUUUUUAAUUGACAAUAUUAAUAAAGAAAUUGAAUAGAAAAGAGAUCUUACCCAAGCUAGUUGAAAGAAACGGCAAUGACACUUUCUUGGCAAAGUUCGGGAUCAAUCUUUGGGUUCAAGAUUUCAUAUUUAGGGUUGUUUUAGAUGGAGAUAAAUGUGAGCAGUGGAGUAAAGGAUAUGGUGCACAGUCUUGAUGCAAAAAGAAGAAAGAUAUGGUAAAAUGGGAGGUGUAGGCGACGACAACAAUGGGAGAAAGAAAGAAAAUUGAAGAGAAAAGAUGAGAGGAAGAGGGUGAACGACUAGGGUAGUGAAAAUUUGAAUUAAUGGCUGAAAAAUACAAUAAAAAUUGUAUUUAUAGUUAGGGUUCAAAGGUAUGGAUGGCACACAAAUUAAAAAAAUAAAGGAUUUUGUAAAAUUUAAUUAUUUCGCAAGUAAAAGGAUUCAAACUUGGGACCCCUUUUAAUUUCUAUGCUUUCUCAUAUUUCUUUUAACCAUUAGGCUUUUUCCUCAUUCUUGAAAUAAUUUUGCAAUAUUUAUUUUAAAAACAAGGCAUGCCACAUACUAGGUGUUAGAGUUGUGUGACACAAAUUCUAAGAAAUUGCUUACAAGUCAAGUUAAACAAAAUAUAUUUUCUUUCUAGAAGAUUUAGUAUUUAUUAGUAUAAUAUAUUUAGCAUUUAUUAGCAUAGUUUAUUUGACUUACUAAUUUAGCCUAUAAAUAGGUUCUUUUACAACAUUAAAAAAAUACACCCAUUAGAGAUUAGAACUCAUAACACAUUUAGAGAAUUUUGUGUUUACGUUUUGAGGGUUCUUUGUUUUUGGGUUUUCAAGGUUUAGAUUUUAUCUCCAUCUUUUGUACUCUUCGUUCUUUUGCCAUUGUAGUAAAAUUAUCUUUGCCCGUGUUUUUUUCCUCUUUGGAGGGGUUUUUCAUGUUAAAUUUGUGUGUUCAAUUUCUCAAUUGAUUCCGCUAUUUUUUUACUUGUUACUUCAUCAGGUCGAUCCAAACAAGUGGUAUUAGAGCUAGUUCAAUUUUCAUAGAUCAGCCCGUUCAAAGAUGGCAGCAACAAGGUUUGAAAUUGAGAAGUUUGAUGGUGUGGCAAAUUUCGAUCAAUGGCAAGUUCAGAUGAUGGCAAUUGUAGUUCAAAUCGGCUUGAAAAAGGUUGUUACCAGGAAAAAACCUGAGAAUCUAAAUCAAAUAGAAUGGGAAGAGCUUGAUGAAAACACUUUGUCUGCAAUCCAAUUAUGCCUCGCGAAUACGGUAUUGGAGGAGGUAUUGAUGGAGAAGACCUCAUCUUCCUUGUGGAAAAGGUUAGAAACUCUUUAUGCGACUAAGUCUCUAGCUAGCCGUUUAGUGUUAAAACAACGUCUAUUUAUGUUUCGCAUGAACGAAGGUGAGCUUCUUAGAGAUCACAUUAGUCAAUUCAUUACUCUUUUAAAUGAUUUAAAUAAUGUAGAGGUUCAUAUUGACGACGAAGAUCAAGCUAUGUUAUUAUUGUGCUCUUUACCCCCUUCAUACAAGUUUUUCAGGGAGACUCUGAUUUAUGAUAGAGACAAACUCUCAUUCAAAGAUAUGAAGGGUCAUUUUUUGAGUAGAGACAAACUCGACAAUGAGUUGUGUCGACACAAUUUUUAAAUUUGAAAAAUGGGAUCUACUUUUUUAAAAUGGAGUCGCCACCGAUCUUUAUUGAAGGUGUGAUCGGCUCACCUAGAAAAUGAUUUUGAUCCACGAACUUUUAAGAAAAUAGGUCUGGGAGUCGCUUACGUACGGGGAAGGGUUAGCACCCUCGUGACGCCCAAGACUGGUACCGAAUUGAUUGUUUAAUGUCUUAAUGUCAAAAUUUUGAAAAGAUUUUAAAAUACGAUUCUUGAUGAGAAAACUUGAAUAAACCAAAUUAAAUGAUACGAACACUUAUUUCGAAGAAAUAAAUUUUCGCGCUCAGUGAGUUAGGGUGCUCCAAUUCAAUCUUUGAAAUUAAAUGUGCCCCUUUUUUAUGAAAAUCAUGAGUUUAAAGAAGGUUACUUGAUUGUUUAAGUCAAUCAAGAGAUCAGAAUCCAGUAAGUUAGGGUUCAAUUUCUCGAAAUUCUUAAAUCUCAAAUAUUGCCAUUAUUUUAAAAUUGAGAUAACAAAAUGCCACAUCCAGUAAGUUAGGAUCCAACAUUUUGUAAUCUUUAAAACUUUAUUUCAACAAUCGAAUGGUUUUAGUAAAAUGAACACUUGAUGGUACGAAUUCAUCAAGAAGAAUUGAAGCCCAGUAAGUUAGUGCACAAUUCUCUCGAGAACUUAUAAACACCAAGCUUUUUUAGUAGAUUUGAAAUAAAACGAUUAUAAUGUUUUAAUGAAAUGUAAUUCUUACAAACAAUACAAUUGAAUAACCAAAUAUAAAGCAAAUGAUGGAUAACAAACCAAAUUUACAAUAUGGAGCAACCCAACAUAUAAUACAUCAACAUAAAUAAUUAAGUAUCUAAUAAAUCAAUAAUCAAUCUCAUAAAGAUAUCUUGAAUAUAUAAAAAAAAUAGAUAUUUAGAAAUAAUUUAAUAAUAAAUAUUUAAACUAAAGUAAGCAAAAUGAAUAACCCUUUUUUAACUAAUAAAAUACUUAUGUAUGAAAAGAAUAUAAAAUUUUACAAGUUGGAAUCUGUAAUAAUCUAUACCUACUUAUAUACACCAAAAAAGUUCCUUAUAAAUUAUACAUAUAGAUAUAAUAAUCAUGAAAUAUCAUGGUAAAAAUAAAAUUUGAAACUAUAUUCUAAAUUUAUUAUUGAGAAGUAUAAAGUAACAUAUCAUUUUUAAUAUAUAUUAAGUGCGAUAAAAUAAAUAAUAAUAUAUCAAAUUUGAAAAAAAAAGAGUAUAUGUAAAGAAUUUAAAAUCGAUGUCAAUGAAUUUAAAACAUAUUGAUAAUAAUUUGCAAGAAUAAAGUAUUAUAUUUUAGAAAUCAUAUUAAUAAUAAGUUUAAAAACAUUAAGUCAAUGUUAAAAUAAUAUUAAUAAUUAAAAUAACAAUAAAAUUUUUAAUAAAUAUACAGUAGUUUCAAAAUAUUAGUAUAUAAUAAAUUUAAAAUACAAAAUACAACCUAAAAUAAUAACUUUAUUACAUUUUAAAAUAAUAUAAUAAUAAUUUAAAAUACUAUCAAAAAUAAAUAUUAUAAAGAAUAUUAGAUACUAUAAUACAUGAAAAUAGAAUUAAUCAUAAUUUAAAAAACAUUGAAUUUUAUGAAAAAUAAAUCAAUAUUUAAUUAAAACCUGUUUCAAAAUUGAAGGACUAAAUCUGCAAUUAAACACAAACAUCGAAAUAAUCCCAAACAAUAACAAAAACGGCACCGUUUGAACUUGGAUCUAAAUGAAUACAGAAUUAAAUAUGAAGUACAGGUUACAAAUCAAUAAAAGAAAUCAAAUCGCGAUUAUAUUAAACAUGAAGGGACCUUCUGAAUAAAUAAGCCAAAUGAUCCAUGAUGCGCAGAUCCUUCCCGGAUCGAGUCACUGUUCGGAUCGAGUCUUCAAACGACGCCGUUUUGAAGCCAUUACAUUGGCAACAAACGGUGGCGUUUCAGCUUCCGUGUUUAAAGACUAAAAACCAAAAUAUUUUUUCAUUUUAGAAAACCUAAAGAGAACAAAUGUUCUCUGUGCCGUUCAGGGCAUUGAGGACACUCGAGUGAUCUCAGAUCCAGACCUACGCUCCGAUGACAACGGAGAAGGUCCGAAUCUCAUCACCAGGUAACUUAUAUCCUUUCCUAUGGUUGUUUAUUCCUUUAACAAACGCUCAGUAGGUACAAAAAUAAAAAAAAUGAAGAGAAAAGGAAGUAAAAAAAAUCUGUGAAUGAAAAAGAAAGAGAAUCCUGAAAUCACCUUUUAAUAUAUUGAUAUUUUUAUUCUGAAUGCGUAAGUAAUCCUUACAAAACCUUUAGCCUUUUUGUUUUAUAGGCUGAAAAAUGAAAAAAAUCGAAAAUAAAAAUCGAAAUCUCAUCAAAAAUCAAUCUUAUUUUGUUGUUUUCUGCUGCGUUGUUUGCUCUAUUUGCAGGUACGAUGUACGGCGGGGAACGUGGCAUGUACGGAGGCACGGACGUGGUACGUAUGUGGGGAGAGGCGUGCGUGGCAGCGGCACAGGAGGCUCUGGUUGCUGCUAGGGUUUUCGGUGUUUGGGGGCAGUCUUGGGCUGAGUUGGGUUUUGGGCUAGGCUAGGCUUUGGGUUCGGGUUUGGGUUAAAGCUGAUUGGGUUUAGGCGAAUCGGGCUUAGGACUGUAUUUUGGGUUAGAUUUUAUUGGGCCAAUGUUUCUGUAUUUUUGGGACUUUUGGACUUUUAAUUCUAUUACUAUAUAUUUUUUGUUUGUAAGGGCCGGGCAAAUUGGGCCUAUUACAAGGUUGUUUGGAUAGCAAGGCAGAUAGACAAGCUUGCGUUUUGGUAGCAUUAAAGAAACGAGACAAAAGGUGUCGCUAAUGUAAAAAGUUAGGUCACGUUACAGCAGAUUGUUAUAAACUGCGAAAUAAAAGAGCUACUUAUAGUAACAAGAAAGAUAUAGCUGGUGCUAAUUUGGCUGAUGAAAGCGGUGAUAAUUUCUUGUUAGUGUCAACUAGCGAUAACUCCAAGCUCACGUCUGAGUGGAUCCUAGAUUCAGAAUGUUCUUUCCACAUGUGUCCCAAUAGAGAAUGAUUCUCUAGAUACAGUUUAGUUGAAGGUGGAGUUGUGCGCAUGGGAAAUGAUUCAUCUAGUAAGGUAAUCAGUAUUGGUACUAUUAAAAUUAGGAUACAUGAUGGGACGAUUAGGACACUCUCAAAUGCUAGGUAUGUACCUCAUUUACGAAAGAAUCUCAUAUCCGUGAGUAUUUUAGACUUGAAAAGAUGCAAAAUCAACGUCGAGUCGAGUGACAUUAAAGUAUCUCAUAGAGCUCUCGUUUUGUUAAAAGAUAAAAGAACCGGCAGCCUUUAUAUUCCAGAAGGUUCUACAGUGACCGGUGAAAUCAAAUGUCCCUCAUCCAUUACAGAUUCAAAGUCAACUCGUUUAGAGCAGAGGCAACUUGAUCAUAGGAGGGUAAAAGGUAUGACCGUUUCGUUGAAGAGAGGUUCUCUUUUGGAUGCGGGUUUUGAAAAGUAAGGCACUGUGUUUGUGAAAGCCAGACCCGGGUUAGUUUUGUUUUGGCAGUGCACAAGUCGAAGGCUAGAAGUCUUCCAACUUCUAAGUAUGGAUUCGACUUGAUUAAUUCCCUGCACAGUUCAAGCUAGGCCCGUAGCGGGCUUUGGCAAAGAUGGAAUUGUAAGAAUUCGUGUCAAGAUGGAGAUUGUUAGAUUUGUGUGACCCAAAUUCUAAGAGGUUGCUUCCAAGUCAAGUUAAACAAAAUAUAUUUUCUUUCUAGAAGAUUUAGUAUUUAUUAGUAUAAUAUAUUUAGCAUUUAUUAGCAUAGUUUAUUUGACUUACUAAUUUAGCCUAUAAAUAGGUUCUUUUACAACCUUAGAAAAUACACCCAUUAGAGAUUAGAACUCAUAACACAUUUAGAGAAUUUUGUGUUUACGUUUUAAGGGUUCUUUAUUUUUGGGUUUCUGGGGUUUAGUUUUUAUCUCCAUCUUUUGUACUCUUCGUUCUUUUGCCAUUAUAGUAAAAUUAUCUUUGCCCGUGGUUUUUUAUCCUCUUUGGAGGGAUUUUUCCACGUUAAAUUUGUGUGUUCAAUUCCUCAAUUUAUUCCGCUAUUUUUUUACUUGUUGUUUAAUUGGGUUGAUCCUAAUACUAGGGUUUAAGGCAAAAUUAGCAAAAUAAUAAAAAAUGGUGAGAGAGAAGGGAUUCGAACUUGGGUUUCAAGGAAUGUUUCAUUAACACUUAACCAACAAACCAAUACCUCAUUUAUUUCCUAAAAAUGCAUAGAUAAUAUAAAAAAUUAAGGCAUGGCCACUCUCUCUCGAUUCACAAACUCGAUUCUACUAACCCCCGAUUUUUGGGAUGUUACAUAGAGCUUAAAUUGAGUUCAAAACUCAACCCUUCAUUGUCCUUAAACUUUGUAAUGCACUAUCGAAUAGAUGUCAAGUCAUGGACAUUAAGGGUUAGGCAGGAACAUUACGAAGGUUUCUCACAAAAAAUGUACUUGAGCGAUUAGAGAAAAGGGAUUGAAUUAGCUUGUAAAUGAUUCUCACUAAAAAUAGUGCUUAAAAAGAAAAGAAAAAUGUGAGAGAAAAGAACACUCAAAGUGUAAAAAUGAUAAAAAAAGUAAAAUAAAUGAGUUUAAAAUAGUCUCAAAAUCAUAGUGAACAAAAAUUAGUUAAUAUCAAUUAACUUUUUUUAGAUUAUUUGAGAGAUAAGGACAGUGAGGGAAUGAGAAAUAAGGCGGUGAGAUGUAACGAUCACUGAUGUGACCCUGCCCCAUGGCUCUCUAAGUCCUAGUUUCGAUCCCAAUAAGCUCCCAAAAGAACCCAUGAUUCAAGCGCGGUCCAAGCGAUUCCAAUAAGCUGUUUCAGCAUUAUUUCUUAGAAUUUUGAAGGAGGAUCAGUUUGUUAACGAAGGGAAAGCUCGGGCUAAUCCAUUGGGGAAUCCAUGCGUCUUAGUGCAAGCUGAUUUUAGCUCAAUUCUAGCUCCUUUAGCUCGUUUCAGCUCCAAUCAGCUCAUUUAAGCUCAAUUUAGCUCAUUCGAGCUCAAUUUAGCUUUCUAUCAGCUUGUUAAUUUUAUUGUUUAAAGAAAUUGAGUAUUAGUUAUAUUUUAAUUAAUUUUCUACACCUCAUGGUCGAAUUAUUUAGCUCAAUUCAGUUCAUUAAGUUGUUUCACAUCUUUUGAGCUAACCGAAUUUAUUAUUAGCUAUGUUUUAUUUAUGUGUUUUUAAAUUGCUUAUUUAAUAUGUUUUGAUGUUAAUUAGUCUAAGAUCAACUGAAUAUAGUAUGAAUUUAAUUUAUUCAUUGUCUUUGUAGGUACACCCGAAUGUGGGAACACAAUUAAAUGUCAAUUCAUGAACAAGUUUGCCUCUUUGUGAUAGAUCUUCCAAGGCCGAAUACUUUGAUGAUUUUGAUACACGUUCGCCUCUUCGUGAGCCAACCUUCACAAAUGAAUAAAUUGAUGCACUUGUAGAGACAUGUCUACCAUUUUGUUUAUCAUCUCGGAAGGACUCAAACUCGGAGUUUGCUUCUCUUGGUCUCGAACGCCUUGUUGAAUAGGAGUCUUGAUAGGAGUCUCUUGUCGAGCAGUGUCAUCGUGAUGAUCUUAACUCCGUCUCUUGUCCCAGUGAAUUUGGCUUCCGUCGGGCUCUUUCCUCCACUCGAUCCAAUCGAUCAUACAAUUUAUCUAAUUUUGAUUUCACCAUUCUACGCAUCUUUUGCAUCAAAUAUUGGAAUUCUGAUUCGAAAAAUUCUUCUCGAGACACGAUUAUUCACUAAAAGAAGAAAUGUUGAAAGAAUAAUAACAGAAAAUUAGAUAGCUCACUACAAAAUCCUCACUAAUUCUCUCGAAAAGGAAAUAAUGAUUUUCACUCGCACUCGUGUUUACACUCAAUUUUUGGCUUUUUCUUUUGAUGUAAUUCACUCUUGCCUUUUACCACUCGACCUCGUCUCACAAUUUCGUAAUUCGUCUCGGUAGACUUAAUUUGCUGCUUGAGGGUCAGUUUCAAAAAUGGGUAACAAAGGGAAUAAUGAGAUGGUGUAACGUAGGCUAGAACAAAAACAUAUUCGGUUUAAGAUGUGGCGUUUAAGAAGAUAGAAUAAGAAGAAUAGGGAAACUCACUUGAUCGGGAAACACAAAGAAUGAAUAAACAAAAAUUCCAACACAUCACUUUUUUUUCAAAUUUUUUUUACUUCAUACUUUUUUUUUUAUUCUCAAUUUUUUUCGUAAUUUCCUCUUUUCUUUUUUUCAAUGACAAUAGAUGAAAUACAAAGAAAGAAAAAAAAUACAACUUGAAUUUUUUUAUUUGUUUUUUACGUUACGAACCUACUCCGAGCUUGAUACGAAUGUUGAUGCUCCUCGUUUUGCAAGCUCUGAUACCAAAUGAUGCGAUCUGGCCCGGGAUAAUCGAGUCGUUUCACAAAGUUGCCCGAUCGUCGACUAGAAGUUGCGUUCGUUGUUGAUUAGAGAUAGCUUUAUGGAAAUGUUUGAGCGGAAGUAAUUAAAAUGGGUUCAAAAGAUGGCUUUUGGGAAUUGAUAGAUUCGGUUUUGAGAAAAGAAAAUAAUUUAUAAAUUGAUAGAUAAAAUGGAAUGGAAAUACAAACUCAAGCGUCAAGAUCAAUUCAAUACUAUUUGAAGUAUUGCCCCGGGACUUAUAUUGCUUAAGGUGGGUUAAAUGGAAUAUCGAAGAUGGACCUCGACCCGUUACUUAUGAAGAAGUAAGAACCAAAGGUAUUAAAAGGUGGAUGAACGCCAUACCAUGAUGGUGAUAAGUUCAAAGAGUCGGGCUGACACCACUAGCUAGCUAGAUAAGUUAGAACAAGACUCAAACGAAAUAGGAUAGGAGGAAACCUCACAAUCUAGUUUUGAUAAUAAAAAAUGUCUAACCUUGUUACAAAGAGAAAUAAACUAUUUAUAGACUACAUAUGAUAGCCGAAUGGACAGAAUAAACAAGCUUAAAGAUUAAGUAAUUCGGCUUUAAAUGUGUUAAAACUAAUCUCGGAAUGUAUCCCUUAAAUGCUAUGUCUAAAUUCGGCUGAAUGAAUCUUCAAUGGGUAGCUUCAUGGCUAAGGAAAUGAAGUUGGUGGCUGGUGAAUGCAUGAGAGGCCGAUAGCCUUGUCUAGGUUCGGCCAAUGUGUGAAUGGACACUCCAAAAAAUGCCUUUUGGGUCGAAUAGGUGCAUAGGAGUUCAAUGGACAGCAACUGAUGCAUGUAGGUGAGCAUUCAUGUAUCAUAUUUAAAAUCACUCAUUCGUUGUAGAUAGCCAUUCAUGCAUCCACACAUACGUUGAAUCAACAUGUUCAUGAAUCAACAUUUAAUUGUGUUCCCACAUUCGGCUGUACCUACAAAGACAAUGAACAAAUUAAAUUCAUACUAUAUUGAGCUGAUCUUAGUCUAAUUAACAUCAAAACAUAUUAAAUAAGCAAUUUAAAAACACAAAUAAAACAUAACUAAUAAUAAAUUCGGUUAGCUCAAAAGAUGUGAAACAACUUAAUGAACUGAAUUGAGUUAAAUAAUUCAACCAUGAGGUGUAGAAAAUUAAUUAAAAUAUAACUAAUACUCAAUUUAUUUAAACAAUAAAAUAACGAGCUGAUAGAAAGCUAAAUUGAGCUUGAAUGAGCUGAAUUGAGCUCAAAUGAGCUGAUUGGAGCUGAAACGAGCUAAAGGAGUUGGAAUUGAGCUAAAAUCAGCUUGCACUAAGACGGAUGGAUUCCCCAAUGGAUUAGCCCAAGCUUUCCCUUCGUUAACAAACUAAUCCUCCUUCAAAAUUCUAAGAAAUAAUGCUGAAACAACUUCUUGGAAUCACUUGGACAGCACUUGAGUCAUGGGUCCUUUUGAGAGCUUAUUGGGAUCAAAACUAGGACUUAGAGAGCCGUGGGGCAUGGUCACAUCAUUCCCCCCUUCUUCAAAAUGACUUGUCCUCAAGUCGAGCUGUUUGUUCAUUAGAAAAUAUUCCUUCUUAUGCAACUCUCCUUGGGCGAAUGGGGCGAUUAGUCUUUCAUAGGCCUUUGCAAAAGAACUCACAAUAUUCGGCAGUAGAGAUGGCAAAUGAAUCAAUGGAAAUGGACAACCAUUAAUCAUCAAGAAAUGAUCAAAACAAUUAUGCAGAUCAUGCAUAGCCGUAUCAAGACAACUAUGAGUCAUGUAAAAGGGCAGAUUUAAAAUAUCGUUCUUACUAUCAAAUGAACAAAACAUUUUACAUGUCAAUAACUUAUCAAAUGAUCGAAACAAAGAUGAAUAUGUUUUAAAGCAUCCAAACAUCUCAAAUUGCUUCCACAAGUCAUUGUUCAAAUAAAUGCAAUGCAAUCAAUGAGCCAAGAAAUGUAAGUCUUCAUCACAAAUAGGCAAAUGAAAAGAUUCACAUGAUUCAUGAUUUCGCAUACUUGAAACUUGCAAAUGUCGUUUGGCUAUGUCCUCACCAACGAAUUCAUCACAAUUUCCAAAAAUAAAAUUCUUCUUAUCAUCAACCAAAAUAGGUAUAUUCCCUUCAAGCAAAAUCUAACAAUUAACCACAAUGGGAUUCAAGCAAUUUUUAGCAUUCAAAGUGUCUUCAAAAAUUUUAUCUACAUUCGAAUAAGGAAAAAAUGGUCGCAUAGCAUCAAAAAUCAUACCUUGUCCACAUUUAGGAAUAGGAAAUUGAAGAUCGAUUUUACCUUUUUCAAUCAAAGUGAUCCUUUUCUCCUUGGGAAGGUAUUGAAGUCGAAGCUCAUUACACAGUCCUUGAGAAACCUGAAAUGAAGGAUAAACACAAAGACAACUUGCACUUUUCGAAGUGUUGUGUUCAUAAUGUUAAAAGAGGGUAAUGUCACCAUGGACGUUGGACUCAAAGGAACAUGCUAAAACACUAUGAACAUAUUGAACAUAUGUAACGAUACCAGGUUUGAAAACAUGAGUUGAUCUUGCCUUUUCGAAAUGAAAAAUGAAUUUCAUGUACAGCCACAUAAAAUGAUCAAAGAACAAUUUUAAAUUAUAAUCAAAAUCUUUAAAUUUUAGAGGCCAAGCAUCAAACAAACAUAAACUUGUCACAAAAAAAUUAGGAUGCUUGAGUUCCACACAUAUCAACCUAAAAUAAUAAAUUCUAGGUUUGAACACAAGAGUUUGAUUACUUAUUCCAAGGUGUAACAAAGGUUUCAUUAAAUCAAACAUGCCAGACCAAGAAAAUUUGUGCUUACACAGAAUGAAACAAUAAAACUUCUUUACAUUCAUCAAAACAAAUUUGCACAAAUUCAAGGAUUUCUCACAAAGUGGUAAUUGAGUCACAAAAUCAUCGCAAUCAGACAAUUUAAUCGCUUGUCAUGAAUAGUAGUUAUCAUGCAAAAUCUUAUGUUGUGUGUGUUGAUUUAUUUGAACAACAUGAAAAGGGUUUUCAACACAAAACAAAUCAAGGAAACAAGUCCUCAUGCUUCCACUUAGAAGGAGUUUAUCAUCCACAAAUGAAGAAUAAGGAUUAACCAGAUCAAAAUAAGGAAAUCUUUUAAAAACUAAGUCAUCAAAAAUUUUAUCGACAACUUUCAAACUUGUUUGCCGUGACUCUAUUGCUAAAAAUACCUUACCUUGCUUAUCUUGGAACACUUGUGGUUGGAUUUCACCUUCAAUCUUACCUUCGUUGGUCAAUUGGAAUCGCCUCUCAUUAGGAAAGUAUUGAAGUUGAAAUUUUUCAAUCGAUUCUUCAAAAACCUGAGAAGAAACAACAUGAGGAAAACUCAUAUGUUGGUUAGUGGAGACAAUCCUCACUUUUUCUGGUUCGCUCAUCUCUUUUUCUUUCGUUUAUUUUUCAUCAUCUUUUUCUUUUUCAAUUUUUUUAUCAAUCUUAAUUUCUUUUUCGAUUUUCUUUUCUUCGAUUUCUUUUUUCUUUUGCAAUUUCUUUUUGUUUUUCUUUUUCACAUGCUAUUUUGAUUUCAUUACAAAAGAAAAAAUCAUCAAAAUGAGAAGCCUUUUAUUGAGAAUAAGAAAAGGAUUCUUCAUACAAAUAAAAAUCAUCUCUUUGUGAUAGAUCUUCCGUGACCGAAUACUUUGAUGAUCUUGAUACAUGUUCGCCUCUUCGUGAGCCAACCUUCACAGAUGAAUAAAUUGAUGCACUUGCAGUGACAUGUCUACCUUUUUGUUUAUCAUUUCGGAAGGACUCAAACUCGGAGUUUGAUUCUCUUGGUCUCGAACACCUUGUUGAAUAGGAGUCUUGAUAAGAGUCUCUUGUCGAGCAGUGCCGUCGUGAUGAUCUUAACUCCGUCUCUUGUCCAGGUGAAUUUGGCUUCCGUCGGGCUCUUUCCUCCACUCGAUCCAAUCGAUCAUGCAAUUUAUCAAAUUUUGAUUUCACCAUUCUAGGCAUCUCUUGCAUCAAAUAUUGGAAUUCUGAUUCGAAAAAUUCUUCUCGAGACAUGAUUAUUCACUAAAAGAAGAAAUGUUAAAAGAAUAAUAACAGAAAAUUAGAUACCUCACCACAAAAUCCUCACCAAUUCUCUCGAAAAGGAAAUAAUGAUUUUCACUCACACUCGUGUUUACACUUAAUUUUUGGCUUUUUCUUUUGAUGUAAUUCACCCUUGCCUUUUACCACUCGACCUCGUCUCACAAUUUCGUAAUUCGUCUUGGUAGACUUAAUUUACUGCUUGAGGGUCGGUUUCAAAAAUGGGUAAGAAAGGGAAUAAUGAGAUGGUGUAAGGUAGGCUAGAACACAAACAAAUUUGGUUUAAGAUGUAGCAUUUAAGAAGAUAUAAUAAGAAGAAUAGGGAAACCCACUUGAUCGGGAAACACAAAGAAUGAAUAAACAAAAAUUCCAACACUUCAUUUUUUUUGAAUUUUUUUUACUUCGUACUUUUUUUUAUUAUCAAUUUUUUUUCGUAAUUUCCUCUUUUCUUUUUUUCAAUGACGAUAGAUGAAAUACAAAGAAAGAAAAAAAAUUACAACGUGAAUGUUUUUUUGAUUUUUAUUUCACAUUACGAACCUACUCCGAGCUUGAUACGAACGUCGAUGCUCCUCGUUUUGCAAGCUCUGAUAACAAAUGAUGCGAUCCGGCCCAGCAUAAUCGAGUCAUUUUACAAAGUUGCCUGAUCGUCGACGAGAAGUUGCGUUUGUUGUUGAUUAGAGAUAGCUUUAUGGAAAUGUUUGAGCGGAAGUAAUUAAAAUGGGUUCAAAAGAUGGCUUUUGGGAAUAGAUAGGUUUGGUUUUAACAAAAGAAAAUAAUUUAUAAAUUGAUAGAUAAAAUGGAAUGGAAAUACGAACUCAAGCGUCAAGAACGAUUCAAUACUAUGUGAAGUAUUUCCCCGGGACUUAUAUUGCUUAAGGUGGGAUAAAUGGAAUAUCGAAGAUGGACCUUGACCCAUUACUUAUGAAGAAGUAAGAACCAAAGGUAUUAAAAGUUGGAUGAACGCCACACCAGGAUGGUGAUAAGUUCAAAGAGUCGGGUUGACACCACUAGCUGGCUAGAUAAGUCAGAACAAGACUCAAACGAAAUAGGAUAGGAGGAAACCUCACAAUCAAGUUUUGAUAAUAAAAAAUGUCUAACCUUGUUACAAAGAGAAAUAAACUAUUUAUAGACUACAUAUGAUAGCCGAAUGGACAGAAUAAACAAGCUUAAAGAUUAAGUAAUUCAGCUUUAAAUGUGUUAAACUAAUCUAGGAAUGUAUCCCUUCAAAGCUAUGUCUAAAUUCGGCUGAAUGAAUCUUCAAUGGGCAGCUUCAUGGCUAAGGAAAUGAAUUUGGUGGCUAGUGAAUGCGUGGGAGGCCAAUAGCCUUGUCUAGGUUCACCCAAGGUGUGAUGGACACUCCAAAAAAAUGCCUUUUGGGCCGAAUAGGUGCAUAGGAGUUCAAUAGACAACAACCGAUCCAUGUAGGUGAACAUUCAUGCACUCUCCCAUUCAUUGUAAUGAACCAUUCUUGUAUCAUCUUUAAAAUCACUCAUUCGUUGUAGAUAGUCAUUCAUGAAUCCACACAUAUGUUGAAUCAACAUGUUCAUGAAUCGGCAUUUAAUUGUGUUCCCACAUUCGGCUGUACCUACAAAGACAAUGAACAAAUAAAAUUAAUAGUAUAUUCAGCUGACCUUAGACUAAUUAACAUCAAAACAUAUUAAAUAAGCAAUUUAAAAGCACAUAAAUAAAACAUAGCUAACAAUAAAUUCAGUUAGCUCAAAAGAUGGGAAACAACUUAAUGAACUAAAUUGAGCUAAAUAAUUCGACCAUGAGGUGUAGAAAAUUAAUUAAAAUGUAACUAAUACUCGAUUUAUUUAAACAAUAAAAUUAACGAGCUGAUAGAAAGCUAUAUUGAGCUCGAAUGAGCUGAAUUGAGCUCAAAUGAGCUGAUUGGAGCUGAAACGAGCUAAAGGAGUUGGAAUUGAGCUAAAAUCAGCUUGCACUAAGACGCAUGGAUUCCCCAAUGGAUUUGCUCGAACUUUCCCUUCGUUAACAAACUGAUCCUCCUUCAAAAUUCUAAGAAAUAAUGCUGAAAUAGCUAAUUGGAAUCGCUUGGACCGCGCUCGAAUCUUAGGUCCUUUUGGGAGUUUAUUGGGAUCGAAACUAGGACUUAGAGAGCCAUGGGGCUUGGUCACAUCAAUCACAUUUUGGGGGGAAUUGGGAAUAAUGUAGUGUGAUAUACAUAGUGCUUGAACCAUUUUCAGAUGAACUUUCUUUGAAUCUGUACCAACCCCAACCUUAGAAUGUUACAAGCCAAUAACACCUUUUGGACCCAAAUAAGUCACUGACGCAUCAAUUUGUAUAUAGCUUGCAUUUGUUAGAAUGAACAUGAAUAAUUCUUUUCAAAAAUCUAUGAGCGAUCCGUAUGGUUUAUGUUGACGGACCAUAUUUGUACAUAUGAUCAUUUACGUUGCUUCUAUCUUUAUUGACACUUUAACUUUUUGAACUAAUAAUAUCUACAUUAGGAGUUGGUAAAUUAGUUAGAUAUCAUUCUUAAAUUGCAUGUGAAGUAAUCAUCGUGCAAAUUUGAUGUUGUAUAACUAUAUAACUUAAUUGUUUGAUUUAGUCCAAGGGUCAUCUUUUGCAUGUUUUGUGUGUUUGCUUGAGGACAAGCAAAUACUUGAGUGUGGGGGAAUAUGAUCUACCACAAAUCGAUGUGGAAAAUUAUGCUUUUCUGACGCACUUAAGGAGCUUUUUCUCAAGCAAAAUAAAGAUCUUACUUUAGUUUUUCAUUGUUUUCGUAAUUUUAUAUUUUUCGAGUAAUAAGUGAGAAUUUCUCGUUUUUGUCUAAUUUUUAACCAAAUUGGUAGAUAGUGCCAUUGGAAGGUCUAAUGUGUGCUUCAAUGAUGUAGAGACGUGUUGGAGGUCGAAAAUAAGCGAGAAUGACAUCUAAGGCCAGGGUAUCGCGAUAUCCAACCCCUGGAAUCGCGAUACCUCUGGUAGUAUAAAAGAAAAAGGAGACCCUUCAGUGGUAUCGUGACAUCCUCCUUGUGUAUCGUGAUAUCCACCUCUCUAGGAAGCCCCCCAAGUUCAACAAUGCCUAAGAUAUCGUAAUAUCCACUUCUAGGUAUCGCGUUAUCGCCUUCACCAAAGGGACAAACUUCAACAAAAGGGAGAACUUUGUCUACCCAACCCAUCAAUCACUCAAGGCUCAUGUAAGUGCAAUUUUAGCAUCGAAAAGUCAUCAGAAUACCCUUCAAAACAGCCAAAAAUUGAUGAGGAAGAAAGAGACACAUUUUAUCUUAGUUUUAGGUUUAGUUUUCUCUAGAUUUUCUUUAGUUUUUCUCUUCACUUUUCAAGGUUUUUUAUUUUUCUCUUCUUCUACCUUAGAUUGGAGUUUAUUUUUUUUUAUUUACUUCUUGUUCUUGAUGUUCUUUAUGUUAGUUAAGUUAGUUAGCACUAUAGCUAGGAUUUAUUUACAUUUUUUGUCUAUGUACCUCGCUUUCAAGACUCUUUAAGCUUUAGUUUAAUGUAUUUCAGUUGACUUUACUACAAAUCUGUUAAAACUUGUUCCUUUUAUGUGUCUUGCUUUAGAUUUAUUUGGAAAAUGCUUUUGGUUUCAUGUUAUUGAAGUUUUCUUGCAUAAAAAUCUCAACUUUCACAUAUUUCUUAAGUUUUACGUUUAUGGCUGCUCUGUUGUCAUUGUUAUGUUUAUUUUCUUAACUUUGAGCAUGUCUAGCUAAAUCCUUAAGGAGGUUGGUUGAUGGAAAUGUAGAUAAUCUACAAUCUUUGGGAAAAGGACUAAAUCAUAACAAAUUUGACUAAUUUGAAUAGAAUUAAGAACUUGGGGAGUGAUGCCCCUAAGGGAACACUAAGAUAAAGUGAGACUGAAAGGCUACUUCUUUAUGCACCCGUUCGGUAGCCCUAAAUUAACCGGCGAGAUUGGAAGAUAAACCGAACAUAAUUCGUCUAAAUUGGUAAAAUUGAGAUCGAAAGAUAAAAUGGAUCCACUUGAUAAUUUACGCGAUUUAUAUCCCUAGUCCGAUAUUUGGUGAACCACAUCGAAGUCAACCAACCUCUAUUAGUCAUUUGCUAGAUAGUCCCUCUAGUUUACAUUUCUUUCAAUUUAGCCCCUAGAGUACGAUAUUUAAUUUUCUUGGAAAUUUAUGUUUUAUAAAUAGUCAUAAUAUAAAAUUGUAUUAAUAGCCACUUAGCCUCUAUUGUGUAAGCUAGUUAUUGCUCAAUGGUCUCUUCCUUUGGGUUCGAUCCUUGGAAUAAUUUAGUGUUUCAUUGUAACACUACAAAUAUUACAACUGACCUGUAUGCUUGCAGUAAAACUGAAUGUUAAAAUUUUUCUCAUAAAUUAGUUAUUUUAAUGCACACGCGCGCACUUGGUCACUGUGCCUCAAUUGUUAUUUGAUUUUUUCUUCAAUUCUUGUAGAAGAUGAAUUUGUACAGGGAGACAGAUAAGAAAAAAAUAUGCUCAAUAUUAAUUCUUGUAUGAUAGGUUAGUCCAAAUUCAAGUAUGAUUUUUUAUUUAUUUCAAAUAUUUUUAUGUUAAGUAAAUUAUGAGAUAAAUGUUCAUUUUUUUGAGUAUAUGUAAAUUCACCAUAAUUGUUUUAUAUUCCUUAGAAAUUAAACAUGCAUGAGGACUUAGCCUCUUGAAUUGGUUUGGUACUUUCCUUGAGGCAAAAUGCUAGGUAGCAUAGCAGGUUUAAAAAAUUAUUUAGGCAUAUUUUCUUUGGAUUGAUUGAGCCUUUCAAGCCUACCCUAUUAAUUGAAUCCCUUUAAAACCACAUUUUAAGUUGUAUGGCCUAUAUUUUUCUAAGAUAACCCAUGAAAUAAGUAGCUCUUCCCAAAUAAUUGUUUCUUUGACCUUUUGAACCACUGAAUCUUUGCCUAGCUUACUUUGGAAGUGUUCGAAGAUUAUGUUUAAGGGAAUCCAAGAGAAAUAUUGGGUGUAUAUUAUAAAACACUUAAGGAUGAGUUACAUAUAAAGACGUGCUCUAAAAGGUACUCUUUAAAAAAAGGAGGUACCAUUGGGCACAGGACCUAAAAAUAGUUGGUUUUUUGGUGGAUAGUUACAAUGUUUGAAGGCUAAGGUAAACUAAGUUUAGGGUUAUUGAACAUAAAAUAUAUAAUUUCUCCAUACCUUCACCCUAGCCCCGUUACAACCUUAUCAAGACCUAUUGAUUUAAACUGCUAAGCUGACUAGGGAAGUAUAGAAUUUCAACAUAUAAAGACAUGUGUUAAAUCUGAGGAAUGAUGCUUAGUUAAAUUAUGGAAUUAAUCUUUUAUGGAAUUGAACUUAAUUUACUCUGAAAAUUAGCAAUUCAAAUCAUGAUUUUUUUUUUGUGUUUAGCUACUUCAAUAAAUAUUGGAUGAUAUGUUGUAUAUGAACUACAUAUUUACAUAAUUGAUUUGAAGGUAUACAUUUUUUCUUCUUCAUGAUUGCUUGUUUGAAUAAAUUUCUACAUUAUGACAUGUUUUUAGCAUUACUCGAGAUGAGCAAUGAUUUAUGUUUAGGGGUGUGUGAAGUCUAAAAUAUAUAGAUAUUUCAACACUCUUUUAUAUAAAAUUUAUGCAGAUUUCGAGUAAAUAGAAAACACUUUAUAUGGGUUUUCACUCAAUUUCACGGUAUUUUAUUAUUUCCAUGGGAAUGUGUUAAGUGUGUGAAUAUUAUGUUAAAUGCAUGCUAUUUUGCUAAUUUUUGGUAAUAAUUGGGCUAAGGGAAAGGAUGGCAGAAUUUUGGUCAUAUUUGGGUCUUAGACAGGUGCAGGUUGAAGGAUUCACAAUGUAGUCAGAUGGGAUUCAAAAUGGUGUUCAUUCAGAGUUAAUUCCAAUGAGACCCAAUAUUGUCCAAAUUUGAGGCCAAAACAAUUCCACUUACCCACUUUACCAUGAAAUGGAAUAGCAACAUCCACUAUUAAAAUUAGCCGUCCUAAUCAACCAUUCAACUCCCAAAUUUAAUAGAUUUCUCCCCAAUAUACACCAAAUAAAAUUAGCAUAUUUUCCUUGGAUUAAGCAUUCAACCGUCCACCUACUACUAAAAAUUGCAGUAAAAAAACCACUAUCUUUUGACCAUUCAUUGGCCGACCACAUAAGGAGGAUAUUAAGCUAACUUCCUUGCUAAAAUUAGGAAGGAAGCAACCAUUCCUCCACCAUACAAGGGAUGGCACAAAAAGGGGAGGAACUCAAGGAAUCAUCCACCCACUUCUCCCUUAAGCAAGGGACGACACACUCAUAGAGAUUUUAGGGGAUUUAAUUGCUAUUUUUAGUGUGGCAGAUUAAGCACCAUCAAGUAUAAAUAGGGCAAGCAUUACACCAAUUUUUCUCCAUGUCUUACUAAACAUUUGAUUUCCACAAAAUAAGGCAAACACUUGCCGAUAUAAGAGCAUGUGACGUGGAGGAGAGCCACCAUGGGAAGCUGCAAGGAGCAGUCUCAAACAACCCCUGUAGUCAAUUUUUUCUUGUGUCGAGAGAUAAAAUUGCAUCUCAUCUUCAUGUUUUUAAUUUGAUAUGUCAUGACUUAAUUUUGUUUAUUCAAAAUGGAUAUGAAUCUUGGUAUGAAUUAAUUUGUUUUUGUUGUCUGAAUAUUUUGUACAAAUGAUUAUUUAAUUCAUUUAGGUUUAAUUCAUGAUUAUACUUAUAAAUUUAUGGCCAACAUUUGUAGGUUAAUUAAUUAACUAUUUAAUCUGAGAAGAGGUAAAUGGUAAUUGACAAAAUACCUAAAUGGUGCAUAUCAUGUCGGUAUUGAAAGAUGAUUGCUGUAUGCAUACACUAUGUAAAUGCUCGAGAGGGUGAUUUUUAGGUUAGUUUUUCAUAUAAGCAUAUGCUAAUUAACUUAGGGACAUAAUAGGACUUCGAGAUAAGCCUAUGCCUUAAAUAAAAUGGGUUUAAUGAAUUUUCAUAUUCCCACGAUCCUCCAUUAUAUUCUUUUUAUGAAUACCAAUAAAUUCUUAUUAAGUGACAUAUUUAUUUUAGUUUAUUCAUGUUGUGUUAUAUUAAAUCUUUAGUUCAUUUCUUGUUGUGAUUAUUUCUGUAAGGAAUGUUGUUUUUUUUUAUGGGUCUUUGAACUCUAGUUACAUUUCUUAAUUUAAUUUUGCGACUCUCAUCAAUAAUAUUCUCUUUUAUUUGUUCCUUCAAAAUUGAUUAAACUUGACGUUGAAAAUAAUUCACACAACAAUUUCUAUGGAAACAAUACUCUUUACUUGCUACAUAUUACUUGUAUGAUCGUAUACACUUCCACGUAAUCAUGCGACACAAUUGGAUAAGAGGAUCUCCAAAACACUCCAUAUGACUCAAGGAGUCGAACACUAUCUUCAUGUCAGUGUAGCGUGAAUGUUCACACUCUUCAAACAUACCACGCUAUCUACAAUGAAUGGAGCUAUGCUCAACAUUCCCUUAUCUCUCCAACACUAUCUCUGAGCUACAAUGCCAUAACAUAGAGUAGAAAGGGUGAGUAAUCACAGUCCUAUGGCUUGCCAAUUAUAUCUAGCGGUUACAAUCAUUAACAAUGCCAACAUAUCAUUUUUUUAUCACAUUCACAAUACACAGUAUAAUAAGGCUCACAAUCCAACAGAGCUUGCAAAAACAUGGGCUCACUUAUAUCAUAUGGGUUCACACAUAAUAUAUGGGUUCGAAUGGCAUAGAGUUCGUACAAAAUGUAAGGGGUUUGCACAUGGAUAUAGGCUCGUAUAGUAUUUUUAGGCUCGCAUAAAACAUUUAAGCUUGUAUAAAACAUUUGGCUCAUAUAAAAUAGUUAAGCUCACAUGAAACAUUUAAGCUCGCAUAAAACAUUUGAAAGUAGGGUUCGCAUUUAUCACAAGUGGGCUUGCAUAAUAUACAAGCCCGCGUGAUACUGGUGUUCACAUGACAUAUAUAAUCUUGCACACUUGUAAGCUCACUCACUUUUAUAAAGUUGGCACAGUACUUUUAUAGGGUUCACACAAUACUUUUAUUGGGUUUGCAUAUUAUAGGCUCACACAAAAUAUGUAAAGCUCGCACACAUUGUAACAAGGUUCGUAGAUGAUAAAUCAAGGCUUGCAUAAUAUAUAGCAGGGCUCCCAUGAAAUUUCAACAACGUCCGCAUGCCUUAACUGGACUUUCUUAAGCAUGCAAACCAUUGUUUAAGUGAGUUAUGCAAGAACACUAAUGUAACACCCCAAACCCGAUUUUUGUCACCCGAAUAGGUGACGUGACCACGUCCCAAGCACCGCUAAGCCCUAGCCAUGAUUCCAUCGAGCUUCCAAAAGGACCAUUGACUCGAGCUCGAUCCAAACACUUUCAUGAAGCUAUUUUAGCUCUAUUUCUUUGACUUUGGAAGGAGAAUCAGCUUAUGGAUGAAAGAGAAGCUCGAGCCCAUUUCUUGAAGACUCCUUGCACCUUAGUGCAAGCUGAUUUUAGCUCAAUUCUAGCUCCCUCGGCUCGUUCCUACUCAAAUCAGCUCACUUGAGCUCUUUUCAGCUCGUUUGAGCUCAAUUAAGCAUACUUUCAGCUUAUUUCUUUUAUCAUAUAAAUAAAUUAAGUAUUAUUUUUAUUUUAAUUAUUUUGCUACACCUCAUGACCGAAUUCUCUAGCUCAAUUCAGCUCAUUAAGAAUUUCAUCUAUUAUUGAGCUAGCCGAAUUUAUUAUUAGCUAUAUUUUAUUAUCUGUUUUUAAUUUGUUAAUUUAAUAUGUCUUGAUAUUAUUUAGUCUAAGAUCAGCCGAAUAUACAUUGAACUUAAUUUGCUCAUGUCUUUUGUAGGUACAUCCGAAUGUGGAAAACACAAUUAAUGAUGGUUCAUAAACAGGCUGGUUCAAUGUACGUGCGGGUGGAUGAAUGACUACCUUCAACUUAUGAAUGCAUUAAGGAUGGUGCAUGAACGGUUCAUUACAAUCCAUGGAAGAGUGCAUGAAUACUCACCUACAUGUAUCAUUUGCUAGCUAUUGAUCUCCUAUGGGUUUAUUCGGCCAAGAGGCAUCUAUUGGAGGGACCAUUCACCCUUUGGCUGAACCUAGACAUGGUCGAUGGUCUCCUAUGUAUUCACCAGCUGCCACAUUCAUUUCCUUAGCUUUAAAGCUGAACAUUGAACCUUACAUCUAGCCGAAUCUAGACAUAGCUAAUAGGAAAUGCAUUUCUAGAUUAAUUCAUACAAUUAAAGCCGAAUUACUGAGUCUCUAAGUUUGUUUAUUCUGUCCAUUCGGCUAUCAUAUAGAGGCGAUAAAUAGUUUGUUAUUUCAUGUUGUAAAGGACUUUUUACCAAAUUAUUAAAUGAACAUAUUGUUCUUGUGAGGUUUUCUUCCUCUCCAUUUCGUUCGAGUCUCGAAUUGACUUACCUAGUUCGCUAGCGGCGUCAACGCUAACUCUUGUUUCCUUCCAUCCUUUUAUACCUUUGAAUCUUACUUCUUAUAAGUAACGGGUCAAGGUCCAUCUACUAUCUACCAUACUUCCCACCUUAAGUGAUAUAAGUCCCGGGGCAAUACUUUAUAUAGUAUUGAAUCACUCUUGAAACUUAAGUUCUAUUCUUCCAUUCCAUCUUUUCUAACAAAAAUUAUCUUUGUUUUAUUUUGUUAAACCGAACCUAUCAACUAUCCAAAUAACCAAUCUUUUGAAUACCUUUAAAGACUUUCACUACUUCAUAACUAAAUCUACUCUUUAAACGAAUCCGAACAACUCCUCGUUAACGAUCGGGGAUCUUAAGUGAACUCGACUCAAUCAAUCGAGCCAGAUCACGUUAAUAGGUUGCAGAGCAUUAUCGUAAAAACAUAACUUUAAAAACAUACAUUUUAUACCUCAACAUAAACAUAGCAUAAAUCAUUCAUCUACAUGCAUAUCAUCCCUUAAUGGAGCCUUUGUGGCCUUUAAAAACAUUUUAGAAUCAAUUCGGGACGAAAUUGGAAUCAUUCAGAAGGUUCAGGAAAAAGUUAGAAAAUUUGAACCGCAAGGGUCACAUGCUCGUGUGACUCAUGACCGUGUCUCAGCCCGUGUCCGUGCCCGUGUAACUCUCUGAGUUGAGUCACAUGGCCAAGCCACACGCCCAUGUGCCAGGCCGAGUAACUCUCAAAAUAGCUCCACACGCCUGUGUCCCAAGCCGUGUUCUAGGUUGUAUAAUAGCCUAACUUGCAUGCAUUAAAACCUACAGGGGACACACAGCCGUGUCGUCACAUGGCCAUGUGUCAUACACGGCUGAGUCAUAUGCCCAUGUCUCAUGCCGUGUGGACAUGAAAUUGACCAAAUUCAAGCCAUUCCCAACACCGAUUCAUGCAUCCACUUGAAAAAUUUUAGUGCACAUUAUCAAAGCAUCAAAACCUUAUCAAAACUUACAUAUAAUAACCAAUUUAAUGAUCCCAAAUCAAUCAACCAAUAUGCCAAUCAAGGCACCACAAAUGCAAAUAUUUAAACCUACCUAAACAUGCAUUUAUUUGAUCUCAUUUCUAUCCUCGAACCUAGUUCAACUUCUAACAAAUCAAACAUCAAAUUUGACCAUUACUAUUCCAAUACAAAACACGCCAUUUGAGCAUUCAGAACAUACAACAUGAUAUAGUCACAAUUACACAAACUAACAAGGUGUCAAAUGUACUAACAUAGUUAACUUACAUAAUGUAUACUUACCAAAUCACCUUCUACCAUUUUCAAACAUUAUAACCUAGUUCAAUUAUGAACUAAAACAAGUCACAAGUAACCAUUUUCAAUCUAUCACCAACAUGUCAAAUGAAUCAUAUCAACAAGAGUAAUCAACAACGCAUAAUUGGGUAAGGUGUUGAGAUGUACCAAACCAAUAAAGCUUUCCAAUGCUUACACAUACCAAAACAUCAUUUACACAUGCACUAUAAUACCAUUAGAAUCUUCCUAUACAUGCCAUUAUAAACCAUAACCAAAUUACUCAAAACCUACCGAUUUGUCCAUUGGAUAGUGUGAUAGAUAUCUAACAAACCUCCAACCGAUCGAGCUUCCAAUAAUCUGUAAAGUAAAGGAAAAUAACUAUUCAAGCAAUGAAUGUUUAGUAAGCUCGUAUAAACUUUAAAUAUAACAUUCCAUUUCAAUAAUGAACAUUAUAGGAUAAAUAAUAAGAUAUGAAAAUGCCAUAAGAUUUAUAAAACUACAUAACCAUCAACUCACAAAUAAUUAAGUCCAUCAGCAUCAUAUAUAUUUUUCAUUCAUAACAUAAUAGGAUUUUAUAAGAUAUAUUACGAAAUCAUCAACCUUUUUAUAAGAUUAUGAACCUUUUUAUUUACUUACUUUCCAUUUCAUUUUAAAUGCUUAACAUAAGCCUAAACAACAUUAUCAGUUUACAAGUUAUUGUAUUUAUUCAUGACAUGAGUAAAUUCAUCCAUAACAUAAGUAUACUUCUCACAUAUAAAUGUCAUUUAACUUAUCAAUCAUUUUAUUUCAUCAUAUUACAUCCCAAUUAUGAACUUACAGUUUCAUUACCUGUUCUUACCUAAAUCAUUUGCAUAAUACAAGACAUAAGUAUAAACAUCAACCAAUUACACAAGCUUGACACAAGCCUAAGCACCAACAACAACACAUGUUAGCAUAUUCAAACAUAAUCCACAUGAGUUUAACAUAGGUAAGCCAUUACACAUGAACACAAUUCAUUUCAAUUCAUCACUUUCCUUAACAUAUCAUACUUUUAAUGAAACUUACCAUUUCAACCCUUUAAUAAAUACAUGAUAUAGUUCCUUUUAAACAUUUAUCAUUCCUUUCCUUUUCAUAUCCGUUGAACCAUUUAGAAUAUCAUUGGAUAUUUGGGAUAGCUUACACGAAGUGUGCUAACAUAUAACUAUAACAUUUCCUUUCCUUUACAUCAUUGCUCACACGAGCUGUGGGUCAGAAUUUAAGCUACACGAUGUUGUUCACACGAGCGGUGGAGUAUUUGUAACAAAUGCAGGACCUCAUCCAUCGGUAGGACAUUCAGGACCAGCACCCGAAACAAGAAAACCCUAAUGACAUGUCAUUUGUAUCCUAUGAAUUCCUAAGGUUCAAAUGGGGCUCAAUAAUCGUCGUGACUUCGUUGGGUUUCCAUAAUUUCUUUACAUGAUAAAUUGCAUAAUAACAUAUAUAUUGAUUCAUUUACAUUAGAAAAACAUGUUAAACAUUCAAUUUAAUCAACAUUAAGUGAUUAUAGUUCAUACGAACUUACUUGGCUAAAUUGCAGCAAUGACUAAGUAUAGGGGUUAUUUGGUAAUUUCUCUUCUCCUGGAUUUUCCACUCAUUUUUUAUCUAAAUUAAUAAUUUCAUUCAAUUCAUUAAUUUAGAUAGUAAAAAAAAUUCAUUUUAUACAAUUUAGUCAUUUUUGACAUUUUUACAAAAUUACCCUCAACUUUUUAUUUUUAUUCAAUUUAGUCAAUAUGUCCUAAUCAUGCAAAUAAACAAAUUUUAUUGAAAAUUCAUACCAUCCGAAUGUUAAUAGCUUCCAUUACAGCCCACUUUUGUAACAAUUUCACACAAAGUCCUUGUAUUUUUACUAUUUCAACAAUUUAAUCCCUAAUCGUUAAAUUCAUCAAAAUCACUUAACAAAAUACUUACAAAAAGCAACUAAUACCUCAAAUUCAUCAUUUAACACCUAAAAUCACAAAGAUUCAUCAAAUGGAAACAUUCAAAAUCUUCAACAGUUUCAAAAAUGAAGGCACGGACCUAGUUACAAUGAUCGCAAGAACAUAAAAAUUAAAAGAAACAGCUGAAAAAUGGCUUAUCAUGCAUAAAUUGAAGCGUGGCCGAACCUUGGUUCUUCUUGCCAUCGUGUUAUGGUGAUGAAAAAAGAAAUUGAAGAAGAAAAUAUUAUGUUUUCUUAUUUUUAUUAACCUUUUUACUUUAUUUUAAUAAUAAAAAAUAACAUAUAAACAUUUAAUAAUAAAAAAUAACAUAUAAACAUAUAAAAUUAAAGAAUUUAAAGCUUAAACUAUCCGCCAUCAUAAGAAUGGGAAAUUUAUCCAUUAAGGUCAUCCAAUUAUAUUUCUUUAAUCAAUUAACACCUUUAAACUAAUAGCGAUUCACUUUUUCAACUAUUACAAUUUUGUCCUUUUUGCUUAAUUAACUAUCUAAACAUCAAAUUUUCUUAACGAAACUUUAAUAAAACCUUAAUAACAUUCCGUAAAUAUUUAUAAAAAUAUUUACAAAUAAUUUUACAAAAACGAGGUCCCAAUACCUUAUUUUCUAAAACCACUUGACUUUAGGGUCUUACCACUUGAACUUAAUUGUUCAUUCAAAUAGCAUAAAUUGUAAAUUCAAAAUUUAUUUUAAUACCAUAUUUUAAUUGUAAAUAUUAAAUAAUAAUAUUUAUGAACUUACUAGUCAGAUUUGUGGCCCCAAAACCACUGUUUCUGACACCACUGAAAAAUGGGCUGUUACAACUCACCUGCGGUUUGCCGCUGAUUGUCGAGCCUACACCACUUUAUGUUUGCCCUUAUCCUUGCUCGUGGAUGCUCCCUCACGAAUAGAGGCUUCACACAUAACAUAAUACAUAUAGGCUAUUAUUUUUCACAACAAAACAGCAGCAGUUCGCCACUCUCUCAAACUGGCGAACUCACUUCGCGCAACUCUAAACUACAAAUUACUUCAUUUUAAGUCAAUCAAAUCCUCAAUUUGCAAUUCCUAGCAUCAGAUCUAAUGAUUAAUUACUUAUCUAAGCCAUUAAUUUUACUCAAUUUCACUAAUUAACAUUUUUCAGAAAAUCACAUUCGUCUUCAAUCUUAUGGAAGAAAAAUCAAUUGAUUCAUGUAAUCUCUUUAAGGAUUUGUUAAAUCAGGUUUCUAAGCCUCUUAAUUACUGUAAAAUGAGCUAAAAAUUGUUUUAAAACCAUCACUUAGCUUAUUAUUUCGAAAUCCACCAUUUUUAUGCAAAAUCAUGCUUUAAAACCGUAUAUCUUAUGAUUUCUUGGUUAGAUCUAUAAGAACACAAAUUGAAAUCACAUAUUAAAUGUUUAAGCCAUAAGAAAUCAGAAGGUUUACCUUUAAUUAAAAGAUCACCACGAAAUUAGAUAAUUUUGAGCAAAAAGAACCUAAGUGUUAAUAGAAAAUGGAAUGAGAAAGAGAGGAUUUCUUUUGAAAUUAAGGAGAAAAAAGGCGUUUGGAUGCUAAGAAAAUAAAAAGGAUUAAGGGAAUUUUGAGAGAAUACUCUUGAUUUGAUUUCUAACCAAUUUUUGAAAUGGUUUAAAUUAUGAAGGGAAGGGACAGUGAAUGGUCUUAUAUAGCCAACCAAUUUUAAAAUUUUGGGCUAUUUACCCUUAAGCCCCUUCCUACUUUCUCCCUUAUUCUAGCAACUCCCGUUUCAAUUAAAGCUCUUAAUUUACACAUUAGACCUCUACUUUAAAGAUUGCUCCAAUUUAAACCUCACUAAAAUAUUUUUAUUAAUUCAAUUAUUAUUGCAUAAUUACUUAUUUUAUUUUAAUUUCUACGAUACUAAUAUCGUAUUUCACUCAAGCCCAUGAUUUGAUUACCUGGUUUUCGGGGUGUGAGAAGAAAAUUAUUUACAAAAUCAAUUAUCAAUCCAUGAAUCGAAAAAUUGUGAUUUCCCUUAGAUUAAUAUUUAUCAAUCCUUGUACUCCUUUAAAUUUUACUAUUUUGACUACGUUCUUUGUCAUUUGUUUUUAUUUCAAUUUGAACUAUAGAAACCCCCUCAAUUUUAUUUUCUCAUUUAUUUUGUAGGAAUUACUCUAAUCCCACUUCCUGUGGAUUCAACCUAGCUCACCACUCUACAAAAGUUUGUUUUUCUUUCUUUUCGAGCAAGAUAUAUUUUUGAGUGGUCUUGACAGUCUGCCAACAACGUCGGUUCAUGUGGAAAUUCCAUAGCCACAUUUUUGUCCGCAUCAGCGCUGUAAUAGGCCAAUUUUGGCCUGGCUAAAAAACCAUUUACAUAGCCCAAAUAAUUCGGCCCAACAAGGCCAAAAUUGCUAACCCUAAUCUGCUAGCCCAAAAAAAUAAAAUACAAAGGGUAUAGAAGAAACCCUAGUAUCCGCCGCAGCAAUCUUACCCUCGCAUGUCGCCGCAAAUGGCGCGCAUGCGCAUCUCCAUGAUCGUACCUGCACAACAAGAAAGUGAAUAAACAACAAAGAAGGCGAGAAAAUCAAGAAAUUGCGAAUCAAAACAGAUAUUAGAAUAGAUUUUUACUUUCUUUUCUUUUUUUCAUUACGGUUAUAAAAAGCCAUCUCAAUUACUGUAAAAAGAGGGGGGGAAAAAAGGGAAUACGGAGAAAAGAUUAAAAUAGAGAUUCGAAAUUUUUUUGAUAACACAGGUGAUUGCUUUGUGGGUUUUCGACAUUUCUUUAUUUAUUUGUUUAUUUUAUUUAUUUCUUUAUUUUUACUUAAAAUAUAAAAAAAAGAAGAGGGCAAACUUAACUUUUCGCCGGAAUCACCGAGUUGGUGCCCUCUCCGUCACGAUUGGGGACUGGGGCAGCGAUAGAGGCUGUGGGAAGUCCUUGAGCGGCGGCUCCCAAGGGUUAGAGAAACCCUAAAAGAAGCAGUUUCUGCUUCAGGAAAAAACAGAACAUUUUAUUAAAAUUUUUUUCUUUUUUUAACCUAAAACAGCUAAAACGGCGCCGUUUAAGAGGCCAGAUCCGCACGCCGACCCGACCCGUAAGUAGGGUCCGCGCGUUCUGGACUAAGUGGUAAAUUUGCGCAAUUAGGGCCUCUCUUUUUGCGACGCGUUUUAAUCAAGUCUGUGUCCUUUUUCAAUUUGGCCCAUAUAUUUUACCCGUGUGACGUUUUAAUCCAAUGCUGCGCAACGUUUAGGAAGGGCGGGAUUAAUUUCCCUUUUGACCCUUCAGAUUAUGCGCAUUUUGCAAAUCUGUCCUUUGUUUUAAUUUGCUCUCGUUUUUUAAUUUUGUUUUGAUUUCAACUUAAUCCUUUGCAUUUGUUUUACUUAUUAAGUUUAAUAUUAGUUUUACUAUUAUUAUUAUUAUUUAUUAUUAUUGUAAUUAUUAUUCCCAUGUACAUACAUACAUUUUUUAAAUUUAUAUAUAUGUAUUUUUUUAUGUACAUAUUUAUAUAUAUAUAUAUUUUAAAAUAAUAUUUUUUCUCAUAUUUAUAUAUAUACACAUACAUAUUUUUUUAUUAAUGUUGAUAAUGUAGAUAUUAUUUAAUUAUUUUUAAUCUAUGUAUAUAUUUUAUAUGUACAUGUAUACAUAUAUAUUUUUUCCUAAUGAAUAUUCUUAUAUAUAUAUAUAUAUGCGUAUAUAUCUAUAUAUAUAUAUGUAUAUAUAUCCAUUCUUAUUUUCAAAAAUGUUUAAAUAUCUACUUGUAUUUUAACACAUAUUUUAUAAUUUAUAUACAUAUUUCUAUACUCUUCUUUAUUUUCACAAAUGCAUAUAUAUUUUGUUUAUAUAAUUUUUUUUAUAACCUAAAUUUUAUAUGUAAAAUCAUUUGUUUUUUUUAUUCUUCAUAAUUUCAAUAUAUAUAUUAUGUAUCUUUUAUUCUUUAUUUUUUUGGUUUAUUUCUUUCAUUUGUUUAUUAAUUUGCGUUUUCAUUUUUUUAUCUUGCUCGUUUAUUUGAACCUUGCAUGUCAUUCUUUUUCCCCUCAUGUAUAUUAGUUUCGUUUAUUUAUUUGUUUAUAUUAUUUCUAUGCCAUUAUUGUAUUUAUUAUUGUUGUAUUUGUUAUUGUGACAUUUAUACAUACAACAUAACAUUACCCCAUCUUUUUACUCGAUUUUAAAAAUAGAAACGUUUCAAAAUAGGGAUAAUACUCGUAUUUAGGAUUUUCAAGAAAAUUGAGCCCUAACGUAUUGGGUUCUGAUUUUUUUGUAAACUCUAACAAUCGAGGAUUGCUCUUUAAUCAAACAAAAUAAAACUUGUCAUCGGGAAUUCAAUAUGUUGUGUCCUAACGUAUUGGAUGUGACACGUUGAUUUCUCGAGAUAAAGAUUUUUUUUAAAAAAUAAAGGGAAUAUUGAAUGUUUGGGAUUUUAAGAAACCAUGCCCUAACGUAUUGGGCUACGAUUUCUUCAUAAAUUUUAAACAAUUAGAUAUUUUCUUAAAUUUUAUUACACGAGUUUUUGACUAACUCAUCAGGAAGAGAAUAAAAUAUUGUGCCCUAACGCAUUGGGUGUGAUAUUUUCCUUUUCCAAAAUGAGAAUGUUUUAAUAAAUAAUUCAAUUUAAAUAAAGAUCGUAUUUAUUAACUCUCGACAUUAAGACACUAAUUAAUCAAUUUGGUACCAAAUUUUGGGCGUUACGAGGGUGCUAAUCCUUCCUUGUACGUAACUGACUCCCGAACCUGCUUUUCUAAAACUCGUAGACCAAAGUCGUAUUUAGGUGAUCCAAUCACACCAUAAUAAAAGAUUGGUGGCGACUCCAAUUUUAAUCGACAACUAAUUUUUGUUUUUUCCAAAAAUAAAAAUGGUUUCGACAAGCGCCAUUAUCUUUAACUCUCAUUUUCUUUGUGUUUAGAUCUUCAGUAGAACAUGACUCACCAUCAUCACCAUCACAAAGAGAGUUAGUCAUAGGUUUUGCCAAAAAGCUUUUAAUCAAUUUAUAUUCACAUCAAAAGAUAUUUAAAAUAAAUAAUAUAUUUGAACAUAAUAAAAUGAUCAUAAUUAUAAAUUCAUUGAAAGCAUUUUAUACCUAAUGCAAUCAUUUGGACAACUUGAAAUUAUAUAGACAUUUAAAACGCCUUCUGAAUAACAAUUCAUGCAAAUUAUGAGUAUUUAGAUAACAAAAUUUGUAGUUUUAUUACAAAUUUUUAAAGUAGAAAAAAAUUAAAGAUAAAUUUGUAAUCUUACUUCUUUAUAUGCUACUUUGACAUAUUUUUGCCGAUUUGACGCAGGUUGGUGCAAUAGAAGAAAAGUUAGUAUUGAAGCUCACCUAUUCAAUACUUAAUUUUGUAGCAUUCCUGUAGCAAAGGCCAUGCAGAUGUGGGUUGAUGGUUGAUUAACAUGGACGUCCUAAAUUCAUCUGUUGGACUCUCAAAUUAAUUUUAACCCAGCUUGCAAUUGGAUCACUAAAGUGGAGAAUCCUACUGCCAAAUUUGAAGCCCAAACUAUCCACUAAGGAAUAAAGAGCCCAAUUUGGCUAUGGGAAAUCCAACCGUACAUAAAAAUAAUUAAUUUAGGCAACAAAGACUUGGUAAAAUGUCACAAAUCCGCCACAACAAUUUUUCCAUGUGACCGUUCAACUUCUUCUCAAGAAUCAAGCAUGAGCUAGCUAAAUUUAGUAAAGUCAUCCACCUUCCUUCCUCAACAAAAGGGGAAAGCCAUGCAUGAGAGAAAAAAAAAGGGGCUCCUCACCAGUCAAAUAGAGAGACAUUUGCUCUCCAUUUCACAAGGGGUCGACCAUGCAUGAGAGAAAAGAAUGGGGGAUUAUCAUGCUUAAAAUAGAAAACUCAAUGAGCUCUUCACUAGUAUAAAUAAAGAGGCAUUUGUUCUCUCGUUCUCUCUCGUUUCAGUUCCAUUUGAGAGAGUAUUUGCAAGGUUUUGAGAGUAGCCACUUUAGGCAAUAUUGAGAGCUUUAAAGCUUGGUAGUCACAACAAGAAGAAAAGAACAAAUGAGGAGCAAAGUGAGUUGUGCCAUGGAGAUCAACUAGAAGUGGCUUAGCAAUUCUCUUUCCUUUCAAUCUUUAUUUUUUUUUAAUUCAAGAAAUAUGAUUACAACUAAGUUUUUGUGCUUUUAAUAUAAUCAUGAUUACUUAAUUUUGUUGGUUUUAGAAUGAUUUAAUUUUCGUAGUUGUAAUUAUUUAAUUCUACUAAAGAUGCUCUAUGCUUUUGAUCUAUUUACUCAUGCAAGUAAAAUCAUGAAUAUGUUUCUCAUGCAUUAUGAAUGAAGGAAAACAACUAAAUUAAUUGACACAAUACUUAUAUAGUGUAUGUUUAAUCAUUCAGGGAUUAAAUUAGUAAUAAUACCAAAAAUAUUAUUACAUUAUAUUAGUUUAUUAAACAUAGAUGAUACGACCUUGCCCUGGACAUGUCCUUAGUUCAGCUCACCUAAUUUUAUUUCAGCUCACAUGAGCUUAUUUCAGCUCGUUUGAGCUCGGUUUAAAUUCUUUUCAGCUUAUUAAUUUUAUUUGCUGGAAUUUUUGGACAUCUAAAUUAAGCAUUUGUUUAAGUUUACUACAGCUCAUUAGUGUGUCCAAAAUUAGUAAAAGUGUUUAAUUUGUCUUGUCUUAAUUAAAUUAAAUGUGUCUUAAUUUUAUUAAGUACGUCUUAAAUUAAAACAUGAAUUAGUUAUGCUCAGCAUAAUUAAUGUGUCUUGUUUAGUUAAUAUUCAAUUUGUCACAAUGUCAAUUAGAGUGUUCACAUUAUGUUUUAAUUUAGUUUAGCUGAAUUUGUUUGAAUUAAUUAAGUUCUUGUGUUAUUAUUUAGGUGCAGCUGAAUUUAAAGAUUCAUUGGCUAGAUGCAUGCACGUAGAUUCAAUGAAUGUGAAUAUGCAUGUGCAGCUGGUAUAAUGCAUUGAAGCUGAUUAAUUUUGGUUCUCUCCAAGGCAACUAUUCGGCCAAGAGACAGCAACCAUUCAACUUUCCAAGACAUGGCCGAUCCUCUCCUCAAAGCAACAUAAUUCUUUUCACACCAUCUGUUUACACCUUGGCUGUUUGGUUCAGCUUGUUCACACCAUGAGGAUUUACAAAACCUUCUAUUCACACUUCCAAGGGCUGCUCAAAUUCUCCUUAAAUGCUGGUGAUGUUUCAGCAAGAGUUGCUUCACAAAUGGGCCAAAUUAAGAUCAUUAAUCGAAUUUAGUUGCUGCCAAGAACUUUCAAGAUUCAUUUGCUUAAUUGAGGAGCUGAUUUUUAUUCUCCAUUCAGCCGAAUCUACCUUGGUCUUCAUUCAUGAAUUAAAGCUGGAAUUUAGUUCAAUGUUUGCUUAAAUAUUAAGUCUUGAAUAUGUCCAUUCGGCUACUAGACUUUAGGCUAUAAAUAGUUGUUGAUUUUCUUGUAAAAAGGACUUUUUCCAGAUUAUUGAAUGAACUUUGUUCAAAGAGUGAGUUUUCUCCUCUCUAAAUUUGUAUGAGUUUCGAUCUGACUUAUCUAGCGAGCUAGUGGCGUCUAUCGUUCUCUUUUUGAACUUAUCACCUUAUUUUGGUGUGGCGUUCAACCCUUCUACAAUUUCGCAAAUCCACCUUAACCAAAUAGAAACCGGGGUGACACUCUUUAGUGUUGAAUCGUGUCUAGAGUUAAGUUCUUUUUUCCAUUCCCACAAAUUAUCCCAAAUUAACUAUCCUUUGAUUCCUUUAUUAAACCGAACCUACAUCUUUCUAAACCUUCUAUCAUUACAAAAUUCAAUUUGUAAGCUUCCGUAAAAUUUUAAAACAAAUUUACACCUUUUCGGCUGCUAGAACUUCUCCUCGUCGACGAUCGGGCAAACUUUGUGAAACAACUCGAUUAUCCCGAGCUGGAUCACAUCAUUUGGUAUCAGAGUUGGUUAAAACGAGAAGUACGAGCACUCGAAGUCAUUUUGAAAUAGGUAUGUAAAAAAAGUUCGAAAAAAAUUUAAAAUUAAAAAAACAAAUAUGUACUUACGAAAUUAAAAAAAAUAAGUGAAUUGAAAAAAAAAUUUGUGAAUUAAAAAAAAGUGUUUUGUUUCAAGUUCUGAAAGUUGUUCACUUAUUUGUAAUACCGAUCAUUCCCUAAUACUCUUUUUUUCACGCCACAUUUAGUUCAAAGCCUCCCUUGUUUCUUUUAGCCUACCCAUAACCUAACAUCAAUCCCUUGUGAGCCAUUUUAAAGCCAACCCACUGGACUAAGAUAAUGUCACAUCGAGUCUUCUACGAAAUCACCAGAGGAAAUUGAGUGAAAAAGGCACGAGUGUGUGAGCGCAUUAGAGUGGAGGUAAAAGCCAAAAAACGAGCGCAAACAUGAGUGUAAGUGACACCAACUUUUCUUUUCGAGAGAUUUGUGAGGUUUUUGUUGUGAGGUUUUUAUAUUCAUGUCUCAAAACCCAGAACAAAAUAUGGCAGAAGGAGGUGGAAGACAACCAAUCUAAAACGUCGCGCUUAGAGGAGGCAGAGUGCCAGAUUUGGCUCAACAAGCCAUGUUGCGAGAAUUCCAACGUAUGCUCCGGAAUGAGAUGGAAUCAUUUAAUAAGCGUUUGGAACGAGUCGAAGAGAGGACUCAACGAGAAAAAACUCCCCAAGGGCCACAAAAAGAACGAGGCCACCCAGACGCCAAUAAAAAAUACCUCUAUGAUCCAAGUGAAGCUGAAAGUGAUCAAGGGUCAAACCAAAGCGAAAGGCGAAGAGGUCCAAGGAAUCGAGACAAUCGGGAUCGAAGACGAGUGGAUGAUGACUUGAAGAACAUCAAACUUUCUAUUCCAUCUUUUCAAGGAAAAUCCAAUCCGAAGGCCUACUUAGAAUGGAAAAAGAAGAUUGAAUUGGUUUUUGAUUGUCACAAUCAUUUCGAGAUCAAAAAGGUGAAGUUGGCGGCCAUAGAGUUCUCCGAUUACGCCAUGAUUUGGUGGGAUCAACUCACCAUGAGCCAGAGAAGGAAUGGGGAACGGCCAAAAUCAACUUGGGCCGAAAUGAAGGCUGUGAUGCGAUGACGUUUCGCUCCAUCCUACUAUCACCGGGAACUCUAUCAAAAACUUUAAAAUCUCACUCAAGGUUCAAGAAGUGUUGAAGAUUACUGUAAAGAGAUUGAGAUUGCAAUGAUUCGUGCCGAUGUCCAAGAAGAUCGUGAAGCAAUGAUGGCGCAUUUCCUUGCUGGUCUCAAUCGAGACAUUGCCAAUGUUGUGGAGCUACAAUAUUACAUUGAAAUCAUGGACAUAGUGCAUAUGGCCAUUAAGGUGGAGAAGCAACUCAAGCGAAAGAGCUUCGUUCGAAGCUACCCUACUACGAGCACAACAAAAUGGGGUCAAAGCAUGAAUAGAAGCAAUCCACCAAGUCGUGCCAAAGAGCCAAUGGUGCCUGCUAAGACAAAUAGACCUAUGGGCGACACGAGUAAAGGCAAUGUGAUAGAUUCAUUUGCCAAUCGAAAGAGGGAUAUCAAGUGCUUUAAGUGCCUCAAAAGGGGGCAUAUCGCCAGCCAAUGUCCCAACAGUAGUAAUAUGGUGGUUCGUGCGAAUGGAGAAAUUGAACCGGAAGAGGAAAAACUUGAAGAUGACCCCGAAGCGGAAUCCGACAAUGAAGAAUAAGUUGAACAUGCCCUUGAUGGGGAACUUCUUGUUGUCAAAAGGAGCCUUAGCAUCAAAGGUGUGGAAGACGAGCAACAACGAGAAAACAUUUUCCACACACGAUGCCAAGUUCAAGGGAAAAUAUGUAGCGUCAUCAUUGAUGGUGGUAGCUGCACGAAUGUGGCGAGCACUCUUAUGGUUGAGAAGUUAGGCUUGCCAACCACCAAGCACCCGAGCCCUUACAAACUCCAAUGGCUCAAUGAUGGCGGUGAACUCAAGGUCACCAAGCAAGUUCUAGUUUCAUUCUCCAUUGGAAAAUAUUACGACGAGGUACUAUGUGAUGUUGUUCCAAUGCAUUCGGGUCACUUGCUACUUGGCCGUCCGUGGCAAUUUGAUCGUCGAGUCAUGCACGAUGGAUACUCAAACCGCUAUUCUUUCAAGCAUAUGGGAAGAAAUGUAACCUUAGCCCUGUUGACGCCAAAGCAAGUGUAUGAGGACCAAGUUAAAUUGAAACAAUCGAUAGAACAAACGAGAGAAAAAGAAAGGAGUGAAAAUACAAAAGAAAAGAAAAAUGAUAAAAAAAGAGGAAAAACUAUACAAUAAAAUAAAAAGAAAUUGAGAAAAGAAAAAGACGAAAAGGAAAAGGAAAGUGAAAAAUUGAGUGUUUUUGCGAGGGUUGGUGAUGUUCGAAAAGCAUUUUUAAUGAGGCAACCGAUCCUUGUGCUCAUGUACAAGGAAAAUUUUCUUAACACUAAUGAACUUCCUAAGAACAUUCCAUCUUCUGUUGUCUCUCUUUUGCAGUAUUUCAAAGAUGUAUUUCCGGAUGAUGUGCCAAGUGGUUUGCCACCCCUUCGUAGGAUUGAGCACCAAAUCGACUUCGUACCUGGAGCCGUUAUUCCGAAUCGACCUGCAUACCGAACCAAUCCCGAAGAAACCAAAGAGCUGUAAAGACAAGUCAAUGAACUCAUAGAAAAGGGCUACAGUCGAGAGAGCCUUAGUCCUUGCGCUGUGCCGGUAUUGUUGGUACCCAAGAAGGAUGGAACUUGGCGUAUGUGUAUUGACUGUCGCGUCGUAAAUAAAAUAACCAUUAAAUAUCGUCAACCGAUACCACAUCUCAACGACAUGCUUGAUGAAUUGAGCGGUGCCAAUUAUUUUCAAAUCCAAUACCUUUCCAAGGAGAGAAGGUUCACGUUGGUUGGUAAAGGUAAUCCUAGUCCACCUAUGCCACAAGUUAAGAAAUGUAAGUGUUAUAACCUGUUUCAAUCCCCACCAACUUAUUUGAACAUUUGUGAAUAUAAUGAUGAUAUGGUCAAUUACCCUUCUUUGAUUAAUGGCAAUGUGUUGGUUUUAAACGAUAAUAAGACGAGUUUCUCUAACGAAAAUUGCCAUGUUUACAAGUUUGCUGGUGAAGUAAGUGUAAAUCAACGCAAACAAUUUUUGAAAUUGUAUGUUAAAAAGUUGUCAUGUAAAUCUCCUAGUUCAAUUGUUUGUGAGACGUCUCUGCUUUGUCAUAUAAAUUUUGCAUGCCUAUGUAAGUUUGAAGGUGUGACACUGUGUACUAAAAAAUUUUCUUGGUUUGGCAUGUUUGAAUUAAUGAAAUUUCUACUGCAUUAAGGAAUAAGUGAUCAAACUCGUGUGUUCAAACCUGGACUUUGCUAUAUCGGUCCAUUUUGUGAGAAAUUCGAGCAUCCUAAAUUUUAUGUGAACAAUUUGUUUGACGCUUUGGCCUUUGAUAAAUAUUUGUAUCCUGAUGCAAAUGAUUGUUUUCCUUUGGUUAGCCAUGAAGUGCUUGUUUUGAGAGAUGAUUGUAAGAAUAAUAUAGAUACAAAUUGCUAUGCUGAACCAUAAACAAAUCAAACUGUAAUCCAUUGUCCUUGGUACAUUUUGAAUGCGUAAGAUGAACACCCAUAUAAGUCUUUCUUUGAGAUUGAUCAUGUUGAAAAGGCAUGGAAAAGGACUCUUGAAUUUGAUUGUGUGCGAACAUGCAUGAGUAAUUGUCCUUUGAAUCGAUUGAAUUCACUUGUUUGCAAUAAUGACAUAUCAAGACUGUUUGAUAAUUUGAGAUAUGCAAGUUUUGAUCAAAUAAGACUUUGGAUGCAUGACCAAUUGAAUGAAUUUUUCAUUUAUUUUGGAUGUAAUUUGAGUUUGAUUUCUUUGUUCUCCCAACCGCCAAAGAUGGAGAGUCAAAUUGAAAAUCUUCGACUACAAUAUACCCCCGAGGAGCGGAGGUUUGUAUUGACUGAACAAGGUAAAACUGAUCUUUGUGUUCCUACUUUUAAAGGUAAGGCUCAUGAACUUUUUGAAACAUCGUUGUUCUCUUUAGGUGGUGACAAAGAUAGUGUUGUUGAUUUGGUUCUUGUAAAACACUUAAAUUGCGACUUUCUUGACUGUUCUAUCUUGUUUAUUGAUCAUCUACUUGUUUUGGUUGUUGAUAAAAAGAUUCUUGUGUUUGAUCUUCGUAACUUUGUUGGUGACCAUAUGAUUAAACGGAAAUUGCAAUGUCCAACCAAGCCAAUUCAUGAAUCAUAUGAAUCUUUUCAAAUGUCUGCUUGUGACAAUUACGUUUACCAUUUUAUUUAUUACUCGCGAUUUAUGCAUGGCUUGUGGAAACCAUUUAAAAUGUUUGAAUGCCUUAGAACAUGUCCGUUGUUGUUUCGAAUAUUUGAUGAGGCAUUGGCGAGUAAAUUAAUUUGUUUGCAUGGUUGUCAAUAUGUUGUUUUGAACCUGUCCAUUCACAUGCAUUCUGUUAUGCUUAUGAUUGGACUACAAGUUCAUUUGCAUUGCUAUUUGCUAACUCAUGACUAUUCAUUUCAGUUGAUUCAAUUUCCAUCCGUACCAUUCGACUGAGGAAAGCCGGGUAAAAAGAGCUAUGUUCGAGUGAACCAACGCCUCAACUUGAGGACAAGUCGCUUCGAUGAAGGGGGAAUGAUACGACCCUGCCUCGGACAUGUCCUUGGUUCAGCUCACCUAAUUUUAUUUUAGCUCACAUGAGCUUAUUUCAGCUCGUUUAAGCUCGGUUUAAUUUCAUUUCAGCUCAUUAAUUUUAUUCGCUGGAAUUUUUGGACAUUUAAAUUAAGCAUUUGUUUAAGUUUACUACAUCUCAUUAGUGUGUACAAAAUUAGUACAAGUGUUUAACUUGUCUUGUCUUAAUUAAAUUAAAUGUGUCUUAAUUUUAUUAAGUAUGUCUUAAAUUAAAACAUGAAUUAGUUAUGUUCAGCAGAAUUAAUGUGUCUUGUUUAGUUAAUAUUUAAUUUGUCACAAUGUCAAUUAGAGUGUUCACAUUAUGUUUUAAUUUAGUUUAGCUGAAUUUGUUUGAAUUAAUUAAGUUCAUGUGUUUUUAUUUAGGUGCAGCCGAAUUUGAAGAUUCAUUGGCUAGAUGCAUGCACGUAGAUUCAAUGAAUGUGAAUAUGCAUGUGUAGCUGGUAUAAUGCAUUGAAGCUGAUUAGUUUUGGUUCUCCCCAAGGCAACUAUUCGGCCAAAAGACAGCAGCCAUUCAACUUUCCAAGACAUGGCCGAUCCUCUCCUCAAAGCAACAUAAUUCUUUUCACACUAUUUGUUCACACCUUGGCUGUUUGGUUCAGCUUGUUCACACCAUGAGGCUUUACAAAAUGGUCCAUUCACAUUUCCAAGGGCUGCCCAAAUUCUCCUUAAACGCUGGUGAUGUUUCAGCAAGAGUUGCUUCAUAAAUGGGCCAAAUUAAGAUCAUUAACCGAAUUUAGUUGCUGCCAAGAACUUUCAAGAUUCAUUUGCUUAAUUGAGGAGCUGAUUUUUAUUCUCCAUUCAGCCGAAUCUACCUUGGUCUUCAUUCAUGAAUUAAAGCUGGAAUUUAGAUCAAUGUUUGCUUAGAUAUUAAGUCUUGAAUCUGUCCAUUCGGCUACUAGACUUUAGGCUAUAAAUAGUUGUUGGUUUUCUUGUAAAAAGGACUUUUGCCAGAUUAUUGAAUGAACUUUGUUCAAAGAGUGAGUUUUCUCCUCUCUAAAUUCGUAUGAUUUUCGAUCUAACUUAUCUAGCAAGCUAGUGGCGUCUAUCGUUCUCUUUUUGAACUUAUCACAUUAUUUUGGUGUGGCGUUCAACCCUUCUACAAUUUCGCAAAUCCACCUUAACCAAAUAGAAAUCGGGGUGUCACUCUUUAGUGUUGAGUCGUUUCUGGAGUUAAUUCCAUUUUUGCAUUCCCACAAAUUAUCCCAAAUAAACUAUCCUUUGAUUCCUUUAUUAAACCGAACCUACAUCUUUCUAAACUUUUUAUCAUUACAAAAUUCAAUUUGUAAGCUUCCGCAAAAUUUUAAAACAAAUUUACACCUUUUUGGUUGCUAGAACUUCUCCUCGUUGACAAUCGGGCAAACUUUGUGAAACGACUCGAUUAUCCCGGGCCGGAUCACAUCAAUAGAAAUAUGCUUGAUAGACUUAUUAAUUAAAUAAGCUUAACAUUAUAACUUAAUUAAAUAAUGUUAGUAAAUUAUCAAUUUUCCACGGAAUUUUCGUAAAAUCUCUUAACAGUGUUUAAAUAAUUUUAUGUUAGGAAGGAAAAUUAUUCUAACAUAUGCAUGCUAUUGUAAUUAAUUCUUAAAAACUUGUAUACUUAUUUCUUUUGUGUUUUUUUUUUUUAAUUUUGAGAUAGUUUUAGUGUAAUUAGAAAAUUCAUGAUUUUGAUACUUGAAUGAAUCAAAGAUUUCACAUAAUUUCCAAAUGGCAUUAAUUUUUUUUAAAAAAAUCUAUAAUUGAAGAACCAAACGCAAAUUUUAUUUUUAAACAUGCCAUGAGCUUUAAAUAAGUAACAUAAAAUAGAGAUUAAAGAUACCAAAAAAAUUUAAAAACACAACAUAAUUUCAAAAUAGAUUUUCUCUACUGCAUGCUUAUAAAAAAUGUAUUUUCUAUAAAAAAAAUUUUUUUAAGAAAUCUAGGAAUUUCUUCUGUUUUUUUUUUCUUAACAAAGAAUGAGUUCUGAAAACAUUUUUAGAAUUUUGAAUUUAUUUUCAACAUAUUAUAUUUAAUUUUUUAAUGAAGUUGUGAAAAAGGAUAACAAAAAAAACUGAAAAUGAACAACUCAUAACAGGAUCAAUUUUGAGAAAUAAAAAUAGAAGGAUUAAAUUUGUAUAAUAAAUACAAAAAAUAUUAUUUUAAUUUAAUUUUUAAAUUAAAAUUGUCAAAUUUAGAUUUAGUAUAAUAAAAAGAUAUUAAAACUAAUAAAUAAAAAUCGUUUUGAUGGCAUAAGAGUUUGAGUUCAACCUCUAAUACUCUAAUUCUAUUGCCAAAUACAAAAAAUUGGUUUAAAUGGUAAAAAUUUGAAAUUCAAAAUAAAAUAUCAAGAUACCGAGAUAAAUCUGCAAUCCUUGAAGUUUGAAUGCAAUUUAUUUUUCUUUUAUUUUUGAAAGUAUGUUUGUAAAUAUAUAAUCAUAUUUUUAUUCAAGUAAAUAAAUAAGGCUAGAAUAUGCUAUAAGUCUAUACUUUUUGAAAUUUUGAAAUUUAAUUUAUGUACUUUUUCUUUAGAAAUGUAAUUCCUCUACUUUUCAAAUUUCAUAAUUUAUGUUCAAUUGUUAACACUGUUAAAUUUGUUAUUGUUUUGAAAUGAAAAAAAAAUUACUCACUUGGUAGCCAUGUAACUAAAAAAUUGACGUUGUAAUGAAGUUGAAUUUAACAAAAAAUUAGCAAUAUUAAUAGCUGGACUUGAAUUUUAAAAUAUAAAAAAUUAGAAUGAAUAAAUUCUAAAAUUUUGAAGAGUACAAGGACUUAUGAUAUAUUUUAACCAAUAAAUAAUUUUAAUGUAUCUUUUGCCCAAAGAUGCAUGCCAAUUAAUCAUGGUUGUUGGAUCGAGAACCAAAAAGUGUAAUGGCUCAAUCACCCUCAUCAAACUGGAAAUUAAAUGAACUGUUAAGAACGGUUUAAACUAGUGUAGAUUUAUGAGUUGAAAUUUUGGGUGUAUUCCUUCCAUUAAAUCACUUUGGUUCUUCUUUGAGCCUUGAACAACUUUGGAGCGAGUCACUACUGAGCCCUUUAAUGCACAAGAAGAGAGAUUUGGAGAAAAAUAACUUAAUAACAAUAAAGAAGAAGCAAUAAAAGAAUUGAAUGUUUGAGUAUUGAGAAGAAGAAAACGCUUCUAAGUUUGUCGAUUAUGUUGUAUAGAAGGUAAAGAAAACUAGAGGAGAAAAACAAGAAACAAAUAAAAAAAUAAACGGAAAAAAAAAUUCAACCAUCGAAUGGACGAGAAUAGGGACAGACAAAAAAGAAAAAAAAAUUGAAACAACGACUUGAGAAAAAAACUGAGUAGUUGAAUGAAUUCAUUGAAAGAAAACUUAGUUAUUGGUUCGUUCUCUAAAGGGCAGGAAAGCAAGCUAAGAAGAAAAAUUUUAAGGCUUCGUGUAAUAGUUCAUUUUUUAGUGAUAUCAGAAAUAGUGGCCUUAGAACCACAAAUCCAACAAGUAAGCUCGUAUAAUUAAUAUUUAAAUUAUACGAGUUAAUAAUAAUUUUAUAUUAAAUUUUGAUUUGGUUAAUUUUAAUUAAUUGAAUUAAUAGAUAAUAUGAGUGGUUUGGUCUAAAAGUUAAGUGGUUGCUGAAAAUGAGGUAUUGGAGCCUCGUUUUCGUAAUUUAAGGCCGUAAAUAUUUAAAAAUAUUUACUAAGUCAUAUAAUAUGUGAAUUGAAGUUUGGUCCGGUAAUUUUAAUGAUUUAUUGCUUAAUUAAGGUAAAAGGAUUAAAUUGUAAAAGAGGUAAAAGUAAAAGUUAUAGAUUUAAAAUAGUAAAGGGACCAAAAUGGUGAUUAAACCAUGGUCAAAAAGUCCAAGCGAUGGUGGAUGUCAAUCAUUCCACUAUCUUUUGGAUUAUUUAUUCAUUUAGUCCUAAUUAGUUUAAGACUAAAUUGUAAAUAAGAUUUUUUAAAUGGAAUUUAAUAUAAUUGAAGGACCGAUUGUGUAAUUGGACCAUCCUUAAAUGGCCUAAUAAUAGAAAUGAUGUGAAAUUCUCUAGAUUGUGGUAAAUUUCAAUUAAAUCCUAAUUAAAUAAGGAUUUACUAAUUAGUAUGUUUUACAAUAUGAUCGAAAAUGGUAGUUUCAGGGCUACAACUCCGAUGUGUUAGGCCGUAAAUAUUACUUAUUUAAUAUUUACGAGGUCAUUAGUGUCGUAUUAAAAUUUUCUUAGCAAAUUUUAACGUUAAGAUGGUUAAUAAGUAAAAGGACUAAAUUGUAAAUAUGGAAAAGGUGGAUUUGUAUGUUAAAAAGAUAAAUUAAAGGGGUUUUGUCACAUCUUCAAAACCCCCUUGGUUGUAAAUAAUAUGAGAUAAAAUUUUAGUGAAAUAAGGUAUAAGAUCAAAGAAAAUGAAAGCUGCAAGAUAUCAAAAGAGAAUUAAAUCAACAAGCAUGACAUGAUGUAUAAUUGAUUUCUCGAUAAAAUGAGAAAAUGAUAUAAAGAUGAUAAAAGAGAAUAUUGAGGAGUGUUAAAUAUAAUAAUAAUAAUAAUAAUAAUAAUAAUAAUAAUUAAGAAGUAGGUUUUAGUAUAUUGAUUUAAAGUAAGGACUAAAUCAUAAAUAUGUGAAAAGUUUUUGGCUCAUGUGUAAAUAUAUUCAAAAUUUAGGGGAUCAAAGUGUAAAAAUAAGAAAUUUGAAGGACCAAAAGUGAAAAUAAUCCAAUUUAAAAUGAUAUAGAAUUGGCAUGCAGGGACCAAAUUGAAUAGGUGAAGAAUUAUGAGGGACUAAAUCAUAAUCUUACCAAAUUAAGUGAUGAUUCACGGAUGAAAUUUUAAAAGAUCAUAAAGGGAAAAAUAGUCAAUUAGAAAGAGAGAGAACUCUAGAAGGCAAUGAUGAUGUUGGAGAUAUUUUGAUGAUAUUUUAUAAUUAUUUAAUUAGAUAAAUAUUACUUUAUUAAUAUUUUAAAGAGAUAUUUUAUUAAUAUGUUAUUAUAAAUAGCUAGUAUAAAAGAUGAAAAAAAAAAAGAAAAGAAAAAAGAGAGGAUCCUCUCAUCUUUCCAACGUGACUGAGGGGGAGAGAAGAAGAAAACUUUGUUGUCUUUACAAAUUGGUCCUUCCACCAAAAAUCUACCAUUUUCACCAAGAAUUUCAAGAAAUUUUCAUAAUCACCAAGAGAGAAGAGUGAUAAGGAGACUAUGGAGAACAAGAAAAUCACAUUGGAUUCAAGAGAAUGGAAGUUGGAGGAGAGAGAAAAUCAAGUUAAAGAUUGAAAUCAAUAGGACAAGGUAAGAACAUCAAGAUUUCAAUAUAUUUUUAAGUUUGAUAUUAUUGAAAAAACAUGAAAAUGAUGUUAAAGUAGAGUUUUCUUAUAUAAGGUGUAGUAGGCCCAAUUUGCCCGGGCCCAAAACUAAAUAAAUAAAACCAAAAAUAAAAGAGUCCAAGUCCAAAUUAUUACAAACCCAAAAUAAAAACCCUAAGCCCAAUUAAUAUUCCCACAACCUAAUCUAAUUCAGAAGCCCUAGGGUUUCCAACUCCUAUGUGCGUCGCUGCCCUCAGCCAUGUCAGCAUGCUCGUCCUAAGGCUCCCCGCCCCGAGGUCUGCUCCCCUGACGCUCCCUUUGCACCAAAAUGGCAAGACUCAAGUCUCGUUACCACUGUUGACUUCGCCACCUACAAGAAAAGAGAAAGAAAAGGAUAGAGGUUAAACAGAGAACAAAGACAAAACAGUAAAAGAUAGUAUGUAAAUCGGCUAUAAAAGCCUCAACGAAUGUAAUUAUUUUUUGACAGACAAUCAAAUACAAAAAAAAAAAGAAACAAAAACAUCAAUCAAAAAUAAUAAAAAAAUUUAGAAGGUUUACUUCUACUUUCGUUUUUAUUUUUUGUUUUAUUUUAUUCUACAUUUUUUUUCAUUUUUUACAUACGAAAAUAAAAAGAAAGGGAAAAGAGUUAAAAAAAACUUACUGAAAGCUCUUUAGGCUUUUUUUUAUGUUUUUGAAAGGUUCUCAGGAAAUAUUCCCCUAGAUUCGGACUCUAGAGGUCGAAGCGUUCAGGGCGGUGUCUUUUAGAUUUUUCAGCCACCAUGGACGGCGGCGCCAUCGCCGGUGACCGGUGGCCGGCACGGUGGCGAACCACCGGAGCAAAGGCCGAACUUGAGGGCUUUGAGAGAGAGGGGGGAGAGUUUUUUAGAUUUUUUUUUUGUUUUGAAGGAUGAAAUGAUUUUUUUUUUGUAAAAAUUUUGACUUAUAUAAGCGUAUGAAACGGUGCCAUUUUGGGCCUAAGCUUCAGACGCCAAAACGGCGUCGUUUUGAAGUGGAGCUCGACGACCCGACCUGAUCCGCCUAGUAGAUCCGCGUGUUUUUGUGACUAGGGUAUAAUUUCCACCCUAGUCCUUCCGCUUCUUAAAUGGUUUUCAAUACUGUCCCUUUUUUAUUUUUCUAUUUUAUCACUUAAUUUCAAUUUGCUUUCGAUUUAGUCCUUCGAAUGUUGACCCCUUUGGGAAUGAUGAGUGUCCUGGAGUUUUGGGAUAAUUUCUCAUUUAAUCCCUAUUUUUCUUCGCGCAUAUCAUUUUGGUCCUUUAUUCUGUUUUAUUAGAUUAGUUUUUAUUAUUUACGAUUUCCACCCCAAAUUUCAUUUAAGUUUCAAUUUAAUCCUUGCUUAUUUAACUUCAACCUUUUACAAUUUUUUAUUAUCUAUUUAUUUGUCUAUUAUUUCUUUAUUUUUAUAUAUACUCAAAAAUUAGAUUGUAUAUACUUUCUUAUUUGUACAUAUUUAUUUAUUAUUGUUGUCAUUAUUAUUUUAUUUUUUAUCCUUUUGUUCUUGGUAUUUUAUUAUUUCUUUUAUUAUUUUUGGUAAUUUUCAUCUCAUACAUAUUUAUCUUUUCAAUCAUGCAUCUUCCAUUUUUUUUUAGGUCACCUUAUCUAUUUUAUUAUUAUUAUGAUGUGAUUAAUAAUAAUAAUAUUAUUAUUAUUACAUUACUGUUGUUAUAGUACUCCCUUAUUUAAUAUUUAUCAUUCUAAUAUUAGACGCAUAUAGCCGUUCAAAAUUAUUUCAUUAUCACUAUAUCAUGCAUUGUGUUUAAAUAUACUUAUUCAUUUUUAUAUUGUGCCCGAAUAAGUUAAAUGCGCAUCACUUUAAAUGCUAUGUUUGUUUUUGCACGAUGCAUAAGUAAGGAAAAUUUUUUAUCAAACACUACACCAAAACAGGCUUUUAGCGGCAUUUUUAGCGGCGUUUGGAUAAAAAAUGCCGCUAAAGAUCCAGCAUUAGCGGCGCUUUUUGGAAAACGCCGCUAAAGAUCGAGAUUUAGCGGCGCUUUAUGGAAAACGCCACUAAAAAUAAGCAUUAGCGGCGUUUUCAAUAAAGCGCCGCAAAAAAUCUAAGCCCAACGACACCGUUUUUUGAUCUUUCGGGGAUUUAGCGGCGUUUUUGAGAAAGCGCCGCUAAUGCCCAUGGCUUUAGCGGGGUUUUUGGAAAAGCGCCGCUAAUGCCCCAGGCCUUUAGCGGUGUUUUUGUGGAAGUGCCGCUAAUGCCCAGGCCUUUAACGGCGUUUUUGUGAAAGCGCCGCUAAUGUCCAGGCCUUUAGCGCCGUUUUUGUGAAAGCGCCGCUAAUGCCAAGGGCUUUAGUAGAGUUUUUGGGAAAGCGCCGCUAAUAAUGCUCAGGGAUUUAAAAUAAUUUAAAAUAUUUGUUAAAAAUGGAAAAAAUAAAAUACUAUUAUUUAAAAUAAUUUUAAAAUUUUUUGGGUACAUCACUAAUUUUUUAAUUUAUAUAUUAAAUAAUUUCUUAUAUAAUUGUAAAAGAGAUAGUAUUAAUUUUAAAAUAUUGAAUUAAUUAUCACUAAAUAAUUUCUUAUAUAAUCGUAAAAGAGAUAGUAUUAAUUUUAAAAUAUUGAAUUAAUUAUCACUAUAGUUUAGGGUUUUUGGUUUAGGGUAUAUGGUUUAAAUAGGUUUAGGUGUUACCAUUUUAAGGUUUAUGGAUUUUGGGUUUAGGUCCUUGGUUUAGGGUAUAUGCAUGGUUUAGGUGUUGCCAUUUUAAGGUUUAUGGAUUAUGGGUUUAGGGAUUAUGGGUUAUGGGUUAUGGUUUAUGGUUUAUGGUUUAAAGGUUGGGGUUUAAGGUUUAGAGGUUAUGUGUGAAUGGUUUAUGGUUUUAAGGUUUAAAUUUAUGGUUUAGGGUUUAGAUUAACUAGUGUUUUCUAAUUUAUAUAUUAAUUAAUUUCUUAUAUAAUUGUAAAAGAGAUAAUAUUAAUUUGGUUCUUCAAAAUCGUGUGAAGAUUUGGUUCUUCAAAAUCGAUAUAAGCUAUAUCCAAGGAUAUCCCCAUCUUAUCCCUUCCCGGUUUAGUAUUUUUAGUGCUCGGUUCAUUUUUUUUAUCUGGUUCAGUUUUUUUACGUGUUUUGCCUUGUCCCCGCCGUGAUCAUCAAGUAAGAAUUGAUUGAAUAGAUUAAACUUUGCAAAGGUUUUAAAAUAUCGAAUUAAUUAGUGGGCCAAGCCAGACCAAGCUGUGCCAAUGCCCAAUUUAAAAAACUUUUCCAACUUCAAGCUCGUUUUACCCGAAUCACCCAUUUCAUUGUUUAAAAACAAUAAAAAAUAUUUUAUAUUUAAAUUUAAUUAUUAAAAAUAAUGUCAAUAUAACUUGUUAAUAUUUUUAUUAUUUUAAAUGGUAAAACUGGCUAAGUUCAGCUAGCUUAAGAUUAAAAAAUAUAAAUCUAAGCCUAACCAUAUUUUGGACUAGGUGGGUUGUAUGGGUAGUGAACAUUUCUAAUUAUCAUUUAAAGAGUAAAUAACAUAUAUUUUUCUAAAUUUUGAAAGGUUUUAUAUUUUUCGUGAUUUAAAAUUUUAAAAUCAAUUUUAAAAGAUUUUAAAUUUUUUUAGAAAUUUUAAAAAGAUUUUAAACUUUUAUUUUUAUAAUAUUUAUUUACUUUCAAAGAAAAGACCAAAUUAAUAAAAAUUACAAACAUUAAAGACUACAAAAUUAUUUUACCAUUUUUUAAUAAGGUGCCUUAAAAAUGUUGCAUUGAUUAUAUAUAAUAAUAUUAUNNNNNNNNNNNNNNNNNNNNNNNNNNNNNNNNNNNNNNNNNNNNNNNNNNNNNNNNNNNNNNNNNNNNNNNNNNNNNNNNNNNNNNNNNNNNNNNNNNNNNNNNNNNNNNNNNNNNNNNNNNNNNNNNNNNNNNNNNNNNNNNNNNNNNNNNNNNNNNNNNNNNNNNNNNNNNNNNNNNNNNNNNNNNNNNNNNNNNNNNNNNNNNNNNNNNNNNNNNNNNNNNNNNNNNNNNNNNNNNNNNNNNNNNNNNNNNNNNNNNNNNNNNNNNNNNNNNNNNNNNNNNNNNNNNNNNNNNNNNNNNNNNNNNCUGCACUGAAUUCACUCACCAUAGCUACUCCUUUUCUCUCGAUCUGUUAGGGUUUUUGCGCUUUGUUUUCCCCCCUUUCUUUUACAUUGCCUUUACUAAGAUGCCAUUGGCUGUUCGCUGAAAUAAAGAGAUAAAAAAAAGAUUGAAGAAGGUGAAGAAUCUCUGUUUCAAUUUCUUUUUCUGUCUUUGCUUAAAAAAAUAUUUUUUCUUCUUCUUCUUCUUUUUUUUUUUGUUCCAGAUCUUCAACAGCAGGUAGUAUAUAGGUUUUCCUUUUGAUGAAUACAAUAUUAUUGCAUACUGAACAUCUGUUUCUCUUCUUUAGGUAGAGCAAUUAGAGCAAGAAGUUGGUGAGCUUCGUAAGGCACUGUUUGAGAAGACUGAACAAGAAAUUGCAAUGCUUCAGGCACCAUUUUUGCUUAUGGCGUGACAAGUAGCGGGAAGACUCAUACAAUGCAUGUAAGAAAUAAUUUGCUACUUCUUUUCCUUAUCUUUGUAUGUUCUACAGUGUAGGGUGGUGUCUCCUAUUUUAAUUUCAUCUAAAGCUGUCAUUUAAUUUGCAUUAUAGAGACCAAAUGUUCGAUUCUUUUGUUAUUAUACAUUAACGAAUAAUUGGUUUAUUGACUACUCUAAGCUUGUCAGAUUGGGAUGCAGUGAAUAGGAUUAAUGAUUAUUUGUUUAUAUAGGAGCUAGAAGGGAUUGUGUGUUGGUUAUNNNNNNNNNNNNNNNNNNNNNNNNNNNNNNNNNNNNNNNNNNNNNNNNNNNNNNNNNNNNNNNNNNNNNNNNNNNNNNNNNNNNNNNNNNNNNNNNNNNNUAUUUGCUCUUUAAACAAAAUCUAUUUAAUUCUAUAUCUAAAGCUCAGAAGUAGCAUUAAUUUUUUAACUAAAGCAACAGUAUCUCAAUUUUUACCAAUGUCAUGUUAAUUUGCUUCCACAUUUGUGCCUAGGUAUUACUUAUUUCUAGCUUUCCAAAUUCCAUUUUUGGAGAAAUGUACUUGUUAUUUAAGUUAAGUUAGUGUAGCAAGUGUCAAAAUCAUUCUUUAAGUCAAAUUUAUUUAAUUUUUGCAUUUUCCACUUGUGACAAGCUUAGAAGUAGCAGUAUUUUUGAACUAAAGCAACAAUUUCCUGCUCUUCUUCUACUAGAGUUUAUAAAUUUGAUUUCCUUCACAUUUGAGUCUAGCUACUUUAUUAAUCAAAAGUUUGAUUACCUGGCAGCAGUAGGCUGAAAACAGGUUCCUUGUUUGUUAAUUCCUUUCUAGUAUUUUCUAUUGUUGUCUCAUUAUUUACAAGUCAUUUUUUAAUUUCAGAGCAUUUAUGUCUUCAUAUCAUAUCAUAAUUUGUUGUCAUAACUUCUUUAUUUAAACUUUACUUAUUGUGUCUAACAUUGUUAGAUGUAUAUUUAUUAUGUCACUUUAAUUAGUUCAUUUCAAUUUAUAUGUAUAGGUGAAGCUUGUUUGGUAUUAUAAUAAUGCACUUGGAAGACCAGAGAAGAAGAAAUUUAUUGCUAGAGCCAAAGCGUAAAAUUCAAAAAUCCUAACCUUCAAACCGUGUGUCAUUAUUUAGUUCACUUGCNNNNNNNNNNNNNNNNNNNNNNNNNNNNNNNNNNNNNNNNNNNNNNNNNNNNNNNNNNNNNNNNNNNNNNNNNNNNNNNNNNNNNNNNNNNNNNNNNNNNNNNNNNNNNNNNNNNNNNNNNNNNNNNNNNNNNNNNNNNNNNNNNNNNNNNNNNNNNNNNNNNNNNNNNNNNNNNNNNNNNNNNNNNNNNNNNNNNNNNNNNNNNNNNNNNNNNNNNNNNNNNNNNNNNNNNNNNNNNNNNNNNNNNNNNNNNNNNNNNNNNNNNNNNNNNNNNNNNNNNNNNNNNNNNNNNNNNNNNNNNNNNNNNNNNNNNNNNNNNNNNNNNNNNNNNNNNNNNNNNNNNNNNNNNNNNNNNNNNNNNNNNNNNNNNNNNNNNNNNNNNNNNNNNNNNNNNNNNNNNNNNNNNNNNNNNNNNNNNNNNNNNNNNNNNNNNNNNNNNNNNNNNNNUGAAUGGUUUGUUCAUAAGUGAGGUUUUGUGCAUUGCAUUGUAGGUUAUUUCUGUAUUUGGGAGGCUUGGGACAAUGUUUGGAUAUAUGCCGAUUGGAGCAGUCAUGGUGAGCCCUCAAGUAACAGAAGUCGUUUAUUCUCAAAGCAACAAGCUUGGUAAGUUAAAACCUGUGUCCAACACUCAUGAGUGUUGAGACAAUUGGUAACUCUCAUUCUUGACUUUAUUAAGCUCACCUUAAGGCUCUAAGUACCAACUAUUUCUACUCAUCCUUUAGCUUUCAAGUAACUGAUGCACAAAAAUUAUGCUCCAAAUUCCUGAAAAAAGGUUGAGAACAUUGGCAAGUAAAUUUUUAGAGAAAGUUCUAUGAAGUUUUUUAUGGAUUCUGUGGCGCAGACCCAUAUUUUUUAUUUUGGCACAUCAUGUAAUUGUUGUACUAAGUAAAGUAAAAAGUAGACUGAAGCAGUUUACUAUGAAGUUUUUAGAGAAAGUUCUAUGAAGUUUUAAUCUAUGCUUGUGUUCCCAUGGAUUUCCAUUCCAACUAGCUUCGAUACGGUUCUGCUGCUUUCAGUUUCACGUGAUCUCCUCACUGUUACUUGUAAUUAUCCUUUUUCCAUCUUUUGAUGACUGAUUUUGCUGCUGCUAUUGUUGUUAUUAGGCUUUGAUAGCCAAUGGCGUUGAAGCGGGGACUAUCCAGUGUGGGCGUCCAAAGGAACAGAAGCUCUGGAUCUUGUUUGCGUAUCGUGAUUCUUUUUUUCUUCUCAAUUCUGACACUCAUUGCUUUGAGUUCAUUACAAGAUUUCCUUGAUUAAAUAAAUGUAUUAUAUUUUUUAUUACUAAGAUUUACCUUAAGAAAAUUCAUUGUAUGUUUUAUUACCUUGCAUAUGUAUUAUUUAUUUUAAUUUUGAUUCUAAAUUUUUAUUUUUUCUUAAGAGUUUUAACUUUUGGAUUUUAAUUGUAUUAUUAAUUUAUUAUUUUAAAUUCUAAAUUUAAAUUCAUUAAUUUUUUAUAUUUAGUUUUAAAAUUAAAAUUUUCGUAGAAAAUUUAAUUUAAAUAAUAUUUUUUAUUUAUCCUUAAAACAUAAUAUAAUAUUUAUCAUAGAAAUAAAUAUUAUUUAAAAAAAUUAUUUUUUUAAAAAGAUAUGUUUUUAGAGGCGUUUGUGUGAAAAGCGCCGCUAAAGGUCUGUUCUAUAGCGGCGUUUGUGUGAAAAGCGCCGCUAAAGGUCCUGAUCUAUAACAGCGUUUGUGGGAAAAGCGCCGCUAAAGGUCUUGAUCUAUAGUGGCGUUUGUGGGGAAAGUGCCGCUAAAGAUCUUGAGCUAUAGCGGCGUUUGUGGAAAAGCGCCGCUAAAGGUCUUGAUCUAUAGCGGCGUUUGUAGGGAAGCGCCGCUAAAGGUCCUGAUCUAUAGCGGCAUUUGUGGGGAAGCGCCGCUAAAGGUCCUGAUCUAUAGCGGCAUUAGCAACAGCGGCGUUUUUUGUGGCGCUUUCAAAAACGCUGCAAAGACUUUUAGCGGCGCUAAAGGCAUAAAAAAACGCCGCUAAAAACCUAUUUUGGUGUAGUGAAAGUAAUAUUCAUUAUUCUUGGAAUUAAAAAGAGUCAUGUUCUUAACUUACGGAAUAAGGCUUCUUUCUAAAACCGAAAUAGUUGAAUAUAUACUUUAAAAUAAAUAAUAAAAAUAUAGGAUUUUUAGCGUUUAUUCUCGCAUCGGGAAUUCAAGACAUUGUGUCCUAACUUACGGGACGUAAUUCUCUUUCUCGAUUAACAUGAAAUCUGCCCCCUUUUUAAAAAAAUUUCAAUUAAGCGAUAUUUUAACAAAGGAUCGUAUUUUAAAUCUCUUUAAAAUUUUCAAUUUUCGACAUUAAGACAAUAAGUAAUCAAUUAGGUACCAAUUUUGGGCGUUACGAGGGUGCUAAUCCUUCCUCGUAAGUGACCGACUCCCGAACUCAUUUUUCAAAAUUUUGUAGACCAAAAUUGUUAUUUUAAUAAAUUAAAUCGUUUCGAGGAAACCCGAUCACACCUCAUAAAAAUAAUCGGUGGCGACUCUCAUUUUCGUUUUCGUUUUCAAAACCACAAUCGACUCUUUUUUUUAAAAAUGGUUUCGACAGCUUGGUGACUCCACUGGGGACAAAAUAACAGAGUCAAGCCACGAGUGGAUUAGUUCUUGUCUUUUUGUCAAAAAUUGAUAAUUUGGAAAAUUUACGAUCCUUUCAUUGCAUUUCAUUUUUUUAUGGUUUGCUUCAUUUUGAUAUGUUUCCUUUAUUGGUUCGAUUCUUUUAAUCUCUGCACAUUGCAUUACAUGACCGCUCGAUUAUACCUUUCUAAGUGGGAGUGAGAAACUACUCCUUCGUGAGGUUUUCACCUCUGCAUGGGAUAGUGAAUCGCUUUCGGGAUAUAUCCGUACCUAUGUCUUCGUGAGAUUUUCAUUUCUGCAUGGCCAUAGGGAAAUGUAUUCCCCUAAACUAAACUUGGGCCAUAUGAGCCUAUAAUGGGUGAGGAUCGAGGAAUCUGCCGGUUCGGGUACCUUGACUUUAGAACCAAAUCCUAUAUAGUGAGCCCUAAUAGCCUACUCUAGGAAGAACUACACCAAACCCUAAUGGUCACCCAAAUAGGUGCUUUGUUUAUUAUUCCUUGCUCACUUUAGCUUUGUAUAAUGUAUUAACUUGUUUUGUUUUUCUUUGACUGUGAUUGCAUUGCAUUUUCAUCAUAGAAAAGAGGUGUUGAUUCAUGUUCAGUUGCUAAAUAGAGAGCUUUUCAUGGAAAAUGGAUUUCUUGAUAAAGUAGAAGACAACGCGGUCAUCCAAAUAAGGUCCGAGAAAACGUAACAAGGGAAUGGUGAUAGUCUGAUGAAUGAGUACACGACUUUGCUUCAUUGCGUGAGGAUUCAAGCUGACAAAGAUUAUUCGAGAGCCGCCAACAUUCCUACUUUCUUAAAGAAGCUAAUGAGCAUCACGAGGACGAGUGAACAAUGGGUCGCGACUUGGAUCAAGUAAAUAGAAGAUAGAGGAGGCACCCCUUUGAAGAGUUCGCGAGAUUCGAUCUUAACAUACGUAUAUGAAGAAAAUGAUCGAUCUCUUCACUUUGAGUAUUAGGGCAAGGCCGUAUAGGUAAAUAUUAAUUUUAUGUAAAGAGAUUUUUUUGUAGUAAAUUUGUUCUAAUAGAAUUAAAUUAGAAUCAACGCCUCUUUUUGCAUUCAUCCCAUUCAUCUGCAUUACAUUGCAUGCACUAAAUUUCACAAAAAGACCCUAAUUAAUUGAAAUUGUUACAGUUAACCUAGAAACUAUCGAAAAUCCACCAACUAAAUAUCGCUAUGGUACCCGCCGCAAAACCAAACCAUGGACCAAAGAUUAGAGAGAUUAGAGCAAAUGCAAAAGGAUAUGCAAGACUAACUGCAAGCGCAGAUAUAAGAACAACUGGCCAAAAUUCAACAGGACAUGAGGGAUCAGAUGCUAGAAUCCCAAAGAAGUAUGAUGAGCCAAUUAAUGCAGUUACUAGCUGGAGGUCUUGAAAUAGGGAAAGGCCUAGUGGUCAACAGUGGAGAUGAUAAUGAAGCCCCAUCUAUCCCCUAGGUUUACCCUAAUAAGUGUCCAGGCCCAACCAGACGCGCAUCUACAAGGGGCACCCGUUACUAUCAGACCCCAACAAUAUCAGACCGAUACUUUAGCACCAAUGAAUUACCCGAUAGGCUCAGGUUCCAAUCCGGGGGACAAUCCAACCAAUCCUGUAGUUCCUAAUCUAGACGAAAUGACAGAAAUAGAAAAAGCAAGGGUGGAACUACCAAAACAACUCGAAUAUCGGUACAAGUAGUUGGAGGAAGAACUCAGAGCAAUGGAAAAUGCUGAUUACCAUUGCGGGGUUGACGCCAAGGAUCUAAGUUUCGUCCUAGAUUUAGUACUCCUACCGAAAUUUAGGACUCUAGAAUUUGAAAAGUAUAAUGGGACUAGUUUUCCUGAGGCUCAUAUCAUGAUGUUCUACCGAAGAAUGAUAGGAUACGUUAAUAAUGAUUAAUUGUUAAUUAAUUACUUCCAAGAUAGUCUGAUUGGGUCGGCUGCCAAAUGGUACAACCGGCUGAGUCAUACCAAAAUCCACUCAUAGAAGGACUUAGCGCAGGCUUUCAUGAAGCAAUACAACCAUGUAAUAGACAUGACACCUGACAGAAUUACACUGCAGAAUAUGGAAAAGAAGCAAAAUGAGAGCUUCAGGCAAUAUGCCCAAAGAUGAAGAGAGGUAGCGACGCAAGCCCCGUUCAUUAACCAUAUGUUGGCAAGCACUACCAUAAGCUUCUCAGAUAUUGUAAUGUCUGGUGAGAUGAUUGAAAACGUGAUAAGUAGUAAGAAGAUAGACAUGGGAGAAAGCGCCAAAAGAUCAACCCUGAAGAAAAAUGAAAAUGAAGUGAAUAAUGUGAGCAAAGGGUAUUCCAAAUUAGUCACUGUAGUCCAACCGAGGGCAGUGACGACUAGCUAUCAGGGCAGCUCAAGGAAAGAAUCCAACUCGAGGCCAAACAUAGAAAAACUCUAGUUCACACCCAUUCCGAUGACAUAUAGAGAGCUGUACCAGAAUCUGUUUGAUGCGCAUGUGGUACCUUCAUUCUACUCAAAAACCGUACAACCUCCAUUCCUGAAAUAGUAUGAUGCGAACGCCUAAUGCGAAUACCGCACGGGAAUAACAUGACACUCAAUUGAAAACUGAACUACAUUUAAAAAGUUAGUUGAAAGGUUCAUCAAGAUGGGCAUCGUGAAGUUUGACGAUCCAUCAGGACCUAAUAUGGCAGGAAAUCCAUUAUCCAGUUAUCCAGACCCAAGGGUAAACGCGAUAAUUGAGAAUGGAAGAAAGAGAACCAAAACCAAUGUUGCAGACGUAAAAACCCCACUGAAAUGGGUUUUGAAACAAAUGAUAGACAUGGGGUUAAUUAUUCAGAAUUCGGAAAAAAGACCAAAAGGGACGAGAAGCUACAGUGAGUUCCACGCUGAAGAAGGUCAUGAAAUCCAGGAAUGUGCUGAAUACAAAGCUUUGAUGCAGAGCCUAAUGGAUAAUAAAUAGUUGGAAUUUCUUGAAGAAGUCAAAGGCCCGGAAGGGGUGUUAGGGAAUCUGAACAUUAACGCCGUAUUCGAAUGGGGAGCCUAGGAAAAGAAUUUAUUAAGGAGUGUUUUGAACGAUGGGACUGUGGAAAAGAUCCCUGUAUUUUUUAGAGCUAAUUCAGAGUAAUGUCCAAAGUACGCUUAUUGCUCUAAGCCUAGGAGCAAUAAGAAUCCUUUUGUGAAUUUGCUUAUGUCCAGCAUCUUUAUAUCAAUAAAAUGCAUCUUUGUUUCUCACUUUGAGCAAAUAUUCUUUUAUUGUUUCCAUUUCAUUUAUAAUCAUAAUAUACAGAUAAGUAUUCUUUUGUUCUUUGGAUCUUCUUUCGUUUAUUCUUUUGUUCUCUAGAUAUCAAUUAUAUGAGCCACACUGCUAUUGACUCAGAACCUUUUUUUGAGCAAGAUAUGUGUCCAGAAGAACCUCGGGACUUUGAAGAUGACUGAGACUAUAGCUUAUCUCCUGAUUUUUUAAGGAUGGUAGAGCCAGAUGAGAAACAGAUCCUACCUUACAAAUAAUCAAUGGAAUCCAUGGCUUUUCUCUAUGUGGGGCAUGAGUAUCAUUGGGCCAAUCUCACCAAAAGCUUCUAAUGGACAUCGGUUCACCUUUGUAAUAAUUGAUUACUUUACCAAGUCAGUAGAGGCCACUUCUUAUGCCAACGUCACAAAGUCGGCAGUCAGUAAAUUCUUGAAAAAAGAGAUCAUAUGUCGGUAUGGGUUGCCAGAAAGGAUUAUAUCUGAUACUUCAUUGAAUUUAAACAAUAGCACGAUAGUGGAGGUCUGUAGUCAAUUCAAGACCAAGCACCACAACUCAUCACCAUAUCGCCCAAAAAUGAAUGGUGCAGUGGAGGCAGCCAAUAAGAACAUCAAGAAGAUUGUGGGGAAAGUGACUGAAACUUAUAGAGAUUGGCAUGAAAAGUUACUGUUUGCCCUUUAUGCUUAUCAAACGUUUGUCAGGACCUCUACCGGGGCAAUGCAUUUCUCUUUGGUUUAUGGAAUGGAGGUUGUUCUGCCUAUUGAGGUUAAAAUUUCCUCUCUCUGAGUUUUGUCAGAACUAAAGCCUGAUGAAGCAGAAUGGAUCCAAGCUCGAUAUGAUCAGUUAAAUUUGAUUGAAGAGAAAAAGUUGAAAGCUAUCUGUCACGGUCAGAUGUACCAAAAGCGAAUGAUGCAAGCUUACAACAAAAAGGUUCAUCCCAGAGAAUUUCAUGAGGGGGACUUGUUAUUGAAGAAGAUACUGCCCAUACAAAAGGAUUUCAGAGGAAAGUGGAUGUCAAACUGGGAAGGACCUUAUGUGGUAAAGAAGGCUUUUUUUGGAGGAGCGCUGAUUUUGACUAAGUUGGAUGGUAAGAACUUGCCUAAUCCUAUGAAUUCAGAUUGAGUCAAGAAAUAUUUUACAUAAAAAAAUGGAGAGCCAAGGUGAAAACUCGCAAAGGGCGCCUUGAGACCAAUGGGGUUUUAAAUUGAAAACCCAGGACAAGGGCAAUUCAAAUUUUUGAUCAAAGGUGGGGCAUGUGGUAGUCUUGUCCUCUCCGAAUUAACGAAAAGGAGGGAUACUACAUAUUGGGGCAUCAACAAAGUCUUUUAGGACUUCUAAACAUGUAUCAAAUUUAAAGGGUCCUUGAGAAGUUUUGUGUAGAGAAGCUCAUGCUAUGAUAUCUAGGGCACCUAUUUUCAUUCAUUUCAUAUCUUAGCAAAAUUUGGUAUCUUGAUUAAUUUAUUCAUUUUUUGCUUUGCUUUCAAUAAAAGUUCAUCUUGUUCAUUGUGAUAAUCUUUUUCAAGCUUUUUUCAUUGAAAUAACGAUUAAUGGACUGAUAAUAUUCAACCAAAAGGAGUUCUGCAUAUUACUCCAAAAGCUUCUAAAUAGUAUGAGGACUUGAAACAGGACUAUUAUUUAGAACUAACCAAAGGGUUGGAAACAUUUGAGAAAGAAUAGUCUACAUUAUGACUAUUUCUUCGGGUUUUCUGUCUAAGAUACCAGCUGAACAAGAAGACAGGGUAACACAUCAAUGAUAGAACCUUGAUGAGCAACGAGUAAUGAUAAUCCACACAUUAAAAAGGGAUCAUUCUCAUGACAUUCUGCAUUCAUGCAAAUAUCAUUCAUACACAUCUAGUUAGGAGCAUUUGUUUCAUUCUAAUCAUGACAUCCUAAUCACUUGGCAUAAAUAGGCCUAUGAAAUGGAUUCUACAGGUCAUGUUCCCUAGAGAACGGAUCAGCGAAACCACAAAUCCUAUAUCACUAAAGUUGCAAUGGGAUGGAUUGAGGUCAUUAUAGGGAAUCUUAUUUCGCUGGUGUUGUGGUGGAACAGAUUCAAGCUACAAAUUAUGGCAGAUCUUAUCUUACUAAAGUUGCAGUGGAGCAGAUUGAAGCCACCAGCCUUAUCUCCCUAAAGUUACAGCAGAACAGACAGAAGACAACGAAUCUUAUUUACCUGACAUUGUAGUGGAGCAGAUUAAAGCUACAAAUUAUGGCAGAUCUUAUCUUUUUGAAGUCGCAGUGGAGCAUAUUGAAGCCACCAGCCUUAUUCCCUGAAGUUGCAGUGGAGCAGACUGAAGAUAGCGAAUCUUAUUUCCCUGGUGUUGUAGUGGAACAGAUUAAAGCUACAAAUUAUGGUGGAUCUUAUCUUCCUGAAGUUGCAGUGGAGCAGAUUGAAGCCACCAACCUUAUCUCCCAAAAGUUGUAGCGAAGCAAACUGAAGAUAGCAAAUCUUUUUUCCCUGGCAUUGUCGUGGAACAGAUUAAAGCUACAAACUAUGGCGGAUCUUACCUUCCUGAAGUUGUAGUGGAUCAAAUUGAAGCCACCAGCCUUAUCUCCUUAAAGUUGCAGUAGAGCAGACUGAAGACAGCAAAUCUUAUUUCCCUGGCGUUGCAGUGGAACAGGUUAAAGCUACAAGUUAUGGCAGAUCUUAUCUUCCUGAAGUUGCAGUGAAGCAGAUUAAAGCCACCAGCCUUAUCUCCCUGAAGUUGCAGUGAAGCAGACUGUAGACAAUGAAUCUUAUUUCCCUGGCAUUGCAGUGGAACAGAUUAAAGCUACAAAUUAUGGCGGAUCUUAUCUUCUUGAAGUUAUAGUGGAGCAGAUUGAAGCCACCAGCUUUACCUCCCUGAAGUUACAGCGGAGUAGACUGAAGACAACGAAUCUUAUUUCCUUGGAAUCACAAUGGAACAUAUUAAAACUACAAAUUAUGGCAGAUCUUAUCUUCUUGAAGUUACAGUGGAUCAGAUUGAAGCCACCAGCCUUAUCUCCCUGAAGUUGCAGCGGAGUAGACUGAAGACAACGAAUCCUAUUUCCCUGGCAUUGCAGUGGAACAAAUUAAACCUACAAAUUAUGGCAGAUCUUAUCUUCCUGAAGUUACAGCGGAAUAGAUUGAAGCCACCAAUCGUAUCUCCUUGAAGUUGCAGAGGAGCAGACUAAAAAUAGUGAGUCUUAUUUCUUUGGCAUUAAAGCUACAAAUUAUGGCAGAUCUUAUCUUCCUGAAGUUACAGUGGAGCAGAUUGAAGAUACUAAUCUUAUCUCCCCAAAGUUGCAGUGGAGUAGAUUGAAGUGAAGCGAUAAAUUUUGUACAUCUGAAGUUACUGUGUGUUAGAAGGAGGCUACUUCAAGAAGAUGAGCACCAAAGAAGUCGAGAUUUAGAAAUCGAGCAAAUUUGGUCCUUCAUAAAAGUCUUUGCUCCAUUCUCGUUACACGACAAUGUGCAAAGAAGGGAGCUGUAGUAGGCCCAACUUUCCCAAGCCCAAAACCAAAUAAAUAAAACCAAAAAUAAAAGAGUUCAAGUCCAAAUUAUUACAAACCCAAAAUAAAAACCCUAAGCCCAAUUAAUAGGCCCACAAACUAAUCUAAUUCAGAAAACCUAGGGUUUCCAACUCCUAUGUGUGUCGCUACCCUCAGCCAUGUCAGCACGCUCGUCUCGAGGCUGCCCGCCCUGAGGUCUGCUCCCCUGACGUGCCCCUCGCACCAAAAUGGCAAGACUCGAGUCCCGUCACCACCCUUGACUUCUCCACCUGCAAGAAAAGAGAAAGAAAAGGACAGAGGCUAAACAGAGAACAAAGACAAAACAGUAAAAGGUAGUAUGUAAAUCGGCUAUAAAAGCCUCAACGAAUGUAAUUCUUUUUUUGACAGACAAUCAAAUACACGAAAAGAAACAAAAACAUCAAUCGAAAAAAAAAUUCAGAAGGUUUACUUCUACUUUCAUUUUAAUUUUUUGUUUUAUUUUAUUCUACCUUUUUUUCAUUUUUUACAUACGAAAAUAAAAAGAAAGGGAAAAGAGUUAAAAAAAACUUACAGAAAGCUCUUUAGGCCUUUUUUUUACGUUUUUGAAAGGUUCUCGAAAAAUAUUCCCCUUGAUUCAAACUCCAGAGGUCGGAGAAUUCGGGGCAGCAUCUUUUAGGUUUUUCGGCCACCGUGGACGACGGCCCCGUCGCCGGUGACCAGUGGCCGGCACGGUGGCGAACCACCAGAGCCAAGGCCGGACUUGAGGGCUUUGAGAAAGAGGGGGAGAGUUUUUUAGAUUUUUUUGUUUUGAGGGAUGAAAUAAAUUUUUUGUAAAAAUUUUGACUUAUAUAAAUGUAUGAAACGGUGUCGUUUUGGGCCUAAGCUUCAGACGCCAAAGCGGCGUCGUUUUGAAGCGGAGCUUGACAACCUGACCCGAUCCGCCUGGUAGAUUCGCGUGUUUUUGUGACUAGGGUAUAAUUUCCACCCUAGUGCUUCCGCUUCUUAAAUGGUUUUGAAUACCGUCCCUUUUUUUCUAUUUUAUCCUUAAUUUUAAUUUGCUUUCGAUGUAGUCCUCCGUAUGCUAACCCCUUGGGGAAUGAUGCGUGUCCUAGAGUUUUGGGAUAAUUUCUCAUUUUAUCCCUAUUUUUCUUCGCACAUAUCAUUUCGAUCCUUUAUUCCGUUUUAUUAGAUUAGUUUUUAUUAUUUACUAUUUUUACCCAAAAUUUCAUUUAAGUUUCAAUUUAAUCCUUGCUUAUUUAACUUUAACCUUUUUACAAAUUUUUUUAUUAUCUAUUUAUUUGUUUAUUAUUUCUUUAUUUUUAUAUAUACUCAAAAAUUAGAUUGUAUAUACUUUAUUAUUUGUACAUAUUUAUUUAUUUAUUGUUGUUGUCAUUAUUCUUUUAUUUUUUAUCCAUUUGUUCUUGAUAUUUUAUUAUUUCUUUUAUUAUUUUUGGUAAUUUUCAUCUCAUACAUAUUUAUCGUUUCAAUCAUGCAUCUUCCAUUAUUUUUAGGUCACCUUAUCUAUUUUAUUAUUAUUAUGAUGUGAUUAUUAAUAAUAUUAUUAUUAUUAUUACAUUACUGUUAUUAUAGUACUCCUUUAUUUAUUAUUUAUCAUUCUAAUAUUAUACCCAUAUAGCCGUUCAAUAUUAUCUCAUUAUCACUAUAUCAUGCAUUGUGUUUAAAUAUACUUAUUCAUUUUUGUAUUGUGCCCGAGUAAGUUAAAUGCGCAUCACUUUAAAUGUUAUGUUCGUUUUUGCAUGAUGCAUAAGAAAGGAAAUUUUUUUAUCAAAGCAAUAUUCAUUAUUCUUGGAAUUAAAAAGAGUUGUGUUCUUAACUUACGGAAUAAGGCUUCUUUCUAAAACCGAAAUAGUGUAAUAUAUACUUAAAAUAAAAACAAUGGAUUUUUAGCAUUUAUUCUCGCAUUGGGAAUUCCAGACAUUGUGUCCUAACUUACGGGACGUAAUUCUCUGUCUCGAUUAACAUGAAAUAUGCCCCCUUUCUAAAAAAAAUUCAGUUAAGCGAUAUUUCAACAAAGGAUCUUAUUUUAAUUCUUUUCAAAAUUUUCAAUUUUCGACAUUAAGACAAUAAGUAAUCAAUGAGGUACCAAUUUUGGGCGUUACGAGGGUGCUAAUCCUUCCUCGUACGUAACCAACUCCUGAACCAAUUUUUCUGAAUUUCGUAAACCAAAAUUUUUAUUUUAAUAAAUUAAAUCGUUUCGAGGUGACCUGAUCACACUUCAUAAAAAUGAUCGGUGGCGACUCCCAUGAUCGUUUUCGUUUUCAAAAUCACAGUCUACUCUUUUUAAAAAAAAUGGUUUCAACAUAAGGUUUAAUGUUAUUGAUAUGCUAGUGAAGGGAAAUAAGAGGAAGUGAUGGGAAAUAUUGUAGACAAAGGAAAAGGAGGGUGUGAUAAACUUGGUUAUCAACAAUUUGCACUAAAAUAGUUUUGGAUAACAUCAGUAGUCUAACUUUAAAAAUUCACCAAAAACUAUAGAAAUUAGAUUAAAAGUUAAUUAAAGUAUUAAAUUAAAUCCUAUUGAGUCUAGUUUUACAUAAAAGAAACGGUGUAAGGAAAAGAAUUUCAUAUUAUGAGAUAUAUGAAUUUUUGUGAGACAAGGUCAGAUUGAUUUCAGGUUCCCCUUUUCUGAUUUGGAAAAUCAUCAAAAAUUGUAAAAAAAAAUAAGUAAGGAUUUAAAUUUAUAUGUUUAAAUUCUUAAUGAGUUUAUUUUCAAGAGAAACAAACAGAAACAUCAUCCAAACCCCGUACUAAGAGAUAAUUAAUUUUUAGUAAUGAAAGGUCGAAGCUAUCAAACAACAGAACAUGGAUAAAUUUGAAGAUUUUACUGUACUUAUUGGCUAUAUUAUAAAUUCUGAAAUUUUUAUGGUAGAAAGAUAUUUGAGUCUAGUUUUAAAAAACAUCAAGCGGAUCUUAAUUUAGAAUUCUGUAGCUCAAGAUAUAAAUAAUUUAGUGACUAUAACUCAAGUGGAUAGCUUUGAUAUGAACACAUAAGUAAAUAGUGGAAUUAUAGAUAAUGUUACUUAUAAGCAUGUUAUAUGCUAAAAGCUAAAGAGUCUAACAAAUAUAUAUACAUAAAGGAUGUGGAAUGGAGAGGAGGAGGAGGGAAAAUAUAUGAAUAUAUAUAUAUAUAUAUAUAUAUAUAGUAGAUGAAUUUGAGCUGUUUUCAAAUGGGUGUAGGUGAUGGGAUGAUUGAUACAUGAGUAUGUUUAACCGAAUUUGUAAUGGCCCAAAUUUAAGGUUAUUAGAAUAAUGGUUUCGUAACCACAAAUUCAAUUUAAAGAGAAAAUUAUCAUUAAUUUUUUAAGAUUUAUCGAGUGAUUAGAUAUAAGUAUUAGAGUAUUGAUAAGAAAUUUUAUUGAUUGUAUGCCUAAAUUGCCUAUUACGACUUAAUUGCAAAAAUGGGUAAAUAUGAGUUUUAGAUGAUAAAGGAUUUAUUUGAAGUUCAUAAUCAAAUUAGAGGUCCUUAAAUAGUAAUUAGACCAUAAAAUUUCCAUGGACAAAAAUAGGCAUGCAUAGAUAAAUAUAAGUAAAGUUUUAAUGAAGGGUAUUUUAGUAAAUGAAUAAUAAAAAAAUAAAAAGGGAAAAAGAUGGAAAAACUAUCAUCUUCUCCAUAGCUUGCUGCCGAAUUUGGAAAGACACCAUAGCUAGGAUUUUCACACUUUUUCAAGCUCAUAGUAAGUGAUUCUAAGCCCCGUUUUUAAUGCUUUUUAUGUUUUUGAGAUCCCGGUAGCUUAAUUUAGCAUAUUCUAGCAAUAAUUUAACCUAGGAUUUAUAUUUGGAAAAAUACCCAUAGGUAAAAAGUGUUUAUUUUGAUGUUUUAUGAUAGAAUAUGAAGCUAGAAAUUAUGUUAAACAACUUUUGCUAGCCGAUUUUAAGCGAAAACGAUAAGUUGACAUAAUUGGUAAAAAUUCCUAAUGUACAUAAGUAAGUGUUAGAGUGAGAAUUUGAUGUUUUCAUAGAAGAGAAAAAUGUUCAGCAUGUUAUAUAACAUAAGAAUAUAAGAUGAAUUCUAAUUUCCGAGCCUUGGGGUAAAAAUGUAAUUAUGUAAAAGUUUAAGGGCAAAAUCGUAAUUUUUCCAAAGUUAGAGUCGAGGGCUGUUUUGAUAAAUGUGAGUAUUAAAUGAGUUAAAUUUUUUAUUUUAGAUCAAAAAGAACGAAACUCGAAGUUAGACAAAGGAAAGAAUAAAGUUGAAGGCUAAGUUGGUGAAUUUGGAAUAAUUGGUACCGAUGUAAGUUUACGGUAAAUAAAUGAAAUAUUUCAAUAAUUAUUAUUAAUGUUGUUAUUUUUCAGCAGUUAUGUAUUUAUUUUUUGAAAAUAUAUAAUGUUGACUCAAGUAUGAGAUGAUAGAGAAUUAGUGAUACAAGCCCCGUUGAAACAUUAGGAAUGUAUUGGAUACAAAUGUCAUGACAUUUGGGUAGAGAGAUCCCAUGUAAGACCAUGUCUGGGACAUGACAUUGGCAUCAUUGAGAUUAUGAGAGGUCCCAUGUAAGACCAUGUCUGGGACAUGGCGUUGGCACCGAGAUGAGAGGUCCCCCGUAAGACCAUGUCUGGGACAUGGCAUGGGCACCGAUAUGAGAACUCCCAUGUAAGACCAUAUCUGAGAUAUGGAAUUGGCAGUACAUGAAACAUCCCAUGUAAGACCAUGUCUGGGACAUGGCUUUGGCAUGUUAUUAUCAGAAAGAGACCCAAGUAUUCUUAUUAUUCCAAUGUGGUUUUCACGGGCUAGUAAAGAACCUAUGACCAUGAAAGUUUAGUUAAAAACAUAAAUGGUAAGUUCAAGUGAGUUAUAAGAGUUAAGAGUAUAUUACAUUACCCAUUGAGAAUCAACAUUUCAGCAAGAGAAAAGUCAGUCAUAAUUAUGAGUUAUCUAAGUAAACAAGUAAGUGAAUGAGUAAGAGAUCAAGUAAAGAGGAAAUUAAAGAUAAUGUUACUUAGACUAGAAUCUUCAAAUCUAGUAGACCAUAGAGAAAUCGAGGAGUUUGAGCGAGUAAUAGGGGUAUGUCAGAGACUCAAUAGUUAGAUCAGAUGUUAGAACACCUGCAAGAACAUAUGCUAUUCGUGCUCGGGAAGAGACAUCCUCCCCUGAUGUAAUUACAGGUACAUUUUCUCUCUAUGAUAUUAAUAUUGUUGCAUUAAUUGAUCCUGGCUCUACACAUUCAUACAUAUGCACAAAAUUAGUAUUUGUUAAAAAUUUGUCUGUCGAGCUUGCUAAAUUUAUGGUUAACGUCUCGACCCCCCGGGCUAGUUUGUGAUUGUGGAUAAAGUUUGUAAAAAUUGUCCACUGAUGGUAAAAGGUAUUUGUUUUCUGGUUGACUUGAUGUUAUUGCCUUUUGAUGAGUUUGAUGUGAUAUUGGGCAUGGAUUGGUUAACUCAGCAUGAUGCAGUAGUAAAUUGUAACAGAAAUAUAUUGUACUGAAGUGCCAGAAUGGAGAAUUAAUUCGGGUUAAAUCUGAUCAGAUAGAGGAAUUAUCUGACGUGAUUUUAGUUAUGACAGCUCAGAGGUGUGUCAGAAAAGGGUAUGAUGUUUAUUUGGCGCGUGUGUUGGAUACUUAGGUAUCUGAGUCAAAGAUACAGGUAGUUCCAGUUGUAUGUGAGAUUUUUGAUGUGUUUCCAGAGGAAUUAUCGGGGUUGCCACAAGAAAUAGAAGUGGAAUUUUCUAUAGAUCUAAAUCCGGGAACUAUCCCAAUCUCCAUAGCUCCAUAUCGUAUGGCUCCUACAGAAUUAAAAGAGUUAAAGACAUAGUUACAAGAACUUGUAGAUAGAGGUUUUGUUCGUCCAAGUCAUUCACCAUGGGGUGCUCUAGUUUUGUUUGUGAAAAAGAAAGACGGGUCUUUGAGAUUGUGUAUCGACCAUCGGCAGCUCAAUAAGGUAACUAUAAAGAAUAAGUACCCAUUGCCUCGAAUUGAUGACUUAUUGGAUCAGCUGAAAGGUGCCAUAGUAUUUUCAAAGAUUGAUCUUCGAUCGGGUUAUUACCAGUUAUGGGUAAAAGAGCCAGAUGUGUCAAAGACAACUUUCCGAACCAGGUCUGAGCAUUAGGAAUUUUUGGUUAUGCCAUUUGGGCUGACUAAUGCCUACAGUAUUUAUAGAUUUGAUGAACCAGAUAUUCAGACCGUAUUUAGACAGGUUUGUAGUAGUUUUCAUUAAUAAUAUUUUAGUCUAUUCUCGAGAUGAAAAUGAGCAUGCAGAACAUUUGAGAAUAGUGUUGCAAAUUUUGCGUGAAAAGAAGCUUUAUGCUAAAUUCAGUAAAUGUGAAUUUUGGCUCCGAGAGGUGGGUUUUCUUGGACAUAUUGUAUUCACAAAAGGCAUCAGGGUAGAUCCGAAUAAAAUCUCAGCUAUUGUCAAUUGGAGUCCACCGAAGAAUGCAUCUGAAGUUAGAAGUUUCUUGGGUUUAGCUAGCUAUUAUCGGAGAUUUGUAUAGGGUUUUUCUAUGAUAGCUUCUCCAGUGACCCGUUUGUUACCAUAAGAUGUUAAAUUUGAAUAGAUAGAUAAAUGUCAGCAAGGUUUUGACAGAUUGACAAAAUUGUUGAUCGAAGCACCUGUGUUGGUACAGCCUGAAUCGGGUAAAGAAUUUAUUAUUUAUAGUGAUGCAUCAUUAAAUGGUUUAGGUUGUGUCUUGAUGCAAGAAGGUAAGGUAAUAGCCUAUACUUCAAGACAACUUAAGGCCAUAUGAAAGAAAUUACCCGGUACAUGAUCUUAAAUUAGCUGCUAUUGUAUUUGCAUUAAAAUUAUGGUGACAUUAUUUGUAUGGUGAAAAGUGCCAUAUUUAUACUAAUCAUAAAAGCUUGAAGUAUUUGAUGACACAGAAAUAUUUGAAUUUGAGAGAAUGCAGAUAACUGGAAUUGAUAAAGGAUUAAGAUUUGGUUAUUGAUUAUCAUUCGAGUAAGGCUAAUGUUGUAGCUGAUGCUUUGAGCCAGAAAUAUCUAUUUGCUUUACGAGCUAUGAAUGCCCGGAUGUCACUAACUGAUGAUGGUUCAAUCAUAGCUAAAAUGAGAGUUAAAUCGAUAUUUCAUCAACAAAUAUGUGAAGCUCAGAAAAAUGAUGAGAAGUUACAAGCUAAACGGGUACAAUGUGAGUCAGGUAAUGAUUCAGAAUUUUAGAUUGGGACUGAUGGUUGUUUAUUAUUUAGAGGCAGAGUAUGUGUACCGAAGAAUUCAGAGCUUGUACAGAAGAUUUUACACGAGGCACACAGUGGUAUUAUGUUCGUACAUCCGGGAGGUAAUAAAAUGUAUAAUGAUUUGAAGAAGAUGUACUGGUGGCCAGGUAUGAAACGUGAUUUUUCUGAGUUUGUAUCUAGAUGUCUGAUAUGUCAAGAGGUCAAAGCAGAACAUUAGGUACCUUCGGGAUUGCUCCAGCCAAUUACUAUACCGGAAUGGAAAUGGGAAAGAAUUACUAUGGAUUUUGUGUUGGGAUUACCAUUGUCACCGAAGAAGAAAGAUGCCACUUGGAUGAUCGUUGAUCGAUUAACAAAAUCAGCACAUUUUAUCCCGGUACGUAUGGAUUAUUCUCUAGAUAAAUUGGCUGAAUUGUAUAUAUCUGAGAUUGUCAGGCUACAUGGAGUGCCAAUCUCCAUUAUCUCUGAUAGAGAUCCCAGAUUCGUUUCUGGGACAAAUUGCAAGAAGCCUUGGGUACUUAGUUGUAUUUCAGCACUGUAUUUCACCCUCAGACAGAUGGCCAAUCUGAGCGUGUAAUUCAGGUAUUGGAAGAUAUGCUCUGAUGUUGUUUAUUAGAGUUUGAAGGUAAUUGGGAGAAGUAUUUACCUUUGAUUGAAUUUGCUUACAAUAACAGUUAUCAAUCCAGUAUUAAAAUGGCUCCGUAUGAAGCUUUGUAUGGUAGAAAAUGUAGACACCGUUAUAUUGGACAGAGCUCAAUAAAAAGAAUAUACAUGGGGUUGAUUUGAUCUGGGAAACAGAAGAAAAAGUAAAAGUGAUUCAGGAUAGUUUAAAAGCAGCUUCCUAUCGCCAGAAGUCAUAUGUUGAUCUUAAAGGAAAACAGAUUGAAUUUUAGGUGGGUGAUAAGGUAUUCUGAAAAGUGUCUCCUUAGAAGAAAGUUCUCCGGUUCGGUCGAAAGGGUAAAUUGAGUCCAAGAUUUAUCGGGCCAUAUGAAAUCAUAGAAAGAAUUGGACCGGUCGCUUAUCGAUUAGCAUUACCACCAAAACUCGACAGAAUUCGUAAUGUUUUUUAUGUAUCUAUGCUACGACGGUAUCGAUCAGAUCCUUCACAUAUUAUUUCUCCUACAGAAGUAAAGAUUCAGCCGGAUAUGACUUAUAGUGAAGAACCGGUCAAGAUAUUAGCACGACAAACAAAGGAGCUUAGAAAUAAGAAGAUAAAUUUGGUAAAAGUAUUAUGGCAAAAACAUGGGAUUGAGGAAGCGACAUGUGAACCGGAAGAGGCAAUGAGGAAACAAUACCCAAACCUCUUUAUUGGUAAGAUUUUCGAGGAUGAAAAUCUUUAAAGGGGGAGAGUUGUAAUGACCCAAAUUUAAGGUUAUCGAAAUAGUGGUUUCGUAACCACAAAUUCGAUUUAAAGAGAAAAUUAUUUUUUUAUGAUUUAUCGAGUGAUUAGAUAUAAGUAUUAGAGUAUUGAUAAGAAAUUUUAUUGAUUGCAUGCCUAAAUUGCCUAUUAGGACUUAAUUGCAAAAGUGGGUAAAUAUGAGUUUUAGAUGAUAAAGGAUUUGUUUGAAGUGCAUAAUCAAAGUAGAGGUCUUUAAAUAGUAAUUAGACCAUAAAAUUUCCAUGGACAAAAAUAGGCAUGCAUAGAUAAAAAUAACUAAAGUUUUGAUGAAGGGUAUUUUAGUAAAUGAAUAAUAAAAAGAAUAAAAAGGGAAAAAGAAAGCAAAACUAUCAUCUUCUCCAUAGCUUGCUGCCGAAUUUGGAAAGACACCAUAGCUAGGGUUUUCACACUUUUUCAAGCUCAUAGUAAGUGCUUCUAAGCCCCGUUUCUAAUGCUUUUUACUUUUUUGAGAUCCUAGUAGCUUAAUUUAGCUUAUUCUAGCAAUAAUUUAACCUAGGGUUUAUAUUUGGAAAAAUACCCAUAGGUGAAAAGUGUUUAUUUUAAUAUUUUAUGAUAAAAAUAUGAAGCUGGAAAUUAUGUUAAACAACUUUUGCUAGCCUAUUUUAAGCGAAAACGAGUAAGUUGACAUAAUCGGUAAAAAUCCCUAAUGUACAUAAGUAAGUGUUAGAGUGAGAAUUUGAUGUUGUCAUAGAAGAGAAAAAUGUUCAGCAUGUUAUAUAACAUAAGAAUAUGAGAUGAAGUUUAAUUUCCGAGCCUUGGGGAAAAAAUGUAAUUAUGUAAAAGUUUAGGGGCAAAAUCAUAAUUUUUCCAAAGUUAGAGUCGAGGGCUGUUUUGAUAAAUUUGAGUAUUAAAUGAGUUAAAUUUUCUAUUUUAGAUCAAGAAGAACAAAACUCGAAGUUAGACAAAGGAAAGAAUAAAGUUGAAGGCUAAGUUGGUGAAUUUGGCUAUAAUUGGUACCGAGGUAAGUUUACGGUAAAUAAAUGCAAUAUUUUAAUAAUUAUUAUUAAUGCUGUUAUUUUUUUAGAAAUUAUGUAUUUAUUUUAUGAAAAUAUAUAAUGUUGACUCAAGUAUGAGAUGACAGAGAAUUAGUGAUACAAGCCCCGUUGAAACAUUAGGAAUGUAUUGGAUACAAAUGUCAUGACAUUUGGAUAAAGUGAUCCCAUGUAACACCAUGUCUGGAACAUGGCAUUGGCAUCAUUGAGAUUAUGAGAGGUCCCAUGUAAGACCAUGUUUGGGACAUGGCGUUGGCACCGAGAUGAGAGGUCCCCCGUAAAACCAUGUCUGGGACAUCGCAUAGGCACCGAUAUGAGAACUCCUAUGUAAGACCAUAUUUGGGAUAUGACAUUGGCAGUACAUGAAACAUCCCAUGUAAGACCGUGUCUGGGACAUGGUCUUGACAUGUUAUUAUCAGAAAGAGACCCAAGUAUCCUUAUUAGUCCAAUGUGGUUUAACGGGCUAGUAAAUAACCUAUGACCAUGAAAGUUCAGUUAAAAGCAUAAAUGGUAAGUUCAAUUGAGUUAUAAGAGUUAAGAGUAUAUUACGUUACUGAUUGAGAAUCAACAUUUUAGUAAGAGAAAAGUAAGUCAUAAUUAUGAGUUAUCUAAGUAAACAAGUAAGUGAAUGAGUAAGAGAUCAAGUAAAGAUGAAAUUAAAGAUUAUGUUACUUGGUUAUUUUUAUUUGUGUUUAAAGUUGCUAUUUAUUUACUUGAAAACUUACUAAGCAUUAUGCUUACUUUGUUUAUUUUCUUUUUAUAUAGCAUUAUUAAUCAGAGUCGAGGAUCCUAAAGAAGUCGAAGAUCGUCCAAACUAUCAACUACAACGACUUGGUAUUUUAUGAUGAUCUAUGUUUGAACUAUGGCAUGUAUAGGAACUUAUCCAUUUUGAAUGUUGUAUUAUGAUUUUGGUUAAAAAAUUAUGUGUAAAUAUCUAAUGAUGAAUGGUUGUCAAAAUGGCUAAGUAUGAAGGUGUUUGUUGUUAUACAUGUCUAUGUGAUAAAUUAUGCAUGGAAAUCAUGAAAGAGUAAAAAUUUGUAAAGAAACAGAUUUCAAACAGCAGCAGUGACGUGACUUUGAAAAAUCACAUAGUAUAGUAUAUAAUGAAUUAGAAGGUAAAUUAUAUAUAUAAUGAAAUAUUAUUUAGUCUACAUUCAUAGAAAAAUAACGGUGCAGGAAAAGGAAUUUUAUAAUUUGAGAUAUAUGAAUUUUAGUGAGACAGAGUCAACUGUUUUUAGGGUCCCCUAUUCUGAGUUUAGAAAAUCAUUAAAAAUUGUAAAAAAAUGGUUAUGAGAUGUAGUUUAUAUUUGUAGAUUCCUUAUUGAGUCUACUUUCUGUAUAAAUAAGUGAGAACACCAGAAGAAGUUGGUACAAUGAGAUAACUAAAUUUUAGUGACAAGAGGUGAGUACAGUCAAAUAGUGAAACAAGGGAGACUUUAACUAAUAAACUGUACUAAUUAGCUAAACCUAAAAUUCUGAAAAAUUUAUGGUAAGAAGAUAAAUGAGUCUAGUUUCAAGGAAAAUUUACGGAUUUAAAUUUUCAGUUCCGUAGCUCUAGUUAUAAAUGAUUUAGUAACUGCUACGUGAGUGGACAGAUUUGUUGUAAAUGUGGAAAUUGAUUUCAAAAGUAACUUUUUAUGUCUCAAAUUAGUAAGACAAGUAAAGUAAUGCUUCAAGCUCGACUCCGGCAACGGUCUCGGAUAAGGGGUGUUAUAGAAUUGUUAACAUAAUAAGUGAAUAAUUGUUAAUUGAUGUGGAUUCUUUGUUAAAAUUUUAUAAAGAAUUAAAUUGAUUGGCACAAUGUAGAAAUAAAUAUGAAAUAUAAAUAAUGUAGAUAAACUAAUUUUGCAAGUGCAAGUCCUCCAAUGGUCUUAUUUGUAAAAUUUUAAUAUUUGUGUUAAUUUUAUAAACUUUUUUAUAUUUAAUUGAAUAUCAUGUUUUUAUGAGGACUUGAGAUUAGAAAUAGAUGUAAGUGGAAGAUAUGUAAAAUGAAGCGGUAGUUAUGACAUCUGAAUACUGUUCAGGUAAUGAUAUAAAAUAAAUAAAUAAAAAUAAAGCGUGGAACUUGUAGGAAAUGGGGAUUACAUCAUGAUGACAAGUUCGCCAUGUUACAAUGUCGAAACCCCCAACGUCGCGACGACAAUUCAAAAAUUUUUAUGAACUUUACAAGUUGGCCUUUAAUCAAUUGUGGAUGUUUUAACAAGCUCUUUUAACUCAUAAUUAAUUCUAUCGUAAAUUCAAUUAUUACUAAAAUUAGUUAAUGAUCUACAUUAAUUAAAUAAUAAGAUAAAUUGAUCUAAAAUUUUCAGUAGUUGCUUCGCCAAUGAAUGUGACAUCCUGAUGUCUUAACUCGGCGAUCGGGUCAGGUAUAGGGGUGUUAUAAGUUUGGACGGUAAACCACCAUUACCCGUAGUGGACGAUUUUGGGAUGUUAAACACAUGAAAUUGGAUAAAUUUUAUAAGGGUAAAUUUGUAAUUAACUAAAACAUAAUGUAAUUAAAAUAAAGAAAAGGCAUAAAAGAGUUAUCUUCAACUUAGGUUCUUGGGAAGAAAUCGAAAACUCCAUGGAUAGGGCUUUAAGCAUUUGGCCAAGCUUGCCUUUCAAAUUGAUAAGUGAAUUUUAAUCGGUUUCUUGUAAUUUGUACGUUUUUUAGAUCGUUGCAACUAAAUCCAGCUAACUUGUAUCUCCAUUAUCGAAACGGUUAAAGAUUAUGAAUUAUUCCAUUGAUAAGUUUGGAUAUUCUUGAAGUUUUAUGGUAGAUUAUUAAGCUUGGUUGUUAAAUAUGACUAAUUUAUAAAGUAACUUUUGGUAAUUUUAAUGUUUAAGGACUAAAAUGUGAAAGUGAUAAUGAUACGAGUCACAAAGGCCCAACCCAAGCCCAAGAACGUGAUCGGCUCAAAUUACCACAAGGCCCAAUAACGAGAUCAAAGGCCCGACAAAUGCGUUCCAAACUAAACGGGACCAUUCAGGAGUUUGUUAGCAAGGCCUUAGAUGCGUACAUGAAAGAAAGAGAAAAUCAAGAUUCACUUUCUUGUUUUCAAGAAAAUCAAGAAACCGAAUCUUGCUGUUUGGAGCGAUUUCAAGAAUCAAGAAAAUCAAGAUUCCAAAUCUUGGAAAUCUUGGUCCAAGAAACCAAAUCUUGUAGCCAAAGCACAUUGGAUCUCCGUUACGAGCAUCAAUGAACCAAUUUAGGUAGGAGAUGGAAUACAAGUCCAAGUUCUUGGAGGAAAGGCCCAAUAAGAUGAUUCCAAGCCCAACCAAGAAGACAACUUACUUGAAAAUCAGGCCAAAUUGUCAAAGUGGCCCAAUUUGUAAAGUUUUAUUUUUUUAAAUACUUAGUUUAAAUUUUUAUGUAAAUAUUCAGUCCAAGAGGCCCAAUUAAGAGGCUUUGGCCGAAUUUCCAUUUAAAAUUAAAAUAAUUAGGAGUUUUUUUAGUUUUAGUUUUCUAAUCAGACUAGGAAAACAUUUGAAAGGCCUAUAUAAAGGCUUGGCCAGCCACCUUGUUAGAUACUUCACAAUUAUAUUGAAAAAAAAUUUAGAUUUGUUUUGAAUGAAAAUUCUCUUUGAGUUCUUCAAGAAUUUUCUCUUGAGUUUUCUUUAGAAGUAGUUUUAACAAUCUUUUUGAUUGUGGGAGCCAUCUUCAGCCUUCUUCUUGCCAUUGAUCUUCAUUGGAGGGGAGAUUAGAGCCGUUUAAAGGGAGUUGUGAGAUCUUUCGGGAUUUCAAGGCUUUUGAGGACUUUUCUUUAUUCUAUUGCUGUUCAUUCUUCUUUAUUAAAUUCUGCUUGUGCCGAUUUGUUGAAUAAUAUGGGAUUAAUUGUUCUUGUUUUGUUUCAGCCAUUCCAAACUUCAAGAUCUAAUUCAUCACUUCCUUGGACAUAAAGAAACGUUUUUGAUUCACAAAAAUCCCCCUUUUCUUGCCGUCCAAUCCCUAGAACUAGUUUCAAUUGAUUUCGCAAUCUAUUUUUAAUUUAUUUGCUGUUUUGUGUUCUUUGAUAGUUUCGGCUGAUUGGAAGUUGAUCUUGGGGCUUAAUUUCGUGUUCUUGGCUUCCAAGAACAUCUAUUCAUAAGUGUUUUAAUUCUUGGCUGUUCCUUAUUGUUUUGGGGAUUUUUAGUUUUCAGAUCUAAUUGAUUCUAAUUAAGUUUUGCUAUUUCGUUUCAGAUCCAAGCGAUUAGCAUUUUCGUAGGAGUUUCUCGUGACUUGAUAACUCAAUCUUGGUCCGCGUGCAACCCCCUAUCAGAUAAAAUUAAGAGGAUUAAAAUGUCAAAAAGGACCUAAUUGCAUAAAAUGAGUGAUUUUGUUGUUAAAAUUAUUUAAUUGAAUGAAAUUAUUAUUCUAGAUCGAGAACGAGCUGAUAAUUACAUAAAGGAAAAAAUUACUGAAUAGUCCCUAAACUUUCGUUAUUGCUGCAAUUAGUUUGGUAAGUUUGUUCGGUUUAAUUUUAGUACAUUUUGCAUAAUGUUGGAUUAUAUUGAUAUGUGUAACUGAAAUGGAAAAAAGGAAUUGAUAUACCAUCAAUUACUGGUUGAGAUACUCUGAACCGUUACUGCAAAUCGGUCAUGUAAGUUCAUUUAUAUAAGUAUGUUAUAGAUAGUUUCCUUAAUACUUGUUUUACUUUAGUAAUGGUAGUGUUUUGUGAUUAUUUGAACGUUUGAUUUAACGGAGGUCAAUAGUGAAAUUGAAAUGUAUUGAGUGUAUUGAAUCGGGCCUUGAGCCAAGCAGGCUUUAUGCUGGUGUACUAUAAUAUAUCGGACCUUGUGCCUAGCAGGCUUCGUGCCAGUGUAAUUAUUGGGCUUAAUGCCUAGCACGCUUCAGGCUGGUGUAAUUAUUAGGCUUAAUGCCUAGCAGGCUUUAUGUUGGUGUAAUUAUCGAGCUUAAUGCCUAAUAGGCUUUGGGUUGGUGUAACAAUUGUACUGGAUAUUGGUGAUUGGAGAUCUUACUAAACGAUAAUUUGUAAUAUGAUUUGAAUUAAUGUGUUGUACAAUACUCACCUAUUGUGAGCUGUGAUUGACAGGAAUUUUGAAAAGAACCUUGUGAGAGGAACUCUGUUCUUUAAUCUUGUUAUUGGAUUUGUUGAGUUUAAAUUCAAUAAGAUUUAUCAUUCAAUUGAUGAACUUACUAAGCUUUACGAAAUUUUACUCGUGUUAUUUGUCUUAUUUCUUAUAGAUACGUCUUAUAGAUUGAGAGAUUGGAUCAUCUCGAAGAAUCACACUAUCCAGGAAUCAUUUUGUAGUUUUUGAAUAUAGCUUUUCUUAUAUGACAUGUAAUAAGAGUAUUUGGUUAUGUUUUGUAAUGUUACAUAAGUACUUGUGGAUGUUGUUGUUAAUGUGCAUAUGAUAAUGUGGUAUAAGUAGUUAAGUGAGAUGUACUUACUUGGUUCUAUGGUAAAGUAUAAGAGGUUGGGCAUGAGAUGGUAAGUUUGACUAGAAUUUUGGUAUAACAUUUUCGAAUAGGAAGUAUGUUAUGCAAAAGUGCUUGUAACUUGUGUACGUACUUAAGGAAAUGAAUUGUGUAAGUACUUGAAAUGUGGUGUCAUUGGUGAAAAAUUAGUUAGACCUUAAGAUGAUUGUUUUGGCAUGUUUUGGGUGUCAUUUACAUACAUUUUAAAGUCUUAUAAUUAUGUGUUGAGAAUUGGUUUAGGUACCUAAUCAUUUAGAUAUGAAUUAAGUAUGUUUUGGGUACACACGGCCUAGGACACAAGCUGUAACACAACCGUGUCUCACACACGGGUAAACCAUAGGGGCAUGUGCCCUGAAGGUGUUAGGUGCAGUUUUCACAUGGUCUGCGAGACGGUCGUGUGACCCAUGUCAAAGAGUUACACUGUCCAUGUUAGAGUAUGCCCAAAGAUAAAUCAUGAGAUGGUUGUAAUAUCAUACUUGAUUUAUCAUGAUUAUUAAUACAAGGCGUUACCAUUAUUAUUUCAGCUUCUUUUCUGUGUGUAUAAAUAAAAUAUUUUAUAAUAAUGUCUUGAGUAUAAUAUGAUUAUUCUUAAAAAAGGUCCUUAGUCAAGUAUUAUUGUUGGCUAGGACAACAAUAAUGCGUUAAGACUAACAUGUAGUUGAUUGAUGAUAAAGAGUUUUCAUUGAUAUGGAGUGUCGAAAAUCAAUGCAUGAAUAUGUAUGUUAGAGAACAACAUAUUGGACUGACCCAUUAUGAGUAUGUUUCUCAGAUUAUUAUGUAAUUGUCACAACAUUACUUAUAGUGAUUAAUAUGUAUAUAAUCCUCAGACUUGACAUCAUCAUUAUCCCAACAUAUUGAGUUUUAUAUUUUGAUACAGUCAAACGUACACAGUAACUAGUUGUUCUAUAAAGGCUGAUGUUGGAUAUACCACGAUCUAUGUAGAGGGAUAUGGUUGAUCGAUAUAGGAUAAGUCCCUACAUAAUGGGAGUAAUAUCUUAGGCCACUUGAUUGAGUGAGACUAGAAAUGCAUGACCAUGCUCAAAUAAGCGGAUAUAAGAUGUCACGCUUAUUUGUAUAUCAUAGUCUACUCAAGGUAUCAAGGAACAUGGAUGGACUCUGCAAGUGUGACUAUUCCAUGACUUGUGUCCAACCCAGAGAUAAAGGACUUAAGGAUUAAUGCAUGAAAGGUUAAUCGCAAAAAGGUUAUGUCGAAUCAUAAUUUCUUGUAACUUAGGUAGCAAUGAUGCAAUGCUAGAUGCCACUCAUUGUCUGCAACAUUAGAAUCGUUCUAGUAUUAUUGCUAACUUUACAAGAACCUACAGGGUCACACCCUAUGGUUGAAAUGAACGGAAUAAAACAUAGUUGGUAUUGUGUUUGGUUGUCACAUGAAUUAAAUUAAUUGUAGAAUUAAUUUAAUUUGGUAAUCAAAUAUCGAUCAUAUUAUAUGUACAAGGUUGUUGUACACAUAAUGAGAACAUAUUAUAUGAUUUUGGUUCGUAUAUAAAUUCAAAUAAAUAUAGUUUACCAAAAUCUUUAUUAUAAUUAAUGUUAAUUAUAAAUUUUGGUUUAAAACAUUGUUAUAUUUAUUUGAUUUAUUUAAUGAAUUAUGAUUCAUUAUAUAUACCAAUUAUAAGAGGGAUAUAUGAGACAGUUUUUUUUUAAAAAACCCUAAAAAUAAAAUAUAAAAUUCCAUUUUUCCUUUGCUUGAAUAGUCUUGCAGCCGUCAAGCAAAGUCUUCUUCAAAACAGCUUUGGGGAUUUCUUCCAUUCAUUGUCAACUGGGUGGAUUGCGUAGAGGCUGGAGUCACUAAAGGUUGCGGCUUGGUUCGAUAGUAAAAUAGAAUACUCAUUGCUGAGGCGUUGCUGUCUAUUUAGUUUAAAGAUUUAUGUAAUUUCGAAACCUUUUUCACCCAGAUUCGUUCCUCACACAUGAAUCCAUGGUUUGGAUCACCGGAUGUAUUAAUUUUUACUGCGUCGUGGGGGUGUCGGCGUUCCAAUAGUGGUAUCAGAGCCACUUGUGUGAUACGGACUCGGUUUUAAAGAAUUGGGUGAUGCAAUUGUAUGAGAUGCAUGCUUUAAUUUUAUUACGUUUUCGACUGUGUUUAAAUCGUUUAAGCAUAACCUGAUAACCAUUCCUUUCGAUAAUUAAUUAAAUGUUAAUCAUGGUGUUGUGGCCUAUUCGGUUUUAUAUUAUUAUUGUUAAGUGUUAAUAAGGGUUGUUCUAACAUGAAACAUCAAGGAUUAAAAUCUUGAAAACAUGAUUCUGUUGAUAAAAGUUAUUAAAUCGUGAGGUUUCAUAAUAAAUAAAACUUGGUGCCAUAAAAGGUUGAAAGGAUAUUUUAUAAUUCACCUUAACAAAAUGUUGAAUUAUGUAUGCUAUUUUUGACAUGCACGGCGUUUGAAAUGCAUAGUUAUAGCACGAUGACAUGUAUGUUGUUUGAAAUGCAUAGUUAUGUAUGCUAUUUUUGACAUGCACAGUGUUUGCAAAAAGGUUGUAACUUUAUAAAUACGGCCUGCGUGUCAUGCCUCACUACUAUUCUUUUGUAUUUCUCUUCUCAUCUUACUCCCUCGUAUGUAAAAUGAGUUUCUACAUAUUGUAAUUUGCAAAAGUUACUGUGGGCUAGACGAGAAGGAAGAUGGGCCAACUAGUGUGGACUGAUAGCUUGUGAAACGGCUUACACCUUUAGGUUUCCUUUUGGUUUUCCCAUUGUCCUGGGUUGCAACACCUUAGUUUAUAGGCUAUAGCUAUUGCAUUUAUUUAUUGCUUUAUUUAUUAAUGUAUGAGAUGCUAUAUAUGUCUAAAGCAUGCCAAAUUUUAAUAUAUUUAGAAUUUGAUUAUAAUGAACCUUAUUAAUUGAAAAGAUCAAUUAAAAGGCUAAAUGGACUAAAAUAGACCAUAAUUGGUGAGAUGGAACAACCUUAAUAAAAUCUCUCAAUUAAAAUAUUAAGUCAACAUAGCCUUUCAAUUUUGCCCUCGUUAAGGCCUCGAUCAAUAUUGUGUAGGUUCUAAUAAAGCGAAGUACGCGAAGAAUAAACUAGUGAUAUUCACUGGUUAAAAUUGGUUAAUGACUUAACUAGAGUUAGAACAACAACAAAUUUCACAAGAAAUUGAGGAACAAGUAACUACUGUAGAAACACAACCACCGCGUAGAUCCUUAAGGGGACGCCAAGCACCUGAGAGAUAUGGAUUUCUAAUUACAACGCAUAUUGACGUUCUUCUUACAGAUCAAGAUGAGCCUAGGACUUAUCAACAAGCACUGACGAGCCCAGACUCUGAGAAAUGGCUUGAGGCCAAGAAAUCUGAGAUGAAUUCCAUGAAUGAAAACCAAGAAUGGACUUUGGUUGACCCACCCGAAGGCGUUAAACCUAUAGGGUGCAAGUGGGUUGUCAAAAAGAAAACCGACAUGGAUGGUAAUGUACAAACAUACAAGAGGCGAUUAGUCGCUAAAGGUUUUCGCCAAGUUUAUGGUGUUGACUAUGAUGAAACCUUUUCUUUUGUAGCUAUGUUAAAAUCCACCAGGAUCUUGCUCGCUAUAGCAUUAUUUCAUGACUAUGAAAUCUGGCAGAUGGACGUCAAAACAGCUUUCCUUAACAGCAAACUUGAAGAGGAUAUGUACAUGACACAACCUGAAGGUUUUGUCAAUCCACUGGAUCCUAGAAAGAUAUGUAAGCUACAAAGAUCCAUUUAUGGAUUAAAGCAAGCUUUUUAAAGUUGGAAUCUUCAUUUUAACGAUGCAAUCAAAGAGUUUGGUUUUAUCAAAAAUGAAGAUGAGCCAUGUGUUUACAAAAAGGUUAGUGGGAGCACUAUAACAUUCUUGGUACUGUAUGUGGAUAACAUACUUAUCAUAGGAAAUGACAUACCUACCUUGCAGUGUAUUAAGACUUGGUUAGGAAGCUGUUUUUCUAAGAAGGACUUGGGCGAAGCCACUUACAUCUUAGGAGUCAAGAUCCACAGAGAUAUAUCAAGACGACUACUAGGUCUAAGCCAAAGUACAUACAUAGAUAAAGUACUGAAAAGGUUCAGUAUAAAAGAAUCUAAGAGAGGAUUACUACCUAUGAGACAUGGUAUUUCACUGUCGAAGGAAAUGUGUCCUUCAACUCCACAAGAGAGAGAACGCAUGAGUAAAAUUCCAUACACUUCCACUAUUAGAUCUAUCAUGUAUGCCAUGUUCUGUACCCGUCCAGAUGUCUCGUAUUCCUUAAAUAUGACGAGCAGGUACCAAGUAGAUCCAGGUGAAGGUCACUAGACCACAGUCAAUAAUAUCCUUAAGUACUUAAGAAGGACUAAGGAUACGUUCCUAAUAUAUGGGGGUGAGGAAGAGUUAAGUGUAAAAGGUUACAUUGAUGUCAUCUUCUAAACCGACAAGGACGAUUCUCAAUCACAAUCAGGUUUUGUGUUUUGCCUUAAUGGUGGUGCUGUGAGCUGGAAUAGCUCAAAGCAAAGUACAAUAGCCGAUUCUACAAUAGAGGCCGAGUAUAUUACAGCCAGUGAGGUAGCAAAGGAAGCAGUUUGGAUCAAGAAGUUCAUUAUUAAACUAGGGGUUGUGCAUAGCAUAUCAGAUGGUAUAAAACUCUGAUGUGAUAACAAUGGAGCCAUUGUACAAGCCAAAAAACCUAGAUCUCACCAGCGAUCCAAACAUAUACUUAGGCGCUACCAUCUUAUUCGAGAGAUUAUUGAUUGAGGGGAUGUAGAGAUAUGCAGAGUACCUACAGAAGAUAACAGUGCUGGUCCCCUAACCAAGCCUCUAAAACAGCAGAGGCAAGAUCGUCACACUAAGUCGCUUGGUAUUAGAUAUAUGAGUGAUUGGUCUUAGUGCUAGUGGGAGAUUGUUAGAGUAUGCGAAAAGAUCAAUCAUGAGAUGGUUGUAAUAACAUACUUGAUUUAUCAUGUUUAUUAAUACAAGGUGUUACCAUUAUUAUUUUAGUUUCUUUUCUGUGUGUAAAUAAACUGUUAUAUAAUAAUGUCCUGAGUAUAAUAAGAUUAUUCUUAAAAAGGGUCCUUAGUCCAAUAUUAUUGUUGGCUAGGACAACAAUAAUGUGUUAGGACUAACAUGUAGUUGGUUGAUGAUAAAGAGUUGACAAUGAUAUGGAAUGUCAAAAUCAAUGCAUGAAUAUUUAUGUUAGAGAACAAUAUAUUCGACUGACCCGUUAUGAGUAUGUUUCUUGGAUUAUUAUGUAAUUGUCACAACAUUACUCAUAGUGAUUAAUAUUUAUAUGAUCCUCAGACUUGACAUCAUCAUUAUCCCAACAUCGUGAGUUUUAUAUCUUGAUACAGUGAAACGUACACCGUAACUAGUUGUUCUAUAAAGGCUGAUGUUGGAUAUACCACGAUCUAUGUAGAGGAUAUGGUUGAUCGAUAUAGGAUAAGUUAUUCCUACAUAAUGGGAGUAAUAUCUUAGGCCACUUGAUUGAGUGAGACUUGAAAUGCAUGGCCAUGCUCAAAUAAGCUGAUAUGAGAUGUCGUACUUAUUUGUAUAUCACAGUCUACUCAAGAUAUUGAGGAACAUGGAUGGACUAUGCAAGUGUGACUAUUCCAUGACUUGUGUCCAACCCAGAGAUAAAGGACUUAAAGAUUAAUGCAUGAAAGGUUAAUUGUAAAAAGGUUAUGUCGAAUCAUAAUUUCUUGUAACUUAGGUAGCAAUGAUGUAUUUCUAGAUGCCACUCAUUGUUUGUAACAUUAGAAUCGUUCUAGUAUUACUACUAACUUUACAAGAAACUACAGGGUGACACCCUAUGGUUGAAAUGAACGGAAUAAAACAUAAUUGGUAUUGUGUUUGGUUGUCACAUGAUUAAGUUAAUUGUAGAAUUAAUUUAAUUUGGUAAUCAAAUAUCGAACAUAUUAUAUGUACAAGGUUGUUGUACACAUAGUGAGAACAUAUUAUAUGAUUUUGGUUCGUAUAUAAAUUCAAAUAAAUAUAGUUUACCAAAAUCAUUAUUAUAAUUCAUGUAAUUAUAAAUUUCGGUUUAAAACAUUAUUAUAUUUAUUUGAUUUAUUUAAUGAAUUAUGAUUCAUUAUAUAUACCAAUUAUAUGAGGGAUUUAUGAGACAGUUUUUUUUAAAAAAACCCUAAAAAUAAAAUAUAAAAUCCUAUUUUUCCUUUGCUUGAAUAGUCUUGUAGCCGUCAAGCAAAGUCUUCUUCAAAACAGUUUUGGGGAUUUCUUCCGUUCAUUGUCAACUGGGUGGAUUGCGUAGAGGCCGGAGUCACUAAAGGUUGCGACUUGGUUCGAUAGUAAAACAAAAUACUCAUUGUCGAGGUGUCGCUAUCUAUUCAGUUUAAAGAUUUAUGUAAUUUCGAAACCUUUUUCACCCCGAUUCAUUCCUCACACAUGAAUCCAUUAUUUGGAUGCCGGAUGUAUUAAUUUUUACUGCGUCGUGGGGGUUCCGGCGUUCCAACAGUGGUAUUAGAGCCACUUGUGUGAUUUAGACUGGGGUUUAAAUAAUUGGGUGAUGCAAUUGUAUGAGAUGCAUGCUUUAAUUUUAUUACGUUUCCGACUGUUUAAAUCGUUUAAGCAUAACCUGAUAACCGUUCCUUUCGAUAAUUAAUUAAAUGUUAAUCAUGGUGUUGUGGCCUAUUCGGUUUUAUAUUAUUAUUGUUAAGUGUUAACAAAUCUGUAAUGGUGUGACGGUGGGAUGUGCAGUUUCCAGUAAGAGUUAACUGGUUAGUGAAAUAAGGGUUGUUCUGGCAUGAAACCUCAAGGAUUGAAAUCCUAAAAACACAAUUAUGUUGAUAAAAGUUAUCAAAUUGUGAGGUUUCAUAAUAAAUAAAACUUGGUGGGCCAUAAAAUGUUGAAAGGAUAUUUUAUAAUUCACCUUAACAAAACGUUGAAUUAUGUAUGCUAUUUUUGACAUGCACGGUGUUUGAAAUGCAUAGUUAUAGCCCGAUGACCCAUUUCCUAAUAGGUUGUAAUUUUAUAAAUACGGCCUGCGUGUCGUGCCUUACUACUAUUCUUUUGUAUUUCUCUUCUCAUCUUACUCCCUCGUAUGUAAAACAAGUUUCUACAUAUUGUAAUUUGCAAGAGUUGCUAUGGGCUAGAUGAGAAGGAAGAUGGCCAACUAGUGUGGACCGAUAGCUUGUGAAAUGGCUUACACCUUCAGGUUUCCUUUUGGUUCUCCCAUUGGCUUGGGUUGCACCUCCUUAGUUUAUAGGCUAUAACUAUUGCAUUUAUUUAUUGCUUUAUUUAUUCAUGUAUGAGAUGUUAUGAAUGUCUAAAGCAUGCCAAAAUUUAAUAUAUUUAAAAUUUGAUUAUAAUGAGCCUCAUUAAUUGAAGAGAUCAAUUAAAAGGCUAAAUGCACUAAAGUAGACCAUAAUUGGUGAGACGGAACAACCUUAAUAAAAUCCCUCAAUUAAAAUAUUUAGUCAACAUAGCCUUCCAAUUAUGCCCUCGUUAAGUCCUUGAUCGAUACUGUGUAGGUUCUGCUAAAGCUAAGUACUAGUAUUUAUCUUGGUUAAACGCGAAGAAUAAACUAGUGAUAUUCACUGGUUAAAAUUGGUUAAUGACUUAACUAGGUUACUCUAUUAGGAUUAGAAACCUAGAGGCAAGUAAUUUGGAUAAAUCAUAAGAUGAUUAGAACAAGAGUUUUUCACCAAACAUUAGGAGUUCCAUAUGAUGUAAUUAGCAAGUGUUGCGUACCUAAAUAACCAUAAUCCUGAGAGUAAAGCCAAAGCUGACUUAAGAGGAGGAGAAAUAUGGAUCCUUAACCCACUUGAAAUACUUUUCAAGAAAGUCUUUUCGAAGCUAAUAUAUGAGGGUUAUUAAUUUUUGUAGUAAUGGGAAUAUCAUUUAAUAAAGUCCUUUUAAUGAUUGAUAUAAACUUGGUAAAUUUACACACGCAUAUUUUAUUGUUGUAGAUAUAUUAUGCCUGCAGAUACUAAUACACUCUCAUUGCGAUCGGUCCUUGAGAAGGACAAAUUGAAUGGUUUGAAUUUUCUUGACUGGUUCCGUAACUUGAGGAUUUUCCUCAAACAAGAACGAAAAUUAUAUGUCAUUGAACAACCACUUCGUAAUGAUCCACCCGCUAAUGCCUCGGGGGCUGAUAAAGAUACUUACAGGAAGCAUCUCGAUGACUUGGUAGACGUUGGAUGUCUUAUGCUUGCCACUAUGAAUCCUGAGCUUCAGAAGCAACAUGAGGACAUGGUUACUUAUGAAAUGAUCGAGCACCUGAAAGAAAUUUAUCAGGGGAAAGCACGACAGGAGAGGUUCGAUGUCUCUAAGGCCCUAUUCCCAUGUAAGAUCGUUGAAGGAAGCCCAGUAGGGCCUCAUGUCCUUAAGAUGAUUGGCUAUAUUGAAAGCCUGUCUAAUCUUGGGUUUCCAUUGAGCCAAGAGUUGGCCAUGGAUGUUAUUCUGCAAUCGUUGCCAGAUGGCUACAGCCAGUUUGUCCUUAAUUUCAAUAUGAAUGAAAUUGACAAGACUUUGCCACAGUUGCUCAGUAUGUUACGAACUACUGAAGGCAACAUGAAAAAGGUUGGACCCAAGCCCAUACUGAUGGUCCGUAGUAACAAGGGCAAGGGAAAGGCCAAAGUUAAGACAAAGCCCAAGGGCAAAGGUAGGCCAAAGCUUGGAAAAGGAAUGGCUGCAUUGAAACCUAAAGGUGGGGUGUCUAAGGAAGGAAACUGCUUUCAUUGUGGUGUGACUGGACAUUGGAAACAAAACUGCCCUAUUUAUCUUGAAGAAGUCAAGAAGGCCAAAACAAGCGAAAUGUUUGUUUUAGGUAUUUAUGUUAUUGAUAUUAAUUUAUCAACUACUACUUCUUGGGUAUUAGAUAUUGGUUGUAGUUCUCAUAUUUGUACUUCUGUACAGGGACUACAAAAGAGUAGGACUUUGGCUAGAGCAGAUGUGGACCUGCGAGUUGGAAAUGGAGCAAAAGUUGCUACAUUAGCUGUGGGAACAUAUAAUUUAUCUUUGCCUAGUGGACUUGAUUUAUGUUUAGAGGGUUGUUGUUUUGUGCCCAGUUUGACUAAAAAUAUUAUUUCAAUUUCUUGUUUAGACAAAAUUGGUUUUGAGAUAAUUAUUAAGAAUAAUUGUUGUUCCUUUUAUCUCAAUAAUGGUUUCUAUGGUUCGGCACAAUUGAUUAAUGUCCUCUAUAUUUUAGAUCAAAUGGAUCUCAUUUACAACAUAAAUACUAAAAGAUCGAAAAUAAAUUACUCAAAUCAAACUUAUCUAUGGCAUUGUCGUUUGGGCCACAUAAGGGAGAAACGCAUAUCCAAACUCCAUAAAGAUGGUCUCUUGGAUUCAUUUGUUUUUGAACAAAUUGAAGUAUGUGAAUCUUUCUUAUUGGGAAAAAUGACUAAAUUUCUUUUUACUGGUAAAAGCGAACGAGCUAGUGAUUUAUUGGGCUUAAUACAUUUUGAUGUAUGUGGACCAAUAAAUACACAGGCUAGAGGUGGAUUUCACUACUUCAUUACUUUUACUGAUGAUUUCAAUAGAUAUGUGUAUGUCUAUCUCAUGUGCCAUAAGUCUGAGUCCCUUGAAAAGUUCAAGGAAUUCAAAAAUGAAGUACAAAAUCAACUAGGCAAAACUAUCAAGACACUUCGAUCUGAUCGAGGUGGAGAGUACUUAAGUCUAGAGUUUGAUGAUCUUUUUAAGGAAUGUGGGAUUGUCUCACAACUUACUCCUCCUGGUACUCCUCAAUAGAAUGGAGUUUUUGAGAGAAGAAAUCGUACUCUGUUAGACAUGGUUCGAUCAAUGAUGAGUCAUGCUGAUCUACCGACUUCCUUUUGGGGGGCAUGCACUUAAGACAACUACUUUCACACUAAAUCAUGCUCCAUUUAAAUUGAUUCAAAAGACGCCAUAUGAGAUGCGAACUAGGAAACGUCCCGGUAUGUAUUUUAUGAAAAUUUGGGGAUGCAAAGCCUAUGUUAAACGUCAGACGUCUGCUAAGCUUGAACCCAAAUCUGAAAGGUGUAUUUUUGUGGGGUAUCCAAAAGAAACCAAAGGAUAUUAUUUCUUCAAUCCCACUGAGAAUAAAGUAUUUGUUGCUCGGACUGGUGUCUUUCUAGAGAGAGAAUCUAUUUUUAGAAAAGGAAGUGGGAGAAAGAUUGAACUUGAAGAAAUUCGAGAAUCAUAAAAUACCACUGAACCAGAGAUAGAACAACAGCAAAUUCCAUAAGAAAUUGAGGAACAAGUAACUGCUGUAGAAACACAACCACCAUGCAGAUCUUCAAGGGAACGCCAAGCUCCUGAGAGAUAUGAAUUUGUCAUUACAACGCAUGUUGACGUUCUUCUUAUAGAUCAAGAUGUGCCUAGGACUUAUCAAGAAGCAGUGACGAGCCCAGACUCUGAGAAAUGGCUUGAGGCCAUGAGAUCUAAGAUGGAUUCCUUGUAUGAAAACCAGGUAUGGACUUUGGUCGACCCAGCCAAAGGGGUUAAACAUAUAGGGUGCAAGUGGGUUGUCAAAAAGAAAACCGACAUGGAUGGUAAUGUACAAACAUACAAGAGGCGAUUAGUCGCUAAAGGUUUUCGCCAAGUUUAUGGUGUUGACUAUGAUGAAACCUUUUCUCCUGUAGCUAUGUUAAAAUCCACCAGGACCUUGCUCGCUAUAGCAUUAUUUCAUGACUAUGAAAUCUGGCAGAUGGACGUCAAAACAGCUUUCCUUAACAGGAAACUUGAAGAGGAUAUGUACAUAACACAACCUGAAGGUUUUGUCAAUCCACUACAAAGAUCCAUUUAAGGAUUAAAACAAGCUUUUUAAAGUUGGAAUCUUCAUUUUAACGAUGCAAUCAAAGAGUUUGGUUUUAUCAAAAAUGAAGAUGAGCCAUGCGUUUACAAAAAGGUUAGUGGGAGCACUAUAACAUUCUUGGUACUGUAUGUGGAUGACAUACUUAUCAUAGGAAAUGAUAUACCUACCUUGCAGUCUAUUCAGACUUGGUUAGGAAGUUGUUUUUCUAUGAAGGACCUGGGCGAAGCCACUUACAUCUUAGGAGUCAAGAUCCAUAGAGAUAGAUCAAGACGACUACUAGGUCUAAGCCAAAGUACAUACAUAGAUAAAAUACUGAAAAGGUUCAGUAUGAAAGAAUCUAAGAGAGGAUUCCUACCUAUGAGACAUGGUAUUUCACUCUCGAAGGAAAUGUGUCCUUCAACUCCACAAGAGAGAGAACGCAUGAGUAAAAUUCCAUACACUUCCGCUAUUAGAUCUAUCAUGUAUGCCAUGUUAUGUAACCAUCCAGAUGUCUUGUAUUCCUUAAGUAUGACGAGCAGGUACCAAGUAGAUCCAGGUGAAGGUCACUGGACCAUAGUCAAGAAUAUGCUUAAGUACUUAAGAAGGACUAAGGAUACAUUCCUAAUAUAUGGGGGUGAGGAAGAGUUAGUGUAAAAGGUUACACUGAUGCCAGCUUCCAAACCGACAAAGACGAUUCUCGAUCACGUUCAGGUUUUGUGUUUUGCCUGAAUGGUGGUGUUGUGAGUUGGAAGAGCUCAAAGAAAAGUACAGUAGCCGAUUCUACAAUAGAGGUUGAGUAUAUUGCAGCCAGUGAGGUAGCAAAGGAAGAAGUUUGGAUCAAGAAGUUCAUUACUGAACUAGGGGUUGUGCCUAGCACAUCAGAUGGUAUAGAACUCUGAUGUGAUAACAAUAGAUCCAUUGCACAAGCUAAAGAACCUAGAUCUCACCAGCGAUCCAAACAUAUACUUAGGUGCUACUAUCUUAUUCAGGAGAUUAUCGAUCGAGGGGAUGUAGAGAUAUGCAGAGAACCUACAGAUGAUAACAGUGCUGAUCCCCUAACCAAGCCUCUAACACAACAGAAGCAUGAUCGUCACACUAAGUCGCUUGGUAUUAGAUAUAUGAGUGAUUGGUCUUAGUGUUAGUGGGAGAUUGUUAGAGUAUGCCUAAAGAUCAAUCAUGAGAUGGUUGUAAUAACGUACUUGAUUUAUCAUGUUUAUUAAUACAAGGCUUUACCAUUAUUAUUUCAUUUUCUUUUCUGUGGUAUAAAUAAACUGUUAUAUAAUAAUGUCCUGAGUAUAAUAUGAUUAUUCUUAAAAAGGGUCCUUAGUCAAGUAUUAUUGUUGGCUAGGACAACAAUAAUGUGUUAAGACUAACAUGUAGUUGAUUGAUGAUAAAGAGUUGUCAAUGAUAUGGAGUGUCAAAAUCAUUGCAUGAAUAUGUAUGUUAGAGAACAACAUAUUGGACUGAUCUGUUAUGAGUAUGUUUCUUGGAUAAUUAUGUAAUUGUCACAACAUUACUCAUAGUGAUUGAUAUGUAUAUGAUCUUCAGACUUGAGAUCAUCAUUAUCCCAACAUCGUGAGUUUUAUAUUUUGAUACAGUGAAACAUACACCGUAACUGGUUGUUCUAUAAAGGCUGAUGUUGGAUAUACCACGAUCUAUGUAGAAGGAUAUGGUUGAUCGAUAUAGGAUAAGUCCAUUUUACAUAAUGGGAGAAAUAUAUUAGGCCACUUGAUUGAGUGAGACUAGAAAUGCAUGGCCAUGCUCAAAUAAGCUGAUAUGAGAUGUCGUACUUAUUUGUAUGUCGUAGUCUACUCAAGAUAUCAAUGAACAUGGAUGGACUAUGCAAGUGUGACUAUUCCAUGACUUGUGUCCAACCCAGAGAUAAAGGACAUAAGAAUUAAAGCAUGAAAGGUUAAUCACAAAAUGGUUAUGUCGAAUCAUAAUUUCUUAUAACUCAGGUAGCAAUGAUGCAUUGCUAGAUGCCACUCAUUGCUUGUAACAUUAGAAUCGUUCUAGUAUUAUUGCUAACGUUACAAAAACCUACAGGGUCACACCCUAUGGUUGAAAUGAAUGGAAUAAAACAUAGUUGGUAUUAUGUUUAGUUGUAACAUGAAUUAAAUUAAUUGUAGAAUUAAUUUAAUUGGGUAAUCAAAUAUCGAAAAUAUUAUAUGUACAAGGUUGUUGUACACAUAAUGAGAACAUAUUAUAUGAUUUUGGUUCGUAUAUAAAUUCAAAUAAAUAUAGUUUACCGAAAUUAUUAUUAUAAUUAAUGUAAUUAUAAUUUUUGGUUUAAAACAUUGUUAUAUUUAUUUGAUUUAUUUAAUGAAUUAUGAUUCAUUAUAUAUACCAAUUAUAAGAGGGAAAUAUGAGAUAUUUUUUUAAAAAAACCCUAAAAAUAAAAUAUAAAAUCCAGUCAUUCCUUUGCUUAAAUAGUCUUGCAACUGUCAAUGAAAGUUUUCUUCAAAACUGUUUUGGGGAUUUCUUCCAUUCAUUGUCAACUGGGUGGAUUGCGUAGAGGUCGGAGUCACUAAAGGUUGCGACUUGGUUUAAUAGUAGAACAGAAUACUCAUUGCCGAGGCAUCGUUAUCUAUUCAGUUUAAAGAUUCGGUAAUUUUGAAACCUUUUUCACCCCGAUUCGUUCCUCACACAUGGAUCCAUCGUUUGGAUCGCCGGAUGUAUUAAUUUUUGAUGCGCCAUGGGGGUGUCGGCGUUCCAACAGUCCAUGCAUACGGGCGUGUGAGGUCACACACGGGCGUGUAAGAUUGGUACACGAUCAUUCUGGAGCCACAUGAUCUGGGCUCCGCCGCAGAGCCUGGACACACAACCGUCUAACCCUUAUUUUAAAAAUUUUCUUUUUUUUCCAAAUCUCUUAUUUUGUUUCAAAUUAGUCCCUAAUUGUUCCUAAACUAAUUUUAAGGCCUCACAGGCUCGAUUUUGUAUCCAUAAAUGUAUGUAUCACUUCAAUCUGAAUUAGUUAUGAAAAUUCUAUUGAUUAAUUUGGUAAACUUGCUGUUAUCUGUUAUUGAUUGUUCUGAAUUGUACGAUAAUACACCGUAAGCCUAAUUCGGAGACGGGUACGGGUUAUGGGUGUUACACUUCGGGUCAACCAAAAGUGGAUAAGAAGAAGACUAGGAAGCCUAAAGACUUAUAAAAGUCUAAUAUUUUCUUCUAUAGUGAGAAAUGACACUUCAAGGCUAACUGCAAAGAAUGGAAGGACUACCUAGCCUCAAAUGGUAAAGGUAUGAAGGUCACACCUGGUUUCCUUUAAGACCUAAAAUUAGGAAUAAGUGGGGGUUAAAUUGAAAGGAACUAUAACUUGGCAGCCUAUAUAGAAAAAUCAGGAAAAGUUAAUGACUGAUUGGAAAUGGUUGAGAUCAAAUUCUUGUUCGGUUGGAUUAAAACCAACUAGUUCCUCAGUGGGAGACAAAAUGAUUAGCAACAGAUGGUUUUUAUAGGGUUGAUAACUGAGCGCGAAGGACUAUAAAUAGCUCAAAAAUGACUUCCCAAGGAAAAACUCUUCUCAUCUCUAAUUCAUUUUCUUCUUUUCUUUAUCCUCAUCUUGGGUUUCUCUAAAGAAGAGAUAGUUAUAGGAAGCCCUGUAUGGAGAAGUGACCAUAAGGUUUGAGUCGAAAACGUAGAGAAUCAAGUAAACUAGGAAGGUUCUAAGUCCUCCAAUAUACGUAAGAUUAAGGAAAUGAAGUUAAUGAUUUUCCAAAACAUUUUACUGGGUUUAUCAAAAUUGUGUUACCAUAAUCAUGUGCAUAAAAGUUGUAAUUUUGUAUGUUGUGUAUAUGUUUAUUGAUAUUUAAUUUGUUAUAAAAUUCACACUGAUCUUUUUAGCUCACUCUUUAGUUUUCAUAAACUUUUUAGAUGAUUCACGAGCGUAGGACUUGGAUUCAACAUUUGGAGAGGUCUCAUAGAUGAAAUAUUUUAUAAAAUGGUUAAUAAACGUUUUAGGUUAUUAUUUUGACAUUGGACAUUAGACUAUUUAUGGGUUGUUUUUACUUAUAAUUUAUAAACUGCUAUUCAUGCAUGAUAGAUGAACUUAUAAGUAUAUUAAAUUGUUGUUAUAAAAUAUUUUAAUGAUUUUAUCUAAUUUUUAAUAAACUUAUAAAUUUAUGUUUUUUUCUUAAUUAUUUUCAAAGUCCGUUGUGAAAUAUUUUACCAAAAUCAUUUUUAAGAAAUAUUUAAAAUCGAUGUUGUAAAUUCUUUUUUUAAAUGAUAUAAGACGAUAACUCGAUAAAAUAAUGAACUUUUCAAUAUUUAUGUUUUAAUAUUUUUUUUCAAAAAUUAAAUUAUUUUGUAUUUUAAUUUUAAGUUUUCAUAAAAAUGACUUUAACAGAGUUGUUUUUAACAAGUAAAAGUUUUUCAACGGAUUUAAUGUGGCUUCUAAAAUUUGGCCAUAAUGUCUUGGCCGGGUUUGGGGGUUACAACAGCUGAGUCGCAACACAGCAGAACCAACUCUUGAAUUCACAUUCGAAGUUCUGUGUCAAAACACGCACUAGCCUGUGUCGCAACACAGGUCUGAUGGAGGGCAAAAAUUCAUUAAGGCUGUUUUCGUCUACACAACCCAUAUUUAGAUUAAUUAAUGCUUGCAAUUGACCUAAUUGAGAAACUAACUUUGCUUAUAAGUAGUAAGCUUAUGCUAAACUAUAGGGGCCACCGUAUUGGAGGCCACAAACUAGGUUUUAGGAGUAGAUUUGGUUUUAAUUAGAUUUUAAAUUAGGUUUCUUUUCCUUUUCAAAACAUUUUAUUUCAUUGUUCUUCUACGUUGAUUCGAUUUGAUCCAAGACUUUGUUUUCAAGUUUUUUUUUUAUAUUUUUCUUUCACUUCUUGAUUGUCAACGAUGAUAUCUUGCUAGUUGUUAAAGGAUUUUGCAAAUCCGAGCACAUCUAGUUUAUCAAAUCGAUCAAUUUCUAUCCUUCUCUCAUUUUAAUUUAAUUUGUCUGUUUUGCAUGAUUAAUUUAAUUAUGAUGAAGAUGGUAAGUGAAUUGAUGAGUGGCUAAGAGGUGAUUAAGGAGCGGAUGUGGGAGUGAUUAAUGGAAAAUGAGGGUUUCCAUACGAAUUCGUUGGUAUAAAUUAUGUAUGCUUGAACCUUUGAAUUGACGACCCUAGGAAAUAAUCUAGGAUAACCAAGGUCAAAGGAUAAGUUUACCGAGCAAAUCGCAAUUUAUCUCGAUCAAGAAAGUGAGGUUGGAAACUAAGUGAGUAUUGGUCGAUUAAUUAAUUAGUCAAGACCGAAAGGUACUACUGGUUAGUUAAUAACUAAUUCAUUAAACAAACCCAAGUUUUGAUGUUAAUUACAACCACGGAAGCGAGUUAAUUUUUUGUCUGUUAAUUGAGAUUUUCUUUAUUGAUUUAUUGAUUCCUAGUUAUUUUAUUUUAUUUCAUAAUAUUAAUUUUAAUAUUAUUGUUUAUCAUAAUAUGAUUUUUUUGUGAUUACUAUUUAGACUUAUUAUUGUAAAAAUCAUUCCAAAUUUAAUCUAUCCUCCAUUGGGUACGAUUCUCGGAAUACUUACCGGCGUUCCGUUAUAACACUUGUAUAUUACAAUUUGACAUGUUCACUUGCAGAUACCACACUUUAAUUAUAUCUUUUAUUUGCACGAUUUUUACUCUAAACGUUUGCACAUUUGGAGGUGGUCAAAAGUUAAAAUUAUUAAAUGGUCUUUUAAUGCAAGUGGUACAAAGGUGAUUCAAUCAUUAGAGCAUUAAUGCGCAAGGUGGUUAUGAAUAUUACAUAACUUUUAUAGAUGAUUAUUCCAAAUAUAAGUAUGAGUACCUAAUGCUCUACAAGAGAAAAACCUUCGAUAAAUUGCUAGAGUGUCAUAUGAAAGUUGAAAAAUAGUUAGGUUUACCCAUAAAGACAUUUUAAUUUGACCAAGGUGGAAAUAUUUAUCAAAUGAGUACCUAGGUUACCUUAUACAGAAUGAGAUCUUAUACCAAUUAAUUGCUUUAGGCGCUCUACAAGAAAAUGGUGUGGCAGAGGGAAGCAACAAAACCUUACUAGAAAUGAUUUGUUCAAUGUUGAUUUGUUCACAACUAUCCACAUGUUUUUGGGGAUAUGCAUUGAAAAUGACUUGCUACAUUCUGAAUGAAAUACCAACUAAGAAAGCACCAAAAUAUCCAUAGGAAUUGUGGCAUGGGAGGAAGCCAAACCUAAAUCACUUUAAUAUUUAGGGAUAUCCAACCUAUUUACUAGAUAAAGAUACAGAGAAGUUGGAUUCAUGAUUGUAAUUGUACAUGUUUGUUGGCUAUUAGAAAGUAAUGAACAGUAAAAUACUUAUUGAAAUGGCAUUGUAGAGUAACACUAAAUUAAUUGAAAUGAUAUUCAAAUUUGUUAAAAUUAUGAUAUAUGGAUUAUAAGUUUUAAAUAUUUUUAUGCAAUUAAUACAAUUUAUCUGUAAAAUUUAAUUUGGAUAUAUAAAUAAUAUUUUAAAUAUUAAAUUGUGUAUUAAUAUAACUCAUAUAAAUUUAAAAAGAUUUCAUAAGUGAUGAGAUAGUUUAUUAAAAUGUAAAGUACCAUUCUUUUCUCGUAUCUUUACAGUUAUUAUUAUCAUGAUGUCGUGCUGUCAUGUUCGAAUUUUUUUAUAUUAACAAAAAUUCGAAUUAGAUUAUCAUGAAAAUAUAAAAAAAAUGAUAAAUCAUUGGUAAUAUUAUGAUAUAUGGAAUAUACAUUUUAAAUACUUUUAUGUAAUUAAUAUAAUCAUUUUUAUAAAUUUUGUUGGGAUUGAGUAACCCGAAUCCUUAUUCAAAUAAAAUACAGUGGUAGAAUAAAAUAAAAGUAAAAUCCAUAUAGAACUACAAUUCUUUUAUUUUAUUUUAGAUUAAGGUUUUUCAACCUUAUUACACUUCAUCUAUUUGAUAUUGAUUCGAAUAAGGUGUUUCUGUAACACCCCGAAAUUUGGGUUUAGAAGUUUUGAGGUUUAUAGUUAAGGUCUAUGAGUAAGGCGAGCAGUUGAGUUUAUUGUUGUGUUUUAAUGUUAGAAUGAGCCUGUUGGUUCGGUGGUUGAAUGAGUGUUAGUCUAUCAUUGGGUCUCGGGUUCAAGUCCUCACAUGUGUUAUUUUAGUUUUGGUUUAAGUCUUGUUUUGUUUUAAGGGUUAAUUAUUUAUUUACUUUUAAUUUGAAAAUAGGAAGUGUUCCCUUAAAAAUUUCCAUGUUCUAUUUUCUGCUCACAUUAGUUUUUUUCCUUUUCUCCCUUACACGUUGGUUUCCUCUUUCUUUUUAUUAUUAUUAUUUUCUUUUCCACUUCUGAUUUUUGGUUGAUUUUUGGCCAUUGUAUGUUUGUUCUUCAAAUUAAUUCUGGUUUUUAUCAUCGGCGUUGUUGGUUGUUAGUCAUAAGGGUUUUUCCCGAUGUCAAGUGCUGAUUUGAGUAAGUAUGUGUGUUGGUUUCUUGCUUUGGUUCUUGGUUAAAUCAAUUUUCAUAAAGGUUUAGGACUUUUGUAAAUCGAGUGUUUUAGAUUGGUUGAUAUGAGUUAUUUCGGUCGAUCGUUGGUGCUUCUAGGAACGUCAAUUAGGUGUGUUUCUAAACUAUAUUGUUUGUGGGUCGAUUUAGUGAUUAGAAUUCGUGAUUUUAGCCUGUCUCGGUGUGGUUUCGUGACCACACGGGUGGCCACACAGGCGUAUGCCGCACAUGGGCGGUCUACACGACCGUGUGACAUUGGGAAAUUAGGAUUUUUGAUGAUUUUUGUGCCACACGGGCGUGUGAGUUUUUCAUACGGCCGUGUCUACUCUGUUCCUUAAUUUGUCACUUUUGGACAGCGAGUUACACUGGCUACAUACACAGCCAUGUAACUCGAACACGCGGGUGUUUGUCUCCUCCACACGGGCAUGUGCCCCUUCCACAUAGGCAUGUCAAUCUUCACACGGCCGAGACCCUUCCACACGGUCGGGGCACACAACCAUGUGGCCAUGUUUUGUAAAUUUUUGUUCGGUGCUAUAAUUUGGCUCGUUUUGUGCUUCUAUAUGUUCAAACUCUCGAUUAGGCCUCUGUAAAUGUGUUGGGAUUCUGUUCUUAGCUUAGAUUCGAGUUUGAAUUUAUAAUUAUAGGAUUUAAGUAAUUGCUAGUUCAUGCGUUAAGGUGAUGUGAUAAAUGGAUAUAAGAUAUUUUUCUAAUUAUUACUUAUUUGUAUAUAUGCAAUAUUGACUCUGAAAUUGGUCCACUGGAUAUUGAGUUUACUUAUUUGAAUUUACUUAUUUGUAUUUUUGUUCCGCGAGUUUGUUAGCAUAUUGAGUGCACUUUUGCAUUUGCGUCGAAACUUUGGGAUAUUGGUUGUGAAGAGAGAGAAGACUGAAUUGGCAAUUUAAUUGCAUCGUUUUUGUGCAGCAGUUUGCCGCACUAUUUUAUAUAUGUCAACACAACUGCAUAUCAUUAGUUGGGUGGCUCAGUUCCAAUAUCGUGGUGUGUAGGGUGGAUGGGCUUGUCAAAGCUCUUGUGGUGUGCAGGGUGGAUGGGUCUUUUAUGUCCCACUUGUGGUGUAUAGGGGGGUCGGAGUGGCGUUUGGUUGGAUGGGUGGAAUUUUAAUUAUUGCAUUCAGUUUGCAUUAGUGAUACUGUGUUCGUUUAGCUAAUUUUUAAAUUGGUUGCGAAAUAAGUAAUUUGAUUUGGUGUGUAAGUGCUUAUGUAUGUACAAAGCGAUGUAUGUGAUACUUUGAAUGGCUUAUGGCAAUGUGUUCGUACUUCUGACUGUUGAAUCAAGAUUUUCUAUUUUAAAUUGUGUGCUCUUAUUUGGGAUUUUGCUUGAACCUUUCCAAUUGCCUUUUGUUUUGGAUUUCGGGCUCACACUGGGCUCACAUAGCUCACCCCCUUAAUGUUUCAUUCUUUCAAGUAUUUCGCGAGACUAAGGUAUGAACUAGGCACAUCAAAGGUCUUAGAAAGUUUGGUUUGAUUCGGUUUAGUUAAAAUUUUCAUAAGCUUUAUAUGGUUGGUUUUAAGAUUAUUUGUAAAGCGAUUAUAUAAACUUUGGUAUGGGGUAGGGUUUGAACUUUUCGUUAAACUACGUGAUUUUGGUUUUGAACAACAUUUCAAAAGUUUCGCGCAUGAAUUUUUUUGGGUUUUCUGCUAUUGUUUCAAAGUUCACGCUUUUGAGAAAACAACAUAUUCUUUUCACAAUUUCUAAUCUAAAAUUUCGAGUUACAAUUGGCAAAAUUGAUGCAUUUUGAAAUUGUACAAGAAAAGUUAAUUUGAUUUAUUUCUAGUUUUUUUAACACUAAUUAGUUUUUGUUUCAAAAGGUUAAAUAAGUUUUAUCUAAUUUCCUAAAGAUCGUGAGGGCCAACCUAGUGAGACUCUCGAGGAGCCAUUAGCUUCUCUGGGACGUGUGUCUGUUCAGGAGUCGAAGGUCAGUGUGGUUACACUAGCUACGGGUAGCGAUAACCUGGAGGUUGGAACUGAGGCAUUAGCUCGGGUAGUAAGAGAGCUUUUAGAGAAAGUGUUCGAGGCUAGUUUAGAAAGAACUAGAGAAUUGGUUCAAGGUAGGUGUGUGGAUUGUGGGAGGAAAAGAGAUUGUAGUCUUUCGAGGUUGCAGCCUCAAUCUGUGAAGCAUGAGAGAUCAUAGUUGAGUGGGAGAAAAGGUAAUGUGGAAGGUUCUAGUAGUGGCGCGGACAUAUCAGUUUGUGAGCAUUGUAAAAAGCAUCAUUCGAGAGACUGUCAGAAAAAUUGGGGGGCGUGUUUCCGAUACGAGUCCACGGAGCAUCAGAUUAGGGAGUGUCCUCGGUGACAUUGAGAUAGGUAUGGUGUUGACAUAUUGUUUACUUUGUGUACUAUUUUUUGUGAAUGAAUUGACUUUCUGAAUGUGGCAUAGUGUUUAUGUGUGUGAUAGACAAUUAAAUUGAUCUAGUUUAGUGGUAAGAGGUUCUAAGUAUGUGUGUGAGAUUUUAAGGUUUAGUAUGGUGGUAUGUUGGGAUCAGAGUUGUGUAGCGGGAGUGUAGUGGUGAGAUUUUUGCAUUUAGGAAACUGUUCGGUUGUAGAAAAUUGCGGGGACGAAAUUUCUUUAAGGAGGGGUGAGUUGUAACACCCUAGAAUUUGGGGUUAGACGUUUUGAGAUUUGUAGUUAGGGUCUGUGAGUAGGGCGAGCAGUUGAGUUUAUUGUUGCAUUUUAAUGUCAGAAUAAGUCUGUUAGUUCAGUGGUUGAAUAAGUGUUAGUCUAUCAUUGGGUCUCGGGUUUGAGUCCUCACGUGUGUUAUUUUAGUUUUGGUUUAAGUCUAGUUUUGUUUUAAAGGUUAAUUAUUUAUUUACUUUUAAUUUGAAAAUAGGAAGUGAUCCCUUAAAAAUUUCCACGUUCUAUUUUCUGCUCACAUUAGUUUUUUUUUUUCAUUUUCUCCCUCAGACGUUGUUUUCCUCUUUCUUUCUAUUAUCUUUUUUUCUUUUCCACUUCUGAUUUUUGGUUAAUUUUUGGCCAUUGUAUGUUUGUUCUUCAAAUUAAUUCUUGGUUUUAUCGUCGGCGUUGUUGGUUGCUGGUCACAAGGGUUCUUCCCAUUGUCAAGUGUUGAUUUGGGUAAGUAUGUGUGUUGGUUUCUUACUAUUUGGUUCUUGGUUAGAUCGAUUUUCUUAAAGGUUUAGUGCUUUUCUAAAUCUAGUGUUUCAGAUUGGUUGAUUUGAGUUAUUGUGGCAGAUCGUUGGUAAUUCUAGGAAUGUCAAUCACGUGUGUUUUUGAACCAUGUUAAUUGUGGGUCGAUUUAGUGAUCAAAAUUCACGAUUUUAGCUUAUCUUGAUAUGGUUUUGUGAGCACACAGGUGGCCACAUGGGUGUGUGUUGUACAUGGCCGGUCCACAUGGCCGUGUGUCAUUGGGAAAUUAGGGUUUUUGAUGAUUUUUGGUGGCACACGGCCUUGCCAGAUGGCCGUGUUGCUACUAUUGGGGAUUUUUGUCAAUUUUCACACAGGCGUGUGCCUUGGACACACGACCAUGCUCCUUAGCCACACAGACGUGUCAAUUUUUCACACGGUUGUGUCUACUCUACUCCUUAAUUUGGCACUUUUUGGACAGUGAGUUAUAGGGGCUACUCAUACAGCCAUGUAACUUGGAGACAUGGGCAUGUGUCAUCUCCACAUGAGCGUAUGCUUCUUGUACACAGGAUGUGCUUCUUCCACACUCCCGUGUGCCCCUUCCACACGGCUAUGACAAUCUUCAUAGCGUAGACCCUUCACAUGGCCGGGGCACACGACCAUGUGAACCUAUUUCACAAAUUUUUGUUCUUUGCUAUAAUUUGGCUCGUUUUCUAUUUCUGUAUGUUUUGACUCUCAAUUAGGCCUCUAUAAGUGUGUUGGAAAUCUGUUUUUAGCUUAGAUUCGAGUGUGAAUGUACAAUUAUAGGAUUUAAGUAAUUGUUUGUUCAUGCAUUAAGGUGAUGUGAUAAAUGGAUAUGAGAUAUUUUUGUUAUCGUUACUUAUUUGUAUACAUGUGAUAUUGACUCUGAAAUUGAUCCACUGAAUAUGUAUAUCUGUUCUGCGAGUCUAUUAGCAUAUUGAGUGCACUUUUGCAUUUGCAUUAGAAAUUCGGGAUAUUGGUUGUGAAGAGAGAAAAGAUUGAAUUGGUAGUUUAACUGUAUCAUUUUUGUACAGUGGUUUACCGCACUAUUUUAUAUAUGUCAGGACAGUUGCAUAUCAUUAUUUGGGUGGCUGAGCUCUACUAUCGUGGUGUGUAGGGUGGAUGGGCUUGUCAAAGUUCUUAUAUAGUGUGUAGGGUGGAUGGGUCUUUUACGGCUCAAUUGUGGUGUGUAGAGGGUUCAGAGUGGCGUUUGGAUGGAUAGGAAGGAUUUUAUUUGUUGCAUUCAGUUUGCAUUAGUGAUAAUGUCUUCUUUUAGCUAAUUUUUAAAUUGGUUGUGAAAUAAGUAAUUUGAUUUGGUGUGUAAGUGCUUCUAUAUGUAUGAAGAGAUGUAUGUGAUACUUUGAAUGACUUAUGGCAAUGUGUUCAUACUUCUGACUGCUGAAUCAAGAUUUUCUAUUUUAAAUUGUGUGCUCUUAUUUGGGAUUUUGCUUGAACCUUUCCAAUUGCCUUUUGUUUUGGAUUUCAGACUCACACUGAGCACUCGUAGCUCACCCUCUUAGUGUUUCUUUCUUUUAGGUAUUUUGUGAGACUAAGCUACGGACUAGACACAUCGGAGGUCUCAAAAAGUUUGGUUUGAUUUGGUUUAGUGAAAAUUUUUAUAAGUUUUAUAUAGUUGGUUUUAAGAUUAUUUGUAAAGCGAUUAUACAAACUUUGGUAUGGGUUAGGGUUUGAACUUUUCCUUAAACUAUGUGAUUUUGGUUUUGAACAACAUUUCAAAAGUUUUGUAUGCAGGUUUUAAUUGGGUUUUCUACUAUUGUUUCAAAGUUCGCACACUUUUGAGAAAACAAGAUAUUUUUCGCACAAUUUCUAAUCUGAAAUUUCGAGUUACAAUUGGCAAAAUUGAUGCACUUUGAAACUGUACAAGAAACGUUAGUUUGAUUUAUUUCUAGUUGUUUUUAACCCUAAUUAGUUUUUGUUUCAAAAGGUUAAAUAAGUUUUAUCUAAUUGCCCAAAGAUAAAGCAAACAAAGAGGUUUCUUGGUUUUAGUCAGAGCUUUUAGUUCUACCACCUUUUGUAGCCAAUGUAACCUCCGAAAACCAGUCGAAACUUCUAGCUGGGUUUUUAAGUGUUAUAGUUUCAACCUUACUACACUAUUUCUAUUAGAAUAUGGUUUUACAUGCCUAUAAAUAGAUAUAGUCUAAUCCUUUUGUAAUUAUUCAAAUUUGACAUAGUGAAUUAUCUUCUCCUCUACCCGUGGUUUUUUACUUAAAGCGUUUCGACCGAAAAAUCUGUGUGUUCUUUAUUUGUCUUUCUCUUUUCUUUGCGAUACAUUGUCAUUAUUGACGUUCUAUUUUUCACAAAUUGGUAUCUGAGCUUUUCGACUUGCUUAUCUCAAUCACGGUAAUGGCGUCGCUGAAGUAUGAAAUUUCACUGUCGGAUUGUAACACUAGAUUCACAUUAUGGCAGAUUAAGAUGCGGACAGUUUUUGCGCAGAUGGAUCUGGAGGAUGCCCUGCUAGGGAUAGAUAAGAUGUCUUCGACAUUGAUGGAUGAAGAAAAGAAGCGUGAGGAUAAAAAGGCUUUGACACAAUUACAUCUACAUUUGUCUAGUGAAAAUUUGCAGGAUGUGAUGAAGGAGAAGACCACCGUUGCAUUAUGGAAGAGGUUGGAGCAGCUCUGUAUGUCAAAAACUCUAACCAGCAAGCUGCAUAUGAAGCAUCGUCUUUAUGCUCAUCGUUUCGAGGAAGGUACAUCUGUGCACAAACACUUAACAGUGUUUAAAGAAAUUCUCUUAGACGUUGAUGCCAUGGAGGUUCAAAAUGAUAAAGAAAAUCUAGGGUUAAUUUUGCUUUGUUCAUUGCCCCCGUCUUAUUCAACCUUUAGAGAUCUGAUUUUGUAUAGCCGCGAAUCUCUCACUGUUGAUGAGGUUUAUGAUUCUUUGACCUCGUAUGAUAAUAUGAAGCAUAUUGUGGUUAACCUGACUCUGAGGAAGAGGGUCUCAUUGUUCGUGAGAGACAAUAUAGGAAUGUUGAUGAUGAUCGUGGAAGGACACAAGAAUGGAAUCCUCGUAGUAAAUCUAAAGGAAGAUUGAAGUCUUCAAACAGAUGUAAAACUUGUAACUUUUGUAAAAAGAAGGGGCACAUUAAACCUUUGUGUUUUAAGCUGUAAAACAAGAUCAAAAGGGAGGCUGCAUAUCAAAAGUGCAAACAACCAGAAAAAUCUGGUGAAGCUGAUGUUGUAGAAGACUAUAGCGACGGUGAACUUUUUGUGGCUUUUAUCAACAAUUCUAAAGUGAUAGAGAAGUGGAUCAUUGAUUUGGGUUUCACCUUCCACAUGAGUCCCAAUCGGUAUUGGUUUGCAACUUACAAAACAGUGUCUAAUGGUGUUGUUUUAAUGGUAAACAAUGCUUCGUGUAAAACUCCAGGUGUUGGAAUGAUUAAAGUUAAGAUGUUUGACGGAGUUGUUAGAACACUUAGUGACAUGCGACAUGUUCCAAAAUUGAAGAGAAAUUUUAUUUCGUUGGGUCCUUUUGAUUCAAAAGGAUACAAAUACACAGCUGAAAGUGGGUUUUGAAGAUUUUCAAAAGUUCCCUUGUUGUGAUGAAAAGGCAAAGAAAAAAUUGCCAAGUUAUAUGUUUUACAGGGUUCUAUAGUUACUGGUGAUGCCGCUGUCACUUCCUCUUCCUUAUCUAAUGGUGAUGUUACUAGACUUUGGCAUAUGCGCCUAGGGCAUAUGAGUGAAAAUGUCAUGACAGAAUUUAGCAAAAUAGGACUUCUUGACGGGCAAGGAAUUUGCAAACUGAAGUUUUGUGAGCACUGCAUUUUUGGGAAACAAAAAAGAAUUUGAUUCAUCAGAGGAAUCCAUAACACAGAGGGAACAUUGAGUAUAUUCAUUCUGAUUUAAAGGGGCUAUCUAGAGUGCCUUCGAGAGGCAGAGCUAAUUAUAUGCUAACACUUAUUGAUGAUUUUUCUAAAAAAUUUUGGGCAUUCUUCCUGAAUCACAAAGGGAUGUGUUUUCCGUAUUCAAGUCUUGGAAAACUAUGAUUGAAAAAUAGACUGGAAAGCAAAUGAAAUACCUUAGUACAGACAAUGGCUUAGAGUUAUUUCCUGAUAAGUUUAAUGAACUGUGCAAGUCAGAAGGGACCAUGAGACACUUGACAGUUCGUUAUACUCUACAGCAAAAUAGUGUUGUAGAAUGAAUGAAUAUAAUGAUCAUGGAGAAGGUUUGAUGUAUGUUGUCGAAUGCCAAAUUACCAAAGUUGUUUUGGGCCAAAGAAGCCUCUACUACAUUUUUUUUAUCAACUGAUCUCCAUCCAUUGCCAUUGAGAAAAAAACUCCACAAGAGGUAUGGUCUCGUAAUCUUGUUGAUAUUCUGAUUUAAAGAUCUUUGGGUGUCCUAUGUAUACUCAUGUUGAUAAUGGAAAAUUGGAACCGAGAUCCAAUAAAUGUGUUUUUCAUGGUUAUAAAACUGGUGUAAAAGGAUAUAAGUUAUGGUAUAUUGAAAAUAGAAAAGUUGUGGUUAGCAGAGAUGUUGUUUUUUAUGAAACUACUAUGCUACCUAAAUUAUCUCUUAAAGACUCUUCCAAUAAAGAACAACAAAAGCAGGUGGAGCAUCAGAUUAAUCUAGAAUCUACAACAGAGUUGACUUCUCAAGCUACUACAGAAAUUUAGAAUAAAGUUGCUUCUUCACCACAAUACUCUAUCGCCAAAAAUAAAACUAGAAGAGAGAUUAAACCUCCGAAGAAGUAUGCUGAGGCUGAUCUAGUUACUUAUGCUUUAAAUAUUGUUGAAGAUAUAAAUGCAAAUCAAGAGUCAUCUAGUUAUUAUGAGGCAGUUAGCUGUGAAGAUUCAGAAAAGUAGAUGUUUGCUAUGCAAGAGGAGAUGGAAUCACUCCACAAAAAUAAAACAUGGGAUCUUGUGAAACGUCCUCAAAGCAAAAAGGUUGUUCAUUGUAAAUGGAUGUUUAAAAAGAAAAAAAAGGGACUCCAGGAGUUGAAGAACCUAGAUAUAAAGCAAGGCUUGUUGCAAAGGGUUACAGUCAAAUUCCAGGAGUGGACUUCACAUAUGUGUUCUCCCCAGUUGUGAAACAUAGGUCGAUUCGAGCUUUGCUUGGUAUUGUGGCCAUGCAUGAUUUAGAGCUUGAGCAGUUAGAUGUAAAAACUGUAUUUUUUCAUGGAGAACUUGAGAAUGAUAUUUACAUGCAACAACCAGAGGUUUUAUGGUCUCAAAAAAAGAGAACAAUGUUUGCUUACUAAAAAAGUCCCUUUAUGGUUUGAAAUAGUCACCAAGACAGUGGUACAAGAGGUUUGAUUCUUUUAUGACUUCUCAUGAUUUCAAAAUAAGUAGCUUUGAAAAUUGUGUUUACUUUUAGAAAAACAGUGAUGGUUCUUUUGUGUAUCUACUCCUUUAUGUUGAUGACAUGUUGAUAGCAGCGAAAGAUAAAUGAGAGAUAAUAAAGGUCAAAGCCCAACUAAAUGAAGAAUUUGAGAUGAAAGAUUUGGGACCAGCAAAGAAGAUACUUGGUAUGGAGAUUCUCAGAGAUAGAAAAACAAGUAAGUUAUACCUAAGUCAGAAGGGGUACAUUGAGAAAGUUCUUUGCAAGUUCAAUAUUCAGAGUGCUAAACCUGUUAGUACUCCUUUAGCAGCCCAUUUUCGACUUUUAUAGGCUUUGCCUCCAUAAUCAGAUGAUGAGAUUGAAUACAUGUCACAUGUUCCAUAUUCUAGUGUAGUGGGAUCUCUCAUGUAUGCUAUGGUUUGUUCACGUCCAGAUGUAUCAUAUGUAGUUAGUACAGUUAGCAUAUACAUGGUGAAUCCCAGUAAAUAACACUAGAAAGUAGUUUAGUGGAUUUUAAAAUACUUACGAGGUACUACUGAAGUUUGCUUACAGUUUGGAAGAACGUUGAUGUUGAUUUUGCUAGAGACCUUGAUAGAAUAAGAUCUCUCGCAGGUUCUGUCUUUACAAUCGGAGGUUGUGCAAUCAGUUGGUAAGCAACUUUGCAAACUACAGUCACUUUGUCUACCACUGAAGCUAAGUACAUGGUGAUUACUAAGGCUUGUAAAGAAGUCAUUUGGUUGAAGGGACUCUUUAUUAAACUCAAUGAAGACCUUCAAAUCAGUACAGUAUUUUGUGACAAUCAAAGUGCCAUCUUCCUUACAAAAGAUCAAAUGUUUCAGAAGAGAACAAAGCACAUUGAUGUUCGAUAUCAUUUGGUUCGUGAUAUUGUUGUGAGCAAAACUAGUACUCAUGAAAAUUCUGCUGAUAUAAUGAUUAAGUCACUUCCCAUAACCAAGUUUGAGCAUUGCUUAGACUUGGUUGGUGUUCAUUGUUGAGGUUAAACCCUUAAGGGGUUUUAUGGAAAAUGUGGAGAACUUGUUCGUUGAGAGUUCACGAUGAAGAACUUGUUCAUUGGGAAUUUGUGUCAAGGUGGAGAUUGUUAGAAUUGAGUGACCCAAAUCCUUAUUAAAAUAAAAUAUUGUGGUAAAAUAAAAGAAAAGUAAAAUCUAUAUAGAACUACACUUCUUUUAUUUUAUUUUUCAACCUUAUUACAUUUCAUCUACUUAAUAUUGAUUAGAAUAAGGUGUUUCAACCUUACUACAGUCCUUCUAUUAGAAUAUGGUUUUACAAGCCUAUAAAUAAACAUAGUCUACUCCUCAUGUAAUCAUUCCAAUUCAACAUAGUGAAUUAUCUUCUCUACUGCUCGUGGUUUUUUCCUGAAAGGGUUUCCACGUAAAAUUUGUGUGUUCUUUAUUUUUCUUACUCUUUUCGUUGUGAUACAUUGUCAUUAUCGACGUUCUAUUUUUUAUAAAUUUUAAUUUGAAUAUAAAUACUUUAUUAUUAUAAAAUGAAGGGACAAUUAAAAAAAUUGAUUUAACUUGGAAGGUGGUUUUGGAACACAAUACUUAACAGACGUUGAUAGCUACAUUUUUUAUUAAGAAAAUGAAAAUAACAAAAUUUUAAUUAGGUAUUCUUCUACUUCGUGUUUUUUUCAACGCAAAGCCAAAAAUGCUCAAUUAGAUUUGAUCAAAGUGAAAGGAAAUAUAAUUAGGUUAAAAGUAUGUCACAACUCUCCGUAUUUUUUUUUGUAAAUUUAGAAUUUAAUUUUUAUAUUCUUUUAUAAAUUUAGAAUUUAGCCUUACUGUAAGUUUGAAAAAUAUAUAGAUUAAAUUUCAAGAAAUAAAUGUAUAGAGAUUAAAUUCUAAAUUUAUGAAAAAAUAUAAGGACUUAUAACUAUUUUAACCAAAUAAUAUAAACAGACCAAAGUCUUUUAUUACUACAAAAUUAUUUUUAUUGUAUUUUUUUUAUUCUUCUUUUGUCUCUUUCUUCUUCUUUUUUAGCUCCAUUGAAUCUUCUUACCUAUUUUAUUUUAUUUCCUUUCCUAGCAUAAUUGAUCCUUAUGCUUCACUUACCCCACUUUUUAAUUCUUAGAGUAAUCUACUUAAUUUUUUUUUUAUUUGAACAAGCAAUCUACUUAAAGUUAUUUUCUAUUAUUAGUACUCUAAUAUUUUUCGUGUCUAUCUUUUAGUGGGAAAACAAGUUGUGAUAAGUUUCAAGAAUAAUAAAACAAGCCAAGAGAAGAAGUUAAAUUGCUAGCAACGUACGAAUGAUUUAUUGCAUUAUUGUAUUUUCAAACAAAUUCAUAUUUAAUGCAUUCUUAUUGGUGUAUAAAUUUAUAUGCACACAAUAACUUAAGUAAUGUAACGUGUUAGAAAAUUUAGUUAAUUACAAAAAAAAAUCAAUUCUAUUACCAAAAAAAAGUUUGAUUAUAUUUAUUUGAUUUUGAGAGAUUUUAUUAAUUGUGAUGCGUUGCCAAUAUAUAUAGUGCGAUAAUGUAUAAAAUACAUACAAUUUUCAAAAGGCCCCAAUUUUAUUAUAUGGAUACAUCCUGUUAUAUUACAAUAGAAAUAUUAUCUUGAAACUUGCAUUUCUACAUACGAUAAAUAGGCUUGGCACAAAGAUUAGUCUUCCUUGGCACCGAAGUACCAAAGUUCUCGGUCAUGUCCAAUUCAUUUGGCGACAUUCCACUAGGCAGCUCCCAAUCAAAACAAUGCACCAAUUGAGCUAGAAUAAGUUUAACUGUGAUUAACCCUAGUUUCUUCCCUGGGCAUACUCUACGGCCUGAACCAAAUGGGAUGAGUUCAAAAUCAUGUCCAUGAAGUUCUAUAUUGCUAUUAAUGAACCUUUCAGGAAAAAACUCUUCAACAUUACUGGACCACACAUUAGGAUCUCUCCCAAUUGUCCAAACGUUCACUAAGACCCUUGACUUUUUUGGUAUGUAACAACCAUCAAUAACUAUGUCCUCCAUUGA